rnacentral:lncRNA from 1 species
CAACCGAGACAUCCUUCUAGAAUCUGACAAAUUUAGUGGUGAAGAAUUCCUCUGGAUUGGUACAUCUAGUAACGACUUCAGCAGUCACAAAUUUGGUACAUCUCACUUAUAUGACUAUAAUAGGAUGUGAAAGAAUGAAAGAAAUAGUGGCCGACGAUGGAAACGGAGAAGGAAAAGUGAUUUCUUUUGAAAAGCUAAGUUCGUUGACACUUGAACAUCUGCCAAACUUAGAAUGCUUCUCUUCCAUCCCAAGUUGCAUCUUUAGGUUCCCAUCUUUACGGGAUAUUGAAGUGGAAGAGUGUCCGAAAAUAAAGAACUUUUCUAAGGGUACAUUAAGCACACCAGAACUAGAUUAUGUGUCACUGUUCAGAUACAAGUGGGAAGGGAAUUGGGAGAAGGGUGAUGAUCUCAAUACAACCAUACAGAAGUUAACAGCAUAAAUCAAUGCACAUAGAAUUGGUAAGACCAAUUGAUGUCAUUCUCUCAUCCAUUUUUUUUUUCUUUAGUCUUUCGGCAGCGCCGCAACUUUUUAAAAUUUUUCUUUUUGUGACUUUUCUAUUAUUGAUUUCGUCAAAUCAACAUCACCGUCAACCCUAUCGAUGGAUCUCGGCUCAUCCUUAACUGAACAGUAGGAAGCAAAGCGGGUCUCUCCUUCUCCUUCUUGACGCCAAAGGCUCUUUCUCCAUCUUUCUUCUUCUUCUUCCUCCUCCGUGGAGCGAAAUUGGGGGAAGCCUCUGCUGCCUUCACAAAGGACGGAGCAAAAAUGAAGCAUCAGGAAUUGCCAGGACUGCGAGAAGCGAAGCUGCAAUUAGCGGAGCGGAGCCAAGUAGAUUCAACUAGACGCUGUCGUUGUCGCCGUCGUCACCGCCGGAGGUGGCACCACCGAGUCUUGACAGUUUGUCGUCCACUCACUUCAUCAAAGAAGAAGAAGAUCACACUCUCUCUCCGCAUCUGUAUCCGACAAAUCGUAAGUUCAUGUUUCUUCCGAUUUUGGUGUAUUAUUGUGCGUGAAUUAGGGCUCUCUUCUUCAAAUUCGUUCCACAUUCGAGUCUAAAAACAGGAGUUACUCAAACAAGCAAUAUAUUGCCCUUAAAUCUACAUCUUCUGUGCUGCCCUCCCGAGCAUUGGCGAGAUUUCUGCGUGUUUGAGCUCUCAUAGAUGGAGAUGAUAUAUUGUGUUCAAGGUCUCAUGUUGAAAUUUCUUUGGGUAGAGAUAUCUCUGUAACAUCAGGUACAAAUUGCUAUCAUGAAGAAGGGAAAAAUCAUGGAACUUGAAAAUAUUCCGAGAAUUCCAUGCGUUGUCAAAAAUAUGAAAAGUCACUUUUACGCCUUGAUCGUAAUAUAGUCUGGACCGUCUGAGGAAUCACUUGUAAUCUUGAUUGGUUAAGUGAUGCUGGAAGGAUAAAAUUUAUUUCCAAUUUAUGCUAAAAUCUUUUUCAUAGCAAGUCAAACUAAUGAAGUGUACUUAAACUAUCUCUAAAGUUGUCAUUUUUUAAGUACAGGCUGGUCCAAACAUUUGAGCAAAUUGAGGCAUCCUGAGCUGGUUUUUUAAGGUCCCAUGCGCCCAAGGCCUCUCACUGCUCUUACAUCGGCCAACAAAUUUCAAAUGGAGCAUCCCAAUGGAGCAUUCCUUUUUCAAAGGUGGUGAGGAGGCCCUCUUAUGUUGACUUUGGCUUGGUAUGAUUCCACGCUCAUUGACCCAAACUCGCAUGUCUGAAAAUCAAACAUAUGGAUGCUGUUUAUAUCUUUGCUUAUACUCUAGUGUAUUUCCAAGUUGACUUAAUGCAGUAAACAACAUGACAUGUUAUAUUCCUUGAAUUGUUCAUGGGUAUAUGUUUGAAACCAGGUAUAUGUCUUAACAAUGGAGUAAUUGAAGCAGGGGAAACAAUGAAAGGACGGUUAGUGGGACUUAAACUGGUGGUCGAGGUUUGAAAGAAUAACAUUUGUCCCCUUUUUGUCAAUACAUGUGUUGGAAAGCAAUUGCUGAGGCAAGUCCAAAGAAUUAGAAUCCAAUUCCUCUUAUAUGGAGGAACUUGACAAUGUUAUUCAAUGCUGUAAAAGUAGAAUAUAUAUGUAAAUCACACGAGGAGACUAGUUGAUACGGACAAGCAAAUUGCAAAGAAUGUCACUAUCUCCAUAACUAGAGGGAAAGACCUGAAAGAUAAGGGGGUGGCUAGUUAUGGUUCUGAAAUUUCAUUGUAGAUCUAAUGACUGAUAACUUUGUUUUCAAAUAGGAGAUACUAUUUUAUUUUUUUACAUUAAUCGGAAAUUUGAGAAAAAAAGAUGAGUUUACUCUGUCAAAUUGAUUCAGUAUUUUGAUAAAAUUUGAGUUGCGCUUGAAAUAAUUGAACAGCUUAGAUUAAAAUUUUUCACUUCCAUCCGUGUUCCGAUCAUUGACGUCUUUGCCUUCUCCCCUGCUCUUGUGGUUUGUGUGGCUUAAAUUCAUCGUUUCAAAUAUAUAUGGGACAUGGAAGGCUUUUUCUGGUCAUGUACCCUAUUGCUUCUAGGAGCGUAUAUUUUGAUAUUUGACUUUGGGUUGUAGUCUGAGAUUGUCUACUAUCAUUAUAAGGUUUAUUGUCAAUUAAAACUCCUAAAAGUAGCAACUACUGCCUUAUAUUCACGCUGUGUGAUUAGAUUCUCUCAUUAGUGUAUGCUUAUGUUUUGGUCUUUCUUCACCAUAAGUUGGUUUUCAACCUCAUAAAUGAGGAGACUACUCCUGUUCAAUUCAUCAGGCAACAUAAUCAGGAAAACAAGCAAAUUGCAACUCUCAGGUAUUCAGACGGGUCGUGGAUGGUGAAGCUCAGGAGCCAUGGACUUUUUUUUCGUUGCUUGACACCCAAUUGCUAGAGAAGCUCGUUUGCAUUUAGGAGAUGUUUGUGUGUUUGAGCUCAUUGAUAGGGGGGAUGUGUGUUUAGAGUCUACAUUUCCACUAGUGCUAGUAAGGACUUGGUUUACAUUUACCCGAAAUGAAUUUUGGAAGUGUCACUUUAGAUAAUCCAAAAUAAAUUCAGUAUUCAUAGUUAUAUCUCUUUGUUUAGUCUUGGUGAGUCAAUGAAGUGUACGUCUUCCAUUCCCAUUGGGUUUGUGAGUUUCAUAAUAAUCCAGAUGCACACUCAUUAAUGCUACAUCCCAGGUCUAAAUUAACCAAAAAGAAUGUGCUUCAAUGUGAAAGCGAAAAUUAUAACCUAAACGCUCAGCAUGAGAAUUUAGAGGUGUGACUUGUUGGUUUCUAAGUUGCGCUUUUCUGCACAGUGUUGCAUUCUUUUUCUUGGUCCGUCUCAAAAGUUAUGAAAUUUUCCUGAUAAGAUUUUGUAUAUUGAUGGGUGACAUUACGAUUUAGGAGAUGCCAAGUGUAGCUAAUGUGUUUUGUCUAACGUGAAAAACAUGUAAACGUUAGUAACAUGAUUGGAUGCAUUGAUUUGUAGAUCGUUGUAACUUGACAGAAGGUUUACAGCAGUACCUAUGAAAACUCUACUUUUUCUUUUGUGCAAGUUGGACCAAACAAUCUAAAUGUCAAGUGAGCCCCCAUGAGCAGUUUUGCAUGGUUCCGUGUUUCCGCGGCCUCCCCUGCUCUUGAAAAAACUAGAAAAUUUGAAUCGAAGUAUCCAUCUCUGAAAUUGGUGAUGUGGCCACUAUUAUUAAGGAUAGAACUGCGGUAUGGCCCGUGUCCUUUCAUAAUUGGCAUAGCUCAACCAUGACGCCUUCUACAUCUUUCCCUUUAGUCCACUCUUUUCCCAAGUCGUUUUGGUUUUUCAUAGGAAUCAAUGUUAUCUUCCUUGGAGUGUUCAUGGCUUUAUCUGUAAAACCGGGGCAGUUUUGAUUUUGAAAUUUUAUUUUUUAAAUUUAUGGAUUCAUAAGAUUACCAAUUCUAAAAUGAAAGAUUCUAUAUUUUUUUUUUCCAGUAAUCAAGUGUAAAGAAGAUUACUAUUAUAUAUAGACUAAGAGGAUGUGGUGGGGACGAUCAGUGUUAGCAACUCUUGAACUUUUGCCAUGAGAGUUAAAAAAUUAUGUACACUACCGUAGAGUCUACAAGCACUGUAUUGUGAAAUCUCAACUUCAAGUUGCAAGUUGGGAUUGAAGACUUCUAUUACCCAGUUAACACUAUUAAUUGAACUCCCUGAAACUAGUAAAUACUAGCAUAAAUUUACAUUUUGUUUGCGUUUUCCGUUUAUUAUUUCUUUGUAUUUAUUCUUUUCCUCAUUAUACUACAUUGGUAGUGUUCCUUGUGAAUUCAUAAAGAAACAUUCAGAAGAACUAGCAAAUUGCAACUCUUAGGUAUUUGAACAAAUUAUGGCUGGUGCAGCUCAAGACCUAUCAACUCCAUUAUCCAGCUGGUCGGGCCGCAUUUGUGAAAGAAGCUUAUCUGGAUGAAGGGGAUGUCCACAUGUUUGAGCUCAUUGAUAGGGACGAUUUUAUGGUCAAUCUCCAUCUCCAAUUAUGCUAGUAAGGACCUCAUUUAGGUUGAUUGAGAUGGACAUUGGAAGUGUUGCCUGCAAGUAAUUCAUGUCUUUUUUAUUCAGCUAUGACGAAUCAAUUGGAAGUGCACUUACUUUUAGCUUUGCGUCUCUUUCUUGACCUGCUUACAGUCUUACCAGAAUUCUCCUCUUUUUUUUUUGGGUGCAGGUCAGAACAGAUAGUCUAAAUGUCCAGUGAGCCCUCUUGAACAGCCUUUUCAUGGUUUCAAUUGUCUGUGGCCUCUCACUGCCCUUUAGAAUGCUGGAAAAUUCAAGUUAAGAGUAUCCCUUUUUCCAGAUGGUGACAUGGCCAUCGUUUCUUAAGAAAGAAAUAAUGGUGAGGCCCAGAUCUCCAUUCAUAACUGGCAUAUCUCAAUUAUGAAUGCGACCUAUCUUAUAUAUGUGCCCUAUUGUGCAAUUUUUUCUUGCAUUAAUUUGCUUUCUAUAGAAACACAGAAUAUAUUAUCUUCCUUGAAGUGGUCAUGGUUAUAUGUUUAAAACAGGCUCCUUAACAACUAAAGGGACUAGGGAAAAACAAUAAGUCGGACAGUAAUCAGGAAAUUACCUAGUGAUGGGUGUGGAGACAAGGUCAGAGGGUUGAGACAGGCAAUAACAACCAUAAAUUAGGAAUUUAAUGAUUUCUAAUUGAAGUAUAAAUUCUUCCCAAAGAUGACUACUUGGUACUUUCUCUGUCUUCUAGUUUAAGUAUAAAUUCCUUCCAAAAAUGACUACUUGGUACUUUCUUUGGCUGCCUAGGCUUGGGAAGAAGAGGCAACACGAAAUGUCCAGCUUAAGCAAUAGCUAUUGCAACAAGCCUAGGCUUGGCAUGACUAGGCUCACUGCAAUAGCACGGCAACACUAAUCGGAUAUUGCUCCCUGGCAACAAAUGGUUUACAAGAGCUACUAUUGCAAGCAGGUUCAAACUUGCGAUCAGAAAUGAAGCGAAGGUAGUGUGGCCCUAGACCUCAAAAAUUAGUCCCACCACCUCCGUGGUAUGAAAAAAAGAAAGGCAGCUAUUUUUUUUUUUUUUUUGCCAGGCGAAUGAAGAUCACUUUUUGUGUAUAUGUAUCCAUCUAGGAUGCUAGGUGUAGCUUUUCAUGUUUGUUCAAUGCAUAUCGCGAUGCAAGAUUGGUGACUUGGAAAUCCACCAGAUUUGUGCAUGUCUCUAUAUUGAUCACACGUACUUAGUGUAGAGUCUAAGAGCACAGGAUUGUGAUAUUUUGAUUUCAGAUUGCAAGUUGUGACUAAAGACCAUCUCAUCAAGCCUUUUAGACUGCUAAUACAGAUCUCUGGAAACUUCAAAUAGUAUCAUAAAUGUACAUCUUGUUUGCCUUUUCACUUUAGUGUAUGCUUACAUUCCUUUGUCUUAUCAUACAUUGACUGGUCAAAUGUCUUCAUGGGCAGAGCGUUCCUUAUGAAUUUAUAGAGACAUGCAGUCAAGAAUACCAGCAAAUUGUUACUCUUAGGUAUUCAGACACAUUGUGGCUGGUGACCAUCAGGAGCUAUGAGUGCUACGCUGCAGUGAACUUCUCUAUUGGUUGGUCCAAGUUUGUGAGAGAAACUUAGUCUUGAAUGAAGGGCAUGUCUGCAUGUUCGAGCUCCUUGAUAGGGAUUAUUUUUAGGUUGAAUUGGGAGGUGAACACUGGAAGUGUCACUUUAGGCCAUAUACUAGUUAGAAGCGAUCUCUGCCUCUUUUCUGUUGUGAUGAACCGGAUGAAAGUCCACUUUUAUUUCUGACUCUGCUUUUUUCUGAACUAGCUACAAACUUAUAAUUUCUUGGCCUAGCCACUCCAUUGAUCGGAUAUUGUGAUGAAUAGCCUUGCACACAUUUUCUACUUUGGGUAUUUCUCUUGCGCUUGUAACGCUUUUAUCAUUGCCUUCUUGGAAAGGACCUUAGUUCAGCAUUAUCAUGGUUCUGGUUAUUCAACCUGGUUUCGUAGAACAAAUGAAAUUUAUGCAGUAUGCCAUCAGUCAUGGUCACCUGAUAGUUUUCAAAGAUGGGAGAGAUGGACUCUAUACUCAUGUAAUUGUAUUUGAUUAAAGUGCUUAUAUAGAUACAUUAUCCUUUCAAGCAAGAUGAAAUAUAAAACCAAGAUGGCGAAUUCCUCGAGAAGAAAAUGGGAAGAAUCCAAAGACCUCACGGACCUUGAAGAUUCAGAGGGUUCCUGGCCAUGUUGGAAACCAUUGGCUAAACUGCAAUUACCUUCUUAUCUGCCUUCUACGGUGAUGAAUUCCUUUUCAAUUUGUGAGUUUCAAAGUGAUUAAAUUGCACACUCAUUGAUGCGACUUUGCAAAAUAAUAUGCUUGGAACCAAAAAGGACUAAGCUGCGAACGUCAAAGAGUGACAGAAGUUCCAAAUUGUUCCUCAAGAUAAUUUGGAGGCGCGUGCACAUGACAUAGUUUUCUUAGUCACUCUUCAAAUUUUAAAAAAUUUGAUGAGAAGCUUUUGGUAUGUUGGUUGAUGGCAUUGGUUUGGGUGUUCGAAGUUGUAGUCAAUCAGUUAUAUCCAAUACGAAGAGCGUGCGAAAUUCUGUUUCAUGUUCGCACUUGUUGAUUUCCAAACUAUGCUGGAUCUUUUCAUAAUAAAUCGAAAAAAUUCACAUAUGUGCCCAUGAGAGUUCUUUUUUUAACCGGAGGUCAGACCAAACAGCCUAAAUGCCCAGUGAACAAUGUUGAGCCGGUUUUUCAGUGUUUUACUUGUCCAAGGCCUCUCCCUGCACUUGAAAAAGCUUAGAGAAUUUGAGUCAGAAUAUCCCUUUUUCAAAAUGGCAAUAUGGCAAUUUCUUGUCAUGAAAGGAAAAGAACUGUACAUUCCUCAUCUCCAUUCAUUAUCGGCAUAUUUCAAAUAUGAGACAACAUGACAUGUUAUUUUCAUUGAAGUAUUUGUGGCCAACCGACCAUCCUAAUGGCCGAGUAAUGGAACUUGGUAAAAUGGCAAUCAAAAUGGUAAUUGUGAUAUAACCUUUAUGGUUGUGUGUGUCGAUUCGGAUUAUUAACUAGUGCGUCUACCUUGAAACAAUCAACUUCUCUAGUUGCUCCAUCAAUUUGUCUUUUGUUCCCUUUUUUAAAGUGGAAAUCAAGGUGUCGACUUUUUUAAAUAAUAUCUCAAUAUUUUUUGAAUUUUUUUUAUUAUUUUGUUAUUUUGUUAAUUUUUUUUUUCAUGCCCUUAGGGUCGGCCAGGAUGUGGGCGUGCAGCACCUCGCCCAGACCAAGUGAGGGCUGGCGAGGGUGUGCAGGGAAAAAAACAACUAAAAAAACCAAAAGAAAAAAAAAUCAAAAAAAUAUUAAAAUAUUAUAAAAUGUCCACAUCACUUUCAGCAGUGUCAUGUCAGCGCAUGCUGAUCAAUAUUAGCAAAAUGGACUUAACUGGCACAAAUGCGAAAAGUUUAGAAUUGAAUUGACUAAAAAAAAAUAGAUUCAAUUAGCACAAUUACAAUAAGUUUAUGAGUUUUUUGAUAAUUCUCCCGACAUUGUUUUCUUAUUAAUGAAUUUUGUCUCACAAUUCAAGGUACAAAAUGGUAUUGUUCUUUAGAAAAGCUUGAAAACUUAUAUAUAUUAAAAUAAUUUGGUGAGAACGAAAUAUCUUUUUUAUCAAGGAAUAGAAAAGGAAAAGGAAAGAAAAGCAAACAAGAAAAUAAAAAUAAGAAAAAUUACUCUUUGCCAUGCCAAACCUAACCUAAAGGUAACAAACUGUCAACACGAUACAACUUUUAUUUAUAUCACAAGAUUCUAUAUGCUCUUCGUCCAUUUAUUACUUGUCAACUUUUACGGACUUGAUACAUCAAUGACCCUUUUCCUCUUUCUUUCUUGAUUCAACAAUAGGGGGAGAAAAAAACACAUCAGACCCUUUUCUGCAAAUAUGGACUCGCGGUCUCAUCCAAAUAUGAAGGAAUCGAUUAAUUGCUCAUUGAAUUCAUAUUGCUCGCAUCUAAUUCUAUAGUCAAAAAGCCGAAGCUAUGCUUCGGCAUUGAGUGUGCACAACUCUUUAAUUUGACCACAAGCGAAAUCCAUGCAAGUAGUACAGUCCAACUACCCCAGCACGAUAGCACACUAUCCACGGCCGAAGCAUCUGGCGUUGCUGUAAGAGGCACUGGUGCAUUAGUUGAAUCCCCCGAUCGCGGUGUCAAACCUCAGAUCGGUCAAAACUUGACCCGAAGCUUGUGCAAAAUCGUUUGGGUACCGCAUGCCGUUGCAUAUCUUGUACAUAAGCAUCACAUCCAGGUCACUUCUUACGAGUCAGACCCCUACAAGAGCCCCAUGAACAUAAGUGUGAGCGUAUGCGAUGUGGACAAGGUCAUCCAAGAGCCCUGUUUCCUCCCUUUUGGUCUCUUUGGUUUGCUACGAGGAAACACACACUUGAGAUUGGCUAUAAAAAGAUUUGUCUCCAUAGUGCUAUCCAUCAUUUAUUCUUUGUUAUUAGGCUAAGCUAGUACCAAUUUUAGUAAUUUAUGACGUCACAUGGAUUUUUUUUAUAACUUCCAAAGCUUUUUCUAUGAAUUAUUUGUUCAUUAGUGUAAUAUGUUGUUGCUGUCCUUGCAAACCCUAAUCUCAUAAUUUUUAAUAAAAUCCCCCCCUCUUACUAUGCAUGAAAAUUUUUAAAUUGGAAUCCUCUAAGUCUACGAAAUAAAUUCACAUUACGAUAAAUUACUCACUUCUUCUUUUUCUGUCCUCUUUCUCCUCUUACUUUGCACAAACGUGUCAACCUCAUGUACUAGUCUUGAAUAUAUUUCUAUAUGUAACAUUGUAAAUUUUAGGCCAUGUAAUUAAUGGAGUUCAUGAUAGUUAUAUAACCCGAAUAACACGAUACUUCUACCACUACUAAUACUACUACUAGGAGUGUAUUAAAAAAAUAAAAAAUAAAAAAGUCCGAAAAGCCGGAUCGAACCAUCCAAAUUGGCCUGAUAAUUUUGGGCUCAAAUAAUCCUGGGCCGGCACACUUGACCUCAAACUAUCCUUGAGUUUGGGACUUGAAUGAUUGCCAAACUAGCCCGAUUCAUAGAUCAGAAACUGUACAUAUAUAUGGCCCCUAUGUCAAUUCCCAUUCCUGCUAGUUGAGUGCUUGACUUCUCUCAUUCUCCCAUCUCUCACACUGGUUGAGAUCCGGCCACCGUUGAGCUGCCAUUGCCACCACCGUCGAGCCCCAUUUAUGCGGCCAUCAAUCCCCACACUCACCAUAUGCCCUUCGUCCAAGACGUCUCGCUCACUCCGUCAGUCCCUCUUCUGCUUGCUCACGUCUUAGUCUUCCUUAUGCUCCCUCACUCUAAACCUGUGAUAAAUUUACUCUCUAUCAAAUUUUAUUGUCAAAUUAUUAAGUUGGAUAACACGUGACAAUUGACAAUGGUAUCAAUUUGGGGUUUUCUCCUCCAUUUGUUACAAUCAUAGUAGUUUGUGAUUUUUUAUAGUAUUAAUUCAUUUUAACAAAAACUAACAAAUAGUAAAAUUAUCACAAAUGUAUCAAUUUAUUAUUUUUAAUGGUCAAAAUACUAAUUUGGGGCAAAUGUGUGAUGUACCAAUUUGGAGUUUUUGUUAGUCAAAAAAUUAAUUUGAGAUAAAUUUGUUGCAUAUAUACUGAUUUUAGAUUUUUUGUGACAUUAAUUCUUUAUUAUUUUUUUGUUUAACACUUUAUUAGUUACAUUUAGAUAGUAGAUGGUAGUGGAAAGUGGCCGUUAAUGACGAUUGGCACUUUUUAAGUGCUAAAUGACGAAAAUCGCCUCUGAAUUAGUCUAAAAUCUAAUCCGAGCUAUCAUCAUAAUUUGGAUUUUAAGGCAAUCUAGAUCGAGAUAUCAAAAGAGGAACCUCUCCCUUAAAGAAUCUACAAACAUGGUAAAGCUAUUUUAUAAACCAUAUUCUCUAAUAUCCUUAUGUUCAAAUGAAAAUUUACGUAGAAUAAUAAUCGAGUUGGGAGAAUCAUUACCUACACCCAGUGCAAACAAUAUUCCUCUCAUAGCAUGUAUGAAGGUCUACUAGGAGUGAAACUCAGUCAAAUUAUUCAUGAGUCGUUGGAGCUUGGGUUGAUGACCAUUUGAGAACUAAUAUUUAGUCGAGCUCUAACUCGAGCUACUUGAGUAUCUUGCCAAUUGAAAGCUCAAGCUCAUCAAUACUUAGCUCAAUAAACUUUGUAAACCCGAUUCAAAAAAAUCAAUUGUAAAUAAAAUUAAAUAUUAACAUCCUCAUUUGCACACACGUAAUAUAUAGUAUAUCAUCUUUUUUUUUUUGGUAAAGGUAAUAAUAUUAUAGAGAAGGACAAAUGUACAAAAGAUCAGUUCCAUAACCGACACUCUUAACCGAUUGGCAAAAGUGAAGGGGAGCCGAUGUAAAAGAAACAAGGGCCGAGCCCGCUAGCAAACACUAAGGCGACACCCAAGGAGCACCGGCGCGGUGAUGGACCCAUCAACCCUCCAGUGAAUAGCCUGAGAAUGCGGAACGGAAAUGAGAGCAGCACAUAGCGAUUAAGGAGCAUAUCCACUUAGAAACACGCCCGGGUCGAAGCCCCAUCCUCUUUGAAGUCUUUGAUUCCUCGGAGAGGGAGAGACAUUCUUAAAGGUGUUGGCUUUAUCUCUAACCAUCUUGAUAAGGUGAUUUUCGAGCGCCGGAAGCACAAGAGAUUCACCUCUGAAAAGGAUUGCAUUCCUCUUCUUCCAGAUGAGAUGGCAAAGGCCACCAAAGGAGAACCGAACUAUUCUGUGAUAGAAGUCAUUUCCAGAUAGGAACUUCCGGGCCCAAGAGAGUACCUCAUCCCAGCAUCGGUUUCUCCAAGGAAUGUUGCAUUUGGCGGCCCAGAAGAAGGCCAAAGAAGUCGAGAUGCGACAUCCGAAGAAAAGAUGAUCUCUUGAAUCAGGGACUUCACUACAGAAGGCACACACGACCAUAGGAUAGAAGCAUUACCUGGGUGGGAAGGCGAUUCUUUACAAUUAGCUAGAGAAUGAACUGGUAGCGAGGGACUAUAGCGGAAUCCCAUAUUAGAGGCGCCCAGUUAACCGAAGAUUUCUUGGCUCUAAUAAGGUUCCAUGCCGAUGAAACCGAAAAUAAACCGGAGGGAUGAUUGCACCAGAAAAACCUGUCAUUGCCCGAAGUCAACUCUGGAAGAGAUAUACCGCAUCUCACCAAGCAUUCCUUUAAGGGCCGGCCCAAUGGAGAGAAAAGGUCAGCAACAACCGCAUGGUCAGGGAUGCGAAGUCUAUUUCUGAAUGAUGAGGGCACGAAUGCAUCAAGCGGGCCACACGAUAACCAGUAAUCAUACCAUAGGGACACCGUGUAGCCGUUUCCAACCUUCCAUCUAAAGGAAUUUCGAAAAUAACUUCUAAGUUGGAGAAUAUUUUUCCAAGACCAGGAGCAUAAUUUGGGUUGGGACACAAUCCAGAAGUUCCUUUUGGUUAAGAAGAUGGAAUGGAUCCAACGACACCAUAACGAUUCCUUAUCGUGGAAGAGGAACCAUAUAAAUUUUACCAUUGAAGCUUUGUUGCAAUCCCUCAGAUUCCGGAUACCCAAUCCACCUUCAUUUUUAGGAAGACAAACGUCCUUCCAUGCAACCUUAGCUCCACCACGGCCCAGGGCCGUUCCUUUCCAUAGAAACUGUCUCAUGAUUCUUUCAAUAUUGUCUAGAACCGAGGAAGGAAGAGUAAAUACACUCGUCCAGAAUGAUUGAAUGGCAUGGAGCACCGAACGGAUGAGUUGUAAUCUACCCGCAAAUGAUAAGAACCGGUGAGUCCAAGAUUGGAUUCUAGCAGUGAUGCGGUCCGUCAAAGCAAUACAAUCGGCUUUACUCAGUCUAGAGGAAAUAAUAGGAACUCCCAAGUAACGAACAUGGAGCUUACCUUCUUGAAAUCCGAAUGCCCAGAGGAUUCUAUUUCGAAUGGAGAGAUCACCACCAGAUAUAAAGAUCUCACUCUUAUUCUUGUUAGGAAGGAGACCACUCCAAGAAGAGAAGAUGUCAAGGCCUCUCUUUAGCAUGGACACCGAGGACCAAUCCGCUUGGGAAAAUAGAAAAACGUCAUCGGCAAAGAACAAGUGAGAUAGUCGAACCGGUUUACACCUCCAGAAAUAUUUAAAGUCCUGGUUCGCCGUGCGGGAAGCCAACACUCCAGAAAAUACUUCCAUUACUAAUGUAAAUAAGUAUGGGGACAUGGGAUCUCCUUGUCUAAGGCCACGGCCGCUCGGAAAAAAACCAUGAAGAUCACCGUUAAUGGCUAUCGAGAAUCUUGGAGUCCGAACGCAAGCCAUAACUAAUUUGAUGAAUCCUUCCGGGAAUUGGAAUGCACCAAGAACACUUUCCAAGAAGUCCCAAUCUACCGUGUCAUAUGCUUUGUGAAAAUCAACCUUAACCGCACAUUUUGGAAGAUAAGGAUGAAGAUGGAAGCCCGCAAAGAGUUCUUGGACAAGGAGGAUGUUAUCUCUAAUUCUCCUGCCUUUCACAAAUGCAUUUUGAGAUUCACUGACCACCUCAUUCAACACGGCUGCUAUUCGAUUAACUAGUAUUUUAGUGAUAACUUUGUAAAUGGUAUUACAGCAAGCAAUCGGUCUGAAAUCCGACACAGCACUCGCAUUGGGAAUUUUAGGCACAAGAGCAAGGAUCGUUGCAUUUACCUCUUUGAGUAGUCUCCCGGAGUGGAAGAAGUCCCGAACAGCCAGCAAUACCGAGGGACCUACAAUCUCCCAAUUAGACUUGAAAAAUUCCGAUGGGAAACCAUCCGGGCCUGGGGCCUUGCCCUUUGCAAGUGAGAAUAGAGUGGAUUUGAUUUCAUCAUCUGUGACUGGUUCAUCGAAGACACGAAUCUGCUCAUCAUUAAGGGGUCGGCGUAUAGCACGUUUCAACUCCUCAAAAGAUGGUUUAGAUAAAGCCUCAUGCGGAGAUAGCAAUGAGGAGAAGAAAUUAAUAAAAACCUGGGGCAGCGCCGAGAGAUCAGUUAUAAUAGUCCCAGAGGAAUCUUUAAUGGAUAGAAUUCGGUUACUGAGUUGCCUCCUUUUGACCGAUUGGUGGAAAAAUUUCGUGUUUUUAUCUCCUCCUUUUAGCCACUGAAUUCUGGAUUUUUGACGGUAAAAGGACUCCUCUUGAUUCCUUAGAUCAACAAAAUCCCGACGACAACACCUCUCCCUUUCAGCAAGCUGAGGAUUCAUCGGGUCAGAUUGGAGAUCAGAUUGAACGGCACUAAGGGCCUCUCUCGCUUCCAAUGUUCUUUGUGAGAUCUCCGAGAAAGCUUCUCGGUUGAGGAGCUUGAGGCGGGCCUUUAACAACUUGAGCUUAGAUACUAGCUGAAACAUAGGAACACUAUCACCAACGUAUCCCAUACCUGACGGACAAUGGACUAAAGUCCGGAUGUUCAUCCCAAAAUUCAAAGUACUUGAAUGGCUUCCUUGAGCGAGGCGGUUCAAGAACUUUCACUAUCAUCGGAGUAUGAUCCGAUAUGCCCGGGUUAAGGAAAGCCGCCUCAGAAAAGGAAAAGUCCACGUUCCACUUAUUAUUUACCAACACUCGAUCAAUCUUCCUCAACUUCCUUGAGCUGCCUGCCGAAGUAGACCAUGUAUACCGGAGGCCCACAAAUCUGAGGUCCGUCAACUCAGUUUGAGUUAAACAGUUUGCAAAUUCAUCAAAAUAGGGAAUCCAAUUGGUAGAACUACCAACUCUAUCUGAGGGGUCUUUAAUUGCAUUAAAAUCCCCCCCAACCAGCCAUGCCUCAUUCUGAAAGAUAGCAUUAUAGUGUUGAAGGUCUGACCAAAGCGGUCUACGACGAACAAAAGAAUGUUGCCCAUAUAUAGCAGAAACACAACAACUGGAACCAGUAAUAUUAAACUUAAGACAGCCAUGGAUAGCUUGCUCAUUAAUAGAGAUAGGGGAGAAGGAGACAAAAUCCGGGUUCCACCCGACCCAAAUCCUCCCCCGGGGAGAGCAAUUAUAGUUCGCAACCCAUUUCCAACCCCUAAUAAGGGUGAAUGAGAUUUCAUCAAAACGGUCUUCCGGAACUUUCGUCUCGAUCAGGCCAAUAUAACAAAGAUUAUUAACCGCAACAAGGCGCCUAAUUUCCGCACGCCUUAACGGAUCGAUAAUACCCCUAAUAUUCCAGAAUCCAAAAAACAUCCAAAAAACAUGGAGGAAAUGGCUUACCUCUUCCUAGCGGUCUUGGAGCCCUUAACAGGCUUCUUCGCACCAACAGGGAGAGGCGAAUCUUCCAGCAGCUUAGCAAGCUAAUGUUGCAGGCUUUCAGUCAAGUGCAGAUUCGGUUUAAUGCUUGUGGGUUCUUCAACAUUCGAAGGGUCCUCAUCAGAGGAAUCAUGAACACUUGAAUUACAAAUAUCUUCAGAGGUCUCUUGGACCAUAGAAGGAUCCGAUCCAGGAGGGUCAGCCACAGUAGGAGAUUGAGCGUUUGGGGACUGCAACUCUACUUGAGAGCCUUCUUCUUGGAUAAUAGUGUCACUCUUUUGCACCUGACCUUCCUCCGUAAUAGGCGAUAAGCCGAAGGAUACCGUGGAGUUCGCCGCCCUUCGAGCAGCCUCAGCAGCUUCUCUUGCUGCCUGUUUCUUCCUUUUUUUUUUUGGUCUUUCGUUUAAUCUACUUCCAGCCCAUCUCGGCAUUCUCAUGCUCAAUUAAAUCAGCAUUGAUCAGAUGAUCAUUCUCAGCUGGGCGAGAAGGCACCAUACAAUGAGUGCUUGAUUCUCCAAUGAACAGAGAUCUUGAAAUAUCAGUACCAGCAACCGUAUCUGCAGAAACCAGGUCUCGCCUAGGAGCGUGAGAGCUAUCAUCCUUUUGCUCAUAUGAGGUCGGAACAACCACUUCCUUCCCCUUGGUGGAUACCGACUUAGGCUCAGAGUUCGCUUUAGAAUUAGAUUCUGAAUGAUCCACAUUAGCAUCCUCUACUGCAGAAGGAGCAAGAACAGGAACAAUAUUUUUGCAGCUAUGGCCAAACAUUCCACAUUUGGUGCAGACUAAUGGCCUCCAUUCGUAUUCAACUUCAACCACAUCUGUUUUCCCUUCCGUAACCAAGUCUAUAGACUCGUACAAGGUCUGCUGAACCGUUAUUUCAACACACACACGGGCAAAUGUGAGCAUAGACAUCUGCUCCGUUCUUUGGUCAACAUACAAAGGUCUGCCAACAGCACUAGCUACCUUUCCAAUCGCCUGGGCUGACCAAUACGCAAAAGGAAGGUUCCUUAAUCUCACCCAUAUCGGAACAGCCAUGUGAGUGUCUCUCUUAAGUUCAACUCCCGGCUGCCAUUGCUGCAGUAUAAAGGGGAUUCUCGCCAUGGUUAUAGGACCGCCUUCCAGGAGUUUCCUCCUGAAAUCCUUAUUAGGGAUCCAUAGGAGAAACAAUCCCCUUCCGUUAGACAGGACUUCAACCAAUGCUGGUCCCCAAGCUCUCUUGAGGGACUCUUCAACAACGUUAAACGGUAACUUUCUACCGAUAAAAUAGCCAACAAGACAGUCAUAUAGCUUUGGAUCCGCAGCCUGCAAGUCAGAUUCAUUCAUAUGCACGACUGGUUUGUCACUUACAAUCUGAGGAGGCGAGAAUUCCAGAUCAUAGCCUUUGUUAGCAGCACUAGCUACGGAAGCCCAUGAACGAGGAGCAGGCUUUCUUGAUUCGCCCCUUGAGCGGGGUCGAACAGAUUUAGAUCUACCCCUGAAAGCCGAACGUCCUCUACGAGCUACAUUGGACGGUCGUGAAUUCGCAAUACCAGCAGAAGCAGACGGGACAUUACGAUUCUCCACAGCCAAAGAGGGAACAACCGAAGGAAGACGGUCAGUUCUAGGCGAGGAGCCACUUAAUCGGUUCUGCAUCGGAUCAUCCAUCACAGCAGAAUUUGCAGACAACAGAUCGCAAACCCUAAUCCAUCAGCUUCAGAUUAAUCCGUAAAUAGGAAACGUACCCGGAGCUUCUUGGAAGGGGUUUGUAGAGCAGCGAAAGGCACCCCUUGACAUCUUUUUGUUUGAAUCAAGCUCCGGCAUUAAAUUAGUGUUUGGUUGAGCUCAAAUCUUGUUUUAAACAUCGAGUAUGAAGUUGAGUCGAUCUCGAGUUUGGCAUUGUAGCAGCUCAGGUGGCUCAAUUAGAGACCCCUAGGCCCUAGCUGUGUUGACAUCCGAUUCGAUUAAUAAGAGUCUAUGUAUUCAUUGAAGCAAUUAAGAAUUCCGACGUGCAAAUUAUUAAGAAAUCUCAUUGCUCAAGAUUGGGUUGUGAUCUUCAUCACGCAAGUUUUAAAUCCCCUAUAAUUUUCAAUCCCUAUAUUAACCAAUAGCUUAGAUGAUAAAAGUAAAUGAACAUUAAUAAAUGUAGGAAAUCUUCAAAAGUCACCUUUCCUAGGUCCUAGCUGUAAUCUCGUGGGGGACGUAGCUUGGCUUAAAAAAUCCUUCCUGCAACUUUUCUCCGACAAAAUGGCACUCCAGUUCUCUCUCCUCAGUUCUAUGUAUUUGUUUGUUUACUGAAAAGAGGGCUUUUGCGGCAAUUUUUGUCUCAAUAUAAUUUAAUUUCGGAUAACCAUUUGACAAUUGAAAAAAUCCCUCGGCCGAUAAGAAAUUUUUAAUAUCAAAUGUCCACCUUUGCGUUUUUCAUAUAUUAACUUGGAGUGUACAAAGAGAGAUCCUCGAUAAUUUCAACUUUUUUGAUUAAUUGGUAAAUCACUAAGUUCCGUCAUGCUAGUCUCUCUCAACAAGUACUUCUUAUCAUUUAAAAAAAAAAAGUUCCACUUUUAUUUCUCACAACUUCAAUUCUUAAAUUUUUUCAAUUUUCCUAGAUCUUUAAUUGAAAAAUUAACCCAAUUUCAUUCCGGUUAUCAUUAUAUAUCAUCAACAUAAACUAAACAAUCACGAUAAAUGAAUGUCCUCUCCUUGAAGUAAAUAGGGAAUAAUUAAAAAAAUCAACAAUUGUUAACGUCUGAGAAAUUAAAAAGGGAAGAAGAUCCGUCAGGUUUUCCAGUUCUUGCGUUUCUAGCAUUCGGUCCUCUCUACUUCCUCUCUCUCUCUCCCUCCAACCCUCGAGCCGAGCUGCACCGCCUGGUAGCGGCCUUCGACCGCUACCGCCGCAUCUACACCGUCGGGCCACCUCGGCGUUCAGCAGCAGCGCCGCCCCUCUCUCCGCCUCCUCCGAACACAAACCCCACCCCCGGGCAAAAAAAAAAAAAAAAACAAACCCCUAGUUCCCUCGCUUCGGUUCUCCGGGAUUGCGUGAAGAUGGACGAGGACCAGGAGAUGGAGAGGUUUGGGAUGGAGAACGAUUACGACGACGGGCAGUGGAUCGACGGGGAGUUCUACUACCGGCGGCGAAGGGAGAAGCGCGCCCAGACCAAGGGCGACGUGCUCUACGGCGUCUUCGAUUCGGACUACGACGAGUCCUCCAAGAGGAAGCGGAGGAAGAACAGGGACCUCCUAGGUAACGCCGAUUCGUCGAAGCCCGUGAAUUUCGUGUCCACCGGCACGGUCAUGCCGAACAGAGAGAUUGACGAGAACUCGAUGACAGAGAAUGAGGAUGAAGAAUCCGCUGUCGUGGAUGGGGAUAGGCCGGGCUUGGGGGUCUUGAGAAGAACCAACAAGGGAUAGUGACAUUCAUUGAAGCAAAGUUGCAUCCUAAGAAUAUGGGUGUGGGUUUCAACGACUUACAAGGAAACUCUUGCAAAGGCACCUGUUGCCUCGUUGGGGCCAGAGGAAAAGAAGCCAUCACCUGACGUGCCCGGUAAGGAGAAGCUUUGGUCUAAGCAAGCGAAGAAGAAGACGCUGAAAAACAAAGCGAAGUAUAUUACGGCAGAAGAACUGUUGGCGAAGGAGCGGGAACAGGGCGUUGAAGUUGUGCAAAAGGUACUCGACAUGCGCGGACCUCAGGUUAGGGUGUUACCAGACUUGGAGAAGCUGAAUGCAGAAGAGAAGGCGAGGGAGAGUGAUGUUCCUAUGCUCGAGCUCCAGCACAAUACAAGGUUGAUUCUGGACCUGGCUGAGUUGGAUAUUCAGAAGAUCGAUGGGGACCUGAGGAAUGAGAAGGAGACAGCUCUGAGCUUGCAAAAAGAAAAAGGAGAAGCUGCGAGCUGAGGCAGAACUUCAGAAGAAACAACUGAAUAACAUGAAGGAAAUAAUGAAUACGCUAGCCAAAUCUUUUGGUGACAUGCAAAGAAGGUUUCCUGGCGAUUAUACACAUUGUAACUUAUCCUGCAUUGCUUGCUCAUUCGCACUCCCUCUGUUUAUCAGAGUAUUUCAGGGAUGGGAUCCUCUUCGCAAUCCCUCACACGGGUUGGAAGUUUUGAGGUGGAAAUCUCUUUUGCAAGGACAGGAAUGUCUUGAUAUAUGGCAUUUAGGAUCCCCUUGUACCCAGUUGGUUUCAGAAGUUGUCUCGCUUGCUGUGAGAGGCAUUGACACUUUUUGCGAGCGGUUGGACCACUGGCCCACUGCUAGAUCCCACUCAAAAGUGAAUUAAUAUAAUCUCAAGCAAAAGUUAUAAUGGUCCAACAUAGAAAUAGUGAAUUGAUCCAACUCACUUUUUCUGAGAUCAUAAUAUACAGUAUUUAGUCUAGUUGUUACGUUGCCCAUGCCUUUGCAAAUACAAAAAUUUUCCUUAAAUAAAAAAGUAAAAAACUUGUAAACAAUCUAAGUUAUUAAUUUUUUUCCCCGGUUCGCCAUCUAAUAUUGAUGAUGCUUCGAACUUUAUUAAUUAGAAAACAUCUUUGUGGCGUUGUAUGAAAUCAUAUCUACCCAAAAUGUGAGCGCCAAAAACCUAACAGCCACCGGGAGGGCCAUGGCGGCUCUAGUAGGUAAAGAGCUCAAUAAUCCAACAACUGAGCUAUGCACAUGAAACAAGGGAAGCACAAUCAGGGUAGUCUAACUUUGUUAGUUUGUACACACACUUGAUGUUCUGAACCAAUGAUGCCAAAUUGCGCUGAGUUAGCAGCAUGCAAUUGGGGCGACCCGUAGCGUCGGAGGUGUGCCAAGAGCUACAUCUGAGGGAUCAUUGACAACUUUGGACAUUGAGCCAAGGGACAUUGAGCCAAGGCUCGGCUCUACAUCGGUCGAAGAGAGUGAUUUUGGAAUCGGUGGACUGAAGCUUGGCGGUUGGGUGGUGGAUGUUAAGCUUGGAAGCAGCGGAUUGAGCCCAUCGGUUUCCUUCUUGCGGUGUCAAUAGAAGCUUCGGUUCCGAGUCGGAAAGGUAGAACUUGAACUCCUUAGCUGUGUAGUUGGGGUUGAGCGGAGCUGCAGCGACUCGGCAACGGAUUACAGCCGGGAAACAGCAUCACAAACUGCAAAACGAACACGUAUUUCCAAAUUAGCAAACUGCCCCACUAGUCCGUGCAGAUUGGAGAUAUACAUAUGCAGAAUGUGCAGACAACUAGUUUGUCAUCGUUUGAUUGCAUUAAACCAUCCAUCUCCUUUAGAUAAGCUUUGACUUUGUUUUACGAUGAAGCGUUGCUUAUACAUCCCAAAAAAACAACCUUUGGACGCGACAGAAAAGGCUCUUCAUGCUCUUUCCAAUUCAAUUUGUUCCUGCUCAAUUGGCACCACGCGCUUGCAGAAAUUUCACGCCUCAGAUUCUUUUUUCUUUUUUCGAGCUAUUUCCCACUCGAUCUUUCAUAAACAAUCGAUCUCAUCAUUAGAAAUUUAUUGUUACCGCAAUCUUCUUGAUAUUGCAUUCUCGAAUUUAUACAGCUUCAUCAAGGAAAUUUCUGCAUUUGAAUUGUUGGAUGCAAAUUGCGCAACCCCAAAUCUUCAUAACCAGACAAAAACAUGCAUAAUUGAGUAGAAAGAUUAAUGCACCUGAGAUCCAUCGAACAUAAAACGGAAGCAGGAAAAAGGAAUUACCCACAGGGGAUCCACAAAUCAAGUCAUUCUCCUCUAUUACCCUCCGUAUUACUGGCUCAAUGAGGUGGCCCUCACGUUUAGCAUUAGGUAAACGCUCCUUAAAUGAGGACAUGUAGCGUUAGGUUAACGCUCCUUAGGUGAGGACAUGUGAGAAUUAGGGUUAGAUAAGAGACUUGACCACUAUUUAUAGAGUUUUCAACCAGUUCCCCUCAUUACGGGCCAGGCUCAACUCGGUCCACAUUAGCCAGUUCCAUAUUAGACUAAUUAAGAAACCUUCUAUCUCACUUUAAACCAAAUCUCAUAAAACGAUAAACGUUAAACGGUAAAUUAUAAUAUCAAUUAAUGUAGUCCACAAUUAGGAAAGCUCUUACAUGGAUUCCCAUCAUCACACAAACUGAAAACAUGCGACGUCGUACUUGCGAGGAGAUUCAAUGAUCGGGGGACAUAGAUAUCUCCAGUCGGGGAAAUCCGACGCCACCUUCUUCAACAGGCUCGCGAGACGGAGUCCCUCCUUGGCGAGAUCGCUAGGCUGAAGCUUCAGAUUCAUGCCAUACGGCAUGGAAUUCAGAUUCCGCAAGGCAAUCCGGGGGAGGUGGCGGACGUGGCUGCUCUGUUGCAGGUUUUGCAGGAGAGGAAUUUAAUCCCGGAGAGUGGUUGAGCGCGAGUCUGAUGCUACUGGAGAAGAGAGAGGAGAAGAAAACUGUAGUGGAGGAGGAGAGAGAUGAAGAUUGGGGUUUUCUGUGGCGAUUUUGAGAGAGGUGAGAAAGAAGGGAGAGAAAAAUAAAAACGGUUAUUUUUUUUAUUAUCCGAAUUGAAAAUAAUGCAUGAAAUUUCAGUUAAGUUGCAUUCUAACACCCCUAUUAUAAAUGGACAGCACUAGCGUCGUUAAAUGAUUUUGAAAACAUUCGUGAAAAGAAUCUAGAAUUUAGUUUUCCAUAGAGGAACAAUGGGAUUGACACUAGACUACUCAAGAACACAAGCUAGUAUUGCUGGAAGCCCAGAUGGGAAAGGGCAGUAUGGAAAUAAGUCUCUCUAAGGGAACUGGGACGUCACUUUGUAUAGCAGCAGAACUUCUCAGGCAGAAACAUUGGCAAAUUGGCAGUUUCGCGAGCAUUUUGAAUGAUGCAGGACAUAUAGCAGAGGAUGUGAAAAUGAAGCCUUACAUAUCCAAGAAUUUAUUUACUGUUCAUGAUGCUGCUUCUGCUAUCACAAUUCGAACCUUAAAAGAUCGGAUGAAGCAAAGAAAGGUAAGGGACCACUUUAUUGAGCUAAAUACUGUGCAUAACACAUAAUACCUUGGUAAAAAGAAAAACAGGACAUCAGGUUAAGAUCUCGACAGUAGAGGGAAAGCAAGUCGCACCUUUGAUGUAAAGGUUUCUUCUCGAUACGUAGAGCAAGCACCCUCGAGUUUUCCUGUUUAGAAAGCUCGUCGAUGAAAACCUUCAUUUGUACAACCUGAUUACAAACAACAGAAAGGAUUAAGGAAAUUUAUAAAUAACAUGUCAAAAAAGCUAUAGAAAAUAAUGGUUUAAAGGAUAUGCAUACCGAGAGGUUGCUAUUACGAAACAGAUUGAGAGGGCAACCAACCACAAUUCCAAAUAGUGAUAAUUCAGAUAUAUGCAUAUAUACAAGGAAAUAAGAACCCAAUCAAGCCCCAAGUAGAAACGUGUCCAAGACAAUUUGUCACAAAACUAACACUAUACUACUACUAUUAAUAUUACAACAGGGGGCGUGCCAAAAAAUAGAAAAGAAAUAAAAACAUGAGCCCAAAAACCGAGACUGAACUGCUGGGCUGGCCCCAUUUUUUGUGCUAAAAUAGUCACAAGCCGGGCCACCAUAUCUCAAAAUAUCUUUCAAUUCGACCCAAUAUAAGCAAUUUGGGUUUCAGUUAAAGCUUAAAAGGCCCAUACCCGCCCAGUUCACAAAUUAGAAACAAUGUCUCAUUUUCCUUCUCUCCGGGGCUUUGUCAUCUUACCUUUUCAUGAAUAUUUAGGUCUUGACCUGUCUCAUUCUUUCUUCUCUCACGCUUAACGAGUCAUCGAGCCCCCACCAAGUCGCCACUGCGGCAUCAUCGAGCCCCCACUGUGCGGCCAUUGAGCCCCAACACUCACCAUAUGCCCACCCGGUCAAUCGCAGUCUCUCUAUCUAUCUCGGCUCUCCGCUCCCCCACUCUCUAGCAGCAAAACAAGUUCUUACUAGCCUGUUCUGAUGUCUUCAAAGUUUUUGGUUUUAGGGCAUGCUACUUGAAUUUUUUUUAUGGAAUGUAAAAACAAAAACAAAAUAAACUAAACAAUUUUUUUUUUCUAAUUUUAGAUUGCGUGUGAUCCUAUUGAGUCUAGGCCAAAUGGCAUGGCUUUGAUUCGAGCCAGGUCCUUAGGCUAGAAUAUUCUAAGCCACAUAUUUUUGGACGGGCCAAAAAAUUGACAAAAUCCCACUAGGCCCGCAUUUUAACUCAUUCAUAAAAAGUGUGCUAACUCAAUAUAAAUUUGGAUACACUGCACUAGCGAAUCUAAAUAAUCGAUACAAUGCUAAAAAAAAAGUGAUGACAUGAAUGCACUAAAUAACUUCGUUUGGGAGCACAUGGGACUUGCCAUAUAGUUAUUACUAUCAGUUACCCUAAAUAUUUCAUUUAAUUCAUGUAAUUUCAUAAUUUACUACUACAUUCUUCUUCUUCUUCUUUUUUAUGUCUUUAGCUCAUCGAUAAAGCAAACUAAGCAACUUCCGCUCAUCGCUUCAUUCAGUUAAACCAGUCGUGGGUCGGUCUAUCGAUACAUAGCAUCCAUCAUGUAACCUCACUGGCGUCCUACCGUUCCUCAAACCCCUCGUUGCUCAUUUUGAAAUUGUUCCUCAAACCCCUCAUUGCUCAUUUUGUCACUUCGCUUCAGUGUCUUUUUGUCAAGCAUCUUGGCCUUGGUCACUAAGCAACUUAAUUCAGACUGUAAUGAAUAUAAAUAUCUCCAUAGGAUUCUCAAUCGAUUGUCCUAAACCAAUUGUGAUAAAGUCUAUUAUGCAUGAUUCAGAUUUCCACGACAUCUUUUCAAUCAUUAUUUCCUAAUCUGAAAAGAAGAGCGUAAAUUUCUUACAAGAAAAAGUGAAAAAAUCAUGGAACUUGAAAGUUGAGAGGAUUGCAUCCCUCGUCAAACUAGAAGAACAUGAAUAAAAUGAAAUUCAAAUUAAACUACUCUUAAAAUAUAACUACCGUUGCAGCAGAAACAAAUGAUGACCACAGCAUCAGAAAAGGUCAUCACCAAAGGAUUAAAAUCCAGUCCAAGUUUGGGGCAAGGGCGAUUCCUUCACAGAUUGUAUAAGUGCAUAGAUCAAUGGCGAUUCUGACCCUCCAUUCUUUGCAUUCUUUGCAUGCAGAUCUUGCGUUCCUUCACAACAGAAUACACAUUCAAAACUCUGUUCAUAUAGAACACUUUAACUUGAACCAGAGACAUCAGCAAGCCACGAGACAACAAUUUUCAUGUCAUGCGUCGAUCAUACGAGACGAGAAUCCUAACACCAUUUGACAAACUAUCAUCCUAUUCCAACAAGGUCGGCCAUAAUAAAGGUUUGAUAAGUUAGAACAAAUCGAAUUUAUGUAAUAUCAUUUUGCGGUUCUAGGAUUGAAUCGAAUUUACAUACUGAUCUAGUUCGAGCAUUUCCUCGAACGUGAUACACAUUUCGAUUAAGGAGCUCAUACGCAAAUACAAACCACUGAUUCAAUUUCAGAUACUCACAACAACAACAUUAUUACGAGGCCGAGUUGUUAAUCGAGCUUCAAUCUCAACUGAUUUACUCACAGACAUCAUUAGCUAAAGCUCACUGGCUCUGUUUCGUUUGUAAGCGGCAGAAACAGAAUGUGCGGGAGUUUUUGACCUCGAACGGUGAUCAGAUCACAAAAAAAGUUCCUGGUGGUGUCCACGUUGAUAAUCGCGAAUGGCGAAGGGGGAAAAACCAAGGGCUCGUGCACUUUUGGGCGUCCUGACCAGAAAACAGGGCAGAACGACAGUUGGCCUUGCUGCAGCGAAACCGGCGAUGGCGGAGCGGCUACAGUGGCAGCUAACGGUGUCUGAAGGACGACGGAGAAGGAGAACUGACGAAGAAGCCUCGAGAAUUCCCGAGAAAGAGAUGGCGGACGGUGGAUUCCUGGUGACGAUUAGCGGUGGAGAAUCUUCUGCAACUCGGCCGAUCGAUCGAAAGAGAUUGUGGAUCGUGGGCUGCGGUGAGGCAAAUUGUCUAGGCUGAGGCUUACUCUGAUGGGCCCGGCGCGCUCGUUCGGAAGAGGAAUCCACGAAUGGGAGCUCAGCAAGAGAGAAUUUCUUCAUCGGGUCAACCCAUUUCUAGAAGCGUCUCCAUCUUCGCUCCCACUCUGUCGCCUCGGUCCCCCCGGCAGCCACCGCCGCUCGUCCUCCAUCGCCGGCCACGACAACACUCAUGCGCUCAGCACAGAUCACACAGGGCAGAGAGGCUCAAGGAUUUCUAAACAUCCAGAGAAUUAUCUCUCUUGGCUCCUUGCUUCGUCUGUUGACCUCCAACUGACCUCCCGGAUCGCUAAACCACCAGGCCGUAGCUCUGUUAGCACCGUUCUCCGAUCAGUUUGCUUUGGCUGCUCUGAAUUUGUUCGUUUCUCCUUCGCUGGCUCCGAUCCUCAACGUCAUUGUCUCGCACAACCUCUUCCUCUGAUCCGAUCGUCCUUCGUGCAUCAGAUAAAAUGAACACUAUAAUCUUCCUUCUUCGUUCUUAGCUUCGUGAAGAGAGACCCAGGCAUAUUUGUGUGAUUUUUGUUGUUCAAAUUUACUGCUGGCGUGUCAAUGCGCGCACUAUAAGUGCUUUGUAUGAUCCAUCGCAUGAAGUGCUCACUGUGACAUGUUCAUAUUAAUAAUCUGAAUCUCAAAUCAAUGUUCACUGCAAUGCGUGUUCGUCUGUUAGAUGGUCGAUUCUUGUUUAGUUCUCCCUGCCAAAAAUCUUGCAAAGAUGAUUCCAUCUACAUCUAUGUUAUUUUGGCGGUUUCUGGAUUAAUGUUCCGUAUGUUAGAGGAUCAAGAGCUCCAUCCUACUCUGCUACAUCAAGAGUCAGCCACAGGGGAUCCUCAACUCUGGUAGAUGUAGAUCACCAAAAGACUAUCGUGAAGUAAAUAAGCUGAAGACAUGGAUAACCAGUCUUAUCAACGGUGGAGAUUUUACAAUGCCGAAGACGUGGAUUGCCAAGUCUUAGGAUUUGUCAAGACUGCUAUUCUGUUAUAAAUAGCUGUAAAAGUUUGUUAGUUUGUGUCGGUUAGUUCGUUUAGUCUGUUAUUAGUUUUCCAGCUUCUCUCUAUAUAUAAAGAUAGAAUUGAGCUCAGGAAAAGGUGUGAAGAAGAGAGGAGAGGGAAGAACAGGAGAUUCAAUAUUGAUCUGUUGUAUUUGAUUUCUCUUUGUUCAAAACUUGGAUACAAUGAACUAAGAAUUGAAUACUUCUUGUUCAGAUCCUUUUGCAACUCUAUCGAGUUUAUUCUCUAUCAUCAUCAUCAUUCCUCAUCUUCAUCUUCUGCAUUCUUGGAUUCUCAAUUUCUCAUGGUAUCAGAGCAGAGAGCAUCUGAAUGAAGAGAUCCGUCCAGUAAUAAGUUCUUGCAUCAAGACAGAAGAGAUGAACGAACAAUGAAGCUCUCUGGAUCAAGGUAAUCACAUAAGAGCUCAUAGUAUUACUGUUGUCAUCUUCUUCAAGCUAAAGGAUCGUAAUAAUGGCAAUUAGAACUCCAAAGUACCCUUUUCCGAUACAUAUGAAUAUCUCGAAUUUUGUCACAAUCAAACUUGCUGAAGACAACUUCCUAUUGUGGCAAGCUCAAAUUCAAAGGUUUUUGAAAAGUCAAGAUCUUUUUGGUUUUGUUAAUGGAGACAUUCUUUCACCUCCUCGAAUGCUGCAAAGAGAGGAUGAAGGUUGUGAAACUGAUCUUAUCAAUCCAGAUUACACUGAUUGGACUAGAACAGAUCAGUUGAUUUCAUCAUGGAUCUCUGGAGCUGUUACUGAAAACAUUAUGAGCUUGAUAAUCGGAUUAGAAACAUCAUCUGAAGUAUGGCAAACCCUUCUGAAAAGGUUUACACAGAAGUCAAUUGCUAGAGAGUUCGAACUAAGGGGAAAACUGCAAUCAUGCCAAAAGCAUGAACAAACCCUUGCUGUUUAUCUCAGGGAAUAUAAAUCCAUAUGUGAUCAGUUGAAUGCAAUAGGCAAACCAGUGGAUGAAAUAACCAAAAUGUUUGGUAUAUUGGAAGGUUUAGGUCCUGAGUAUGAAAACUUUCGAACUACCAUAUAUUGUUUAAAGCCUCAGUAUGAGUAUGAUGAGGUUAUUGCCCAAUUAGAAAGGUUUGAAUCAAGGCUCAAGUCCUUCUCCAGGAAUCAAUUCAACCCGAAUUUGGCCUAUUUUGGACAAAGACAGUCUCAGAUACAGUCUAAAGAUACCACAAAUGAAGAUUACAUCUCUCAAGCUUCUGGAUUUAUAUCUCAAAGAGGAGGUUACAGAGGUGGUCGAAGCUAUGGUCGUGGCAGAGCUGUAAACAAUAGAGGUCGUGGUUUUGAAAGAUAUCAGAAUUACAGAACAGAUAUCUUAAAUCCAGGACAAGGAGAUCAACACCCCAGACAGAGAAAUGUUAUCUCUACAACAAAUCAAGGAUUUAGACCCUACACCACUUACUCACAAAGGUGCCAAAAUAUCAAAACUUAUCCAUAUGUAAACUCAAAUAAGAACUUACAGGAUGAGAAAGAAACAAGUAGCAUUCGACUCGAAUGUCAAAUAUGUAAAAGAUCUGGACAUGAUGCUCUUCGCUGCUGGUAUCGGUUUGACAAUUCCUAUCAAGCAGAAGAUAUUCCAGCAGCAUUGACGGCAAUGCAUAUUGAAGACUCAACAGGAAGUGAGUGGUAUCCUGACUCUGGAGCUACAACUCACAUCAGUGCCAAUCCUGGUAUGCUCCAUACCCUUUCUAAAUAUCGAGGACAUGAUACUGUUAUGAUAGGCAAUGGAUCAUGUUUACCUGUAACUCACAUUGGCAACACUUGGCUGAAAACAAAGAGUAGUACAUUACCACUUAAUGAUGUCCUAAUUGUCCCAGAGAUAAAGAAGAAUCUUCUUUCAGUAUCUAAGCUCACAGAUGACUAUCCUUGUUCUUUUAUCUUUGAUAAAACUGGUGUUUAUGUAAAGGACAACAAUACCAAAAUAAUGGUGAAGCUCGGAAGGAAAACUAGAGGGCUUUAUCAAGCUAAUCCACAGACUACAGAAGCCUUCUUUACUCAGCGGCAAAAGACAGUCGAUGAAGACACAUGGCACCAGCGAUUGGCUCACACAAAUACACAAGUAGUUAAACAUUUGCAGAAACAUAAGCUUAUACAAUUUGAUUCACCAUCUAAGAAUGUAUGCAGCAGCUGUCAAAUAGCUAAAAGUACAGCUCUAUCGUUUCCUUUAUCGGAUUCUACAUCAAGCUUUCCAUUAGAAAGAAUUCAUUGUGACAUUUGGGGACCCUCACCAGUCUGUUCUUUUCAAAAGUUUAGAUACUAUGUGAUUUUUGUUGACAGUUUUUCUCGAUACUGCUGGUUAUAUCCUAUGAAGUUGAAGUCUGAGUUCUAUGACAUAUUUGUUCAAUUCCAAAAGUUAGUUGAACGACAGUACAAUCAUCAGAUUAAAAUCUUUCAGAGUGAUGGAGGAGGAGAGUUCGUAAGCAACAGAUUCCAAACUUGUCUAAGACAUCAUGGAAUAAGACAGCUUAUAUCAUGUCCUCACACACCAGAACAGAAUGGGGUCUCAGAAAGGAAGCAUCGACACAUCGUAGAACUGGGAUUAGCUAUGCUAUAUCACUCAAAAGUUCCACUAAAAUUUUGGGUGGAUGCAUUUGUGACAGCUAGUUACAUCAUAAACAUUCUUCCCACACCAAAGCUGAAGAUGGACACACCCUAUAAUAAACUUCAUAAUAGACAGCCAAGGUAUGAUCAUUUAAGGGUGUUUGGCUGUGCAUGCUAUCCUUGUUUGAGACCAUAUGCUGUCGCGACCUCUUUUUUUCUGGCGCCCGCAAUCGGGUACGAGCGCCUAAGGAGGCUAAUGGCUCGGCUGAAUUUAUUAAGCCUGGACUCUCCCAAGUCCACCAAUUCACGACUUUAAUAAUUUGAGUUUUUAACCCAUAAAUCAAUUUUUAAAAUGGAGUCGCCACUAAUCGAUUUGAGGUGGGUUGAUUAGAAACCCAAGUGAAGUAUCGGGAGAAAUACUCACUUCUGCGCAACUAGAGAAAUUAGGAUCGGGGACUUGAUUACACUAGUUAAUCACUAAUGCCAUUUCGGUACCUAAUCUUGUUUAAACCCUAAGGCUUUUUGGAUUUUUGAGAGAUUUUCCAUGCAUUUUUGGGAGGAAAAACAUUUUUUGAGUAUUUUUCUCAUUUUUUUUGGACAUAAAAGGGAUUUUUGGUAUUUUUGGUAUUUUUUGGAAAAUAUGGAAUAUUUUUGAUUUUUUUGAUUUUUUUUCUUUUCUCGGAAAAUAAAAUAUUUUUAAAUAUUUUUUCAAAAUAUUUUUGGAAAAUAAAUUAUUUUUUGAUUUUUCUCGAUUUUUUAGAAAAUAAAACAUUUUUCGACAUUUUUAAAUAUUUUUCGAUUUUUUGGAAAUUAAAACAUUUUUUUAUUUUUUAUUUAUUAAAAUAUUAUUUUUAUAUUAAAAUAACAAAAUAAAACCGACCCGGGUCGGAUCCGCGGGUUGGGUCCGACCCGGGUCGGCGACCCAAAUGCGGACGGGCCCGCGUUGCGGGCUCGACUCGGAUUUUUCAUCUUUUCUUUUUUCUUUUUUUCUUUUUUUUUUAAAAACGACGCCGUGGCCGGGCGUUUGGGGACGCCCGGCCCAGCCCGACGACCCGGGUCCACGACCCGCUCCGCGACCCGACUCCCUGCGAACCCUACCCGACCCGGAUCCGAAUUCACGACCCGGCUUCCGCCGCCCCGGAAUCUCGCGAAACCCUACCCGGUUCCGAGGUGUUUGGCGGCGACGGCGACUAUGGCGGCGACGUCGAAGGUGACAACGGCGGCGGCAACCACUGCAGCCACGACGGCGGUGACAACGUCGACGGCGACGACGGCUAGGUCAACGGAAAACGGCUGCGAUGAACAAUAACGCCCCCCUUUUUACCUUCUCUCGGAUGGGGACGGCGACGGCAGGAGAGCAGUUCGCGAUGGUGGAGGCGACGACGGCAGCAACUCAGCUUCCCGAUCUGGCGCGGCUUCGGCGGAUCGAUCACGGUAAUGGCUCCGCGAGGUGAGGCACGACAACAAGCCGUCGAAGCAACGGCGUCGGGACUGAGGUGAACGGUUGCAGCACGGCGUUCGGCGGCAACAACAGCAGCAAAAAAAACCAGAUCUACUGCGUAGAUCUCGGCCGGACCCUCCUCGGCCUUGAUUCCUCCUCACUUAGGCCAGAUCCGAGCCUCCACAGGCCGGAUCUGACCUUCUCGAAGUCACUCGCCGCCUGCCUUCCCCGAAGUCUCUCGGUGGAAGGUGGGCUAAGCUCGCGACCCGAGCUCUCUCCUGCGCUCGCCCUUCAACCCUUCCCGAUGUCUCUCAGUGAAGGAUUUCCGAGCUCGCCACACCCUCCGACGAUGCUUGCGACCACCUAUUUAUAGGCGAAGGAACUCCGGUCGACAGAGGGGCUCGGUUGCCGGCCUCCGGCUUGCCCACCGGUUCUGCUCGGCCGAACCGGUGUCCCAUCGAGCUUUCCAGCGAAGCUCGCUCAGCAUUGAUGGCGCCUGCGAUCUUAUCCCCUCCGGCCGACGUCGCCCUACACUCCUCGGCCGUAGGCCGUCCUUGGCGCGCGUCGCCGGCCAUCGCGCGUGAGAUGCAAGCGACUGAGGAAGAAGAAGACAGGAGGAAGAAGAAGAGAGAAAAGGGGCCGGGCCAAGGGUGAAGGAAAAUGGGCCACAUGGGCCACGCGGAGGGGGAAGAGAAAGGGAAAAGAAAAAAAGGGCUGGGCUUUUGUUGUUUUUUUUUUGUUUGUUUAUUAAUUAUCUUAUUUAUCCGAAAUAAAAUAAAAACUUAAUUAAAUAAAAUUAACCUAAGUAAAAUUGAGGUGUCAACAGCUGCCCCUCUUUGAAGGUGAGCUCGCGGAGGUUGCAUUCAAAGACAGACUGAUGCCUCAAUUUUAUCCAUACAUGCAUAGCAGAUUAUAUUUUAUUUGGGAUCUAUUAUUCUAUGUAGGAAAAGAGCAAUAUAACUUUACAUAUACUAAGACAGAUAAGAAGAUACCUGUAGUUACUUACCGGGAGUGAGUGAGAUAGGGUGUGAACCCCGAGUUUUGGCAAGUAUCAAGGCGUCAUCUUACCUGGUGAUAUGAGGAGGUUGCUUUUCCAGGGCUCGAACCAUUCUUCGGUUACCUGUUAAAACAAUCAAUGAUUUUUCUAGGGCCCGAACCUUUCUUCGGUCGCCUUGACGGGAGACUGCUCUUCCAGGACCCAAACCAUUCUUCGGUCGCCGUGACAGGAAGUUGUUUCUCCAGGACUCGAACCAUUCUUCGGUCGCCUGUUAAAACAAUCCAUGAUUUGUCUAGGACCCGAACCUUUCUUCGGUCGCCUUGACGGGAGAUGCACCGACCUUUCUCAGGGCAUCUCAUUUGUGGGUGCCUGAUUUGUAUCAAGGACACCAGUUGGAACCCGACCUUUCUCGAGAGGAUGCGCCGACCUUUCUCAGGGCAUCGAUUUGUGGGGCGUCUGACUUCUGUCGAAGACACUAGUUGGAACCCGACCUUUCUAGGGAGAUGCGCCGAUCUUUAUCAGGGCAUCGAUUUUGGGGGGCGUCUGACUUCUGUCGAAGACACCAGUUGGAACCCGACCUUUCUCGGGAGGAUGCGCCGACCUUUCUUAGGGCAUCGAUUUGUGGGGCGUCUGACUUCUGUCGAAGACACCAGUUGGAACCCGACCUUUCUCGGGAGAUGCGCUGAUCUUUAUCAGGGCAUCGAUUUUGGGGGGCGUCUGACUUCUGUCGAAGACACCAGUUGGAACCCGACCUUUCUCGGGAGGAUGCGCCGACCUUUCUCAGGGCAUCGAUUUGUGGGGCGUCUGACUUCUGUCGAAGACACCAGUUGGAACCCGACCUUUUUCGGGAGGAUGCGCCGACCUUUCUCAGGGCAUCGAUUUGUGGGGCGUCUGACUUCUGUCGAAGACACCAGUUGGAACCCGACCUUUCUCGGGAGGAUGCGCCGACCUUUCUCAGGGCAUCGAUUUGUGGGGCGUCUGACUUCUGUCGAAGACACCAGUUGGAACCCGACCUUUUUCGGGAGGAUGCGCCGACCUUUCUCAGGGCAUCGAUUUGUGGGGCGUCUGACUUCUGUCGAAGACACCAGUUGGAACCCGACCUUUCUCGGGAGGAUGCGCCGACCUUUCUCAGGGCAUCGAUUUGUGGGGCGUCUGACUUCUGUCGAAGACACCAGUUGGAACCCGACCUUUCUCGGGAGAUGCGCCGAUCUUUAUCAGGGCAUCGAUUUUGGAAGAUACCUUGGAUAUUUGUGAAGGUCUCUCACCUCUUGGUAAUGGGAAUGUCGAGGGUGUGCCCCGCUUAUUCAUGAAGGUGUCUCACCUCUUGGUAAAGGGGAAUAUCGAGGAUGUACCUGGGAUAUUCGUGAAGGUUUCUCGCCUCCUGGUAAUUGGGAAUAUUGAGGACGUACCUGAGAUAUUCGUGAAGGUCUCUCGCCUCCUGGUAAUUGGGAAUAUUGAGGACGUACCUGAGAUAUUCGUGAAGGUCUCUCACCUCCUGGUAACAUAAAUUUGAGUGUAGCACAAGACUUACCUGGAUGGCCGCAGGCACUUAAAAGGGGUGGAAAACCUGGAUAGCCACAGGUGUACAAAGUACUGGAAUACUUGGAUGAACACAAGUAUUUAAUGAUAUAACAUGGGACUACUCAGUUGGUCCAAGUGUAAGAAAGCAUACCUGGGUAGGUGCAGGCACACAAAGCAGUGGAAUGCUUGAACAGCUGAUAUUAUUUGGGGACAACUCGGGCAAGUUGAGUGUCAUGAAAAGGAAGUACCUAGACAAUAGUGGGUACUUUGAUGAUAUGGGGAUACCUAGACAGCAGUAGGUAUUCCAAGAGAUACUUGGUCAGUCACAAGUAUCAAUACUCUGGGGACAACUCGGACAGGUCGAGUGUCAGAAAAAGGGAGUAUCUGAACGGCGACCGGUACUCAAAGAUAACAGGGAUACCUAGACAACAGUAGGUAUUUAACAAUAAAGGGAUACUUGGUCAGUCACAAGUAUCAAUACUUUGAGGACAACUCGAAUAGGUCGAGUGUCAAGAAGAGAGUACCUGGACAGUGAUAGGUACUUUAAGACAAAUGGGGAUAGAGAUAUGCUUACCCGGCAAUAUCUCUGAUCUCUAAGAGUAUGUCUGCUAUUUGCAUAGUAUGCACACAUGAUUGUAUAUGCUGUAAAUUCAUGAGUUCAAAUGAGAUUCAUGCAUGAUAAUUUUGUCAGUUUUGCAUCAUCUGAGUUCCACUGGGGAAGAUUUUGAAAGACAACCUUCAUUUAGAAUGUAGAUGUCUUGAGCAUGCCAGACGAGGGACUUUCAGUCUGAAAGGACUUUCCGCUCACUCUCAUGGAAAAGGCUAUCCUGACCAUUGAUGCAGGAUUUAUAAGGACCACACUAUCUCACUGUCAUCAUGUCAGCAGGGGUCUGAGUAUUCUCGCAAACAGUACGACUUUACCAAUGUGAGAGGUCUUUGUUGAAAUUGUGAUGAAGACUUGGUCAAUAGCUCAUCAAAUGGGACCGUCGAGGUCAAGGCUCAUGAAUGAAGUGCCGCACGAUCAUCUCCAGGUUUGCAAGUCAAGAGUCCUGCGAAAAGAGAUAGAAUAGUCUUGCUCGUACUUCUUCGAGCGAUGCUUAUAGACAUAUGAAAUCCUACGUUAAUUGAAGUGCCCCUAGUCUGAAGAGACUUUUACAAUGGGAUGCAAUGUAGGAUUGAUUCAUGUGUAAAAGGGUGAGAGCUGGUGAUUGUCUUGGCAUUUGUCACCAGUCUUCCUUCUCACUGUCAAAUGGAGGCUCUAUCAAUUGAACCACAACAACAACUUUUCUUAACUGUAUUUUUUACUGGGGGGCAUUGGCCUUGCUUUUACCAGGCACACUGCUUUUUUCAUGCCCCUAUUUUUAUUCCAGUUCUCCAUUCAUGGACAUUGACCUUGCUUUUACCAGGUACACUGCUUUUUUAUGCCCCUGUUUUUUCAUUCUUGUUGCUUGAGAGCUGAUCUUGACAAGUUCAAGCAAAUGCCUUUGUUAGACUAUUGAGUCUUCAUCUUUUGCCGGCGCUUCUGAUUAUGCUGCUCAAACAGCAGUGGCUUUUGCUUUGCCUCCAUGUGAGGGUGAAUUUACAAACUCAAUUGAGUUGUACAAUGGAUACAAGUGUAUAAAGAAAGAGCUGCUCUUCAUGACUCUAGGGCACUUAAAUUAACGCGAGUGUUCAUAUGUAAUAAAGACACUCAAAGAUUGAUGCAAGUGCAAGCAAGAAAAUUUCUAUCUCUCUUCUCACCUUGUGAUGCUGCUUUGUCUCCAAUCUGCCCCAGUGUGGGGUGGUUCUUGACGGGGGUAUGAAAGAAACUUCACCAAUGUAUGGGGCUCAAUGGGGUGAGCGAUGGAAUGCCUCUCACUAUUUUGGUUAUCGUACCAUUCGCGAGAGAACUCUUUGCCCUGCAGUCAUGGAAUCUUCUGCACUCAUCUCACAAGUGUAUAGAUGGGGGACUGUGUGUAGGAUAUGGCUUGUCUUUCAUCAUUCUGACGUGCCUUACCCAGCACGCUCAAUUAAUCUUGUAUUAUUCACUUAGCUGUCUAUUCUAAUAAUUCUCAGUGGAAUCAGUGAUUUAGACAGACAAAAUCAUCAUGCAUAAUUCAUCUGGAAACGACAUGCAACAUUUUGAAUAUGAUGGAGUUUGAACUCUUCAAAACAAGUGAAUGGUUUUGACUCGCAAAAGACCCUAUUGACAACUUUAGGGGCUAACAUAAUAGUGUUUCCAAAUAUGUUAGAUUUUGAACAUCAAAAGGGUUAUUUGCAAAUGGACGUCGAUGGUUGUCCCUAUUGAUUAGGAAUAUGACACAUGAAUGAUCAGUCGGGGUUGGGAAUCUGAUCGGGCAUCUCUGCUUUUGCCCCUGCAGAAGAGAAGAUGUACAAGUAGAUUAAUUAGUCUGGCCAAAAUCAAAUGUGAGUUGAGGCCUGAAGGAUCUCUGUCAUUUGCUUUGGCAAUACUUGAGACGCCAUUUUGCUUGGGAGAGUUUGUCAUGCCUCUCAUUGAUUUGUGAUUUUUGUUUUUGACAGUCAGUUAAUCCUGCAACAAACAAGACAUGCUUCUCAUUGAUUCGUUAUCCUUGCUUUUGACAGUCAGGUGAUCCUGCAACAAACAAGAGGGAAUGUGUUAGUCAUGAACUCUUUCAAGAGUCAAAUAACUGGAAUCGAUACAACUUUACCCUUCACUGGUUUGCAGAUGAUUGGGUGAACCUGAAGUGAGAGGGGGACAUGAAGUCCUAUGUCCCUUGCUUCAUUAGGUCAAUUAUUCUCUGAAUUAGCUCCUGGAUGACAUGUCUUUUUACACGAAGCCAGGUGAAUUUGAUGUGGGUCAUUUCCACGUACUAGCUUGGCCAAUAUUGAUUUGCCUAACCAUUGAGUUUGGUUCUUGAGUUGUGAUGCUCCCUGCCAAUAGGGGGAAUAUGUCAAAAAUGAAUUUAAAGAAGGGGGAGUAUUGGAAACGAUACCAAAUUACUCUUCUCCAAAGUCUUGAUAUUUGAAUGUCGAUGACAGCCUUUUCGUCUUGGCAUAGUUUGACAUUUCUUUCAAUUGGCCUUCCUCACUUGUGACCAUGUAUGCGUGAUUGUUGGUCGUUGAUUCAUCUUCAACGCCUUCCUUAUAUGGAAUUUCUCUUUCUGUCUUUAACUAUAGCAUCAUUGGGCAAAAGUCAUGUACCUCAAGCUUUUAUGGAAUCUGAGAUCAAAAGUCUCAAGCUUUCUGAUGGCAAUUACUCCUCGGAAGAAUACGCGUUUGGAGUGAAGUUUCUAGAUUCCAAGAUCAUUGUCCAGGGUGUGGGGCUAUAGAUUGCUUUGACUGUCUAGAUUCUCUCCCUGUUGACAGUAAUCACUUUAAAGGAAGAUAAGCAAAUCCUUCUUUGUGCUUCUUGGCUUGUUGGAGCUGGAAGUCCUGUCAAUGAACUCGGGACAUCCUGCCUCGAGUUAUCAUGCUAUGCAUGCUUCAAGUUUGAUAAUAUGCAUGUGCCUAUUACAUCCCAUCCUUCGUUUCCUGUAGAUGGAAGAGAGAGGAUGUUAUUUUCGACAUUAUGUUCAGGGAAUAGGACUUACCAUUUUGAAACGUGAUGAUCAUUUAUGUUUGCCCUCGCUUUCUUGGAAGGGUGUCUUUGAAUUUGGUGGGUUCACCUGAUGUGCUUGCUUCAAAUGCCCGCUGUCACACUAAGUUAAAGGGGACGGGAAUGAUCUUCUGAGACAUAAAGUGAGUGAGUCAGAAAGACAGACAUGAUUAAAUUUAUCAUCUUUUUUGAAAGAUUUUGGUGAUGAAGUGUUUUCUAUUUUCAAAAUAUGUAUUCAGGGGAGAAAAAAGCAUGAGGAAGCCCAGCCCUCAGUAUUCUCCUUGGAUAUAUUUUUUCAUGGUUGGAUAGCAUCACCGGGCAGGUUUGGAGUACCGCCUCAUGCUCUUAAACAAAAUAUUAGAAUUGUACAUUAGAGUACUUGAAUGGAAAAUACAACAAUAGCACACUAUACAAGAUGAGAAACAUGAAAUUAUAAAAACAAGUAAAACUCAUGAAAACCCCUGUGUAAAGGAGCGCUUUGAUAGUGCUGAUCUUGAAGCUAAGCGUCUUUGAAUUCCUCGCCUUCAGUAGACUCGAAGUAUUCGCAUGCGAUGACUACCUCGUUGAAGUUACGGAAGUGUAACCCAUGCAGCCAACAGCGAUGCUUGCAGGACAAAACUUCUAUGAACUGCUUCAUUAACUCCUCUUCAGCCAGUUGAGGGUGGGUUUGCAUCAUGAAAGCCCUCCACCUCCUUGCGUAUGCUCGGAAAUCUUCCAUUGGUUUUCUUGUGAAGUGAGCCAAGCUCUCACAAGGCAGUUCAGUUCCGAUCUGGCUUUGGUACUGAUGCAAGAAUGUGGAAGUCAGCUCAUUCCAAUCCUUUAGAAGAUAAAUGUUUGCUGUGAUAAACCAUUGCAGUGCAGACCCCGUAAGAGUUUCUUGGAAUGCCUGAGUUGUGAACGACAUCGGGCCAUAGUACCGACUCAUUUCGGCAUGGAGAUACUGCAAGUGGGCCAUGGGACAGGCUGUGCCGUUAUAUUUGCGGAGAUUUGGUAUCCACAUUUCUAUGGGGCUCAUGAUCCUACGAGGGCAAGACGGGCUUGAUGUAUCUUGGUUAGGCCACUGGUUUUCCCACUGCAUAUCUGUGGUGGUGGUGAAUUUUUCUGUUUCAGGGAAGCUGGACUCUAUCGAGAUUACCCCAUUGCUUUCUUCCGGGUCAAAGUUACCGAAGAAGGAUGAGGGAUUUAAGCUAUCCUCAUGGUCAGGUGACGAGCUUAGUACUUCGUUAGGAUCGUAGCGGAUAAAGACGUAUGCUUCUUCUUCUAACGGGCCUUCAUCCCCGGAUGAGAGUAGGAAACAGUUAUACGAUGAAUCGUCAGUUGCAUUGUCGAAAUAACGCUGGAAGUCUUUAGGAUUGUAUUCUAGGGCCGGGAAGUCUUCAAAGCUGUAUUCUUGGGAAUGCUCGAAGCUUUGGUGCGGUGGCUCAUCGAUAGAUGCUACAUUGAUUUGCUUAGGCUUUCUUUUCUUGGCUUCUGGUCCAGACCUUUUGAGUAAGGCUCUUCGUUUUGCCAGCUCGAUUCUGUCAAAGGAAGUGAGAGACAUUGGAGUUUCACUAUCUGAUUCACUUCCCAGGUUGAUAGGGGUUGGUAUUCUUUGGACCCUAGCUCUUGGAGUAAGCUUGGGGAGUUGUCCAGUCGUGCCCCGAUCUUGAACAGGCUCUGUGUCUUUGAUCUCGUACAAAGGCUCCUUGCCUUUCAUAGUGGGAAAUUUUCCAGUAACAGGGUGUUGUUCAGUUGCCCAUUUAUCAUGCAAGGCUUUAUUGACAUGCUCUUCUCCUAUCUCAGCGACUAACGGUUCCUCGUGCUCCGCGAUCAUCGGCUCUUCGUAGGGUAGGGUGAUGUCAAGAUUAUACUCUUGGUGAAAAACAUGAAUUAGUUCCCUCCAGGUUUUAAGGGGAUUAAUCUUCUUGAUAAUGUACCACCGCAAGGCAGGGCCAGUCAAGCUCGAUUGGUACGAUUGAAUCAUCCUUCGGACCAAGUAGGCCUGUAGGUAGGUCUCUGGGCGGGAGGUAUCAGCAUACCUUUCGCAUUCAGGUGCUUUGAGUUUUUCAGGGAUCUCAAUGCCGGCGUAAUUGGAUAGGUCCAUGGGAUUCUGCUCCUGUAGCUGGCUUAACUUUUUCAUAAUCCUUUCAAACUGUCUAUGGUACUGGCUAUUUUCUGGCAAAUUUGCAGGUGUCAUGACGGUGUUUGAGGCAACUAUGGAGUUGGGCUCAGCUUGAGUGGAUUUCAUUUGUCUUGAGAGUUGUUGAAGGACAAUUGACAUCUGUCCUACGUCGUCUUCAAUGUUAAUAAGGCGAUUUUGUGCAUCAUUCUGAUCGGGCCCUAAUGCAUGAGGCCAGUCGUGAGCUAUUGGUGGCCGGCGAUUCAUAAUUACCUGCUCGUUGCGAAAACAAUGAAUGAGCACGAAAGUAAACAAAGAUUGACCCAUGGCAAUGGUCUAAUUGCUUUUUCAUUUAUCAAAAGAUGAUUUAUAGACUGCCAACUCCUAACAUCUAGGACUUGAAAUUGAAAAGACAGGAGGAAAUACUAGAUAUUAAACAAGAGUCCCUAAACAAUGGGACAUAACUUUCACACUAUUUACACUAAGGGGCACAUGAUUGCCAAUUUAUAUGCGACGGGGAGCCUUGUUCUUGCGAGAACACCUGCUUCCUUGAACUGGCUCUGAGGUGUGCAUCCAGUCCAUUCCCGAAUCCCUCUCCAUGAGCUCUGCUUGCUCGUGUUGGCUGCUCUCGCUGAUCAAGUGAGGGACUAAUGGCUUCCAUCUUGUCGGGAUGCGAUGGUUGUGGAUGUAGGACAUGGAGGCGUGGUGGGCUUUUUCUUCUCCCUCAAGCCCUUCAGGUACCACGAUCCUUUUACGAUGGCACUUGUUCCAUGCUUCUUCAUAAAUGUCAACCAUGUAUUCAAAAUUUCGAUGAGUGAAGAGAAGUGGAGGGGUCCUCUUCUUGAAAGAUGGCGGGAUCUCCUGAAGGGCUCCAUACUGUCGUGCCACCCGUUGUGGGAAAUAGGAAAAAGCACCGGUGAGGCCGAGCAGCGGAAUUGGAUGGCGGCGCUUGAAAGCAAAGUGAGCUCUCUUUUCAUAGAACCAACCAGCACGCCAUUGGAAUGCCUCAGGAGCCGGGUCUCUUAGGAAAUUUAUCCAAUUUAAACAGCUUUGAUUGGGAAUGUAUGGUCCUAAAACCAUAAAUUUUUGUAAUGGAUUUUCGAAGUCAUUCAUUCCAGAUGAUCGCAUGAAGCCCUGGAAUUCGCUUAGGUGAGAAAAGAACCAGACUUGUAAAAUUUCAGGAGAGGCUCGCAUGAUUUUCUCCGUGUUGUCUUUAAAACGAUUAAAGGACAAGAAUGUUUCAGUUAAAAUCAUAUUGACAUAAUUUUGCCCUCUCAAGAUUUGAUCAACUAUCCAUGCCAUCUUAGGACUUAUGACAUUUCUUUGAUGGGGGAAAAUGAUGAACCCAAAAAAGCCCAGGAGGAAAAUCUCACUUUUUUGGGUCAUAGGCUGAUUUUGAAAACAGGCGUUCAUGAAUUCUAGUGGGCAGGUAUUGUUGUUGCCUUCAAGAAUUUGUCUCAUGACAUGGAUUUCAGUUCCUAAAAGUCGCGCUAACCCCUGCCACGGGAGGAAGCCUGUCGAUGGCUUAACAAGCUUUUUCUCGAGAGGCAUUCCAGUGAUGAUGCUGUAUUCUUCCAGAGUUGGGGUUAGCUCAAACCCACCAAACAUAAAAGUAGUCGUUUUCAAGCACCAGAAAUGUGCCAUGGCCUGUAUGACUUUGGGACGAACAGUGAUUUGAAUCAACGAUAGGAGAUGACCGAUUUUGGCCUUCACGCGCUCUUGGGCAAGCUGGUCCAAUUGACCCCACCAUCUGAAGAGUUCCGCCUUAGGAGCACGAAUAAACUGGAUAUCGUCUUUCCCCAUUGCAUAUAAACUGAGACUUGAAAAGCUUAUCCUAAAUUGCCAUGGGCCAAAUAAAAAGACUGAGUAACAGUAAAGAAAUCACUUUGCUUUUUAAAAAAAUUGCAAGCACCAAGACAUACAGAUGGGAUGUGCGGCUCGAUUUCUAACUCAGAAGGAUUGGUGAGAUUAAAAGGAUAUCCGCCCGUCGCAGUCUCGCGUUAGCAGCAUACCCUCUUAACCACGUCUAAGAAAUUCGAGGAAAAGAAAGGCGACCUCUACAUCGCAGUCUCGCGUUCGAGGUCGUAUCUUUCUUAACACCAUCCUAGAAAUCCUAUGGCGGCCCAGGUCCGGCGGCCGGGUUGUGUGUGCCAUGUGUAGUGUUUAAAACAGUAAAGCAUGCACAACAGUUUAUGAUCACAAAACAUUUUAUUUUAACAGAAUAAAAAAACUUUAAGCUAUUAUCCUGCACAAAAGAAAAAGACCCAAGUUAGCAAAGUAUUUAAACAAAGAUAAAAAUGGCCUAAGUCCUCAAAGUCCCAAGCGGAGUCGCCAAGCUGUCGCGACCCCUUUUUUUCUGGCGCCCACAAUCGGGUACGAGCGCCUAAGGAGGCUAAUGGCUCGGCUGAAUUUAUUAAGCCUGGACUCUCCCAAGUCCACCAAUUCACGACUUUAAUAAUUUGAGUUUUUAACCCAUAAAUCAAUUUUUAAAAUGGAGUCGCCACUAAUCGAUUUGAGGUGGGUUGAUUAGAAACCCAAGUGAAGUAUCGGGAGAAAUACUCACUCCUGCGCAACCAGAGAAAUUAGGAUCGGGGACUUGAUUACACUAGUUAAUCACUAAUGCCCUUUCGGUACCUAAUCUUGUUUAAACCCUAAGGCUUUUUGGAUUUUUGAGAGAUUUUCCAUGCAUUUUUGGGAGGAAAAACAUUUUUUGAGUAUUUUUCUCAUUUUUUGGACAUAAAAGGGAUUUUUGGUAUUUUUUGGAAAAUAUGGAAUAUUUUUGAUUUUUUUGAUUUUUUUGAUUUUUUUUCUUUUCUCGGAAAAUAAAAUAUUUUUAAAUAUUUUUUCAAAAUAUUUUUGGAAAAUAAAUUAUUUUUUGAUUUUUCUCGAUUUUUUAGAAAAUAAAACAUUUUUCGACAUUUUUAAAUAUUUUUCGAUUUUUUGGAAAUUAAAACAUUUUUUUUAUUUUUUAUUUAUUAAAAUAUUAUUUUUAUAUUAAAAUAACAAAAUAAAACCGACCCGGGUCGGAUCCGCGGGUUGGGUCCGACCCGGGUCGGCGACCCAAAUGCGGACGGGCCCGCGUUGCGGGCUCGACUCGGAUUUUUCAUCUUUUCUUUUUUCUUUUUUUCUUUUUUUUUAAAAACGACGCCGUGGCCGGGCGUUUGGGGACGCCCGGCCCAGCCCGACGACCCGGGUCCACGACCCGGCUCCCUGCGAACCCUACCCGACCCGGAUCCGAAUUCACGACCCGGCUUCCGCCGCCCCGAAAUCUCGCGGAACCCUACCCGGUUCCGAGACCCGGAUCCGAUUCGACAACCCGGAAAUCGCAAACCCUAGGGUUUGCGAUUCCGCGGCGCCGAAGAGGGGGAACCGAGGUGUUUGGCUGCGACGGCAACUAUGGCGGCGACGUCGAAGGUGACAACGGCGGCGGCAACCACAGCGGCCACGACGGCGGUGACAAUGUCGACGGCGACGACGGCUAGGUCAACGGAAAACGGCUGCGAUGAACAAUAACGCCCCCCUUUUUACCUUCUCUCGGAUGGGGACGGCGACAGCAGGAGAGCGGUUCGCGAUGGUGGAGGUGACGACGGUAGCAACUCAGCUUCUCGAUCUGGCGCGGCUUCGGCGGAUCGAUCACGGUAAUGGCUCCGCGAGGUGAGGCACGACAACAAGCCGUCGAAGCAACGGCGUCGGGACUGAGGUGAACGGUUGCGGCACGGCGUUCGGCGGCAACAACAGCAGCAAAAAAAACCAGAUCUACUGCGUAGAUCUCGGCCGGACCCUCCUCGGCCUUGAUUCCUCCUCACUUAGGCCAGAUCCGAGCCUCCACAGGCCGGAUCUGACCUUCUCGAAGUCACUCGCCGCCUGCCUUCCCCGAAGUCUCUCGGUGGAAGGUGGGCUAAGCUCGCGACCCGAGCUCUCUCCUGCGCUCGCCCUUCAACCCUUCCCGAUGUCUCUCAGUGAAGGAUUUCCGAGCUCGCCACACCCUCCGACGAUGCUUGCGACCCACCUAUUUAUAGGCGAAGGAACUCCGGUCGAUGGAGGGGCUCGGUCGCCGGCCUCCGGCUUGCCCACCGGUUCCGCUCGGCCGAACCGGUGUCCCAUCGAGCUUUCCAGCGAAGCUCGCUCAGCAUUGAUGGCGCCUGCGAUCUUAUCCCCUCCGGCCGACGUCGCCCUACACUCCUCGGCCGUAGGCCGUCCUUGGCGCGCGUCGCCAGCCAUCGCGCGUGAGAUGCAAGCGACUGAGGAAGAAGAAGACAGGAGGAAGAAGAAGAGAGAAAAGGGGCCGGGCCAAGGGUGAAGGAAAAUGGGCCACAUGGGCCACGCGGAGGGGGAAGAGAAAGGGAAAAGAAAAAAAGGGCUGGGCUUUUGUUGUUUUUUUUUUGUUUGUUUAUUAAUUAUCUUAUUUAUCGGAAAUAAAAUAAAAAAUUAAUUAAAUAAAAUUAACCUAAGUAAAAUUGAGGUGUCAACAUAUGCAAGCCACAAAUUUGAUCCUCGAUCUCUCCCCUGUAUCUUCUUGGGUUAUAGUAAUCAGCACAAAUGAUAUCGAUGUCUGGUAUCAACUAAUAAUCGUGUAUACAUCAGUAGACAUGUUGUCUUUGAUGAACAUUCUUAUCCUUUUAUAAAGAAGUUGGUCAAUGAGUAUGGACAGUAUACAAAUCUAUACAAACAAUGGAUUGAAGGAAUACAUUUCCUUGAACCUUCAAGAACCGAGUUAACAGACAAUGGUUCUUUGCAUCAGUCAGCCAAAACCCAGAUCCAUCCUGAUCUAGAUGAUUGCUAUAAUCAUCACCUAUGUCAUAGACAACAAUCUCAGACCAUUUCCUCGAGAACUAUGUAGAAUGAGAGAACAACAGAUGAACAACCUGUCAUGGCUUCAAUAGAUACUAUGCCUACAGAUCUAUCUACCUCUCAGGGACAACAUAUUACCAGCUCUUCAUCUUCACACAAUGAUCUACCAGCUGAAAGUAGUUCUGGUGAAAGGUACUACAAUUCCAAUUCCAUUAUGUCUUCUUCUCAAGGUACUCUUAAUAAUCAUCAUAUGCAAACUCGACUAAAGUCUGGGAUUAGAAAACCAAAUCCAAAGUAUGCUUGUUUAGCUGAGUAUCAAGUUCCUAUGGAACCACGGUCUAUCAAAUCAGCCUUAACUAAUGAAGCCUGGUACAGGGCUAUGAAAGAAGAAAUGGAUGCUCUUGAUGAAAACCAAACCUGGACAUUGAUUCCUAGAACUGACCAGAUGAAUGUGAUAGGCUGUAAGUGGGUAUAUAAGACCAAACUCACACCAGAUGGGGGUUUUGACAGACUCAAAGCUCGUCUAGUCGCCAAAGGCUUUCAUCAAGAAGCAGGACUUGACUUCACUGAGACUUUUAGUCCAGUCGUGAAACACACAACAAUUCGAAUAGUGCUAUCUCUAGCCAUGAUAAAGCAAUGGCAAAUACAUCAGCUUGAUGUUAAGAAUGCUUUUCUUCAUGGAGAUUUGAACGAGACUGUAUACAUGGAACAGCCACCUGGCUUUAUCCAUCCUCAGAAGCCAAGUUAUGUCUGUCUGCUUCAAAAGUCCCUAUAUGGUCUUCGACAAGCACCAAGAGCUUGGUUCGAUAAAUUCAGCAAGUUUUUACUUGAAAGUGGCUUCUUCUGCAGCACAUCAGAUCCAUCCUUGUUUGUUCUUCAUACAGACUCCCAUACAGUCUUAUUGCUACUAUAUGUUGAUGAUAUCAUCUUGACUGGCAGUUCACCACAUCUCUUAACUACCCUUAUUCAGAAACUAGUCUUCACUUUCAUAUGAAGGACCUUGGAUAUCUUCACUAUUUUUUGGGCAUUGAAGCCAAACGAACUUCAUAGAAACUCUUUUUGUGCCAAACAAAAUAUGCCACUGACUUGCUGAAACGAGCUCAUAUGGCAGAUUGUAAACCAAUCUCAACACCCUUGCCACUUCGAUCAAUUUCCAUGGCUGACACUGCAAAUCAACUCACAGACCCUGUGGAGUACAGAAGCUUGGUUGGUGCUCUUCAAUACUUAACCAUUACUCGACCAGACCUGGCGUUUGCUACUAACCUUCUCUGUCAAAAGAUGCAACAUCCUACCGUAGGAGACUUUCAUCAGUUAAAAAGAGUACUUCGAUAUGUCAAAGGUACCAUACAUCUUGGGUUCUAUCUUCAUUCUCAAAGUUCAGUAAACCUCUAUGGUUUCUCAGAUGCUGAUUGGGCUGGUUGUCCAACUACACGACGUUCCACAACGGGGUUUUGCACAUUUCUUGGAUCUAAUCUACUUUCUUGGUCUGCCAAGAAACAACCUACUGUUUCCAGAUCCUCAACAGAAGCAGAAUAUCGUGCACUUGCUUCGACAAUUGCUGAACUCACCUGGAUAACUUUUGUGUUACGAGAUAUUGGCAUCUCUCUUCAAUCACCUACAUUAAUAUACUGUGACAACAGAUCAGCAAUUUCUCUUACAGCCAAUCCAAUAUUACAUGCUCGAACCAAGCACAUUGAAGUUGACUUUCACUUCGUCCGUGAGAAAGUUUCUUCUGGAUCUAUUCGUGUUCAGUAUAUCUCUACUCAUCUUCAAUUAGCUGAUAUCUUUACUAAGUCACUCUCACGAUUAUCUAAUCUUACUCUCCGAACCAAAUUGGGAAUGUGGUCGUUCACCCUUCCCAAUUUGAGGGGGGAUGUUAGAGGAUCAAGACCUCCAUCCUACUCUGCUACAUCAAGAGUCAGCCACAAGGGAUCCUCAACUCUGGUAGAUGUAGAUCACUAGAAGACUAUGGAUAACCAGUCUUAUCAACGGUGGAGAUUUUACAAUGCCGAAGACGUGGAUUGCCAAGUCUCAGGAUUUGUCAAGACUGCUAUUCUGUUAUAAAUAGCUGUAAAAGUUUGUUAGUUUGUGUCGGUUAGUUCGUUUAGUCUGUUAUUAGUUUUCCAGCUUCUCUCUGUAUAUAAAGAUAGAAUUGAGCUCAGGAAAAGGUGUGAAGAAGAGAGGAGAGGGAAGAACAGGAGAUUCAAUAUUGAUCUGUUGUAUUUGAUUUCUCUUUGUUCAAAACUUGGAUACAAUGAAAUAAGAAUCGAAUACUUCUUGUUCAGAUCCUUCUGCAACUCUACCGAGUUUAUUCUCUAUCAUCAUCAUCAUUCCUCAUCUUCAUCUUCUGCGUUCUUGGAUUCUCAAUUUCUCACCGUAAACUGUACAGUCUCUUCUACUGGGAGGAGAAAGAAAUUCUCAGCAUUAUCUCCCGCUUGCUUAAAAUUUAUUCUCAUGUUUUUUUACAUUGAAUCGCUUGACCAUUGAGAUUAAUUUGAUUUAUUUUCUAUUGAUUGCGUCUUUGAUGAAUCCAAGUAACAAUCCAAGGUAAGUUUCGAUUGUUUGCAAUGUGAAUUUGGUGGCUGGGGAGGUUCCGCUGUGAAACGUUGGCCUCAGUCGCUCUGAAUGAAAGAAUACGUUUUCUUGAAUUGUUAUCUUGAUAAGGAAGAGAGUGACACAGGCUACGGUUUGUUGUGAAAAAGAAACAAGCAACAAUUGCUGAAUUUCUAUUCUGCAGGAAAUGGAAGCGAAUUAGAAUAACUAAUGUGCUUUUGGAUGCUGAUUGCCGGAUUAUCUUGUGAACAUAUGGUAUCUUUAUUUCUCUUUCGAAUGUUUGGUAUUUGCUCCGCUCUCUUACUGGUAACCGGUGCCGCGAACUUCUUGGUUGAUUAAUUCCUCUUUCUGCAAAUGACUUUGGCCCCAGUUACAGUCCACUUUCAGUAUACGAGUCAUCAUUGUAAUUUGAGUACCGGGUGAUGUGAUACAGUCUUGAAAAUUUCAAAUACUAAAUUCCAUCAGCCUCAGUUUUUUUUUUUUUUAAAAUCAGAAUUUCAUGUUUGAAAGAAUGGUUUGUAUGAAUGAUCUUUGCACUGGAUUAACUCAAAUGAUAUUUCAUCAUAGAUAUUUAGAACAGAGUAUUUCUUUAGUUGGCUACUUUGCGACCUUUGUUGCUGAUAAAGUAGAUUGACUUGCUAGAAGGAAUUAGUGCUUUGUAAGUGCAGCCAAUUUUUUUGUUAAUUUCGUUGCUGGGUAUUAAUUAGUUCAUGGAAUGAUGCUCAUCAGAUUUGGUAGAUUCAAACAAUGGUAAAUAGCCCAUGCAACAUCAGGAAAAUAUGAAAAAUCAUUUCUUAUUUGUUGAGAAUCAUCAUCAUUCUUUCUCUCAGCAGUGAGAGAUACUGCAAAUAUCGUAGAGUACGAAUUGAAUGAAGAGGUAUCGUAACUUUGGACUUGUCUGUCAAUCUUGCUUAUCUCAUCAAUGGCCAAUGUUAUGCUGAUGUUUGAAUGAAUCCAAGCACUUAUCUUUAGUAGGCUUUGGAAUUUUCACAAUCUAUGGAUCCAACGAGUCUUAACAAUUGAUGUGUCGGGGAAUUUCUUACCUAUACCAAGUCCACUGGGCGGAGUCUAUGUCAGUGGUUGAUCAUCUAAGCCCCAUAUGCAACAUUCAUGUGAGACUCACUUGAACAACUAUUGAAAUGGACCCAAUCUAAGCGAGUGCAAGCACCACCUUGCGGAAGCUAUGCUUUGGCUGAUGGCAUAAGACGUGAAAAUUCUUUAAUCUCAGCCUUCUUUGUGCUCUUGCACUUUGGAUUUAGGUUGUGCCCUGGACAUACUUUUAGUUAUGUUAAUGGGGGAUUAGUACUUAAGGAGAUAUGGAAAUACUCUCCCGAAUUCGAUGCUUCCAAAGGUCAAAGUAGUUCAACCUGGGCAACUAGAAAAGAGUAACAACGAGGUCAAAAUGUUAUGGAGCAUUACCCCAUUGGUCAUUUUCAUCUCAACCUUUUCAAAUGUGGAGACAACUCCCUUGUUCAGGUGAUAAUACUCAAUAAAGGUGCUUCUGAGAUAGAUUAUUCCUCAGGAUCACUGCCUCGGACGACCUCUUCCUCUGAUCCGUUUGUCCUUCGUGCAUUACUAAAAUAAACAUUAUAAUCUUCCUUUUCGUUCUUAGCCUCAUGAAGAGAGACUUCAGGCAUUUUUAUGUGAUUUUUGUUGUCAAAUUUACUGCUGGCAUGUCUAUAUGUGUGCCAUAAGCGCUUUGUAUGAUCAUCACAGGAAGUGCUCACCAUGAAGUGUUCAUAUUAACAAUCUGAAUCACAAAUCAACAUUCACUGCAAUGCGUGUUUGUCUGUUAGAUGGUCGAUACUUGUUUAGUUCUUCCCGUCAAAAGUCUUGCAAAGAUGAUUCCGUCUUCAUCUAUGUUACUUUGAGAUCGCUGUGUAGGUUGCUCUCUUUGGCGGUUUCUGGAUUAAUGUUUUAUAAAUUGUACAAUCUGUGCCACUGGGAGGUGAAAAAAAUCCUCAGCAUUAUCUCCCGCACGCUUAAAAUUUAUUCUCAUGUUAUCUACAUUGGAUCAUCUGACCAUUGAGAUUAAUAUGAUUUCUUUUGUGUUUGAUGAAUCCAAGUAACAAUCCAAGGUAAGUUUCGAUUGUCUGGAAUGUGAAUUUGGUGGCUGGGCAGGUUCCUCUGUGAAACGUUGGCCUCAGUUGUUCUGAAUGAGGGUAUGAUUGCUUGAAUUGUUAGCUUAAUAAGGAAGAGAGUGAUGCAGGCUACAGUUUGUAGUGUAAAAGACACAAGCAACAAUUGCUGAAUUUCUAUUCUGCAGGAAAUGGAAGCGAAUUAGCAUAACAAAUGUGCUUUUGAGCAAUGAUGUUGAUUUCUGGAUUACCUUUGUGAACAUGUGGUAUCUUUAUUUCUCUUUUGAACAUUUGGUAUUUUCUCUGCUCUCUUUCUGGUAAACAGUAGUGCGGACUUCUUGGUUGGUUAAUCCUUCUUUCUGCAAUUGACUUUGGCCCCUGUUAUGGUAUGCUUUCAGUAUACGAGUCACAUUGUAAUUUGUGUACCUGGUGAUGUGAUACGAUCUUGUUGAUGCAUUUCUCAAUAUGUUUCCCAAACUUUGCUUGUUGUAAAAAAAUUCAAAUAUUAAAUUCCAUGAGCCUCAAUUUUUUUCCCUUUUUUUGUUGAUCAAAAUUCUGUGUUUGUAUGAGCUUGAUCUUUGCCCUGGAUUAACUCGAAUGAUAUUUCAUCAUAGAUAUUUAGGACGGAGUAUUUCCUUAGUUGGCUACUUUGUGGCAUUUGCUGCUGAAAGUACAUUGACUUGCUAGAAGGAAUUAAUGUUCUGUAAGUGCAGCCAAUUUUUUGUUAAUUUUGCUGCUGGGUAUGAUGAUGUUCACGGAAUGAAUGCUCAUCGAAUCGGUAGACUCAAACAAUGGUAAAUAAAUAGUCCAAGCAACAUCAGGAAAAGAUAAAAAAGCAUUUCUCAUUUGUUGAGCCAUCAUCAUUCUUUCUCUCGGUAGCGAGAGAUGCUGCAAAUAUCGUAGAGUAAGAAUUGAAUGAAGCGGAGUCGUAAUUUUGGACUUGCAUGUCAAUCUUGGCUUAUCUCAUCAAUAGCCAAUGUCAUGCCAAUAUUUGAAUGAAUUCAAGCACUUAUUUUAAGUAGGCUUUGGGAUUUUCUUACCUAUACUGGGUCCAUUGGGCGGAGUCUAUGUCAGUGGUUGAUUGUCUAAACCCCAUAUGCAACAUUAAUGUGAGAUUCACAUGAACAACUAUAGGAAUGGAACCAAUCUACACGUGCACAGACACCACCUUGAGGAAGCUAUUCUUUGGCUAACGGCAUAAAAUGUAUAAAUUCUCAAAUCUCUGCCAUCUUUACGCUUUUGCAAUUUGGAUUUAGCUUGCGAUUAAUAAGGGCCCUAGACUUACCUUAAGUUGUGUUGUUAAUGGGGCAUUACGAAAGGUCAUAAGUAGUUCAACCUGGGAAACUUGAAAAGAGUAACGACGAGGUCGGAAUGUUAUGGAACAUUAGUCCAUUGGUCAUUUUCAUCUCAACCUUUUUAAAUGUGGAGACAACUCCAUUUUUCAGAUGUUAAUACUCGAUAAAAGUGCUUGUGAGAUAGAUUAUUCCUCGAGCAAUGGCCAAAUAUCAAACCCUGAGGAUCGAUUUUUCUAACAAGAAAGGGAUGAUGUUGUCAAGCUUGAAGAUUUAGAGGGUUUCCGGCAACGUCAAUCGCUUUUACCCUGUUCUGGCGAAUUUUCUGAUUGCCCAUCAGUCACUCAUCAUGAGAAUUUGAUGGCAAUGAAUGGUAGUCUUAUUAGUCACGUUUCUGCCUUUAUCAGUGCAUUUUCUUCGUUCUUUCCAAAUUCUUUAAUGCUUUUUGAUCAGCAUUUUGGAUGUUGAUAUAUACGGUAAUAUUCAGAAGUGCAGAUUGUAAUUAAUCGGUGUGGUGACUAGCUCUAAUGUGAAGGGGAUGUAAAAUUAUUUGAUCAAUUUUAUUUUUCUGGUUUUCCAUGGAAAUGCUAACUACCAAUGUAUGCUGAAUCAUUUCAUACUAAGUCAACGCUCAGUAAUUUCUGGAAAUGGAAUCACCAUAAUCUGAAACUUUACAGAGACAAAGUCUCAAUCGGCAAAGAAUUGGAACCCACCAAAGUUGCGAUCUUGAAAAUCAAUGACGGCAGAGCUUUACUUGAAGGUGAAAAAGUUGAAGCUAUUUUGAGAAUUCUUCGCAACGGAACGGGAGCUCUACUGGAUGGCUCUACUACGAAUGUUCCAGCAUUGUCGGCGUUUUAGACGGAAGCCACUCGCUUGCUCGAAGCAUUGAAACGUUUUCGGUCAAGGCGAGAAAGUGUGUUGGAGCUCGAGUCCGACUGCGAAGAGCUGGUCAACGUAGUGCUUAUGAAGACGGCUCUAAUAGAGAAAGCCCAGCUAUCUUUGGCCCAAUUGUACUUUCUCUCCCUGGCCCAUUGCCACCGGUCCACAAACAAAAUGGCUGAUUGGGCCGUGAAAACCAAACGUAUGAAUGCUCUCCCUCCCUCUUGAGUGGCCCAUCCCUCCAAUCUUUAUGGAAUUAUUUUACGUUUGGAUGCCCCUUUGUUGGGCUUUUGUUUUAAAGACCCCCGGGUUUUAAUUCACGCCAUGUCUUCAAAUUUGAAAGCUUGCCUCGUAUAUUAGUUUGUCUUAAGCUCGAAUUGGUCGACGGUCAAAACACAAGUUCAAAAUUACAUGGAAAGUAGAUGAUCAAGCAAGUCUUAAGAACUAGAAUCUGGAGAAAUUGGACAAAUUCCAACUGAGGUUGUUGACGCAAUUUGACUUGAAAAACUAGAAAACUGAAAUUGGACCAGCAAGUGAACGGAAAGAUUAAUUAAACUGGAUUUUCAUCCCUAUCCUCUUGGGAAAAAGACAAAUAAUUUGUGGUUGAAUCUUUUCAACUACUUCACACCUCGGCACCAAGUUGUCGAAUCGGUGUUUUUUUUAUAACUCAAUAUCUAUAUAAAUGAUUUUCGAUUGAAAUAGUCUCGUAAGCAAGAUCAUUUCUCCAAUCUAAUGAAGUAAAAUAACCUUCACUGCAAUCAUGAUGCCUCCUCUAAUAAAAAAAGAAUAUCCCAUUGAUGUCAAGAUGAAAGCAACAUAAUGACUAUAUAAAUAAAUAAGUUAGCCGACUCGUUUCAUUUAUAAUAUUCAAUUGUUUGUAAGUUAACAUUCUUGUCUUGGUUGAGGUGGCCAACAAUGGUCUUUUUUAUUUAUUUUUUUAAUUUAUACAUUGGCCAGUUUCGACUUGUAGCAAUGUGCUACCAAGUUUUCAGCUUCCUAAGGAAUCGAUUUGUGUUUAGGUGAGGCUUAACUAAGUCAGGUUACCGAGCUCCAUCGUCCAUGCCCAAGGAAGUCACUGGUAUUUUUAUUUGAUUAGUCUAUAACAUUUUUAAUCUUCUCACUAUUUCUUUUCAUACGCAAUAGUUGUGCUCUUUUUCUAGUACUGAGUAAACAAAUAACAAUUCAAAAUGUAAAUAAAAUUGCCAAAAGAAAAACCGAUAUAUGCAACGUCUAGGCCGUACCAUAGGUCUCUGGGUAGUCGCGUCUCAACUUUUGUGCCCAUUGAUCAUUAGAAGAAGUGGACUAAAAAUUCUUCAUCGUAGUUUACUAACAUGAAAAUUGAACAUGCACUUCCUUUUUAGUUAAAUUUCCUUAUUAGUCAAAAAUAAACUCUCAUGUGUCAUGUAAGCCACCAAAGGGCGCCUCAAUUAGCGAAGAUGAUUGAAUCAUUCCAAAGCAUGAGAGAAUAAUGUGACCUUAUCACUUGCCGCGUUAGAUAAUUAUGUUGUCGUCUCUUUUCCCUUUACCUAACCUAUAAAAAACGAAAGCAGUAAUCGAAUAUUCUUUACAUCUAUAUCACUUAUAUUCUCUUUAUGUAUAUAUGCACCGCAGUAGCAUUAAGAUAUAGCAAAUACUUGAUUGACUAUUUAAAAAUAUCGCAAUGGUGGGUUCACAUCCACAUCAAUCAUAUGCAAAUCAAUCACGAAAACAAGCAAAACUAACCAUUUAACAAGAGAUUAUCUUUUCUUAAGAAAUUUUGCCAAACGCGAUAUACAUUAAUUCUUUAAUAUUAAAAAAAAAUCAUAUUUACGUGGCAUCUCUAUUUUGCAAUUAUUGAACAAUAGUAAUGUGAUAGUAUUAUGUUAACAUUGAUAUUUUCGAAAUGACACAUAAUGCAAAUGAGACUAUUCUUUAGAAUAAGAAAUUAUGCUUAAUUAAUCCCAUGAUUGAUAAUGUUGGUUGGGGAGUUGGUUUCUAGCUUAGGAACCGGAGAUCUCCCAUUAGAAUCCCACAAAUGCACGAAAACUGUCUCAAUUAAUGACGCAUCUUCUCAGGGGGGAUUGGGGUGAGGACGAUUCAUUUCAGGAGUGGGUUUCGACUCCCACGGCCUGCAAGGAGGCUGGGCAAAAGUCUGAGAGUGAGUGUUAGAGUAGGAUUAGAGUAGGACCGACCAAAAAAAAAAUAAUAAUAAUGAAGGCAUCUCUAUCUUGCAAUUAUUGAACAAUAGUAAUAUGAUAAUGUUAUGUAAACAUUGACAUUUUCAAAAUGACACAUAAUGCAAAUGAGAUUAUUCUUUAGAAUAAGAAGUUAUGCUUAAUUAAUCUCAUGAUUGAUAAUGUUGGUUGGGGAGUUGGUUUCUAGCUUAGGAGCCAAAUAUCUCCCAUUAGAAUCCCACAAAUGCAUGGAAACUGUCUCAAUUAACGAAGGCAUCUCUAUCUUGCAAUUAUUGAACAAUUGUAAUAUGAUAAUGUUAUGUUAACGUUGAUAUUUUCAAAAUGACACAUAAUGCAAAUGAGAUUAUUCUUUAGAAUAAGAAGUUAUGCUUAAUUAAUCCCAGGAUUAAGAAUGUUGGUUGGGGAGUUGUUUUCUAGCUUAGGAACCGGAGAUCUCCCACUAGAAUCCCACAAAUGCACGCAAACUGUCUCAAUUAAUGAAGGCAUCUCUAUCUUGCAAUUAUUGAACAAUUGCAAUAUGAUAAUUUUAUAUUAACAUUGAUAUUUUCAAAAUGACACAUAAUGCAAAUGAGAUUAUUCUUUCGAAUAAAAAGUUAUGCUUAAUUAAUCCCAUGAUUGAUAAUGUUGGUUGGGGAGUUGGUUUCUAGCUUAGGAACCGGAGAUCUCCCACUAGAAUCCCACAAAUGCACGCAAACUGUCUCAAUUAACGAAUGCAUCUCUAUCUUGCAAUUAUUGAACAAUUGCAAUAUGAUAAUUUUAUGUUAACAUUGAUAUUUUCAAAAUGACACAUAAUGCAAAUGAGAUUAUUCUUUAGAAUAAGAAGUUAUGCUUAAUUAAUCCCAUGAUUGAUAAUGUUGGUUGGGGAGUUGGUUUCUAGGUUAGGAACCGGAGAUCUCCCAUUAGAAUCCCACAAAUGCACGAAAAUUGUCUCAAUUAACGAAGGCAUCUCUAUCUUGCAAUUAUUGAACAAUUGUAAUAUGAUAAUGUUAUGUUAACGUUGAUAUUUUCAAAAUGGCACAUAAUGCAAAUGAGAUUAUUCUUUAGAAUAAGAAGUUAUGAUUAAUUAAUCUCAUGAUUGAUAAUGUUGGUUGGGGAGUUGGUUUUUAGCUUAGGAACCGGAGAUCCCCCAUUAGAAUCCCACAAAUGCACGCAAACUGUCUCAAUUAACGAAGGCAUCUCUAUCUUGCAAUUAUUAAACAAUAGUAAUGUGAUAAUAUUAUGUUAACAUUGAUAUUUUCAAAAUGACACAUAAUGCAAAUGAGAUUAUUCUUUAGAAUAAGAAGUUAUGCUUAAUUGAUCCCAUGAUUGAUAAUGUUGGUUGGGGAGUUGAUUUCUAGCUUAGGAACCAGAGAUCCCCCAUUAGAAUCCCACAAAUGCAUGCAAACUGUCUCCAUUAACGAAGGCAUCUCUAUCUUGUAAUUAUUGAACAAUAGUAAAAUGAUAAUGUUAUGUUAACAUUGAUAUUUUCAAAAUGACACAUAAUGCAAAUGAGAUUAUUCUUUAGAAUAAUAAGUUAUGCUUAAUUGAUCCCAUGAUUGAUAAUGUUGGUUGGGGAGUUGGUUUUUAGCUUAGGAACCGGAGAUCCCCCAUUAGAAUCCCACAAAUGCACGCAAACUGUCUCAAUUAACGAAGGCAUCUCUAUCUUGCAAUUAUUGAACAAUAGUAAUGUGAUAAUAUUAUGUUAACAUUGAUAUUUUCAAAAUGACACAUAAUGCAAAUGAGAUUAUUCUUUAGAAUAAGAAGUUAUGCUUAAUUAAUCCCAUGAUUGAUAAUGUUGGUUGGGGAGUUGGUUUCUAGCUUAGGAACUAGAGAUCCCCCAUUAGAAUCCCACAAAUGCACGCAAACUAUCUCAAUUAACAAAGGCAUCUCUAUCUUGCAAUUAUUGAACAAUAGUAAUAUGAUAAUGUUAUGUUAACAUUGAUAUUUUCAAAAUGACACAUAAUGCAAAUGAGAUUUCUUUUUAGAAUAAGAAGUUAUGCUUAAUUAAUCCCACGAUUGAUAAUGUUAGUUGGGGAGUUGGUUUCUAGCUUAGGAACUGGAGAUCCCCAUUAGAAUCCCACAAAUGCACGCAAACUGUCUCAAUUAACGAAGGCAUCUCUAUCUUGCAAUUAUUGAACAAUAGUAAUAUGAUAAUGUUAUGUUAACAUUGAUAUUUUCAAAAUGACACAUAAUGCAAAUGAGAUUAUUCUUUAGAAUAAGAAGUUAUGCUUAAUUAAUUCCAUGAUUGAUAAUGUUGGUUGGGGAGUUGGUUUCUAGCUUAGGAAUCAGAGAUCCCCCAUUAGAAUCUCAAAAAUGCAUGCAAGCUAUCUCAAUUAACGAAGGCAUCUCUAUCUUGCAAUAAUUGAACAAUAGUAAUAUGAUAAUGUUAUGUUAACAUUGAUAUUUUCAAAAUGACACAUAAUGCAAAUGAGAUUAUUCUUUAGAAUAAAAAGUUAUGCUUAAUUAAUCACAUGAUUGAUAAUGUUGGUUGGGGAGUUGGUUUCUAGCUUAGGAACUGGAGAUCCUCCAUUAGAAUCCCACAAAUGCACGCAAACUGUCUCAAUUAAUGAAGAUUAUUGAAUCAUUCCAAAUCAUAAGAGACAGUAGGACCUUAUCACUUACUGCGUCAAAUAAUUUUGUCCUUGUCUCUUUGUGCUUCCCCUAACCUAUAAAAAAAAAAAAAACGAAACGAGUAAUCGAAUAUCCCCUAUAUCUAUGUCACUUAUAUUCUGUGUAUAUGCAUUGUACUAUCAUUAAGAUAUAGCAUAUAUGUGAUUGAUUCUAUUUAAAAUAUCACAGUGGGGGUUUCCAUCCACAUUAAUCAUAUGCAAAUCAAUCACCAAAAGAAGCAAAACCUACGAUUUUAUUGAGAUUAUCUUUUCUUAAAAAAUUCUGCAAAAUGUGACACACUCUUAAUCUUUAUAAUAAAAAAAAAAUUAUGUUUACGUGGCAUCGCUAUCUUGCAAUUACUGAACAAUGGUCAAAUGUGAAUAUAGUCAUUUUCAAAAUGAUGCAGAAUGCAAAUGACUAUUACUUUUUAAAAAAAAUUAUGUUUAAUUAAUCCUAGAAUUGAUAAUGGUGGUUGGGGAAUAGGGGAUUUCCAGCUAAAAAAAUUAAAAAUCCCCCGUUAGAAUCCCACGAAUGCAUGCAAAUUGCUCUGGAUUAGAGCCACCUACAUAGAUCGAAGGGUUGAGCUUAACCAAUUCACGAUACUUGUAAGAUAUUUCAUAAGCUUCUAGGUAGACGGGUGUCCAUGCCUAUGCUCCUAGAUAAUAUAUAUAUAUAACGCUUACUUUAGGAGAAUCCGCAUUUUAUACACUAAUUAUUUUAGUAUAUACUUAUUCCUCAUAAACUAGGUAGUUUUUAUGCAAAAGGUCCUUAUCAACUAAAUUACAAAGAGUACAUCCCCCAUGACUUUAAUUAGUAAUAACACUUUUAUUCAUCAGAAAUUAGUCAUAACAUUUUCAAAUACUCCUAAUAAAUAUACAUAUUUAGGACUAAUUUGACAUUCUAAUCUAAAAAUUAUGGUUGGUAAAAAAUUACAUAACCUCAAUAUUUCCUUCUGAACUGACUUUUUAUUUUUAUUUUUUUAACGGCCCUUCUCAUGUGCAAGCCAUAUCAGGAAUAGCAAGUGAAAUUUGACAACUGAGAGUGGACUCACACACGAAAGGGGCAAGUAGAACUUGACCAUAAUACCAUGUUAGAAAAUCCAAUCCAAAGAUAUAUAAAGAGCAUAUAAACUUCAUUAUCAUGCAAUGGGGGAUAUUUCAAUACAUGCCAACCAAGGAUAGAGCAGAGCCCCUCUAAUGCAUUUGUAGCUCCUAAUGAGCUUCACAAAUCAUGAUAUGCCGAAAUGCCUAUGAGUUGCUCUUUGCUUUUCUUCAAUAUGUUCCUUGAUGAAUCCACCUAGAAUAGUCUGCAAGCAUACAUGUGUGAACAGCCCAGAUGUGAAUUUGCUUAAGUGGAAUGAGAAAUCCAAGGAUAAAUUUGAAGACAAAGAGCAAGAAGGUAAUGAUAUGAGAUUAAAGAAAUCUAAUGAUAAAUUUAUUCUUUUGAAAGUGCUCAAGGAUGAAAGAAAUUGUUGGCUGACAUUGUCUCCUAAUACAUGUCAUUAGGAGACACUAUGUAGACGAAAGAAAACCUGCAAGAAGUGGACAUCAAAAGCUAUGACAUGGUAGUGCUAGCGUAGAGCCGCUCGUGGGGAUUAUUCAAGUGACUAUCUUUACUCCAUUUUUUUAUUUCCUGGCUCAUGUUACUCCAAUUAGGAUACCCCAUGGACACAUUUAAAAAAAAAAUACCAUGUCAUGAUUUCCCACACAAACCAAAUCAACUUGAAAAGCACAAUAUUGAGUCAUAACAAUUAAUGCGUUGGGGAACUCCUUGCCUGUAUCAGAUCCAUUGGGCAGAGGAAGGAUCCAGGUGGACCCUCCCUUAUUUCCAGGUGCGACAGCCUCCCCAUCACUUCGUUGGCCGGCAAGAUUGGCCGCGCUUGCCCCCGUUCAACAACCUGCAGACGCUGUAGCCCCAGAUCAAGCAGGUGGUCCAGCAGUAGCAUCCGAUCAAGGCUCCUUCCCAAAAAGAAUAAAAAUAAAUACUUUUAAUGUAAAGCUUGUGGUUAUAUAUGUUUCUGAUUUGUGAUAUCACGUCAUUAUAUCAUGACUGGAUUACCUGUGAGUUUCUUUUCAUUCAAUAAGUAAAGGUGUCGUGCCAGGGAAAUUGAAAAUAAAAUAAAAUUGAAGAGGCUCUUCUUUUUGGUGAGAAAACGCGAGAUGGUUCUCUACUGCCUUUGUUUCCUUUUAUUUUGGUCCUUGUUGGAUAGGUCUAAGGACAAUCUAGGAGUUCUAAUUUCAAUGGAAAGCUGUUCUUCUUAGCACAUUUUGCCGAGCCGUUCUCUUCUCAAGGUUUGUCAUAUUUUUGGCACUUUGAGUGAGAUUGAAUUAUUCACUUAGAAAGUUUAGGUGAUGGCAUCUCAUUUAGAAUGAGUACUGCAUUAUCAGUAGAUAGAUACAAGGGUCUAAGUUAGUCCAAGUAUAAUAUGUCAAGAAGAUUAACAUGAUCAAAAUUUGGUAUUUACUCCACAAAUCAAUAAUACGGCCAGCGAAUCAAUGUUUGUCCAUUAGCAGUCAAGGAAAGGAUGGAGAAUUAAUAAAUAUUUGUCCACCAGCCGUGGAGGAAAGGAUGGUUUACCAAAUCAAAGUUUGUCUAAUCACGAAUUGUCUAUGAGCAAUACCAGUUCGUCCAUUAGCAGUGGAGGAAAGGAUGGUUUGUCUAAUCACCGUUUGUCUAAUCACCAUUUGUCUCUGAGUGGUGCAUGAAAGAAUGGAUAUCUAAUCAAUGUUUGGUCAUAAGCAGUGGAGUAAAGGAUGGAGACAUAGACAUUGGUGAUGGUUACUGGUUAAGGAAUCAUCCAUCUCUAUAUGCGUAUUAGAUGGGGACUAGGACAUCAGGACUAGUACCUAACCAAUAUUUGCAUCACUCGAUUGUUUAUGUGUCCACAUUAUUGUCUUGAUUGAGGUAACCGAGAGUGGUAUUUUUUUUUUUGGCUGAUAACGGCUUGGCACAUUUUGCUACCGAGUUUUCAGCUACCCGAGGAACUGACUCGUGUUUAAAUUAAAAAUGGGUUUGUAAUGCAUAUUGAGACAAUUAUUACACAAGCGGUGAUUACAACAAGCUAAAAUUAAGUUUCAAGUCAUAAUCUCAUUUUGACGAUGACAGACUAUAUGAAGUACUUAUUACACAGGAGACGAUUCAAGUCAAAUCAUUUUGGUACUUUAGUAGCUAGUAAUCAUAUGAUUUUUACUUUCUCUUUAAGCCACUCGGUGUUAAAAAAUGCAAAGAAACCAAGCUAAGAGCUUGCAUACCAUGUAGAUAUUACUUGAUUGUUGAUAAGCUGCGGGUCGAAGGGUCUAAAGAUAAUUUCUCGAAUUGCUGGAAAAGCAAAUGCUGAAGCAAGUCUUAAUAAUUAUAAUCCAAGCCCUCUUGUAUGGAGAAAUUUGACAAAGUCAUUCGAGAAGAAUAUACGUGUAAAUGACACAGACUGUUAAUAUGGACCAUCAAAUUAUAAAUAAAUUCGCUGCUUCCAUAACUAAGGAAAAAAACCCAAAAGAUAAGGGGGUGGCUAGCUAUGAUUCUGAAAUUUCAUUGGAGAUCUAAUGACUAAUAAUUUUAAUAUUAAAUAGGAGGUACUGUUGUAUUUUGUUAUAUUAAUAAGAUAUUUGAACAAAGAAGAUUGCUUUACUUUGUCAAAUUGAACCGGUAGUUUGAUAAAACAUUAUUUGAGCUAUAGAAUCAAACCUCUCUAUUCUAUUCUUUUUCUUUUCUCCAUAUAUUUACAUUCCGAGCUUGAGCUAAUAAUCAAAAUGAGUUGAAUAUAAAUUUGGGGCAAACCUACAAAGACCCGCAUAAUAUAUUAAGUGACUCGAUAGAACUAGGCACAUUCUUACCUUAAAAAAAAAGUAGAACUAGAGCACCAUAAAUUUGAGUUGAUGACAUGCUGCUAACUUACAUGCCAUGUAUGAUAAUAAUAAUAAUUAAAAAAACAAACGUACAUAUCACGUGGGUGUGGCCUAUCCUUAUUUGUAUGUUCUCUUCUAAUAAUUACACUUUGUUCUUUUGAUGAUAACAAAUUGUAUAAAGUGCUUAUUACACGACGAAUAAUGUAACUCGAAUCAUUUUGGCAAUUUUAACAACUGAUAGUUAUUCAUUUUUCAUACUUAUAAACCACUUGAUGUGCAUGCAAUAAUUUUGGUUUGUUUAUAUUUCCAUUUUGUGGCCUUGAUUGAGGUGACUGGUCUUUUUUUUUUUUUUUAAUUUUAAUUUUUGGCCAAUGACGACUUUUGCUAUUAAGGAAGAAGAUUUCAUGGUUUACUUGGUAGUGGAACCAUGCUUUAAAUUUUAAAAAAUGCAAAGAAAUCCUACAAACAGCUCACCGUCGUUACUUUUGAUUGUUUAUAAUUUCACGUCGUGGUCCUGACGAAGGCGACUGGUCUUUUUCAACUUUAAUUUUUGGCUUAUGCCAACCUGCAAUUUACGGUAAAUGGAAUCAUAUGAAGAGAAAUAUCAUUGACGGCCACAUGCUCAUUCUCAUUAGGAGUCAAACCAUAGUUCGUUAAAUAUCUUAGAGUCCCAAGGCUACUCACUUCUCUUUUCCGACUACUCCACACCAUGCCAACAAGUCGUCAAAUUAGUGUUUGUUUACAACUCAAUUUCUGUACGAUCGAUUAACAGUUGAAAUAGUCUCAUAAGCAUCAUCGGUUCUCCAAUUUAAUGAAGUAACAUAACCUUCAUUCCAAUCAUUGCUCGAGUAUUUUCCAACUGCUCUACAUAAUGUCACCAAGUCAUCGAACUAGUGUUUCUUUACAACUUAGUAUCUAUGUGAUCUCCAAGUAGCUAAAAUAGCCUCGUAAGCAUGAUCAUUUCUCCAAUCUAAUGAAGUGGAAUAACCUUCACUCAGAUCAUUGCUUGAGUCUUUUCCAACUACUCCAUACCAUGCCAGCAAGUCAUCAAAUUAAUGCUUCUUUGCAACUCAAUAUCUAUAGGAUCAACUUUAAGUUGAAAUAGCCUUGCAAGAAUGAUUAUUCUCCAAAUCUAAUGAAGUUAAUGUAACCUUCACUUUGAUCAUUGCUCGAGUCUUUUCCAACUACUCCACACCAUGCCCCAAAUCAUUUACAACUUAGUAUCCAUAUGAUCAACUUUCCCUUGAAAUAGCCUUGCAAGCAUCUGAUCAAGCAAAUGUUGAGGCAAGUCUUAAAAAUUAUAAUCCAAGCCCUCUUAUAUGGAGAAAUUUGACAAAGUCAUUCAAGAAGAAUAUACAUGUAAAUCACAUAGACUAUGUUAACAUGGACUAGCAAGUUGUAAAUAAAUUCCCUGCUUCCAUAACUAAGUAAAAAAACUCAAAAGAUAAAGGGGUGGCUAGCUAUGAUUCUGAAAUUUUAUUGGAGAUCUAAUGACUAUUAAAUAGGAGAUGCUGUUGCAUUUUGUUCUAUUAAUAAGAUAUUUGAACAAAGAAGAUUGCUUUACUUUGUCAAAUUGAACCGAUAGUUUGAUAAAACAUUAUCUGAGCUGUAGAAUUAAACCUCUCUAUUCUGUUCUUCUUCUUUUUCUCCAUAUAUUUACAUUCCGAGCUUGAGCUAAUAAUCAAAAUGAGUUGAAUAUAGAUUUGGUGCAAACCUACAAAGACCUGCAUAAUAUAUUAAGUGACUCAACAGAACUAGGCACAUUCCGACCCCCCCCCCCCCCAAAAUACCAGGAUCGGUAGUUGCUAGAUCUGUUCCCGAGAAAGGGUACAUUUUUUCUAAACUGCAUCCGCUGAUAUCUGAAGAAACUUAUAUUCACCACAGCUCUGCUUUCAUGAAUCAGAAUGCGCCUGAGGUUCACUUAAUUCAUCUUUAUUGGUGACCNNNNNNNNNNNNNNNNNNNNNNNNNNNNNNNNNNNNNNNNNNNNNNNNNNNNNNNNNNNNNNNNNNNNNNNNNNNNNNNNNNNNNNNNNNNNNNNNNNNNCCCCCGGUCCCCAAAAAAUGAAGAACCGGGGGGGCCUUUAAAUCGAGUUGAUGACCUGGUGGCGUAACCAUACAUGCCACGUAUGAUAAUAUAAAAUAAAAAACGUAAAAUGUCACGUGGGUGUGGCGUAUCCUUAUCUGUAUGUUCUCUUCUAAUAAUCACACUUUGUUCUUUUGAUGAAUAGGAAAGAAAUGUCUUAUAUAUAACCGUGCAAAAUGAGAGUGUGUUGUGUUCUCUCCUUCCUUUUAUUCUCUAUCGUUUCUAACACUUCCUUUUACUAGUUUCACGUUUGUCAUGGCCGACCUUUCUUCUGUGGCGGCCGAGAGAAUCUCUCAUAUAUUAAUCAACUUGUCUAUAUUUUUCUAUGAGAAAUUCAGGUGAAGGAAUGAAUUUUAGUGUCUUUUAGCAGAUCAAUUUACUCAUGGAGCAACUUUCUUCUGAUGAAAUGGGGUCCAAAUGGAUGGAAUAUGUCAACAUUCUCCGGAAAAGUUCUAUAAUGUUCUCAGGUUCGAGACCUCGAUAUUGUUUCGCUCUUUGGUUCGAUAAACCCCCGGCCAAGGCGUAGGGAGAAAUGGGCAUGGACUUUGAUGCUCGGCCUCGAGAGCCUAUUGCCCAUGCCCACUUCUCUAGCUUUCCAUGCCCAAGUCACUAACGUUCGCAUAAUACGUCUAAUUAGAAAAAAAAAAAUCUUUUCAAACGAUGGGAAAUAUUUUUCUUUUCAUUUUCAAGUUGCAGCCAAAUAUCACAAAAUAUGGUUAUUUUCCUGAAAAAUGAUUUAUUAGAAAACAUAUUUCAGAAAUUAUCACUUUUUUUUUUUUUGUGAAAUAAACAGAGCAUAAGAAUUAAUGAUUUUUUUUUUUUAUGAACAACUCUGUCAAGUUUAUGCACACAUUCGAAUUGUACAAAGCAAGCUUUUUCUCAUUCAAGUCCAUCAAACCUCUCACCAAUAAUGGGGACUCAGAAUAUCAUGAACCAUUGAUAACCUUAGGAAUCGUUAGGAAAAAGAAUGGCUAGAGAACAAAUUUCUUCUCCUUCAAUAGAAUUAGUUUCUUGUCGUGUCAUAUCUAUUCCACAAGCUGCACUCUCCGUUCUCAAAUUCUAAGCACCUUUUUUCUCCCUCCAAAACUUUCAUGUUCAUUCAGUAUGAAACAUUCAAAUGGCUGCUUAAACAAACUCGUGUCGGCAUAAAUAAAGAAGGCUUCAGUCGUGAGUUUAAUGCAACGCUGCAAAGACAUUACACUUCUUUUUUGGGUCAGAAAAGACAUUACACUUUCGAAAGACACAUUUGCCUAGAAGAAAACUUGAAAAGGAAGGAGCACUUCAUAGACAAAACCAACAUUAUCAGCAUUAUAACUACGUAAUCCUGAUUGCUUCGUCUAAGAUUUCUGUCUUGUGACUUUCAGAAUCAUCUCAAAGGCCGUCCAACCUGGAAAGAAGCUUUUUUACAGUAGACUACUGAUUUGCUGUAUUUGAAGAAGUGAUGUAUUCCUGAUGUCUGAGCAGGAAACUCAUGGAGUGAAUGACAAAGAUCCUGGCCAAGACAGAUCUACUGAACAACAAAUCCUAGCGGGAGUGCUGACCAAGUACAGCGUAAACGGUCUGUGUUAUGGUGAGAGCUAUGAUCAAGAAAGCAGAGAAAACCGAUAUGACUGACCAUGGACUGGAAAAGUAAGUGCGUAUCAUGCUCGCCCAGUUGCUGUAGUAGUAUGAUUCCAGUUCCUCAAACUGCUUGGACAGAUAACAGUCACAAACAUUAAAAUCGAUACUCUUCCCAAGCUUCUCGAAUAAAUUAACCACAUACUGGUCAUGGCGAGAAAGUGUUGAGAUGAUCCCAUCUGAACAGAGAAGUGAAACGUCCUUCGACUGUUUGAUGAGGCAGUGCAUGAAGGAGACAUAAUCGGUGAUGUGCUUGGAGCUGUUUUCUUGGCAUUUUUCUAGGGCGAUGCAGUUUAUUAGCACGGUGGUCAUGAAGUCAUCGAUGGCGAUGGGUGGUAUCUCGAGCACCCGUUUCGGGAAACUUAUGUCCAGAAAGCUCUCUGUCUUCUUGGACUUGAAUUUGAUUCCGGAGGGCCUAAGCUGGGUCACACACGGUAUGGACUGAUCCGAUGGCCGGUACUUCUGUUUGCGGUCGCAGUGGACUGGGUUUGUCUCGGGCACCCCUUUUCGGAAAAUUAUGCCCAGGGAGCUCUCUGUCUUCUUGGACUUAAAUUUGAUUCUGGAGGACCUUAGCUGGGUCGCACACGGUAUGGACUGAUCCGAUGGCCGGCACAUCUGUUCGGAGCCGUGGUGGACCGGCUUUCUCGGAAAGAGAGUAAAGUUAAAGAGGUCAAGUAAAUGCUUGUAUGGUCGACUCUUAAUUUCAUCAUAAUGCCGGUAUCGUAGAUCCGUAUACUCGUCCUGAAUCGCCAUGGGUCUUGGAUAGGCCUGAUUGAACACUCUCAAAGCAAGCAUGCACAAAAAGGGAGUCUUCGCCUCGACCCUUGUUGAUCUCGAGAAGUCAAAGAGCGACUUGAGAAGGGAGUACGGAACCUGGUUUUCGAGCUUCAGUAAGUCCCUGAUGAGAGUCCGGAUUAUCAACGGCCGUGUAAGGAUGGGGUCCUCUACGUCAAUUGCAUGGCCGCUCCUAAAAAUGUGGAGCAUGAAUUCCACAACAAAGCAACCGUCGAGUAGCAUCAUCUCCACGAACUCACUACUCGACAUACCCACAACUUCAUCUUCCGAGUAGCAACCCCGGGCAGAGCUUUCUUGAUCUGCCACUAAUUUGAUGAGACUCUCCUUGUCGGAGUCCGUGCGACGAAGGAAGAUUUUGAGGAAGAACCAUUUGUGCUCUUCGAACUCGCACAAAUGCUUCUGGCCCCUGUGCAACGGGCCUAUAGAUACAAUCUCAGGCUGUUCAAACUGAUGAUUGAUAUCGCGAAGAACCAGAGGGAUCCUAAAGAUGGUGCAAGUCGAGGCCUGGGCUUGGAAGGGUCUCACCUCUUCCCCUAGUCGGCGCCUAACGUGAUCCAAGCAGCAAGUUACUGCAUCAUCGUGCGAUCCUGCGUCAGCAUCACCUGGGCCGGCUUCAUCAUAGUUUCUCGGGGGUGAAGUUAGUGCUUUAGGCAUAAAUUGUUCCCGGUUUGUCAUAGACCCGAGCUGAUCCUCUCCAGUCGACUCUGCAGCGGAUCUGGCUGUUUCGUUUUCAACUGCUGGACAUUUAACUUCCUCGAUCUCGACUGCAUGAUAAUCCAUGACACGCACCCUCUCUCUGUCCCUGAAACAAAAUUAAAACAUAGACCGUGCUCCGAAGCUGAAUGAAAAUUUAAGAUCAAAUUUGACCACCCAUUUCCAAGAAAUUACCAGCACAUCAACAAAUAAGACAAUAGCAAGAAUGAAAUGCUGAACUGCUUUUGUCGGAGGGCGUUUCGCCCCUCUUCCUUAAAUUUGUGAUAAUGCAGUUAAAGCAGCAGACUUUAGAACUAACCACGGAAGAUCGGACAGCGCUCAACGUCAGACCAGAAAUUUGAUCUUUGAGAUUGAUGCUCAUCAAGUGUGAAAGAGUCUUCACGCAAAACACUCGUGUUCCCAAAGCAAGAUUUGGAUUGUUAGAGGUCGGCACUAUCUAGUCUCCAUUUAUUUGUGCUUCUUCUUUUUGGUUUUUUGAGAUAUAUGCAACAACAAAAGUCCUAAAACUUAUAAGGAAAGUGUAAUUGAGUCCUAAAACUUACAAAACGUACAAUUAAGUCCUAAAACUUGUCAAAAUGGUUCAAUUGAGUCCUAAAUUUAAUACCGUCAGAUUUACUAACGAAAAUUGCUGACGUGGUGCUGAUAUCAUAUUUUAAAUUAAUUUCUAUUUUCCAUAUGGAUUUUUUAAAUUAUUUUUUAUUCAAAAUAUUUAAAAUUAGUUUUAAAAACUAAAAAGGAAAAAGUAAAAACUGUCGAAAAAAAAAAGAAAAGAAAAUGGUGCCACAGCCAUUGCCCAUCGCCGGAGGGGCUGACGACCGAAGCUCCACUAGUGCCUUUUUUUUUUAAUGGUUUUGUUUUGUUAAAUAAAUUUAGCUUUUCCUUUUUAUUUUUUAAAUCUAAUUUAAACAAGAAUAAAAAUAAUGUUAAAAGCCGCGUGGAAAAUAAAAAUUCAUUUAAAAUGCCAUGUCAGCAAUUCUGUUAGUAAGUUUGAUGGUGUUAAAUUUAGGACUCAAUUGAACUAAUUUAAUACGUUUUAGGAUUUGAUUGAACUUUUUAUAAGUUUUUGAACUCAAUUGUACUUUCCUUAUAAGUUUUAGGACUUCUGUUGCAUAUAUCUAUUGUUUUUUCGUUUUCAAAUUCUUCUCGAGUUGGGACAUAUUUGGGAGAUGUCAGUGAAGAAAGCAAAUCGACCCAGGCCAACUCUAAGUGUGUGUCUACAUACAUACAUACAUACAUAUAUAUAUACAUAUAUAUAUAUAUAUAUAUAUAUAUAUAUAUAUAUAUAUAUAUAUAUAUAUGCCAGCACCUAAUCAAUGUUAGUUUUACUCUAUUCACCGUGAGUCCACAUUGUGGUCAUCCUUAAGGCGACCAGUGCAGUCUUCUUUUUAUUUUUAUUCUUGGCCAGUGACAACUUUGGACAGUCUACUACCAAGUUAAGGCCUUGAGCAAAUUAGGUGAUCGAGCUGUUCGAUAAAUUGAUAGCUCUUUGACACUCCCUUCCUUCGUCCUUUUUUGCACUCAAAUCUAUUCACACUUCUUCGUCUUUUAUUGUUCUUGCUCUGUUUUGCUCUUUCUUAUCCUUGGCACAACCACUCUUCUUCAGUGUCUGCUUCUCUUUUUUAUCACUCUCUCUGUCUUUCUGUUUUCUCGCUCUUUCUUUCUAUUACAAAAAUCAAAGAAAUGGCGAUCCACUUUGUCGUUCCUAUUGCAAGUCGUCUCUUGGAGUACCUAGUUAAUCCGAUCAAGCGUCAAUUUGAAUAUGUGAUCUCCUCCGAGAGCUACGCUCAGGAUCUUCAAAAGGAAGUAGGGAAGCUCGCGUACCAGGCUGAUUCGGUCGACAUUGCCGUGGAAGAGGCCAAAAUAAAUUUUCGGGAUAUCAAGAGAUCUGUCACGAACUGGCGAGAAAGUGUUGAGAAGGCCUUGAAGGAGGCGAGAGACUUGUUGGGCAACUUUGAAGAGGCGAGCGAGACUUGCUGCUACGGGACCCUUCCCGACCGCAGUCAUUGCUAUCAGUUCAGCAGAAAGGCCAUGGGCAAAAUCGAGGAAAUUCGGGGACUCACUCAGACCGGCAAAGGAUUCAAGGAAUUGAAGGACGUUUCCUUCAAUCCUGAUCUGGGGAAUGUCAACUCGACGACAACUGAGCUUACGGAAGAUGGCGUCUUCGAAUCCAGAGCUUCUAUCAUAGAGAAAAUCGUGGACGCUCUUGCCGAUAACAGAACUAACGUCGUUGGGGUUUACGGGAUGGGUGGGAUCGGCAAGUCCAUCCUUUUGGCGGAUGUUGAAAGGAGAAUAAUAAAAGAAAGGUCGUUUGAUUUCGUCCUUCAGGCCAACGUGUCGAUGUAUCCAUACAUCAAGGAAAUUCAAGCUGAGAUUGCAUACAGGUUGGGGCUUCGCUUGAAGAUUACACAGAAUGUCAAAACGCGAGCAGAUCGUCUGCGCAAGAGGUUGCAAAAUGAGAAAACGAAGGUCCUCAUAAUACUCGACAACCUAUGGGAGGGGCUCGACUUGAAAUCAGUGGGCAUUCCUUGCGGAGAUGACAACAAAGUCAUAGGAUGCAAGUUGUUAUUGACGUCAAGAGAUCGAAAUGUUUUACGAAGGGAUAUGCACUGCGACAGGGACUUCCAUCUUGAUGGGCUGACGAAGAAAGAGGCAAAAAAAUUGUUCGAGAGGGCGGUGGGAGACAAAGUUCAUGACGACGACUUCAGACCCUUGAUGGAAGCAGUACUCAACAAAUGUGCAGGUGUUCCUUUCCUAAUUAUUGCAAUGGCAAAACGUUUUAAAUACGCUGAUUUAUCUGAAUGGAAGGACACUUUGUUAAAAAUCGAGAGGUCUAAACACGACGGGUUCAAUGAGAUAACAAAUGUGAUGUUACAAUUAAGUUAUGAUCGUUUAAACGAGAAGGAGAAGUCAUUUUUACAACUCUGUGUGGUUUAUGGCGGCUCGGAGCCCUCUCUUGAAAACUUGGUGAAGUGCGGUAUUGAUUUGGGGUUAUUUCAAGAAGUUAGCAGCAUGGAAGAAGCUAUAGAGAGUCUGAGCUCUGGGAUCCGUACUCUUAAGGCCUGCUCCCUUCUGUUAGAGGAUGGAGAAGCUGAUGGUUUCAAGGUACAUCCCUUGGUUCGUGAGUUUGUGAACGCUGUCGCUCUAAGAGAUCACUGUUUUCUUAUGUUGAAUGAUAAAGAUAAGGAGGUAAUGGAGUAACUCGAGACCAAGGGCACUUAUUGAGAAACUAAUUAAAGAAAGUUUACAGUUUCAAAAGUAUUUAUUGUCCGUAUGUUAUGCACAAUUUGUGCCUUGGAACUUGGAAUUUUCAAAAUAGAGGAUACCAACAGCAUUUGUUCAUAGCUUUACCAAAAAACAGCAUUUGUUCAUAGAGCCCUUGUGAUUUAUUAUCAUAAUAACUCAUUACUAAUUCUUGUCAUUGUAAUCUUUUUUAGAUCAUUACAUCUUUUCAAUUAUAAGAAAAGGAUAAUUCAAUGGCAAACAAUAGCAAUGAGAAGAUGAUGUCAACCGCGACCAUGAUAAUGAUAGUAGUCUUUUUUUUUCUUUCUUUCUUUCUUUCUUUUUCUCUGAUUAUAAUUGGUCUACUCUCAUCCUAGAACCGUUUAUCUUGUUUCGCAUCUUCUAAUGAAGAUGCCCCACUGCCCCUAAAGAAGUUGGUCUUGCUCGUCUUAGUCCAAAAAGCGGUUUGAUCUAUCCACGUUAUUUUAAUUAUCUUAUGCUUAAUUGAAUGAUCGCUCAAUUUGAUUUCUUUGCGAUUUCCCUUUUUCUAGUUACUUAAGCAUUCCUCUAGUUAUUUAGUUUUUCUUUAAUCUUUCUUUUUCGCUUAGAUAAAUUAUGGUGUGUUAGGUUGAAAAUUACGAUAGAACAUAGCUAUGUGCUGUUAUCAUCCAUGAUCCGUUUAAAAGGCAAUGAAGGAGGCUAUAAGCAAAAUGAAAUUUUGGACAAUUCUAUGAUAGUUGUAAGUGCUUGGGGUAUACUUGAAAGCCUACUGUAAGUUUAGCUCUUCAAAAAGUCAACCGUAUAACUUUUCACUUUUGUCAUAAACUUCUUCUUCAAGGUCAUUGGAAUUUUUCCCUCAUUUUUCUGUAUUAAUUUUGGAAAUUUUUAAUUUACUUUAGCUCAUUUGGAGGUCCAAGGAUGAUUUGACUAAGACAAAUAAAAUAAAAUAAAAAAUUACACUUUACCGUUGAAAAUCGCAUGUAAAGGGCUUGCAAAUUGUGAAAUGAACAAAGGAUUGAUAUUCACAAUCAAAUAAAAGUUGAAGGAAUUUAUGUACAGAAAUUUACGAUUAAAUGUGUACUGCCCUCAAAGUUCAUGAUGGGUUUUCUGCAAUUUCCCUUCAAUAUUUUCUAAAUAUAUGAAUUUUAUAUUGAUGUAAAAUUAGCAUCAUUGAAGAAUGAGGAAACAUAUAAGUGUUACAAUUAAGGUUCCGUUUGUUUUACAGAAAAUGUAAUAUUUCUGAAAAAAAAAAUUGUAAAAAUAUAUUUCAAGAAAAUGACAAUAUUUUCAUGUGUUUGGCCAAAAACUUGAAAAUUAACCGGUAAAUAUUUUCCAUUGUUUAGUAAAAUUUCCAAUUUUUAAUAAUUAUUUUUAUUUUUAUUUUGUUUUAUUUUAUUUUUUUCCUUCCUCCACUAGUCGCCAACCCUUAGCGACCUCUCUUGUGGCCGGUUGUGAUGCCUAGCAACCGGUGGAGGAAGGAAAAAAAAAGAAAGAAAGAGAAGAAGAAACUAUAAAAUUAUUAAAUAAUUCAAAUUUGGUAAUAAUAAAAAAUUAUUAUUAAAAAUAUAAGAAAAUAUAAGACAAAAUUAUUACUAAAAUGAUGGACCUCGGCUCAGUCUUAAUGGACUCAACCUUGCUACCAAGGGCUUGGGAAUGAGCAUUGAGGUUUCUAUGCCUAAGCACAAAGUUUCUGGAAAAUGAUUUUUGAUUUUUUAAAGAGGAAAUCUUUUUUUAGAAUUUAAAUGUUAGUAGGAAAAGGUUUUUUGUUAAAUAAGAAAACUUUUUCCAUUGACUCAACUUCAUCAAACCAAAUGCUCGAAAAUGAGGAAAAUGUUUUUUGCGGAAAAAAUGAAGCCUAAGGUUGCAUUUGGCAGUCAAGAUAAAAGAUAAAAUUCAUCAUAUCCUGUGUUCGGUGCUUACUCAAAAUGGGCUAAAGUCGGAUAUAAGAGGAAUAUAGAUUGAAUAAAAUUAUCCCAUGAUGAGGUGAGAUAAAUAUGGAUAGGAUUUCUAAUAUCCAUAAUAAGAAUAUCAUUUUUCUCGAAUAUCAAGCUUCUUAAAUUAACAAAAUAAAAAUAUAUUUCAAUAUAAAUAAUAUUAGAAUUAUAAUACAAGAAAUUCAAAAUAACAAAAAAUAUUAUUUAUUUUUUAAUUUAGGAUUUUUUUUUUUUGGGUGACCUAGGAACCCAUACAGCCGGCAGCCGGCCAAUAAACCUGGGGGGACAUGUAAGCGGGAGGACCCACCACCCCCGGCGUCCCACUUAAGACCCCAAGCGACCGUGAGGAGAUUUGAACUCCUCCCCUUUGUGAGGGGGAGAGAGCCCAAACCAUCAUGGCUACCAAGGCGGUGGUAUUUUUUAAUUUAGGUUUGAUACCCUAAAAAACCUCCAAAUAGAUACACACAUGACAAAUUUACUAAAAAUUAAUUUUUUCAUCAUAAAAAAUCCAAAACUGGUACACUUUCAACAAAUUUACGCUUAAAUUGGUACAUUUGUGAUAAAUUUACUCUAUAUUAAUUUUCGUUAAAAUUUACUGUAAAAAACUAAAUUUGAUGACACAUGACAGUUAAUUGGUAUAUCAAUUUGAGAUUUUGCUCUAUGUAUGUCAUAGUUGUACCAUUUUUAUGGUUUCUUGUGGUAUUAAUUCACUUAAAUGGAGAGUAUAUUUAUCAUAGAUGUACCGGUUUAGGAUUUUUGGCAGUCAAACAAAUUAGUUUGGGGUAAAUUUGUCACAAGUAUACCUGUUGGGGUUUUUUGUGGUCAUUCAGGGUAAAUUUAUCAUAGAAAUACCGGUUUUGGGUUAUUUGUGAUCAAAAAAUUAGUUUAAGGCAAUUUUGUCAUAAGUGUACUAGUUUAAGAUUUCCAUAAUAUUAACCUAUUAAUUUAAUCUCAUUUUAAUUUAUAUAGUCGAAUUUAAUUCUAUCUUAUAAUAUAAAUUCAAAAAAUUAUUAAAUAUUUUAGGUAUUUUGAAUUUGAGGUAUAUUAGUAUAGUUUGCUAUUUAAUAAAAUUUUAUUAGAGAAGAUGUAAAGGGAAAAAAGAAAUAAAAAAAAUAAAUGAAUUAAAAAAGAGAGGGAAAAUAAAAUAAAAUAGGCAAGAGUAUUGUGAUAGAUUUUGACCAUCUCCGUUUGUGAAUUUUUAAAGGCAUUUAUACUAAUAUGCUAUUUAAAGCAAACAAUAUACAUGAUAUGAUAUAAAUAUAUCCAACUUUAUUAUUGUAAUUACCAAAUAUUAAAUAGGGCAUAGUAAAAUCCUUAGAUUUCAUACCAUAUUCUAUCCAAUUAUAUCCUAGUCAGAAAUCCAGACGACCAAUAGAUAAUGAGUGCUUGUUGAGAGAGGAGUUCUAAUAUUGUUGAACAUGCAAAAUGGACAAAAGUAGCAUUAAAGCUUUAAGAUAACUCCAGGACAAUAACUCUAAUUCUUUGUACUGAUGUAGUUAAUGUAAACAAUAGAUAGAGAUAUGUUAGGGGAAAUGUGCCAUAAGAGUCCCAACAUUAUCAGUGGUGCCGGUUAGGAAUUCACAUUGAUUGAGAUGAACAUCAGAGUGUUAUUCUAAGCCAUUCUCAGUGUGGAUCUGAACUCAGGAUUCCUUAUUAUACCUCCUUUGCUCUUUAGUUGCGAAUCAAUGAAAAGUAGACGCUUUUCUGUUUAAGUUUUCUUCUUUCCUGCGCUAGUCUCAAUUCUGUAACUUCCACUAUGGAAAGAAACUCUCAAAUUUGGCGCUUUUUUAAGGUUUCUGGUAGCUCCACCUGAUAUAUAGAACUAAUAAAGUGUCAUGAUGUCAAUCGGACGCUCCUUUAGCAAUCCGUGGUCAUACGAAGUCAGUUUCUAUUUAAAUCACAUUUUUUACGUCCUUUUCAAAUUCUUAAAGAUUUUAUGCAAGUCUUUUUGCAUGUUGGUGCGACCUGUAGUUUUUAAGUUUCUUUAGAUAUGAAGAGCAUUUAAAAUUUAUUCCGUCAAAUUAACUGAAUUUUGAUUUUCAUGAUAACAGUAAUUUUCAAUCUACGCAAAAAAAUUUCAUAGCCAGUCAAUUAAAGAGAUGCUCCCUCCAACGUCUAUUUUAGUUCUCUUGUUUCACUACAGGUGAGAUCGAACAUUCUACAUGCAAAGCGGGCCAUUCUAAGCCGGAUUUUCAUGGUCAUACAAUUUCAAAGCCUCUCACAUCUCCUGAAUUGGCCAGCGAUGUCAUACCAUACCAAUAGCUCUACAUAACUAUGCGCUUUUCCCAAAAAAAUCCACAGAGACUUCCUCGCAUCUCCAUGAUCUGUAUUUCCAGAGUCUUUAUGCUAAUCUGCUGUCACUAGAUUCAUGUAUAAGAAACAGAUUCCGCAAAAUAACGACGUUGCCUAGGAGGGAGCUUGAGGAGUCCACCAAUUUCCUACACCGCAGUAUGACAAAGUGAACAACAUUUAAUACUCAUGCAAAUAAAUAUGAAGCAAAGCAGACCCAAAUAAAAAUUCAUUCAACCCCUAGAACACCAGAGCACAUAAGUUAACAAAUCUAUUUCAAUAUGAUUGAAUCAUUGAUUAAUUUAAAGAAUAGCGACUAAGCUGUGCAACAAUAGGUCACCGAUCAAAGUUUAUGAGUGCAAAGAGUGUCAUUGAAUAAUGAAAGCAAAUUACUACUUAGAAACGAGACGAGCAUGUCCAGUCUGCGAAUGAUUGCUUACCCUUUCUGAACAAAAAAAUGCAGGAAAAGAGGACGAAGGAGACAUGAAGCUUUCUGAGGCUAAUACCAAACAUUUUUAAGCUAAUGAAUUCAGUGUAAUAACAAUGGUCCGAUCCUGCACCCCACAUACAAAUAAUGAAAAAGCAGAGUAAAAGGAAAAACUUUGGUUGAAGGAACAUGCUAGGGAUGUUACACAGUUCAUGAGCAAACUUUCAUUUCACACACCACAAAUGAUUCUUGCAUCCAAUAGAUCCAAAAAGUGAUGAGUGAUCUAACAAGGCCAGAUUCGGUAAAGCUUCCUGUUAAUCCGAUACUCAAACGAUCGAAUAUCGAAAACGAACACAAAAAAUAUGCCCAGGAAACAUGUAACACUGAUCGAAAGAUAUAUCACGGAUACGGACUUACCUUGUUUACCACAUAUUAAGUACCGUUGCAGUCUUAGGGGAAUCCUUUGAAACCUUGGAGUUCUAUUCGUCAAGAGGGAGGAUACUACUUCAAAGGGGAGAAAAAAUAGCAAUGCCUAUUUUCUCUAAUACGCUACAGGUAACCUUAUCCCCUUUUAUUUUAUUUUUUUAUUUUUUAUUUAUAGGCCCUUCACAUACGGGGCGGGUUUUGGCCCAACAUGGGCGAACGGGCUUAACUUGGUCCAUCAAAUAAACAACCUAUCACUUCCUCUAGAUGGAAUGGCGACGUCUUCGCAGGGCUUGGGAGUGUUGGGCACUGACUCCUACUGCAGCUCCUCUUGGAACGAUAGGUACUAACAUAUCGCUAGCCAACGUAGAGUUCAUCUUUGCAGUAGAAUUUAUAACGUGUUCAAUUGGCUGCAAAAUCGAAUGUCAUAAACUCUACGCCUGAGACCAUAGAAAGCAGCGUUGACAUCAACUCCAAUGAAACCAGCCUCUGUGAUUGUAGUAUCAACAACCCUCUCAAGUCCACACUUCUGCCGAAAAAAUGAACUUUUAGACACAUUGAAAGACUCUAGGAUCUAUAGACAUUUCCUCAUCAAACGCAGCAUCCAGAGUCUCUCACAGUUCUUUUUCUCGCAGUAGCAUAACUAAAUAAGGGCACUUCUGCGGUACGACUCUGUUAUAGAUAAAGCCAAAUAUUUGUUUUUAGGGGCUUUUUUUGUCUUUUCUAUUAUAUUUCCUUUUAGGUUAAAAGUGGUACCUAUAUAUUAGCGAUGGCAAAACCCUAGCCGUCAAGACGCUGAAAAAGAAAAUAGAGAGGCAAGAAAAAGAGAGAAGAAAAAAGUGAGUUUUUUUUUCUUGAUGAGAGUUCUCAAUCUCUUUGUGCCCUGAUCUUAAGAGAAUAUCGUCGUUGUAUUCCAACUUUUUCCGAAGUCUAGUGGAUUCGUAGAGUGCCUCUACGCGGAGACGUAGCCCAGGUUUGGGUGAACUUCGAUAACAAAUUUUCUGGCGUGUUCAUUUGAUUCUGCCCUUUUAUUACUAUAUUUUGUCUGGUGAAUUGUUUGCGAGCGUUAUUUUUCUGGAAUUGACGUGUGAUUUCGUAACAACUGGUAUCAGAGCCUGGGUUGGCUAAUCGAAAACAUCGAGGGUUUUCGGUGACGUUCGAUUGAAAGCAAACAGGAUGGCAGAAGAUAAAAUCAGAAUCGAUAAGUUCAAUGGAGAGGAUUUCGGAUGGUGGAAACUACAAAUAGAGGAUUAUCUUUAUCAGAAAGAUCUCUAUGCACCACUUGAGGGUUGGAAACCCGAGAUGGCGGAAGUGGAUCCGACAACAGAAGCCGGAUGGAAAAUUCUUGAUUGAAAGGCGUUAGGUGCGAUUCGUCUAGGGUUGACGAAAAAGACAGGAUACCACAUCGCGAAAGCAAAAACUGCAAAAGAAGCCAUGGAUAUUCUAACGAAUAUUUUUGAGAAGCCGUCCACAUCAAAUCAGGUAUUUUUGCUGAAGAAACUAGUUAAUAUGAAGUUAUUUGAUAGAGGUUCUGUGGCAGAGCAUAUUAAUAGUUUCACGCAAGUCACGGGUCAAUUGGAAUCCGCAUGCAUAAAUUUAGAUAUGAAGCUUCAAGCUUUAUUAUUUUUAUGUUCUCUUCCAGAAAGCUACAAUAUCGUAGUGCAGGGAAUUUCGAGCACCAUGAAUGAUGAUUUAACUCUUGAUGAUACUGUGAGUAGUAUCAUGGAUGAAGAGAUGCGAAGGAAAGUCUCAGGUGGAGAUAAUUUUUCUGUAUCUACAUCUUCAACGGCACUUGCAGUGGAGAACCGUGGAAGAAGUAAAAGUAGAGGAAAUUUCAGCGGUCGUGGUAGAUCACAAUCAAGGGGUAAGAGACAGGUUGCAAAAGAUGAGUGUUGGUUUUGUCACAAAACCGGACACCGGAGGUUUCAGUGUGAAGCCUACAAAAAGAAGCAGCAAGAUGAGAAUCAAGGUGCUAAUGUAGUUAGCGAUAAAUCUUUGCUAGAUAACUUGUGUUUGUCUGCAGGGUUUGACUUGACAACAGAUAAAUGGUUUAUUGAUUCUGGCGCUUCUUUUCAUUGCACCUCACAAAGAGACAUAUUUGAUGAUUAUGCCAGUGGAAAUUUUGGACAAGUGGUUGUGGGAAACGGUCACAUGUGUCCAAUUGUUGGGAAAGGAACUGUGACUAUGAACAUCUCAGGUGGAGGACGUCUAGUUUGCGUGAAACUAGGCAUAUUCCGGAAUUAGAGAAAAAUCUGAUUUCAACUAGUAAACUUGACCAAGAAGGUUUGGUAAUAACCUUUGGCUGCAGAGAGUGGAAGAUAACCUCAGGGGUAAGAGUAGUAGCAAAGGAAAAGCGUACAUGUACACUUUACCUUCUCCAAGGAGACAAUAUUAGUGAUAUGGUUGCAACUACAAUGGCUACAGGUAAUUUAUCUACUCUUUGGCAUUAUCGUUUGGGACAUCUUGGCGAAAAAGGUGUAAAGCAAUUACACUCGAGAAAAUUACUCCCAGGUUUGCAAAAAGUUGAGUUAGAUUUUUGUGAGAGUUGCAUUUAUGGAAAACAGAAGGCUGUUAGUUUUCAAUUGAAUGGGCGACAAAAUAAAGGCCAGAAGUUAGAGUUGGUUCAUACUGAUGUAUGGGGACCUGCUCAGGAACUCUCUUAUGGUGGUAAGAGAUAUUUUGUCACAUUCAUUGAUGAUGCAACAAGAAAGACUUGGGUCUAUGCUCUUAAAGAAAAAUCAGAAGUAUUCGGGAUGUUCAAAAUGUGGAAGACCAUGGUAGAAAAAGAAACAGGUUAUCAGAUUAAAGCUUUGAAAUCUGAUAAUGGUGGUGAAUACACAAGUAAAGAAUUUGCAAAUUAUUUGAGCCGAGAAGGCAUACAUGGGCUAAAGACUGUUCCUAGAACUCCUCAAGAGAACGGUGUAGCUGAAAGAAUGAACAUGACUAUUCUAGAACGUGCGAGAUGCAUGAGACUACACGCGGGUCUCCCGCUACACUUAUGGGCUGCCACAGUUGAUGCAGUUGUUUAUCUUAUCAACAUAAGUCCAUCUAGUGCAUUGGAUAGAGAAAUACCACAAGAGUAGUGGUCAGGUAAGAAGAUUAAUUAUUCACAUCUAAAGGUGUUUGGUUGUAUUGCAUAUGCUUUGAUUGACAUAGAGGAUAGAAAAAAGCUUGAUGCUAAGUCCCAGAAGUGCGUCUUUAUCGGAUACGGUGGCGACGAGUAUUGCUAUAGGCUUUGGGAUUAUAAGAAUAACAAAGUUAUCCGUAGUCGCAAUGUGGUAUUCCAUGAAGAAAAGAUGUACAAGGAUCGUCAGACAGAGACAGAGCAUGAGAAGGUAGUACAACCAGAAUAUGUUGAACUAGACACAAUGCCCGUGAAGAUGUUUCCAGUAGAUCAAAGUUCACCUGAAAGAGAGGUUCAAGAUGAGCCUAAUAUCAGUGAAGAGGUAGUUCAAGAAGAACGCAAUGAUUCGGAGCAAACGAAUGACCCUGAAGUACCUGUCUUGAGAAGGUCUACACGUGUGAGAAAGCCAAAGGUAAUUUUUGAUCCAUCAGCUAAUACUGUUCUAAGCCAUGUCUUAUAUACAGAUUCGGGGGAACCAGAGACUUACGAUGAGGCAAAGGUAGACACGUCUCACUUGCAAUGGGGGUGUGCUAUUAAAGACGAGAUGAGCUCGUUAUUUCAAAACAAAACUUGGGAGUUGACCAAGUUGCCCACAGGUAAAAAAGCUUUAUUAAACAAAUGGGUGUAUAGGGUUAAGAAUGAAUCAGAUGGUAGUAUUAGAUACAAGGCGAGACUUGUAGUCAAGGGCUUUUCUAAAAAAGAAGGGAUCGACUACUCCAAGAUAUUUUCACCUGUAGUGAAAAUGACAUCAAUUAGAGUUCUGCUAAGUAUAGUUGCAGUGGAGGAUCUUCAUCUUGAGCAGAUAGACGUAAAAACAACGUUUUUACAUGGUGACUAGAUGAAGAAUUAUACAUGGCACAACCUAAGGGUUUUGAAGUCAAAGGUAUGGAGCACAUGGUAUGUCGCUUGAAGAAAAGCUUGUAGGGCUUGAAACAAGCUCCGCAGCAAUGGUACCUAAAAUUUGAUGGUUUCAUGCAAGAAAAAGGAUUUGUACACUGUGAGUCUGAUCACUGUUUAUUUUCGCAAAUAUGAUGAUGGUGACAUUGUGUAUCUAUCUUUAUAUGUGGAUGACAUGCUUAUGGCUAGUUCCAAUAUGAAGAGAAUCGUAGAAGUGAAGAAGAUGUUAUCAUCACAAUUUGCUAUGAAAGACUUGGGAUUGGCCAAGAAUAUUUUAGGCAUGAAAAUCAUCAGGGACAGGAAAAAUAAGAAAUUAUGGUUGUUGCAGGAAGACUAUGUGAACAAGGUGUUAAAGAGAUUUAACAUGGACAAAGCAAAACCGGUUGCAACUCCUCUAGCGAGCCACUUCAAACUUUCCAAGGAUAUGUGUCCAAGCACUCAAGCUUUGAAAGAUGAGAUGGCGGUAGUUCCAUAUGCAUCAGCAGUAGGGAGUUUGAUGUAUGCCAUGGUGAGCACGAGACCAGACAUUGCACAAGCAGUGGGAGUUGUAUAUGCAGAACCUAAGUAGAGAGCAUUGGAAUGCAGUUAAAUGGAUAUUGAGAUAUCUAGCAAGUACUUCCAAUUACUCACUUUGUUAUGGUGGUACAUCUCUAGAGUUGCAAGGUUAUGUAGAUGCAGAUCAUUCGGGUGAUCGAGAUAGUGGUAAGAGUACCACUGGAUAUGUCUUUACAGUUGCAAGUACAUCAGUGAGUUGGGUAUCUCAACUACAAAAAGUAGUGGCUUUAUCAACAACAGAGGCAGAAUAUGUAGCGAUUACAGAAGCCUCCAAGGAAAUCAUGUGGUCACAAGAUUAUAUGGAGGAGUUACAUCGAAAACAGCCAGUCAGUACACUAUGGAGUGAUAGUCAAAAUGCAGUGCACUUAGCAAAGAAUGCAGCUUAUCACUCAAGGACUAGACAUAUCAAGAAGCGUUAUCACUUUAUCAGGUCAGCAUUGAAAGAUAAUGAAUUAAAGCUACACAAGAUUGAUGGCUCAAAGAAUCCAGCUGACAUAUUGACCAAGGUAGUAGACAGAGAGAAGCAUAUUUUCAGAACUACUACUAUUGGUAUUACUCCAUGUUGAUUGAUGAGGAGUAUCGCAGAGGCACAAGUUUUUCAACUACUAUUUUUUGAAGAAGAUGGAUACAAAGUUGCUUGGUGCUUUGGUAUAUUUGUCUUCAAGUGGGAGAUUGUUAUAGAUAAAGCCAAAUAUUUGUUUUUAGGGGCUUUUUUUUUUUGUCUUUUCUAUUAGAUUUCCUUUUAGGUUAAAAGUGGUACCUAUAUAUUAGCGAUGACAAAACCCUAGCUGUCAAGACGCUGAAAAAGAAAAUAGAGAGGCAAGAAAAAGAGAGAAGAAAAAAGUGAGUUUUUUCUUGAUGAGAGUUCUCAAUCUCUUUGUGCCCUGAUCUUAAGAGAAGAUCGUCGUUGUAUUCCAACUUUUUCCGAAGUCUAGUGGAUUCGUAGAGUGCCUCUGCGCGGAGAAGUAGCCCAGGUUUGGGUGAACUUCGAUAACAAAUUUUCUGGCGUGUUCAUCUGAUUCUGCUAUUUUAUUACUAUAUUAUGUCUGGUGAAUUGUUUGCGAGCGUUAUUUUUCUGGAAUCGACGUGCGAUUUCGUAACAGACUCUUCUUCAGCCUUUCUAUAACUUCGUCAUUCCAUUGAACACCUUCCUCGCAAACUCAAUUCCCUCCUCCACAGCACAACCGAUGGCAAUUGAAUUUCUGAAGACAGCGAGAGAAUUGGGAGAAAAAACAAGAUCGAAAUAGAAGUCAAUAGAAAAUUUUUGAAUGAAUCGAAAUUCAUCCUAGAGUUCAGCACGAGAUGAUGGAUUUCGUCGUCACUUCAGUGUCACGAGGAACCGUCUCUAGAGAUCUCUUGAAGCAACGAUCGUCGGAGAUUUCAAUCGACAGCUUCACUCCUUCAUGGUUUCGUAGAGAGAGAAAGAGAUCCUUCUGUGAACUUUAGACACCUUGUUCUUUUCUCCUAUCUCUUUUCUUUUAUUUUUAUUUUUGUUAUUUCUUUUUUUUAUAUAUUUCUUUAAUUUUUAAUUUAUAAAUAACAAAAGUACAAUUUUAUUAUUUUCUCCCAUCUCUUUUCUUUUAUUUGUAUUUUUGUCUUUUAUUUUUUAUUUUACUAAUCUUUGAUUUGCCCGAUAAAACUAAUGCUACAGUAAAAAAGUUGAAGCCAUGCUCCAAUUUCGGAAGGGCAUAACUCUAUAAUUUGUCCAUAAGUGAAAUCCAUUCAAUUAGCACAUUCCGACUGUGCCAGUCCAACGAUGCAUGCUCCAUGGUCGAAGCAUUGGGCAUCACCAUAAGAACCAUGGUUGUAGUGGUCUAAUCCUCAUGCCCCGGUGUUGGAUUCAAAAUAUCUUUUGGUUCUGCCCAAUCUAGGCAAUUUGGAUUCCAAUUGAAGCUAGGAUUGCCCAUAUCUGUCCGAUUCGUAAUACAGAAAUAACAUCUCAAUUUCCUUCUCUCUGGGCCACUAUCUUUUUUCCCUUUCCCGCAGGUUGAGGUCUUGACAUUUCUGGUCACUCUUCUCUCACCCUCGUCAAGUCAUCUAGUCCCCACCAAGCCACCAUUACGCUAUCGUCGAGCCCCCACUAUGCUCGCUUGGUCAAUCUCUCUCUCUCACUCUCACUCCACUACCCUCGGCCAAAAAAAGAAAAAUGAAAAAACGCUUGCUCUCCUCUUUAUUGUGUCUUACUACAUGUUAUCAAAGUACAAAGCAAGCGACGCGACUCACACUUUUGCUCGUGUCAUGGUCUCUGUCAUGCUCCCCCAUCUCCAGCACUAGCUUGGUUCUUACUAGCCUGUUAUGAUGUUGUUGACACCUAAAUUUUAACUAUUUUUAUUUUUUUAUUAGGGUAACAAUGAUAUUUAACUCAUCUCUUAAAAAAGGUUGUUAAAAAAAAUAUUUUGUGGAGGAAUGAGAUUUUGAAGGAUUUUCGGAUAACGAAGUCAUAUCAAAAGUUGAGUGAAUUGUCUUUAAAAAAUCUUCAUAAAGAAUUUGGGAUUAUUUUCUUGUUGAGCACAUCUCUCCGUUUCUUCGAAUGAUCCUUAGCGAUUAGGUCAAUAUAUGCAAAUCUUCGUAGGUUGAACAAACCAGGGUUUUCUCUGUAUAAAUAGGGGGGCUUUUUCGUUUUCUCUUGGUCAAAAAAAGAAGAAAAGUCAAAGGAAAAGAGAAAUUCUUUGAGGCUUUCUUCUGCUGGCUUCGAAAGUGAAAAGGAGGGUGCAGAAAGUACAGAGAGAAGAGACAGGUGAGUGACGGAGAGGGAGAGAGAGCCAGAAAAGAAAAAAAGAAAAACAAAAGGAAAGGGAAAAGCAGAGCAGAAAACGGGGGACUGUUAAUCGUCUUCUUCAUGUAGCCGCUUCCCCCCCCCUCCCCCCGCCUUCCGCCUGCAACCCUUGCGCCGUCGCCGCGCCACCGCACCCUUGUGCUGUCAUCGCUGCGCCGCCUGCGUCCGGUAGCCAGCCUCGGAUGCUCCGCCACCGCUCCUCGCCCCGGAAGACGCCGCGCCCGUAACGCCGCCUCUGCUCUGGUUCUGCUCGCAAAACCGCUGACCACCGCCUCGAUUGCAGCCCAUCGCCGACGUCAGCAGCUCCUGCGACCUGCCCCGAUUACGACUCCAGACGCCGCGUCCCGCCGACGUUUCGUCCUGCUCGCUCGUUGCUGCCCGAGCUGCCAGCAGUCGAAGCCCGCGCCGUCUCCCUCGCCCGCGAGCUUAUGUCGCUGGUCUGCCCAGAAGCCGUGAAGCCGCUGACCCCCGCCGCGCUCACACCGCCGAGCACCACCGUCGCUACCCCUGAUCCGAGUCUACUGCUGUCCUCGGUGCGCCAUCAGCUACUGCCCGAGCGAUCUCCUGUUUUGUUGCAGGUUUACCUUUGCCGAACCUUGUCGGAGCUCCCACAUCCGUGCCCAUCACUCUCACCGGAGCCCUAAAUUAGCCAUACCGUCAAGCUGAUCUGCUUUCUGUUGCAGCCCAUUGCGACCCGCAACGCCCAAGCCUGCCGCGCCCACACUGCCGAGCACCGACGCCGAUCCACCCAACGCUGGCCCUGCCCGUCCAGACCCGAGCUUCCCUAGCUCCGCUCCUGUGUUGCUGCCGUCGCCGGUUCACCUUGGCCGGAGCCUCCUUUGCCGAGCCGAUUAGUCGAUUCCCCUUGGAGAUACACAAGCGAUGCCUGGAAAAGAAAAACAAAAAAAAAAAAAAAAGGAAAGAAAAGGAAAUUAGGUAGUUUUAUUUUCUUUUUCUAUUUACUUUAUUUAUUUAUUUCUUUUAAGUUUAGUUGUUAUUGUGAAAAUUUAAAGUGAUCUUCAUUUCAUGAAUUCAAUAGGCAUUAUCCGCAGGGUCUUCCCCAUAAUUAUUGUAAUUAUUAAUUUGAUCCGUAAGAUAUCGGAUCAUUUUUUUAAUUAUAUUAAUUUUUGGGGUUUGUCGAUAGUAUUUUAAGUGUUGAAUCAAUAUAAUUAUUAAUUUGAUCUGUAAGAAUUCGGAUCAGAUUUUUAAUUAUUUUGAACUCUUUGUCAUGAUAAUUAGGGUUAUGAUAAUCGUUAAUUUGACCUGUGAGACAACAGGUUAUUUUUUCGAUUAUUUUAAUCCUUUAUUUGAUUAAAUAUCUUGAUUGUUUAGAUUUAGUUGAUAAUUGUUUUUUUUUUUUGUGAAACCACUAAAAAAUCUAAAAAAUAUUUGAAUUAGGAUUCAGUUUGUUUUAGAAUAUUUCUCGUUAUCUUGCAUAUCUAGAAUAUGGAUUUUAUUCCGAAUUUAGAAAAAUAUAAAAUAAAAUAAAAAAACAAAAAAAGUGCAUCCAUUUAGGUUGUUAGUUUUAUCAUUAUUUGAAUUGCAUGUGAAAUUUUAAUUUUGAAAUUAAUAUAAAAACACAAAAAAAUCAUCAUGCAUAUAUCAUGUUGAAUUAGGGCAUUCUUUGCACGUCAUUGCAUAUUAGAUAAAUUGCAUGUUAGAUUAAGAUAAUAUCUUAGUUUAAAUUAGGAUUUAAUGUGACUUGAUCCUUAGUUUAAAUUAGAAUUUUAAUCUAGCUAGAUCAUUUUUGCAUUUUUAAAUAGAAAUAUCAAAUGCACGUCAUUUAGUUUUUAUUAAUUAGAAUUUCCUCGUCAUUAGACUAAGUCAUUUAAUAAAUGUCGCAUGACAUAUAACCCGCAUACUAAAUUGUAUGUUGCGUGUCAUUUUAGUUAAAAUAAUUUUGUAUGUCAUUGCAUUGCAUUACCUGUCAUUAAAAUUAGGUCAUUUGAUUAAUUUACAUUGCAUAUUUAAUUGAUGCAUUUCUUUAUUUUCAAAUUUCAUGAAAAAUAUAAAAGAAUUAGAAUGAAUUCAUUUCAUGCUUUUAGGAUAGAUUGCAUGCUUAUUUAGGACAUACAAUUUUGGUCAUGUUAUCAUAUUAUUUCAUGUUAGAAUAGUGAUAUGCAUCGCAUAAGUCGUGAUUUUCAUUAAAUAAAGUGAAAAAAAAAUUGAAAUUGCGUGUUAAUUAGAAAUCAUAUCUAGGGUUGCUGAUGUGAAUUCUGAUUUAACAAUGCAGAUGAUUUUGUUGCUUCUAAGUAUGAUUUUGUUGCUUCUAAGUAUGUUUUGCAAUAUUUAAUUGCUUUCUUGAGUGUUAAAUUGGUGGUAUGCGCACAUGUAUGAUCACCUCACAUGUUAGGAAGUUAAAUUAAAAUCAAUUCAAUUGCCAAACAUUUUUGAAAAAUGAAAUAAAAAGGUACCGAAAUGGCACUAGGAUAGUCUAGUGUAACCAAGUCCCAAAACUCAUAAAUCUCUAGUUCGUAGGAGUAAAAGUAAAUCUCAUGUUACUUUACUUGGGUUUCUAAUCGACCCACCAAAAAUAGAUUAGUGGCGACUCCUGAUUGAAAAUCAUUUGCAUGUUAAGAAUUCAAACCUAAGUCGCAAAUUGGUAUGGGCUUGGGAGAGCCCGAGCUAAGCUUAAAGACUUAAUAAUCCAUUAACUUAGUUUUAGGUGGUGAACCGAAAAAAUUAGGUCGCGACGGCUUGGCAACUCCGCUGGGGACUUGUGUUAAAACACUUAGUGGACUUAGGCCAAUUUUUCUUUUUAAAAAUAUUUUUUGUUUGGCAGCGAGGAUCUCAGGUAUGUCCCUAACAUUUCUAAGGUGUUAAAUGUUCUUGCAUAUUGGAGGUAUAAGGGGAGUAGUCUUUGCUAACCCUUGUCUUGCAGGGAGGUGUUGAGAUUAAUGAUUUAUUUUUCCUGAUUAGAAGUGUUGUUUGCAUUUAAACUGUUGUGCAUGCUUUAUUGCUUUAGCACCACACUAUUUGCACACAAAACCUGUGGUCGGACCUAGGCUGCGAUAGGACUUCUAGGAUGGUGUUGAGAAGGAUACUUCCUCUAAAGCGAGAUUGCUAUGUAGAGGUUGACAUUCUCUUCCCCGAAAUUUCUUUCAUGGUGUCGAAUGUGUUUGUCCAUAUCCGCGAGACUGCGUGGUUAUUAGGUAUUCCAUUCGACUGAGCCGGAGUUAGGGGGACCUGACACGUUAAUACGAGACUGCAAUGGUCAAAUCAUCCUUUUAGCUCCACCUUGUUAAGCCAUCUAGACAGAAAUCGAGCCUCACUUUUCAUACAUGUGUCUAUGCGGUUGUCAUCCAUUUCCAGUAAAAGUAAGUUGUUUAAAUUCUUUGCAAUUUAUUUACUUUAUUGUAAUUUUGUCGGUCCAUGGGGGAUUAGGUUUCGUCGUCAGUCUUGUUUUAUAUGCGAUGGGGAAAACUGACAUACAAUUCAUUUCUACUCCAAAAAAAAAAAGCUCAAGAAGUGGUUGGAUCAGUUGGAUCAAGAUGGCCAGAGAUAUGUGAAGGCCAGGAUCGUUCAACUUCUCCCACUGUUAGAGAUCAACGUCCACUCUGGUGUGAUUCAGGCACUUCCUCACUUCUGGUGUCCACAAACUUCCACCUUCAUAUUUGGUGAGUUUGAAUUAACUCCAACACUUGAAGAAUAUAGUGUCGCCAUUGGAAUGCCCUUGGAAAAGGAACUUGUUAGACCGCCUAUCGGUAUAGAUUCUAUUUCUGAAUUAUCACAGUUUUUAAAAAUUAAAGCCGAAAAAGUGAGGAAGGUUGUUAAAGCCAAUUGCUAUACAUGCCCAUUUUCAUUUUUGGAAUGCUGUUUUUCAAACCAACCAAUGACUUUAAAAGCUAAGAUUUCAUGUAGCAUUUUUUGGACUAUCGUUUUCUAUCGAAAAAUGCAUUNNNNNNNNNNNNNNNNNNNNNNNNNNNNNNNNNNNNNNNNNNNNNNNNNNNNNNNNNNNNNNNNNNNNNNNNNNNNNNNNNNNNNNNNNNNNNNNNNNNNNNNNNNNNNNNNNNNNNNNNNNNNNNNNNNNNNNNNNNNNNNNNNNNNNNNNNNNNNNNNNNNNNNNNNNNNNNNNNNNNNNNNNNNNNNNNNNNNNNNNNNNNNNNNNNNNNNNNNNNNNNNNNNNNNNNNNNNNNNNNNNNNNNNNNNNNNNNNNNNNNNNNNNNNNNNNNNNNNNNNNNNNNNNNNNNNNNNNNNNNNNNNNNNNNNNNNUAUGGCAUACUAAAUGGUUUCAAGUUGAGGAGGCUCGUUUCUCACACAAGCAUGAUGAGCCAAUUACGUUGUUGGGCUUUUCUAGUGCAACUUCUUACUAUCCUAUAGGGUGGCUCGUCAGUACAAAGCUCUUCAAGAAAUUCCUCUGCCACUCAAAACAGAGUUAUUCCAAGUUCGUUUUAUUCGAGCAAACUAUGACUACUUCAAGGAGAUCCGGAUGAUCAUUGUUGCAUGGAAUGAAUGCCACCUACAGAAGAUUUUGGUGCCCAAGAGACUAAAAGGCGAGAAGGAGAUUCACCAUCCGUCGACAUUCUACAUCCAACAACAUUGGAUUUCUGCCGCCCUACGUCCAGUGGUCCCUGAUGUGACUAAGAAGCCAACCCAAUGAGCACAAAUUGAGCAUCUUAAGCGGAAAGUGGAAAUGAUUGAAGCGGAAAAUAAGAAGUUUCGCAAGGCGUUGAAAUCCCGAAAGCAUAUAAAAUGAGACGUCUUGAAUUUUGAUUCUUAGUUCAAUGUUUAGGGACUUUGAUUUCUAGCUCAAUGUUUUCAAUUUUUAGAUUAAAUGUUUAGGGACUUUGGAUUUCAAUUCUUAGUUCAUUGUUAGGAAACUUGGUUCAAAUUUCAAAUAAAAUCAGGUGAUUAGACCAUUGUCAUGAGCCAUUUUUCCUAUCUUGUCAUUGGUUCUUACAUUACUUUUAUCCGAUUAGGUGAUAAUGGAUCCUCCACGUUCGCCCAUCAUUACACGAUCGAGAGCAAAAAUGGCCGACCAAGCCGAAAUGCGAGAUUGUAUGUCUGUCGUAGAAGACCAACUCAAACAGUUGCUCACCUCUAUGCAACUUAUGACAACUCAAAUGCAAUCUCUCCAAGUGAAUCAAACCCUUGCAUCCGCUCUCCCCGAGAUUGUAGUCCCAAAGCAAAUGAACAAGACUCAAAUUGAUGAUGACGACACGCCUGAACUGGAGGAUGACCCACUGUUUGUCACUACCAAAAAGGUUAAGCCCGAUAAUAUCCCUAAGGUGGAGCAGGAUGAACGCUUCACCAAACUUGAAGAGAAACUGAAAUAAUUGCAAGAGUCGCGAAGUUCACUUCCAUUUGACUUGUCAGUUUAUGAGAAAGUCAAGAUGCCGAAAAAUUUUAAGAUGUCGGAGUUCGAGAAAUACGACAGUAUUUCAUGCCCAAAGGCUCAUUUGCAGAGGUACCACGUACGCAUGGCCUAGUAUGUCAAGAAUGANNNNNNNNNNNNNNNNNNNNNNNNNNNNNNNNNNNNNNNNNNNNNNNNNNNNNNNNNNNNNNNNNNNNNNNNNNNNNNNNNNNNNNNNNNNNNNNNNNNNNNNNNNNNNNNNNNNNNNNNNNNNNNNNNNNNNNNNNNNNNNNNNNNNNNNNNNNNNNNNNNNNNNNNNNNNNNNNNNNNNNNNNNNNNNNNNNNNNNNNNNNNNNNNNNNNNNNNNNNNNNNNNNNNNNNNNNNNNNNNNNNNNNNNNNNNNNNNNNNNNNNNNNNNNNNNNNNNNNNNNNNNNNNNNNNNNNNNNNNNNNNNNNNNNNNNNNNNNNNNNNNNNNNNNNNNNNNNNNNNNNNNNNNNNNNNNNNNNNNNNNNNNNNNNNNNNNNNNNNNNNNNNNNNNNNNNNNNNNNNNNNNNNNNNNNNNNNNNNNNNNNNNNNNNNNNNNNNNNNNNNNNNNNNNNNNNNNNNNNNNNNNNNNNNNNNNNNNNNNNNNNNNNNNNNNNNNNNNNNNNNNNNNAAAUGACCAAGACAACACAACUACUGCGUCAUCAUUUGCCCAAGCAAUAUAGAAGCAUUUCUCUCUCCUGGGUCUCCAUCCCAAGUGCUGACAAUCUCCGAAAGAAAGCUUUGCUUACUAGUGAACCAAAACGUCCCAACCGCGAAAACAUUCACGGUUAUGACCCGACAAAGAAGUGUGACUACAUAACGGUGAAUUUGGGCAUUUAACUGACGAAUGUUUCACCCUCAAGCAUAAGAUCCAAAAUCUCUUGGACACAAAGGCCUUCUCAUUUCAAACUGCUCGGCCAAACGUCUAGAAGAAUCCGCUACCGGAGCAUGAGGGUACAGUGAAUGCUAUCCUAGAACCUAAAGUUAGACGGAUCAAGAACUCGAAGGUGCGUGUGGCAGAUGCCUACAAUGGACUGGUGAGAGCUGGAUAUUAUUCAGAUCAAGAAGAUGUUCCCCCAUCAUUGAUGAAAGAAAGAGUUGCUAGAAUGGUGGAUGAUGGUAUCAUUAUGUAUGCUGACCAUAACUGCAUAGUUUUCACUAUUUCUCAUAUCAUUAUCAAUUAGGAGGAAGAGCAGGCUGCUCUCGAUGAUAGUAAGGAAGAAGUAGAUCCGUCACUCGCAGAUAUGCCCCCGCUAGAAGAUGCAACUAAUGAGGAGAUUGUGAUCGAGAUGCCUCAACCAUAUGAGUAUGUCAACAAUAAGGCAGUGCCUUGGUCCUAUGAUUUAGAUGUUGACCUCGUUACAAGGUCUGGUUGAACUUAUACUCAAGUUAGUGCUCAACCUGCAAAGCCUAUCACUGACGAAGAGGCUAAGGAAUUUCUGACUGUGAUUAAAGCAAGUGAGUAUAAUAUCGUCGAUCAGUGACGAAAUAUGCCUGCUCAGAUCUCUUUGCUCGAGCUCUUCCAAACCUCCUCUGUGCAUCAAAAGUCAUUGAUGAAAGGUGCUAAGUGAAAUUCGUGUACCCGAAAACAGUUGAGGCAGAUAAGCUGGAGGAUNNNNNNNNNNNNNNNNNNNNNNNNNNNNNNNNNNNNNNNNNNNNNNNNNNNNNNNNNNNNNNNNNNNNNNNNNNNNNNNNNNNNNNNNNNNNNNNNNNNNNNNNNNNNNNNNNNNNNNNNNNNNNNNNNNNNNNNNNNNNNNNNNNNNNNNNNNNNNNNNNNNNNNNNNNNNNNNNNNNNNNNNNNNNNNNNNNNNNNNNNNNNNNNNNNNNNNNNNNNNNNNNNNNNNNNNNNNNNNNNNNNNNNNNNNNNNNNNNNNNNNNNNNNNNNNNNNNNNNNNNNNNNNNNNNNNNNNNNNNNNNNNNNNNNNNNNNNNNNNNNNNNNNNNNNNNNNNNNNNNNNNNNNNNNNNNNNNNNNNNNNNNNNNNNNNNNNNNNNNNNNNNNNNNNNNNNNNNNNNNNNNNNNNNNNNNNNNNNNNNNNNNNNNNNNNNNNNNNNNNNNNNNNNNNNNNNNNNNNNNNNNNNNNNNNNNNNNNNNNNNNNNNNNNNNNNNNNNNNNNNNNNNNNNNNNNNNNNNNNNNNNNNNNNNNNNNNNNNNNNNNNNNNNNNNNNNNNNNNNNNNNNNNNNNNNNNNNNNNNNNNNNNNNNNNNNNNNNNNNNNNNNNNNNNNNNNNNNNNNNNNNNNNNNNNNNNNNNNNNNNNNNNNNNNNNNNNNNNNNNNNNNNNNNNNNNNNNNNNNAAAGCCCUAUUAAAGCCCUAUGAAGCCUAGAGUCUCGAUUGCUGGGUUAGGGUACGAGGUGGAGGAAGUUCCGGAAGACAAAGACAGGGAAGGCGUAACCCGCCACCUGAGCAAGGGCGAGAGAGGCAAAAUUUACCACCUCCAAACAUUCAUGAGACGUUCCCUGGUCCUCCAAUUAUGAUGCAAGAUGAAGCUGAAGUCAUGGAUACUCUAGGACAACCAAGUGGGAAAUUCGACUAUAUGGUGAAGUAUUCGGCUCCUGCCAGCUUUUACUUUGACGCCCGCAAUAUAGUUCCAAGUGGAUGGGAUGGCAUGGAUGAUCCGACGCCUUCAAAGAUAGAAAACUCUGAUGACACCUUGGAAGGAAUUUCAAGUUUGUUCGAUGACCUCUCCAUUGGAGCCAUUGAUGGAGAACCUCUGGAAGAAACAGACCCUCGCCCACAAGAGUAACCCAUUUAUCACUUUUGCACAUUCCCAUGCGUGGGAAUUUUUAUUGCUUUCUAGGAAUUGUUUUUGAUUUCUUCUUUUUCACUUUCUUCUUAGGACUUGAAUUGCAUUUUCCAUUCAAUAAAUUGUAAUUUAUUGAUGAAUUUCAAUGAAAUUACAAGUUUUAUUUGAGGGCAUGAUGAGGUACACCAAACCAGCCUAGUGAUGAUAUCCAACCGAUAGAACAAAAUCAAAAUCCAAGGAGAACUCUGAGGCCUGGGCUUCAUCAUGUUUCUUCAUGUCAAAAACAUGAUUUUGCAAAAGAAUGUCAAAAAAAAUUCACAAAAAAAUAAAAUAUGAUUAACCCUGUCUGUCUUUUUUAUCCUUCUAUUUCCUGUUUCAGGGACGAUCAUAUAACAUGCAAAGGUGUGGAAAUGGUCCAAUCCAAUGCAACAAGUGAUGAUAAUGAUGAUCCUGAAGAUUCAAUCGAAGAUUCCAUUGAGGUGCAGCAAAGCUGGGAACAACAUGAAAAAGCCAAGACUCUCACAUCCGAGCAUACCGUCACUAUUAAUUUAAGUGACAUUGAAGAAGCCAAUGAGGUGAAAAUAGAGGCGAAUCUCCCCAAAGACGAGGCUAAGCGCCUAAUUCAGUUACUGAAGGAAUAUAAGGACAUCUUCGCAUGGACCUACGCCGACAUGCCUGGGUUAGACCCAUCAAUCGUGGAGCAUUAUUUGCCUACUAACUCGGACGUGCCUCCUAAGAAGCAAAGGCUGCGAAUAACUAAGCCUGAGCUCUCGAAGAAGAUAAAAGAAGAAGUGAUGAAGCUUUUAAAAGUCGGAUUUAUUGAAGUCUCGCAAUACCCUGAAUGGGUAGCAAACAUCAUGCCGGUGAUGGAGAACGAUGGUCGAGUUUGAGUUUGUGUCGAUUAUCGGGAUUUGAACAAGGCUAGCCCAAAAGAUGACUUCCCGCUACCUCACAUAGAUGUCCUUGUUAAUAGUAUUGCCAGAUUUGAACUAUUCUCAUUUAUGGAUGGUUUUUCUAGGUACAAUCAGAUAAUGAUGAAGGAGGAAGACACGGAGAAAACUGCAUUUAUCACCCCGUGGGGGACCUUUCAUUACAAGGUUAUGCCAUUCGGGCUCAAGAACGCAGGGGCAACUUACCAACGAGCCAUGGUAUCAUUAUUCCAUGAUAUGAUGCAUCAGGAGAUCGAGGUCUAUGUUGAUGAUAUGAUCGCAAAGACUCGACCUAGGAAAAGCCACAUCGAAACCUUGAAAAAGUUGUUCGAUCGACUCCGUGAGUUCAAGCUUCGUCUAAACCCCACUAAGUGCGUGUUUGGAGCAACAUCUGGUAAAUUACUUGGAUUCAUUGUAAACAGUAAAGGGAUUAAGAUCGACCCAGCUAAAGCUAAAGCCAUAUGUGAGUUGCAACCUCCAUCAACGGUGAAAGAAGUCCGAAGUCUUUUGGGCAGAUUGAAUUACAUUGCUCGAUUCAUUUCCCAACUUUCUGAAAUCGGCAAGCCAUUCUUCAAGCUCUUAAAGAAGAAUGCACGAGUCAACUGGGAUGAUGAGUGCCGAGAAGCAUUCGACAAGUUGAAACAGUAUUUGAUGAAUCCACCAGUUCUUGUCCCGCCAUCGCCAGGGCAUCCUUUGAUUCUCUACCUCACCAUUCAUAGUGAGUCAUUGGGUGCGAUGUUGGCACAGGGAAGUCCCGUCGACAAAAAAGAACGAGCCAUUUAUUACCUAAGUAAAAAAUUCACCAUGUCAGAGCUGAAAUUUUCUGAUGUGGAAAAGACUUGUGCUGCACUAGUGUGGGCGUUGCAUAGAUUGAGAUAGUACACACUGCAUUACCAGACAUUCCUUGUAACUGAGAACGAUCCUAUCAAGUACCUACUUGAUCGGCCAGCUUUGGUGGGUAGGUUGGUUAAAUGGCAAAUUUUGAUAUCAGAAUUUGAUGUGCAAUAUAUGCCACAGAAGUCGGUUAAGGGUCGAGUGAUCGCCGAUUUAUUGGCUGAGAAUCCGGAAGCCUCAAAUAGUGAUGAUCAUUCCCUAGAUGACCGUAUCUUGACUGUAAAUGAAGACUCAUGGACAAUGUUCUUUGAUGGAGCUGUGAACUUGUCUGAUUCUAGCAUUGGGGCAGUUUUGAUAUCCCCAGACAGACAUCAUCACCCAGUAGCUACGAAAUUGAUAUUCCCAUGCACUAACAAUACAGCCGAGUAUGAAUCUUGCAUCCUCGGGCUUCAAGCUGCAAUCGAGAUGGGUAUAGCCAAAUUAAAAGUGUUCGGGGAUUCCGCGUUAAUCAUACUGCAGACCGUAGGUGAAUAGAAGACUAAGGAUGCUAAAUUGCUCCCAUAUCACAAGUACCUAGAAGAUUUGAUCAAGGAAUUCGAUGAAGUUUCAUUUGAAUACUUACCGAGGUCUCACAAUCAAUUUGCAGAUGCACUCGCAACUUUAUCAUCCAUGUUGCAAGUCACUGACUGAUUAGAAGUCGAGCCAUUGAAGAUAGAGGUUUUGCCAAGGCCGUCUUAUUAUAUGGUAGUGACUGAAGAAUCUAACAAAAAACCAUGGUAUUACGAUAUCAUGAACUACAUCCAAAAAUAAGGAUUCCCCGAGGAAAGUACUCCAGUUGAUAGGAAGUACAUUAUGAAGAUGGCCUCAAAGUUCUUUGUCAGUGGUGAAAAUUUGUACAAGAGAACUUAUGAUUCAGUUUUGUUGCGGUGUGUGGGUGAAGCUGAAGCCACUCAAAUUAUGCAGGAGGUUCACGAAGGAGUGUGUGGCCCCUAUAUGAAUGGACACAUGAUGGCUAAGAAGAUCAUGAGAUUAGGCUAUUAUUGGCUCAUGCUAGAAGGUGACUAUAUUCAGCAUGUCUGGAGUUGCCAUCGUUGCCAAAUUCAUGGUGACAUGAUAAAUGUUCCUCCAACAGAGCUACACCAGUUUUCUGAGCCAUGGCCCUUCUUAAUGUGGGAGAUUGAUCUGAUCGGCCUGAUAAAUCCUAAGGCUUCAAAUGGAUAUCGUUUCAUUUUGGUGGCGAUAGAUUAUUUUUCCAAAUGGAUAGAAGCUAUGUCAUUUGCAAGUGUCACUGCUUGCAAUGUUGCGAAAUUCAUCAAACGUGACAUAAUUGCUCGUUGUGGUGUCCCUGAAACGAUUAUCACUGGCAAUGGAACAAAUUUGAACAACAAGCUUGUUGAUGAGUUGUUCAGCGAGUUCAAGAUCAAGCAUUUGAAUUCAUCCCCUUAUCGCCCUCAAAUGAAUGGGGCUGUUGAAGCGGCCAAUAAGAAUAUUAAGAAGAUCUUGGCUAAGACAACCGAGAAUUAUCGAGACUGGCAUGACAGAUUACCCUUCGCACUGAUAGCGUAUCGGACAUCGAUUCGUACUUCUACCAGGGCAACUCCUUUUGCUCUGGUAUACGGCAUGGAGGCAGUUUUGCCUGUGGAAGUGGAGAUUCCUUCCCUGAGAGUAUUAUCCCAAGUAGAAUUAUCUGAGGCAGAAUGGUCGCAACAAAGACUUGAACAGUUAAACUUGAUCGAUGAGAAAAGACUGAAGGCUCUCUGCCAUGGCCAAACAUAUCAACAGAGAGUAGCCAAAUCUUUCAAUCGAAAAGUGCGGCCGAGACAUUUCAAGGUAAAUGAUCUUGUUCUAAGGAAACUGUUGCCAAUUUUUCCAGAUCCUGGGGGGAAGUUUGCUCCAAACUACAGUGGCCCAUAUGUGGUAAAUAAGGUACUUCAUGGCGGUGCUUUAAUCUUGGCAUAAAUGGAUGGUCUGUGUUUUUCACUCCAGUUAAUUCAGAUGCUGUCAAGAAGUAUUACCCAUGAUAGAAUUUGCCAUGUUAGGUUUUGAAUUACAAACAUUUUAUGAUGAAUAAAUUGCCUCCUUGAAUUGCAAAUUCAAACUUGUUGCAAAUAUUGCAUGUUUUCCUUGAUGAAUAAUGUGAGAUAAAUUGAAUGUGUCAAAUGGGAUACUUUGGAAUGACGAAAGGCAAACCCUAUUCCAUACACUGACCCCUAGUGAGUUGUGUGAAAAAUUCCAUGCCUACGAGAAAAAGGAUGAUCUCGCAAAGGGUACGUCAACCAAGGUGAUGAGAGGCAGUUUUUUCUACUACCCGAAACACUACAGGUAAAUCCAUUGUUCAGCCCUUUGAGCCCACACACAUAAAGAGCUUUUUAAAUUAUUCCUGUCAAGAAUCGUCCCAUAUUGGGACAAGAUUUGAAAUAAAUGAUAGGAAUUUUCUUACUCACACUUGCAUCAAUAUUCGAGUAUUGCUUUUACAGUGUGACUUGUACGAUAAUUUAAAGUGCCUUAGGACGACGAAGAACAGUUCUUUCUCUAUCCUAUACACUUUAUCCAUUGCAUAGCCCCCUUGAGCCUAUGAAUUAAUUUCACAUUAAACCCAGUUGGUGAUCAUCCCCCACACUGGGGCAAGGCAAGAAAAAUUAAACCACUCAAGUAGCAUGAUUUACAAUGCUAAUAAAAAUGGAGACUUUGUCCAAAAAAAAAAAGAGUGCAAAAGUGGGGCAUGAAAAAGCAGUGUGCCUGGUAAAAGCAAUGACAAUGCCCAAAGAAAAAUCAAACACUUGAUGAAUGAGUCGUAAAAAAAAAGAAAAAACUCAAAUGUUGAGAUGUUGCAAUUAGUGGAGUUGUGAAGUGAAGAAAAUCUUCGACGAUGGAGAGGAAAAUUGCUGGAAAUGUCAAGAUGAUCACCAACUUUGACCCCAUAAACACUUUUUGAGCCAAAUGAUCCUUUCAUUUCCCAACCCAUGAACCCAACCUACGUUACGUCCCUUACAAAGUCUCUUCAGAUUAUAGCACUUGAAUUAACGUAAAAGUUCAUAUGUUUGGAAGCAUCACUUGAAGAAGUGUGAGUAAGAUAAUUUCUUCUUCAUUUCUCAUGUUUCUUGGCUUGUAAACCCCAAGAUGAUUGUGAAAUAUCAUUCAUUUUUUAAUAGCCUUGGCUCAAAGAGUCUCAUUUGCUAAGCCGUUGACCAAGCCAGCGUUGCAGUCCCUGUUAAAGACCUCUUAGAUUGGUAAAUUUCGUACCACUUGCGAGAUUGCUCAAACCCUUGUUUGGCAUGAUAACGGAAAGAUAGAGUGAUUGACAAAAAUCAUGUAUCAAAAGUCAGGAUAAAAUAGCUCAUUUUAAUGAGGAUGAGUGAAAAGUCCUUUCAGAUCGAGAGAUCCCCCAUUUGACACAUCCAUGACACUCAUGUGUUCAGAUUGGAACAUUUUUUUGAAAUAUUUCCCAAUGGAAAUUAGGUGAUGCAGGCUUGAUAUAAAUCAUAGUGCAUGAACCUCCCUUAAAUUAAUGCAUGUUUGUCAUCACAAAUGUAUAUUGCUUUUCCUAUGACCAUGUUUUGCAGAAAACAUUUCCCCUAGGAACAGAGAUGUUACCAGGUAAGUAUAUCUCUAUCUAUACCUUAAAUACUUGUUGUUGUACAGGUAUUUUCCCUUUUGAGUACACUGACACUCGAUGGAGUUGUCCCCAAAGAUUUUUCCCUAGAUUGCAAUGUUAGGCGACCGUAGAAUGGUACGAGUCCUCGACAACACCUAUUCCCUAUUUAGGCGACCGUAGAAUGGUACGGGUCCUAGAAAGUGAAUCCCCGUUUAGGCGACCGUAGAAUGAUACGGGUCCUAAAUAAAACCUAUUUCCCUAUUCAGGCGACCGUAGAAUGGUACGGGUCCUGGAAUGUAAAUCCCCGUUUAGGCGACCGUAGAAUGGUACGGGUCCUAGAAGGUAAAUCCCCGUUUAGGCGACCGUAGAAUGGUAUGGGUCCUAGACACAAUCAAACACUGUCAUACUGGGUGACCGUAGAAUGGUACGGGUCCUAGGAAAGCAGUCUCUUUGCAAAGUCAUGUUACUAUUCUAGGCGACCGUAGAAUGGUACGGGUCUUGGACAUGUAACACAAACUAUCUUGAAUCACUCUACCCUCCUUGAAGGUAAGAUAUUCUAGAUAAGUCUUUUUUUUACCAUUUUAUACUCUUUAAGGAACCCGAGUGAGAGUUAGGUACUUACAGAGUAAAUGGGGAUUUAUCAUGUACCUCAAGAUGCUUUACCACACUGACCGGUAACUAAUUACAGGUACGUCUUUUCCUUUCAGAUCAUGCAUUUGCAUUAACAUUUCCAUGAAUCAUUACAUUACAUGGGGUUCAUUUUCCGAAAAAAAAAAAUCAUUUAGUGCAUGUGCAUAGUCAAAAUUUAUGUCUCAAUUUGUCUUUGAAGGCAACCUCUUCGAGCUCACCUUCAAAGAUGGGCAGCUGUUGAUACCUAAAUUUUAACUUUUUUUUAUUUUUUUAUUAGGGUAACAAAGAUAUUUAACUUAUCUCUUAAAAAAGGUUGUUAAAAAAAUAUUUUGUGGAGGAAUGAGAUUUUGAAGGAUUUUCGGAUAACGAAGUCAUAUCAAAAGUUGAGUAAAUUGUCUUUAAAAAAUCUUCAUAAAGAAUUUGGGAUUAUUUUCUUGUUGAGCACAUCUCUCCGUUUCUUCGAAUGAUCCUUAGCGAUUAGGUCAAUAUAUGCAAAUCUUCGUAGGUUGAACAAACCGAGGUUUUCCUCUAUAUAAAUAGGGGGGCUUUUUCGUUUUCUCUUGGUCAAAAAAAGAAGAAAAGUCAAAGGAAAAGAGAAAUUUUUUGAGGCUUUCUUCUGCUGGCUUCAAAAGUGAAAAGGAGGGUGCAGAAAGUACAGAGAGAAGAGACAGGUGAGAGUGACGGAGAGGGAGAGCGACCCGGAAAAGAAAAAAAGAAAAACAAAAGGAAAGGGAAAAGCGGAGCAGAAAACGGGGGACUGUUAAUUGUCUUCUUCGUGCAGCCACUUCCCCCCCCCCCCGCCUUCCGCCUGCAACCCUUGCGCCGUCGCCGCAGCUCCACACCCUUGUGAUGUCAUCGCUGCGCCGCCUGCGUCCGGUAGCCAGCCUCGAAUGCUCCGCCACCGCUCCUCGCCCCGGAAGACGCCGCGCCCGUAACGCCGCCUCUGCUCUGGUUCUGCCCGCAAAGCCGCUGACCACCGCCUCGCUUGCAGCCCGUCACUGACGCCAGCAGCUCCUGCGACCUGCCCCGAUUGUGACUCAAGACGCCGCGUCCCGCCGACGUUUCCUCCUGCUCGCUCGUUGUUGCUCGGGUUGCCAGCAGUCGAAGCUCGCGCCGUCUCCCUCGCCCACGAGCUCAUGUCACUGGUCUGCCCAGGAGCCGUGAAGCCGCUGACCCCUGCUGCGCUCGCACCGCCAAGCACCACCGUCGCUACCCCUGAUCCGAGUCUACUGUUGUCCUCAGUGCGCCAUCAGCUACUGCCCGAGCGAUCUCCUGUUUUGUUGCAGGUUUACCUUCGCCGGACCUCGUCGAAGCUCCGACGACCGUGCCCAUCACUCUCACCGGAGCCCCAAAUUAGCCGUACCGUGGAGCCGAUCUACUUUUUGUUGCAGCCCAUUGCGACCCGCGACGCCUAAGCCUGCCGCGCCCACACCGCCGAGCACCGACGCCGAUCCACCCAACGCCGGCCCUGCCCGUCCUGACCCGAGCUUCCCUAGCUCCACUCCUGUGUUGCUGCCGUCGCCGGUUCACCUUGGCCGGAGCCUCCUUUGCGGAGCCGAUUCGUCGAUUCCCCUUGGAGAUACAUGAGCGGUGCCGGGACAAGAAAAACAAAAAAAAAAAAGAAAAAAGAAAGAAAAGGAAAUUAGGUAGUUUUAUUUUCUUUUUCUAUUUACUUUAUUUCAUUUAUUUCUUUUAAGUUUAGUUGUUAUUGUGAAAAUUUGAAGUGAUCUUCAUUUCAUGAAUUAUGUAGGCAUUAUCUGUAGAGUCUUCCCCAUAAUUAUUGUAAUUAUUAAUUUGAUCCAUAAGAUAUCGGAUCAUUUUUUUUAAUUAUAUUAAUUUUUGGGGUUUGUCGAUAGUAUUUUAAGUGUUGAAUCAAUAUAAUUAUUAAUUUGAUCCGUAAGAAUUCGGAUCAGAUUUUUAAUUAUUUUGAACUCUUUGUCGUGAUAAUUAGGGUUAUGAUAAUCGUUAAUUUGACCUGUGAGACAACAGGUUAUUUUUUCGAUUAUUUUAAUCCUUUAUUUGAUUGAAUAUCUUGAUUGUUUAGAUUUAGUUGAUAAUUGUUUGUUUUUUUUUAAACCACUAAAAAAUCUAAAAAAUAUUUGAAUUAAGAUUCAGUUUGUUUUAGAAUAUUUCUCGUUAUCUUGCAUAUCUAGAAUAUGGAUUUUAUUCCGAAUUUAGAAAAACUAUAAAAACAAAAAACAAAAAACAAAAAAAAAGUGCAUCCAUUUAGGUUGUUAGUUUUAUCAUUAUUUGAAUUGCAUGUGAAAUUUUAAUUUCGAAAUUAAUAUAAAAACACAAAAAAAUCAUCAUGCAUAUAUCAUGUUGAAUUAGGGCAUUAUUUGCACGUCAUUGCAUAUUAGAUAAAUUGCAUGUUAGAUUAAGAUAAUAUCUUAGUUUAAAUAGGAUUAAUGUGACUUGAUCCUUAGUUUAAAUUAGAAUUUUAAUCUAGCUAGAUGAUUUUUGCAUUUUUAAAUAGAAAUAUCAAAUGCACGUCAUUUAGUUUUUAUUAGGUUAAUUUAAUUAGAACUUCAUCGUCAUUAGACUAAGUCAUUUAAUAAAUGUCGCAUGACAUAUAACUUGCAUACUAAAUUGUAUGUUGCGUGUCAUUUUAGUUAAAAUAAUUUUGUAUGUCAUUGCAUUGCAUUACCUGUCAUUAAAAUUAGGUCAUUUGAUUAUUUUACAUUGCAUAUUUAAUUGUUGCAUUUCUUUAAUUUCAAAUUUCAUGAAAAAUAUAAAAGAAUUAGAAUGAAUUCAUUUCAUGCUUUAGGAUAGAUUGCAUGCUUAUUUAGGACAUACAAUUUUGGUCAUGUUAUCAUAUUAUUUCAUGUUAGAAUAGUGAUAUGCAUUGCAUAAGUCAUGAUUUUCAUUGAAAUUACGUGUUAAUUAGAAAUCAUAUCUAGAGUUGCUGAUGUGAAUUCUGAUUUAACAAUGCAGAUGCUUUCGUUGCUUCUAAGUAUGUUUUGCAAUAUUUAAUUGCUUUCUUGAGUGUUAAAUUGGUGGUAUGCGCACAUGUAUGAUCACCUCACAUGUUAGGAAGUUAAAUUAAAAUCAAUUCAAUUGCCAAACAUUUUUGAAAAAUGAAAUAAAAAGGUACCGAAAGGGCACUAGGAUAGUCUGGUGUAACCAAGUCUUCGAACUCAUAAAUCUCUGGUUCAUAGGAGUAAAGUAAAUCUCUUGUUACUUUACUUGGGUUUCUAAUCGACCCACCAAAAAUAGAUUAGUGGCAACUCCUGAUUGAAAAUCAUUUGCAUGUUAAGAAUUCAAACCUAAGUUGCGAAUUGGUAUGGGCUUGGGAGAGCCUGAGCUAAGUUUAAAGACUUAGUAAUCCAUUAACUUAGUUUUAGGUGGUGAACCCGAAAAAAUUAGGUCGCAACAGAUGUCUUAAGGUUUUUGGUUUUAGGACAUAGUAUUUGAAAUUUCGAUGGAAAGUAACAAGAAAAAAUUAAAAGAAAAACACUUCUUUUUUUAAAAAAAAAAAUUCGGGCUGUGCCCAAUCCUAUUGGGUCUGGGCCAAAUGGGGUGACUUCGGUCCUAGCUAGGUCAAAUCCCAAGCCACAUUUUUGGACGGGCCAAAAAAGGGGCAAAAGUCUGCCCCACUCACAUAUUAACUCAUUCAUAAAAGGUAUGAUAACUGCAUAUGAAUUUGGAUACACUACACUUGCAAAUCUAAAUAAUCGAUACAUAGCUUGGAAAAGGAUCUAAUAUAGUUAGCCAUGUCGGCUACAUUAAAUGUUUUGUAAGCUCGUCCAAGGAGAAUUGACAUAGUAAUAUGGAUGGUAUAUCUUUUGAUCGUGUGAUAUCAAUCGUAUAUGUUUGGCAGAGCAAAUAUAUAUGCAAUUCUUGAGCCCACACGACUUUAUCUUCCAUAAAUGAAAAGACAGAAUUAAAAUAAUUUAGAUGGAAUGCUUUUAUUUGAAAUUAAAAUAAGUGCACUAGAAACUUUAAAAUUUUUUUAAUAAAAGUGUGACCAAAUUUUAAAAUUUAUUGAAUAAUUACAAUUGAGUAAUUUAGUUAGUUUCCCCUGUUAUGACUGACCGAACGACCAAACAAGUGCUCUUUUAAAUAUUCCCAGGAAAUGUUGUGUCAAUGUAACCCCUAGUGAAAAAAAAAUAAAUGUAACCCCUAGUGGGCCCCAUAUCAGCAAAAUAGCCCCAAUAAAAUUCCGCUUUUACCCAAGUGCCGCAUUGUUCGUCGUGCCUCUCUUCAACAGCCGAUUGAUGGUGCGCAUCACACCGUUGGCACUUAUCGAAUUCUUCCAAUCUACCUGUUGGACAGAAUCAAUUAUGAAGAUUUCGAGCUAUUUAAAGAACAUGACGAUAGCCCACCAAUCCUGCUCGCUCAUACAAUCAGGAUCUAGGUUUCCAUAAGUAGAACCUUCCAAGUAUACUUCGCUAAUCAACGGAUCCAAGAUCCCUAAAUCAAUCUUGAUCUGAAUAAUGGAUUCCGACAUGUUGUAUCCAGAUAAGAGAUCUUCUUUAGUCGACAUAAUCAAAUCUUUAACGAAAUACUCUGUUUCAGAUAAGCCUUCUUCGACGGUCUAGAAACUGUCAAUGAGGAUAGACUUUGAGUCUUGAGUCUGGCAGUCCGAAGGUCUUCAGACUUUGAUGGAAGAGUCUAUAAGUUUUCAGGCUAGAUUGAUGGAAACAUUUUGUCAACUUCAAAACACUCAAGGAAGUUUUCUCUAACAAUCUCCCCAUUUUUGAUGGUGACAAAACUUUCCUGCAGAUUUGGAUAACUUUGACCUGCAAAACAUUACUCAAGCAAACAUGGAUAUCUCGCAAAAGAUAAAUGGCUUAGUAAAGAUAACAUUAAAAUCUGCAUCCACAAAAAGUAGGUUAGUUCUAUAAAUGAGCAAAGCCAUAAGAUAUCAAUGGUGCUUAAGACAAACAUUUAAACAAUCAAAUCCAAACCCAGUCCAAAUCAAAACAGCCAAACACAAAAGUCAAGUCAAUCAAACAUAAUCGUCACAAAAGUCAAGAGUUCAGAGCUCAGAGUUCAAAGUCAAAUAUGCACCACAUCUCUCCCCCUUUUUGUCAUCAUUAAAAAAGUAGAGAUGAAAAGAGAAUGGAAUUAAGAUUGCUUGGGAACACGAACAAGUUGGAAAUCUCCCAUUGACUGGACAAUCCCUUCCAUCUUUUUCAAAUCCUCCUUCAAUUGCGCCACAUCUUCACCCUUAGCAUUUGCUUGAACUUGAAGAGCAAGGGCAUUGAUUUGAUCAUACAAAGAAACUGAAGAGGCUUGUCCUGCAUUCUGCAAUUUCUAAAUUUCGUAUCCUAGAGUAUAAAUUUGGUCGCGCAUCUCCAAGAGAACAUCAAGCACUCUACGAAAGUCCGCUGAAUUAUCAGUCUGAAUACUGGCUUUUGCACGAUCAGACGGUGUAUUGGCAGAUGAUGGCAAAUCAGCAUGGUCACGCAGAUUGGGCGAUGAAAUAUCAUGUCCCUCCUCAGGAAAUUGAGAGGCAUAGAUGUCCUAUGGAUCUGCUGGAGAACGAUUUACUCAUUCACUGGUGGUAGGAAAUGAGGACGUACCCCUUUUCUCAAGAUCUCCCCCUAUUUCAAUGCCUUCAGGUGGAGAAAAAUGUUCCUCAUGCUCUGCUUCUGCUUGUUCUCCUCUGCCCUCUUCUUCUUCUUCCUCAAUUCUUUCCUCCUCUGAUUCUUUCUCCAAUUCUUCUCUCUCUCUCUAGUCCUCUGUUCUGUCUCAUCCUUGUCUUGUUCCUAUCUCUCCGUUAUCUCUAGAACAGAACGACUCAAGUUCUUCAAUGCCAUCGCAAAAAUGGUGAUAUCAUCCUCAUCCUCUUCAUCCUCAAUGAUGAGUGCUUUUCUUUUCUUGGAUGGAGCAAUCGUGGGCUCAUUACCUUUUCGCUUUGCAGCCAAAGAGACUGGAUGAGUCUUGACAGGGGUUUUCACCUUGAAUUGCUCCAAAGCCUUGUUGAGUUCCUUCAGACGCAUUUUAGAGACCAUUCUCAGUCCCACCACCAUUUGAUCGCAUGUUCGAACACAAAGAAUUCGGGAAGGCUGAAUGUUCAAAUGUCUGAAUAACUUGGUCACAAGUGCUGAGUAUGGAAGUUGACCCUUAUCCUUCAUCAUUAUUCUGUACAUGUGAGACAUAAUAGUGUGUGGAAGAGAGAACUUUUUGCCAGCAUUGAUGGCAUACAUCAACUUUGCCUCCGAGUUUGAAACGUCGGUUUUUGAAGUUGAUUUUGGUCUGAGGUAGUUAAUCACUAUCUUGUGAAGCAAAAUGUUGGACUCAUUCAUUUGAAUAAGAAAUCUUUCCUUCCGUUGUUCUAUCCUGAACAAGCUCUAUCGUUGCACGAGCAAUAGACACACUAAUAGGUUGAUAUCUCCCUCUUUCAACCCCAAUCAUAUCAGCCAAUGUAUUCAUGUCAACCACAUAGUCCUGAUCUCAAACACUGAAAGAGAAUUUAUUCGCAUCCAAGAAAUUGAGAUUCGAAUAGAAGUAAGUAGCAAGUUCAGCAUGAGCCUCUGUCGUUUCAGAACAAAACUGUUCGAGUUGAAAAAAAUUGAAUUUUUCUCGUAGAUUGACAUUCAGAGAGUCGAGAAAAUCAAAGUCCACAAUUCUAGGGUUUAUCACACCACGCUUUAGCAACUUAGAGUACAGUUGCUUGUGUUCCUCCCAUCGAAAUAAGUCUAUCUUUUUGCUUUAGAUUUUUGCCGCAACACUCAUUCUAGGUUUAAACUGACUGUACAUCCUAUUAUCAUCAUUCUCAUAAGGUUGACUCAGCCCUCCAACACGUGGAUCGCUUGGGAUAUUUGCCAAUGCUUCUUCCGCCAACCCCGCAGGGGCAAUUCCCAAUCGUUUCAUUGUGCGUAAAAAGAAAGUUUCAUUUCUAUACCCUUUGUCUUUCAGAAAUUCAUCAAUAUAGUUCAACGGAGUACCACUCCUCUUCAAAGCACAGUAAAGCUUGUAAGUAAAAGCGGGCUUAUGAGUUCUUAUAGGUUAUGCAUCUUCGAUGAUUUCUUUCUCUUCUCGAUGUGCAACAUCCUGAGGUCUAGAUGGAGGAGAUGGACUUUGCUGAGAAUGUUGUGGGCUUUGUUGUUGUCUAGGAGAUUCUUCUUCCUCGGUGAGAUCAAAGUGCGUAAGCCCCUCACGCAUUUGCUGUGGUCCCCUAUUCGCAAUCCUCAAAGACUUUCUUUGAGACGACAUCUUUCACAGUCUUUGAGAGAUUCCAAGCUUGUUUCUCAAGAAAGAUGAAAACUUUUCAAGGAUUAAACAAGAGAAGAAGACAGAAAUGGAAGAUCUAUGCUCUCUUAGGGUUUUUGGGUUUUUGUGUGUAAAACGAAGAAGAACCGACAGUAUAUAAGGCAGUUGAAGCGAAGCAUACGGAACGUCGUAAAAAGGAAAUAUAAAAAAUGCCUUUUAAAAAUAACUGCAUUUUCAAAAAUUAGAUAACUAUCGUUUAAAAAUAACUUCUUUUUCGAAAAGGAAGGAUUGCAAUAAUCACGAAAAUUGGGAAAUAACAUCAAUCAAUUUCGGAUAGAAGAUCAUACCUUUUCAAGAUUUGAUCCGAGAGAUAAAGUUUCUAAAAUAGAAGAACUAACAGUCGUAAAUCUUGAUUGUCUGAGUCUGAGUGUCUUUAGACUUUCAGUCCUGAGUCUGAACUUUCUCAGACUUUAAGAUAUUGAGUUUGGAACGAAUAACUUCAAAUUGAUUUUUCUCCAAAGGCUUUGUAAAUAUAUCCGCCAAUUGAUUCUUUGAAUCAAUAAACUGAAUUGAAACUUCUCUAUUUUGAACAUGAUCUCUAAUGAAAUGAUGUCGAAUCUCUAUAUGUUUUGCUCUUGAGUGAAGAAUCGGAUUCUUGGUGAGAUCGAUUGCACUGGUGUUGUCACAUUUAAUCUCAGUGUAUGAAUCUUCAAUUCCAAAGUCUCUUAGUUGUUGUUUUAUCCACAGAAUUUGUGAACAACAACUUCCAAGAGCUACAUACUCUGCUUCUGCCGUAGAAAGAGCUACUGUACUUUGCUUCCUUGAAAACCAAGAUAUUGUCCUGCUUCCAAGUAGUUGACAGGUGCUCAAGGUGCUCUUUCUAUCAACUUUGCAUCCGGCUAGGUCUACGUCUAAGCAUCCAAGAAGAGUGAAGUCUCCUUCUUUCGGUACUAGAGACCCAAAUUUGAAGUUGAGGCAAUGUAUUUGAUAACACGCUUUGCAGCACUUAAAUGAGACUCUUUAGGUUCUAAUUGAAAUUUGGCACAAAUACAAACACUAAACAAAAUGUUAGGUCUAGAAGUAGUUAGAUAAAGAAGUGAACCAAUGAUACUCCUGUAUAGCUUCUGGUCAACUUUCUUUCCUUUUUCAUCUUUGUCCAGUUUCAAAGAACUUGACAUUAGUAUAUUAGUCUUUUUGCAAUUUUCUAGUCCAAACUUUUUGACAAGUUCUUUAACAUAUUUUUCUUGAUGAAUAAAGAUUCCCUCCUUCAGUUGUUUCACUUGAAGCCCGAGAAAGAAGGUUAGUUCACCCAUCAUGCUCAUUUCAAACUCAUCCUACAUAGAUUUAGAGAAUUUUUUACACAGAUUUUCAUUAGAAGAUUCAAAAAUAAUAUCAUCAACAUAAAUUUGAACAAGUAAAAAGCUUUUGCUUUCUCUUUUAAUAAACAAUGUAGUAUCUACUUUACCUUUGACAAAGCCAUUUUGAAUUAAAAACUUACUUAGUCUGUCGUACCAAGCUCAAUGUGCUUGCUUUAAACCAUAUAGAGCUUUUUUCAGUCUGAAUACAGAGUCUGGUUUCCUUGGGUCUUCAAAACUGGGUGGUUGUUCCACAUAGACUUCCUCUUGGAUAAAUCCAUUUAGGAAAGUACUUUUGAUGUCCAUUUGGAAUAACCUGAAAUUCUUAUGACAAGCAAACAUAAGUAAUAAUCUAAUUGCUUCUAACCUUGCUACUGGUGCGUAAGUCUCAUCAUAGUCUAUCCCUUCUUCUUGCGUAUAUCCCUUGGCCACGAGUCUUGCUUUGUUUCUUACGACUUUUCCUUUCUCAUUCAUCUUGUUCAUGAAAACCCAUUUAACUCAAAUGAUGGAUUUACCUUUCGGUUUAGGAGUCAAUUCCCAGACAUCAUUGAUGCUGAAUUGCCUGAGUUCUUCUUGCAUAGCUUCAGUCCAUCUUUCAUCAGUUAAAACUUCUUCUAUGCUUUUGGGUUUUAUUUCAGAAAUAAGAGCCACAGCACUAGACUCUUCACGCCUUUUGGAUCUUGUGCGAAUUCCUUCAUUAAUAUCACCAAAAAUAAGAUAUUUGGGAUGACUAGACUUAUGCUUCUAAUUGCUGGUUGAUUUGUCAGAUUGUUGAUCUUUUUCCUCAUUUGAAUCUUCAUUGAUCAUUUGUUGCUUGUCUUCUGAAGUUUGAGCUACUUCUGGAGAUUUAGACUUUGUAGAGUCUGGAGCAAGUUUAGAUUCUUCAAGAUUAGUGUGAAUCGAUUGAUUUUGCAUAAAGUCUUGAAAUUUGACAUUCAUUGAUUCCUCCACAGAUUGAGUCUUUUUGUUGUAAACUCUGUAAGCUUUGCUUGUGAUAGAAUAUCCAAGGAAAAUACUUUCAUCUGAUUUUUCUUUAAACUUACUAACUCGAUCAUUUGCAUUUUUCAAUAUAAAACAUUUACAUCCAAAUACAUGAAAAUAUGAAAUAUUGGACUUUUUUCCUUUGAAUAACUCAUAGGGAGUUUUCUUCAGAAUAGGCUUUAAAAAGACUCUAUUAAUAAUAUAACACGCUGUAAAAACUACUUCAGCCCAAAAACUAGAAGAGAUGUUACUUUCAAUUAAAAGAGUUCUAGCCAUUUCCUGAGUGACCUAUGCUUUCUUUUCACGACUCCAUUUUGCUUUGGAGUAUAUGGUGAAGAGAACACAUGCUGAAGACCAAAUUCAUCACAUAAUUUUGUAAAGUCUUGAUUUUCAAAUUCACCUUCAUGGUCUGUCCAUAUACUUGAAAUAACAUACCCUUUCUCAUUUUAGACCUUUUUAGCAAACUUUAUAAAAUAAGAGAAUGUUUCAGACUUACUUGCCAGGAAAUAUACCCAAGUGAAUCGUGAAAAAUCAUCCACAAUUACUAAACAGUAUUUCUUAUCUCCAAUGCUCUGAGUUCUGGUAGGUCUGAAGAGAUCCAUAAGCAAGAGCUGUAGUACACGAUUAGUGGAUACUUGAUUUAUUGGUUUGAAUGAGUUUCUUACCUGUUUUCCCAACACGCAGGGUGUGCAUAGAUCAGACUUUUGAUAUGUCAGAUUGGGUAGUCCACGAACAAGCUUCUUUGCUGAGAUUUUGGCUAUUUACUUCAUGUUGAUGUGUCUAAGUUUUCUGUGCCAUAAGUUUGUUUUUUCUUGAAUUGAGAUUAGAUAUUGAGUUUCAUCUAGUUUGAUAUCCAAGAGGUAGAUAUUCACAUGUCUUCGACCUGUGAAAGACUGAGAGAAGUCUUUAUUGGUUCCUGAACAUAUUCCUUCUUGAAAGUUGAUUUUGAAAUCGGUGUCGCAUAGCUAACUGAUACUCAAUAAAUUGUAGUUGAGUCCUUCCACUAAGGAAACAUUACUGAUCGUGAGGCUUCCAAUCUUUACAGUUCCGUAUCCCACAAUUCUUCUUUUGCCGUUUCCUCCAAAAGAAACUUUUCCAUCAUUGACUUGUACAAGCUUUAUGAAGCAAUUUGAAUCUCCUGUCAUAUGUCUUGAGCAUCCACUAUCUAGGUACCAUUUAACAUUUUUCUUAAUAGUGACCUGCAUUUAGAAAGGAGACUUAAGCUUUCUUUGGUACCCAUAUUUUCUUGGGUCCAUUGGUGUUAGUGUAAUAUAUGGUCUUUGCCCAAACCUUCUUAAUAGGUUUCCAAACCAUAGGACAUUCUUUCUCAAAAUGAUCUGAGCUAUUACACUUAAAACAUUUAAGAGCACUGCGACCUACUAGUUUUACAAAAACUUUUUGGAAAUUAUUUUUGUAAGAAUCUCUUGUAGAUCUUUGCUUAAUUCUUUCCUUUACUUUAGGAAAAUCAAUUAGAAGAAUGGUUUCAACAAUCGUUCCUAAACCUGAUUUGUUGAAGUAAGGUCUUUGUGCUGAAAGAAUUUUUUAAAGUUUCUCUGAUCCUAUAGAAAAUCUUUUAGAAAUACUUGAGAUAUCAUUUUUCAAGAAUUCAUUUUCUUUUGAAAGAUUGUCUGCAUUUUCUUUCAAAGUAGUAACACUUUUAUCUAAACUUUUCACCUUUUCUUUACAAACAUUUUCCUAUUGUUUAAGUGCAUAAUUUUCUCUUUUAAGUUCGGAAAUCUUUUUGAGAGAAGUUUUGAGAUUAAGACACAAUUCAUCAAUGUAUCUAGAGACUUUAGUAGGGAUUUUCAAAUUACUUAUCUCGAUUUCACUAUCUGAAUCUAUGUCUGUCUCGGAGUCUAAAUCUGAGUCUGAUUGUGCCAUGAGAUAAAUAUUGGCAUAAUCAUCAUCACUUUCCUCACAUUUUGUAUUACUCCAAGUUUCUGCUUUAAGUGCCUUUCGAUAUUUCUCAGCUUUUCCUUUCUUUUUCCUCAGAAGAGGACAAUUGGGUCUAAUGUGUUCCUUUUUCUUACAUUCAAAGCAGACUACAUCUUUAUUGGAUUCAUCAUCCUCAACUGACUUAAUCUGUUGCUUUUGAAAACUUUGUUUCUUUGGAUUGAAUAUUUUCCCCUUUCUGUUUAGUUUUCCGAAUAUUCUUGUCAUGAAAGCAAGCUCUUCAUCAUCCAUAUCGUCUUCAGAACCCGUGACAUCAGAAUCAUCAUUAGAUUUUAAUGCAAUGGAUUUCUUACCUUUAGGAUUUUCAUCUUCGUUGAUUUGCUCCACUUCAUAAGAUUGAAGAGUCACAACCAAUUCGUCAAUAGAGAGUGACAUGAUUUUUUGUAUCUCUCUUAUUGCGGUCUUUAUGUGAUUCCAAUCCUUGGACAGUCCACGCAGUAGCUUAUUUACCUUUAUGGGUCCAGAAAUUGGUUGACCCUGAUAUUCAAGACCAUUCACAAUUUCUGUAAAAUGGCUAAACAUAUCGGUGAUAGAUUCUCCUGAUUUCAUUUUGAAUGCUUCAUAUUGAUCGAGUAGAAUGUUGAUUCUGGUUUCUUUCACUCGAUCAGUUCCUUCAUAGGUGAUGUGUAAUCUAUCUCAGACUUCUUUAGCUGUUUCACAAGAAGAUAUUCUAUUAUAUUCAGUAGGAGAUAAUGCACAAUAUAAAGAAUAAAUUGCUUUCGCAUCAAGAGCUUGUCUCUUGGUUAUCUCUUUUUGAGUCAUUUCAUUAGACUCAACGGCUUCUUUUCCUCUUUGUGAGACUGGUGCAGCUUUAGGAAUGAUUCCUUUGUCUACCACAUCCCAUUUCAGAGGAUCCUUUGAUCUUAGAAAUGCCUUCAUCUUGUUUUUCCAUAUGUUGUAUUUCUUUCCAUCAAAAUAAGGCGGUUUGGUAUUACUUUGCCCUUCAACCAGUCCUGGAGCAACAUACUAGCCAUGGAUCUUUAACUCUGAAGUAAAACACUUCAACUUAAGUGAGUACACAGGCUCUGAUACCAAUUGUGAAAGCUAGUAUGAGCACCUUGAGGGGGGUGAAUAUGUGUAAAAACAAAUUUCCGAGAUAAGUGUGCAACACUAAUCAAUAAUAGAUGAUGAAAAUGAAGUUAGGCUCUUGCAGACAAAAUGAAUUACGAUCAAAGUAAAAUAGCGUAGGGAAGAGAAUAUGAACACAUGGUUUAUAGUGGUUUGGCUUAAUCCAAGCCUACAUCCACUCUUCCGCACUGACAGCCCACCGGCUGGAUUUCACUAUGAAACAAAAGAGUUGUUACAGUAAAGCUCUUCCUUGAUUCCACAGUGUAGAGACUCUGCUACACUUCCUCAAGAUCUCUCAAAGAUAUAGACUCUCUUUUGCAUACAAUAUUUCGCUUAAUAAUUUAAUUGAUUAAGAACAAGGAGUUUCAGACUUUGGAAUUCUUUUAUCGCGCACACACUCGAACAACUGGAAUGUCUUCCUUAUAUACUCAUUCAUGUCAUCACACCCGUUGGCACUUAUCAAAGGAAUUCUUCCAAUCUAACAGUUGGACAGAAUCAAUUAGGAAGAUUUCGAGCUAUUUAAGGAAUAUGACGAUAGCUCACCAAUCCUGCUCGCCCAUACAAUUAGGAUCUAGGUUUCCAUAAGUAGAACCUUCCAAGUAUACUUCGCCAAUCAACGGAUCCAAGAUCCCUGAAUCAAUCUUGAUUUGAAUAAUGGAUUUCGACAUGCUGUAUCUAGCCAAGAGAUCUUCUUUAGUCAUCAGAAUCAAAUUCUUAACGAAAUACUUUGUUUCGAAUAAGCCUUCUUCGACGGUGUAGAAACUGUCAAUGAUGAUAGACUUUUAGUCUUGAGUCUGGCAGUCUGGAGGUCUUUAGACUUUGAUGGAAGAGUCUGCAAGUCUUCAGAGUAGACUGAUGGAAACGUUUUGUCAACUUCAAAACACUUAAGCAAGUUUUCUCCAACAAAAAGUAAUUGUUGAGACAUCUUAAGAAUUAGAAUCUAAGUCAUCUUGUAUGGAGAAAUUUGAUAACGUGAUUCGAUGUUGUAGAAGUAGAUUAUAAAUGUUAAUCACACAAGGAGACUAGUUGAUAUGGACAAGCAAAUUGCAAAGAAUGUUGUUGCCUCCAUUACUAAAGGGAAAGACCUGAAAGAUAAGGAGGUGCCUUGUUAUGAUUAUGAAGUUUCGUUGUAGAUCUAGUGACUAAUAAUUUUAAUAUCAAAUGGGAGAUAAUGUUGUAUUUUGUUAUACCAAUCAACUAUUUGAAAAGGGGCGAAAAAGCUUACUUUACUUUGUCAUAUUGAGCCAAUAGUCUGAUAAAGCAUUAAUUUAGCUGUGCUUGAAAGAAUUGAAAAGCUUAAAUUUAAAUUUUCGAUUCCAUCCAUGUUCGAGUCAUCGAAAUCGUUGCUUUUUCCCCAAAACUUACGGUCUGCAUGGCUUAAAUGCAUGCAUGUUAUAUAUUUAGACAUGGAAGGCAUCUUUUGGCCGUGUACCCUAUUGUAUAUUAGGUGCGUAUAUUUUGACAUUUGACUUCAGAUUGCACAUUGAGAUUGAUGACUUUCAUUGUAUGGUUUAUUGUUGAUUAAAACUCCUUAAGGUAGCAACCGCUGCCUUAAAUUCACACCGUGUGUGAUUUGAUUCUCUCAUUAGUGUAUGCUAAUGUUUUGGUCUUUCUUCACCAUAUGUUGGUUUUUCAACAAUGUAAAUGGGAAUACUGUUCUUGUUUCAUUCAUCAGGCUACAUAUUCAGGAAAACAAGCAAAUUGCGACUCUCGGUAUUCAGACAGGUCAUGGAUGGUGAGGCUUGGGAGCUGUGGAUGUGACCAGGGGGCAUUUCUUCUGUUGGUUGGCCCACAUUUGCAAGAGAAAAUCAUCCGCAUGCAGGAAAAUGUUUGUGUGUUUGAGCUCAUUGAUUGGGAGGAUGUUGUGUUUAGAGUCUAUGAUUCCAUUAGUGCUGGUAAAGACUUGAUUACAUUAAUCGAAAUGAACUCUCGAAGUGUCACUUUGGCUCAUCCAAAAAUAAAUCACUUUUUCAUCAUUUUAUCUCCUUUGUUUAGUCUCGGUGAAUCAAUGAAGUGUACUUCUUCCAUUCCCAUUGCGUUUGUGAGGUUCGCAAUAAUCCAGAUGCACACUCAUUAAUGCCGCAUCCCAAAUCUAAAUAAACCGAAAAGGAUGUGCUUCAAUAUCAGAAAGAAAAUUAAAACCUGAAACGCUCAUCAUUAGAAUUUAGAGGUGUGACUUGUUGGUUUCUAAGUUAUGCUUAUUUGUACAACAUCAUGUAUUUUUUCUUGUUACAUUUUCCUAAUAAGCUUUUGUAUAUUGAUGGGUUACAUUACUAUUUAGGAUAUGCUAAGUGUAGUUAAUUAGUUAUGUCACGUGAAGAACAUGUACUCAUUAGUAACAUUAUAACAGGUAUUGAUUUGCAUAUUGUUGUAACUCGAUACAUAAUAGAGCAGUACCUAUGAGAACUCUUCUUUUACUUCUGUGCAGGUCGGACCAAACAGUCCGAAUAUCAAUUGCGCCCCUCUGAGCAGGCUUUGCAUGGCCUUACAUUUCCGCGGCUUCCCACUGCUCUUGAAAAAACUAGGGAAUUUGAAUUAGAGUAUCCAUUUUUGAAAUUGGUGAUGGGCCAACUUUUAUGAAGGACAGAACCACGGUAAGGGCCCUAUGUCUUUCAUAAUUGGCAUAUCUCAACCAUGACGCCAUCUACAUCUUGUCCUAUAGUCCACUGUUUUCCCAAAAUGUUUUGGUCUUUCAUAGGAAUCAUGUGAGAUGUUAUUCUCUGAGGUGUCCAUGGCUAUAUGUGUAAAAUCAGGAAAGUUUUGACUUUAAAAUUUCUUUUCUUUUCUUUUCUUUUUUAAUUUAUGGAUUCAUAAGGUUACCAAUUCCAAAAUAAAAGAUUUUAUUUUUUCAAUAAUCAGGGGUAAAGAAAAUUACUAUUAUUCAUAGACUAAGAGGAUAUUGUGGAGACAAUCAAUGUUGGCAACUCUUGAAGCAUUACCAUGAGAGUUCAAAAAUUGUGUACACUAUUGUAGAGUCUAUGAGCAUUGUAUUGUCACAUUUUAACUUCAAAUUGCAAGUUGGGAUUGAAGACUUCUAUUAGCCAAUUAAGAUUGUAAUUGAAUUUCCUGAAACUAGUAAAUACUAUAUUUACAUUUUGUUUGCCUUUUCUAUUUAUUGUUUGUUUGUAUCAAUCUUUUCCUCAUAAUACGAUAUUGGCAAAGUGUUCCUUGUGAAUUCAUAAAGAGGUACAUCCAGGAGAACCAGCAAAUUACGACUCUUAGGUAUUUGAACAAAUAAUGGCUGGUGCAGUUCGUAACCCAUCAACACCAUUAUCCAGCAAACACAUCUGUGGUUGGCCCACUUUUAUGAGAGAAGCUUAUCUGGAUGAAGGGGAUGUCUGCAUGUUUGAGCACAUUGAUAUGGACGAUUUUAUGGUCUUAGUUUCCGUCUCCAAUUAUGCUAGUGAGGACCUCAUUUAGGUCGAUCGAGAUGAAGAUUAGAAGCGUCACUUAAGGCUGUAUAUUAAUGAAGCAAUUCAUGCCUCCUUUAUUUAGUUGCGACAAAUCAAUUGAAAGUGCACUACUUUUGGCUUUGCUUCUCUUUCUUGACCUACUUACAGUCUUAUCAGAGUUCUCUUAAUACUUUUGUGCAGGUCAGAACAGACAAGUCUGAAUGCCCAGUGAGCCCCCCUGAGCAGUUUUUUUCGUGAUUCCAAGUGCCUGAGGCCUCUCACUGCCCUUGAGAAAGCUAGAGAAUUUAAAUUAGAGUAUCCCCUUUUCCAGACAGUGAUGUGGCCAUCUUUUCCUAAGAAAGAAGUGGCGGUAAGUCCUAGAUUUCCAUUCAAAAUCGGCAUAUCUCAAUUAUGAAUGCCACCUAUUCUAUAUAUGCGCCCCACUCUGCAAAUUUUUCCCAUGUUAAUAUGCUUUUUAUAGAAACACAUGAUAUGUUAUCUUUCUUGAAGCGUUCGUGGUUAUAUGUUUAAAACGGGCAUCUUAACAACUGAGUAAAGGGACUAGGGAAAAGCAAUAAGUCAGGCAGCAAUCGGCAAAUAACCUAGUGACAGGUGUGUGUGGAGACAAGGUCAAAGGGUUGACAAAGGCAAUAACAACCAUAAGUUAGGAAUUUAAUGAUUUCUAUUUUAAGUAUAAAUUCCUCCCAAAGAUGACUACUUAGUACUUUCUCUGGCUGCCUAGGCUUGGGAAGAAGAGGCGACACGAAAUGUCCAGCUUAAGUCAUAACAACUGCAACAGGCCUAGGCUUGGGAUGAUUGAGCUCUCUGCAACAACAUGGCACCACUAGUCAGAUAUUGCUCCCUAGCAAUGACUGGUUUUGUGAGAGCUACUAUGAUCGGAAAUGGAGGGACGGUAGUGCAGCCCUUGACCUCAAAAAUUAGUUCCACCACCUCGGUGGUAUGAAAAGAAGAAAAGAAGUAUCACUUUUUUUGUUUUUUGUUUUUUUGUUUUUUUCCAGGAAAAAGAAGAUCACUCACUUAUUGUGUAUAUAUGCCCAUCUAGCACACUAGGUGCAGCUUUUCAUGUUUGUUUCAAUGCAUAUCGCAAUGCAAGAUUAGUGACUCGGAUAUUGACCAGAUUCAUGCAUGUCUCUAUUGAUUACACGUACUUGGUGUAGUGUCUAAGAGCACAGGAUUGUGGGGCUUUGAUUUCAGAUUGGAAAUUGUGAUUAAAGACCAUCUCACCAAGCCUUUUAGACUGCUAAUAUGGACUCUGUAAACUAACAAUUACUAGCAUAGACUUACUUCUUGUUUGCCUUUUCACUUUAGUGUACGCUUACAUUCCUAUGUCUUAUCAUAUAUCGGCUGGUCAAAUAUCUUCAUGGGCAGAGCGUUACUCAUGAAUUCAUGAAGACAUGCAGCCAAGAAAACCAGCAAAUUGCUACUCUUAUGUGUUUGGAUACAUUGUGGCUGGUGACCAUCAUGACCUAUCGACGCUAUGGUUUGGCGAACUUCUCUGUUGGUUGGUCCAAGUUUGUGAGGAAAACUUAGUCUUGAAUGAAGGGGAUGCUGCAUGUUUGAGCUCCUUAAUAGGGAUGAUGUUUAGGUUGAAAUGGGAUGAACAUUGGAAGUGUCACUUUAGGCCAUAUGCUAGUUAAAAGCGAUUUAUGCCUCUUUUCUGUUGUGAUGAACCAGAUGAAAGUGCACUUUUAUUUGUAACUGUGCUCUUUUUUGAGCUACUUACGAUCUUAUAAUUUCUAGGCCCGGCCACUCCCAUACAUCCGAUGUUAGUCCUACACACAUUUUCUACUUUGGGUAUCUCUUGAGCUCGUUACGCUUUUAUCAUUGCCUUUUUGGAAAGGAUCUCUUGUUCAGCACUCGGUCCACUUCCAAGUUAUCGAACCUAGUUUUGUAUUACAAAAGAAUGUCAAAAGUGACGUGUUUUAGUUCUAGAAGGGAUGUGGAAAUUUAUGCAUCAUUCCGUCACUCAUGGUCACCCAAUAGCUUUUAAAUAUGGGAGAGACACUAUACUCAUGUAAUUAUAUUUGAUAAAAAAAAAAACUUAUCUAGAUACAUUAUCCCUCAAGCGGUGAUGAAAUUUAAAACCCUGAGAGUGAAUUCCACCUACAUCUGGCCUAUAGUCCACUGUUUUCCCAAAUUGUUUUGCUUAUUCAUUGGAAUCACAUGAGAUGUUAUUUUCCUUCAAUGGCUAUAUGUGUAAAAUUUUGAUUUGGAAAUUUCAUUUUUUUUUAAAUUUGGAUUCAUAAGAUUACCAAUUCUAAAAUAAAAGAUUGCAUUAUUUAUUUUUUUAUACUAAUCAGGUGUAAAAAAGAUCACUAUUAUUCACAAACUAAGAGGAUGUGGUGGUGAAGAUCAGUGUUAGCAACUCCGGAAGUGUUACCAUGAGAGUUCAAAAAUAGUAUACACCAUUGUAGAGUCUAUGAGCACUGUACUAUGACAUUUUGAAUUUGAGUUGCGGGUUGUGGUUGCAAACUUUUAUUAGGCAGUUAAGACUGUUAAUUGAAACUCUUGAAACUAGUAAAUAUAAAUAAUUUACGUUUUGUUUGCAAGAUUCUUAUACGCUCUUGCCCAUUCAUUACUUGUCAACUUUUGUGGACUUGAUAUAGCAAGACCCUUUUUUUUUUCUCUUUCUUGAAUCAACAAUGGGGAGAAAAAAACAUAACGAACCCUUUUGCGAACUUGACACAGCACAACCCCUUUUUUCUCUUUCUUGAAUCAACAAUAGGGAGGAAAAAACGUAUUGAACCCUUUUCCGAAAAGAUGAACUUGCAGUCUCAUCCAAAUAUGAAGGAAUAGAUCAAUCAUUAGUGAAUUCGUAUUGCUCACAUCUAAUUCUACAGUAAAAAAGCUAAAGCUGUCCACUGACACUGAGCGUGCACAACUCUUUAAUUUGACCAUAAGCGAAAUCCAUGCAAGCAGCACAAUCCAAUUGUGCUAGCCCGAUGGCACAAGCUCCAUGACCGAAGCAUUUGGUGUCGCCAUAAUAAGCACUGAUGUAGUAGUUGAAUCCCUCGGUUGCGGUGCGGGACCUCAGAUCAGUCAAGACUUGAUCCAAAGCUCAUAAGUAAUCGUCGGUGUACUGCACGUCGUUGCAUAUCUUGUAGAUAACCAUCACGUCCAGGUCACUUCUCACAAGACUCGAACCCCAUAGAAGCCUCAUGAACAUAAGUGCAUGUGAUGUGGACAUGGUCAUCCUAGCCCUCUUUCCUCCCUUUGGUUCUCUUUUGUUUAAUACAAAGAAACAGACAAUUGAGUUAGGCUUUAAAAAAGGUUCGUCUCCACAGUGCAAUCCGUCAUUUAUGCUUUGUUUUUAGGCCAAGUCAAUCCCAAUUUUAGUCAUUUAUGAUGUCACAUGGAUGUAUUCUUGAUAACUUCCCCAGCCGUUUCUAUGAAUUGUUCGCCCAUUAGUAUACUGCAUGGUUGCCAUCCUUGCAAACCCUAAUCUUAUAAUUUUUUAUGAAAAUUUUCCCUCUCUUACCAUGCAUAAAAAAUUUAACAUUAGGAUCCUCUAAGUUUAUGAAAUAAAUUCACAUUAUGAUAAAUGACCAACUUCACUUUUUUUGUCCUUUUUAUUCUCCUACUCUGCACACAUGCAUCUGCCUCACAUACAAGUCUUGAAUAUAUUUAUAUCUGUAACAUUGUGAACUUUAGGUCAUGUAAUUAAUGGAGUUCAUGAUAGUUAUAAAACCCGAAUUACAUUAUACUUUUGCUGCUGCUAAUACUACCAUGUGAGUGUAUUAAAAAAAGGAAAAAGAAAAGGAAGCCUGAAAACCCGGAUCGAAUCACCCAAACUGGCCCAAUAAUUUUCGGCUCAAAUAGUCUCAAGCCUGCCGAUUUGGCCUCAACAUAUCCUUGAGUUUGGAACCCGAAUGAUUGCCAAAUCAGCCGUCAAUUGAGGGCUCAACUACUCUCGUUCUCCAGUCUCUCAUGCUGGCCGAGAUCCAGCCAUCGCUAAGCUGCCAUCACCGCCUGCCGUCGAGCCCCACUUAUGUGGCUAUCGAGCCCCACUACUCACCGUAUGCCCUCCGUCCAAUAUGUCUUACUCGCUCCCUCAGCCCCCUUACGCUUGCUCACUUCUUGGUCACUUCUUGGUCUCCUUUUUGCUCCCUCGCUCUCUACCGGUAGAAAAGAGGUUCUGACCAGCCUGUUUUGAUGUCUUAAGGUUUUUGAUUUUCGUACAUUCUAUUUGAAUUUUUUAUUAAAAUUUUUCAAAUGAUAGAUAGUCCCUGUUAAAAAGAUGCAAUUACGCUUUUUAUUAUUUUUGUUUCACAAUCUAUUAGUUACAUUUAGAUAGCGGAGAGUAGUGGAGAAUGGCUGUUGAUGACAAUUUUCACUUUUAAGUACUAAACGGCGAAAGUUGCCCCGAAUUUGUCUAAAAUCUAUUAUCAUCACAAUUUGAUUUUAAGGUAAUUUAGACCGAGAGAUCAACAGAGGAAUCUCUACCCUUAAAGAAUUCACAAAUUUGGUAAUGUCAUUUUACAAAUUCUAUUCUCUAAUAUCCUUAUGUUCAAAUGAAAAUUUAUGUAGGAUAGCCAACUAGUGCUAGUGCAAGAUAUGAUCCCUCAUCGAGCUAAUCGAGUCACGAAACAUGUUACCUAGACCGAGUGCAUACUCUAUUGCUCUCACAGAAAGCAUAUAUGAAGGCCUACUAAGAGUGAAACUAAGUCAAAUUAUUCAUGAGUUAGUUCGAGCUAGGGUUGAUGAUUAUAUGAGAACUAAUAUCUAGUUGAGUCCUAACUAUAGCUACUCCAUAAUCUUGUCAAAUUGAAGCUCUAGCUCGCUAAUACUUUUGUAAAUUUAAUUUAAAAAAUCUAAUUGUUAUAAAAUUAGCCAUAGACAUAUCAUCUGCACACACAUGUAUAUAGCCUAUGGACUUCUCAUUUGAAUCAAGCUCCUAUAUGAAAUUAAUUCUUGGCCGAGCUCUAAUCUAGUUUUAAACACUGGCUACGAAGUUGAGACAAUCUUUUGUUUGGCACUAUAGCAGAUUGAUUAGACUCGACUCCUAAGCCCCAACCAUGUUGACACCUAAUUCGAUUAAUGAGAGUCAAAGUGUCCAUUAAAGCGGUUAAGAAUUUUGAUGUGCAAAACUUGAGUGCAACGUUAUCGUUGAGAAAUCUCAUUACUCAAGAUAUAGUUGGAUCUUCAUCAUGCAAUUUUUAACCCCCCCUAUAAUUUUCAAUCCAUAUAUUAACUGAUAGCUCAAAUGAUGAAAGUAAGCGAACACUAAUAAAUGUAAGAAAUCUUCAAGAGUCGCCUUUCCUAAGUCCUAGCUAUAAAUCUAGUAGGGACGUAGCUUGGCUUAAAAAAUCCUUGCUGUAACUUUUCUCUGACAAAAUGACACUCCAGUUCUAGAGAAAAUUCUAAAUAAGGAAUCAAAGUGUUCUCAUUUUCUCAAAUAAAGGCAAGGAAUGGCCUUUAUUCAAUAAAGGCCUGCAAUGGCCAUGAUUAUUUCAAAUAAGGACUUAAAGUUACCAUGGUUGUUUGAGAUAAGGGCUCAACCUCGUCGGUUAUUGGUUGGCUAAAUAUUUGACCAGUUAGGGGCAUUUUCAUCCAAUUACAAUUUUAAUUUUAAAUUAUUUUUUAUUCUUUUCUUCUUCUUUUCUCCACUCUUUUUUUCCCCCUUUCUAAAGAGAGUUAGCAGUUGCAAACAAAUACUCAGCAACCCUCGCCAGCCAUGGGUAAGGGUCGGCAUGAACUUGGCCACCUUCGUUGGCCGUUGUUAAGGGCCCAUGAGGGCCUACAAGCCCUCGCUAGAUUAGGCGAGAAUCAACCUCGCCUAGGGCUGACAAGGGUUCGGUGACCCUUGCCAGACACAAGCGAGGGCCAACCUCACUAAUGACUACAAGGGCAACCCGCCCUAAGGUGAAGGUAGCUUGUCCAAACAAGAACGUCCCUUGCUAGCCGCUAAGGAGGUCACCCUCACCCAAAUCUAGUGAGGUGACUCUUUCGAGGCUGGCCUCACUCGCAGCAGCCUCCCUAGGGUAGGGGUCGCCUCGCGUUACAUUGAUGAGCACAACCUUCUCCCAGCCCUUUCCGACAUCGCUUGCGGGUGGUCAACCACCAAUAAAUAAGAAAGAAAAGCCAAAAAAAAUAAAGGAAAAAAUAAAUAAAUGAGUAAAAUGCCCUUGACCAACCAAAAAGUCAAGCCACUUUUUGAAGUAGACAUAGUUAGGGCCUUCUUUAAAAUCAAAUCUACUUCAAGUUCUCAUUUGAGAAAAUGAUAGCACUUCAGGCCUUUAUUUAAAACAAGAUCUACUUCAAAUCCUUAUUUGAGAAAAUGAAGACACUUCAAGUCAUUAUUUGAAAAUUUCCCCCAAUUCUAUAUAUAUGGUGUGUUUAUUGAAAAUUGGGUUUUUACUGCAAUUUUUGGCACAAUAUACCUUUAAUUUUGAAUAACUAUUUGACAAUAAAAAAAUUCCUUGUUGAUAAGAAAUUUUAAAUACCAAAUAUCCUCCUUUCCAUUUUUUCAUAAAUUAACUCGGGGCAUACAUAGAGAAAUCCUCAAUAAUUUCAAGUUUUAAGAUUAAAUAAAUCAUUGAGUCUCUGUCAUGUCAUUCAUCUUCCAACAAGUACUCCCUAUAGGAAGUUUCACUUUUGUUUCUUGCAACUUAAAUUCUUAAAAAAUAUAUAUUUUUUCAAUUUUUGAGGUCUAUUAAUGAAAAAUUUGCCUAAUUUCAUUUUCGGUCAUCAAUAUAACAUCAAUAAAUAUCAUGAUAAAUGAAUUUCCUCUCCUUGAAGUAAAUAGGGAAUAAUAUAUAAAAAAAGUCAACAAUUGUUAACAUCCGAGAAAUUAAAAGGGGAAGAAGAACAACAACAAGAAGAAGAUCCGUUAGGUUUUCCAGUUCUUGCGUUUCGAGCAUUCGGUCACUCUGGGAGCGCAUGGAAACAUUUCUGCUCUUUUUUUGUUCCUGGGAACAGAAAGAAAAAAAAGUGUUUCUGUUCCGGAGAACAGUUUUUGAACAAAAGAACGCGUUUAGUAAGUGUAAAAAAAAACUGUUCUUGAAAUAAAAAAAAGAACAGAAACACGUUUGGUAACUGCAGUCAAUUUUUGUUCUUAGAAUAGAAAAAGAACAUAAACAUGUUUGGUAAACGACAAAAAUGUUGAACUAACUUGUGUAAAACAGAUCAUACGUUGCAUUUUGAGCUACAAGAAAUACAUAGUAAUGCUACAUAUAGAAUGCAACCAUGAAAUUCAGCCAACAUAAGGCAGCAUUACCCUUAGUUAUUACCUUCUUACGAUGCCACACAACCACGCUGCGGCCCGACUUCGGCUGGUUCUCCCCCUUGGUGGUGAAAUCGUCGUUGAACGCCCUCGCCACGUGCUUCACCAGCCUGUCCAUACCACAUCACCAUGAGCAACAAAACAACAAUCGAAGGAAACCCCAAUCCAAUCGAUGAACUGAAAUUCCCCCCUUCCAAAACUGAAUCAAGCAACAACACAACAUCACUUGAAGAUCCUGCGGAAUCGAAGGAUCCACCUGGCUGCUGCUCGAGCGAGUUGGCUGCUGCUCGAGCAGCAGUUGGAGCUGUUGCGCGAGCAGCAGCUCCAGCAGCUCCAGUCGAGCUGCAGCUCUAGUGGAACUGCAGCUCCAGCAGCUCCAGUCGAGCUGCAGCUCCAACUCGAGCAGCAGCUCGCUGGAGCUGCUGCUCGAGCAGCUCUAGUCGAGCUGCAGCUCCAGCAGCAGCUCCAGCUCGAGCAGAGCAGCAGCAGCUCCAGCUCGAGCAGCUGCUCGAGCGAGCUGCUGGCAGAGCUGGCAGAGCUGCUCUGCCGCUCGAGCUGCUAGCAGAGCUGCUCUGCCAGCUCGAGCUUGCAGAGAGCUCGCUCGAGCUGCUGGCAGAGCUGCUCUGCCAGCUCGAGCUUGCAGAGAGCUCGCUCGAGCUGCUGCUCGAGCUGGCAGAGAGCUCGCUCGAAGCAGCUCGAGCGAGCAGGCGUCCCAGAUCUGCCGCAGAUCUGGGCGAGCACACUCGCUUGAGGCUCGAGCGAGCAGCCGUCCCAGAUCUGCCGCAGAUCUGGGCGAGCAACGCUCGCUUGAGGCUCGAGUGAGCCAUCCCAGAUCUGCCUCGCCGAAGCCCAUCGUCGACCGGAGAAGGAGGAGAACCAGAAAACCUACCUGGAUUCGGAGCUUCAGCCGGUGGAGUCGCCGGAGUGAGUCGCCGGAGAGACGAGGCCGAGUGGGAGUCGCCGGAGAGAAGGGAGACACGCCGGAAAGUUGCCGGAGACAGCCGGUGCGUCGGCGUCGUUCUUCGCCGGAGCGUUGGCCGAGUGAGGAGUCGCCGGAGAAGGAGGACGAACGAAGGAGAGCACGAACGAACGAAGUGUUCCCGUUUCGUUUUUUUGUUCUUUUCAUUUUUGUUCCUUUCGAGCGUCCAAGAAGUGUUUCUCAAGGCCAAACAACAAUUUGUUGUUUCUUUUUUUUGUUUCUAUUUUGUUCCGAGAACCAAAAAACAAAAAAAGAACAGAAACCCAACUAAACGCGUUUCUAUUCUUUUUUUUUGUUCCCGGAAACAAAAUCCGUACAAAAGUGUUCCAGAAACACUUCUUUGGAGCGUUUCCAUGCACGCCCUCUCUAUUUCUUCUUCUUCUUCUUCUUCUUCUUCUUCUUCUUCUUCUCUCUCUCUCUCUCUCUCUCUCUCUCUCUCUCCAACCCUCGAGCCGAGCUACACCGCCGUAUUGCGGCCUCCGACCGCCGCCGCCGCCAGGCCACCUUGGUGUUCGGCAGCAGUGCCGCCCCUCUCUCCGCCUCGUCCGAAACACCCUCCCCGAAACCCUUAGGUCCCUCGCUUCGGUUCUCCAGGAUUGCUCGAAGAUGGACGAGGACCAGGAGACGGAGAGGUUCGGGAUGGACAACGAUUACGACGACGGGCAGUGGAUCCACGGGGAGUUCUACUACCGUCGGCGGAGGGAGAAGCGCGCCCAGACCAAGGACGACGUGCUCUACGGCGUCUUCAUGUCGGGGGACUCCGAUUUGGACUACAACGACUCCUCCAAGAGGAAGUGGAGGAAGAAUAGGGACCUCCUAGGUAAGGCCGACCUGUCGAAGCCCGUGAAUUUCGUGUCCACCGGCACGGUCAUGCCGAACAGAGAGAUUGACGAGAACACGGAGAGAGAGAAUGAGGAUGAAGAAUCCGCUGUCGUGGAUGAGGAUAGGCCGGGCUUGGGGGUCUUGAGAAGAACCAACAAGGGAUUGUGACAUUCAUUGAAGCAAAGUUGCGUCCUAGGGAUAUGGGUGUGGGUUUCAACGACUUACGAGGAAACUCUUGCAAAGGCACCUGUUGCCUUGUUGGGGCCAGAGGAAUAGAAGCCAUCACCUGACGUGCCCGGUAAGGAGAAGCUUUGGUCUAAGCAAGCGAAGAAGGCAACGCUGAAAAAACAAAGUGAAGUAUAUUACGGCAGAAGAGCUGUUGGCGAAAGAAGCAGGAACAGGGCGUUGAAGUUGUGCAAAAGGUACUCAGACAUGCGCGGACCUCAGGUUAGGGUGUUAGCAAACUUGGAGAAUCUGAACACGGAAGAGAAGGCGAGUGAGAGUGAUGUUCAUAUGCCUGAGGUCCAGCACGAUAUAAGGUCGAUUGUGGACGUGGCUAAGUUGGAUAUUCAGAAGAUCGAUGUGGACCUGAGGAAGGAGAAGGAGACAGCUCUGAGCUUGCAAGAGGAAAAAGAGAAGCUGCAAGCUAAGGCAGAACUCCAGAAGAAACAAUUGAAUAAUCUAGCAACUGAGUUGUGCACAUGGAACAACGGAAGCACAAUCACAAUAGAGUCUGAUUCUGUUAGUUUGUACCCCACCUGAUGAUGCCAAAUUGCGCUGAGCUAUCAGCAUGCGAUUGGGGAGGGGUGACCCAUAGCGCCGGAGGUGUGCAAGAACAUAGCUACAUCCGAGGGAUCAUUGACGACUUUGGACAUCAAGUCGAGGCUCGGCUCUAUGUCGGUCAAAGAGAGAGUGAUUUUGGUAUCGGCAGAGUGAAGCAUGGCGGUUAGGUGGGGGAUGUUAAUCUUGGAAGCAGCGGAUUGAGCCCGUCGGUUUCCUUCUUGCGGUGUCAGUAGGAGCUUCGGUUCCGAGUCGGAAAGGUAGAACUUAAACUCCUUAGCUGCUUAGAUGGGGUUGGGCGGAGCUGCAGUGGCUCGGCAAUGGAUUACCGCCAGAAACAAGAUCACAAACUGCAAAACGAACACAUAUUUUCCAAUCAGCAAACUAUCAUACUAGUCCCUGCGGAUUGGAGAUACACACACAUGCAGAAUAUGCAGACAACUAGUUUGUCGACGUUUGAUUCCAUUAAAACCAUCCAUCUCCUUUAGAUAAGCUUUGACUCUUUUUUUUUUUUUUUACGAUGAAUCGAUGCUUGUACGUCCCAGAAAACAACCCUUGGACACGACAGAAAAUGCUCUUAAUGCUUUUCCCAAUUCAAUUUGUUCCUGUUCAAUUUGCACCACGCGCUCACAGAAAUUUCAUGCCUCAGAUGCAAUUUUUUUCAGUAGAAAUCGAUGCCAAUUCCUUUCUCUGUUCUCGAAGUACUGUAAAACUCCCAAGAAACCAUCUUCCUCUUUCUUUUCCAAGCUAUUUCCCAGUCGAUGUUUUGCAAGACAUCGAUCUCAUCAUUAGAAAUUCAUCGUCACCGCAAUCUUCCAGAUAUUGCAUUCUCGAAUUUAAACAGCAUCAUCCGUACUUGCGAACAGACCGAGAUGACACAGACGUACCUCGAUGUUGUUGAGGAAAGUGAGUGCGACGGUGUCGGUGCGAGGCAGUGAUGAGCGCGGUGGCAUGGUUGACAAGCUCCUGCAGCUGCAUGUGUGUCAGGUCGAGCUCCUCGCAGGCGGAGACGGCUCUCUUGUUGGGGAAAUCCGACAUUGCCUUCUUCAAUAGGUCCGUGAGCAUAAGUUCUCCCAUUGCUAACCACAGGGAACGAAUCAACGGCAAUUGGCUUCAGCUGAAACCAAUCCUCGAUCGAACUGAAGAGGGGCACCACAAUCGCUUAGCGAGACAAGAAUGAAGGAUCGACAAGAACAGGAAUUCGCACGUAUGCAUAUGAGAUGGAAAUGAGACCAGAGGGAGGGAGGGAAGGAAGUUGAUGCAAUCGAGGUGGCUCCGCGGCCAGUGCGAGCUCGGUUAAGGUGGCGACGGAGACUUAACGGAUCAAAGGCUGUAACUAGUCUCACUAAUGUCUUCGCAAGAAAAUGUUUCAAUAAACUAAGAUAGCCAUGUAAUCAAUACAUUUGUCCAUUCAGUGGACGACAAGUGGCACUAUGGGGGCCCGCUCUAUCAGCAAGUCUGCAAGUCCAUUCUGCACGACAAAACAAAUGUCGUCCAAGUUUGAGAUAAAAAAUGAAAACCGCAGCAUCAGAAAAGGUCAUAACCAAAGGAUUAAAAUCCAUUCCAAGUUUGGGACAAUGGCGAUUCUUGCACAGAUUGUAUAAAUGCAAAGAUCAAUGGCGAUUCUGACAGUCCAUUCUUUGCACGCACACACGCAGAUCUCCUGCUCCUUCACAACAGAAUACACAUUCAAAACUCGAUUAUGUUCAUACAGAACACCUUUAACUCAAACCAGAGGAAUCAGCAAGCCACGAGACAGCAAUUUUCAUGUCAUACGCCGAGCAUACGAGGCGAGAAUACUAACACUAUUUGACAAAUGAGCAUCCUAUUCUGACAAAGUCGGCCAUAAUAAGUAUUCAAAAAGUUGAGAACAAAUCGAAUUUAUGUAAUAUGAUUUUGCGGUUCGAGAAUUGAAUCGAAUUUACAUACUGAUCUAGUUCGAGCAUUUUAUCAAACAAGUAAUGUGCAUUUUAACCAAUGAGCUCAUACGCCAAUACACAGCAAGGAUUUACUUUCAGAUCAUCACGAAAAUAACAGCACAAGUCCGAGUUGUUAAAUAAAGCUUCAAUCUCAACUGAUUUACUCACAGACAUUAGCUAAAGCUAACCGGCUCUGUUUCGUUUAUGAGCAGCAGAAACAGAGUGCGUGGGAUUUACCUUGAUGAGAGUGAGUUUUUCACUUCGGUCCGUGAUCAGAUCGGAGAAAAGUUACUGGAGCUCUCCACGUUUGGGCGGCGUGACCAGAAAACAGAGCAGAAGGAGAGGAGGCCUUGCGGCAACGGAACCGGCAAUGGUGGAGCCGCUACAGCGGCGUUUCGAGCGUGUCGAAAGGACAAUGGAAAAGGAGAACCGAUGAAGGAUCCUCUAGAAUUCCGAAGAGAGAUGGUUUCUUCGUGAGCUUCAGUGUGUGCGUUCUAUCGUGUCAUCUCUGAGCCUGUGGUGGCCGUCGAUGGUGGUGCGACGGUGGCUGUGGUGAUUGUAGAUGGCGGACGGUGGUCUGGGCUGCGCCUUCUGGAUAAGGUCUGGGCUAGACGAAUUAAACCAGGCCCAACAAACCGGACCAGCUCCUUUCGAUUAUGAUUUUUUUUUUCUUUCAUUUCUUUCUUCGUUUGUUAUUUAUUUUUAAUAUUAUUUUUACUUUUUAUUUAUUUAUAUUUACCCAAAUGCAUGUUCGAAUUGUUGGCAAAAAUUCAUGAGUCGAUAGGAGCAAUAUUCCAUCAUUUGGCCUAUGAACAACUUCACACCAAACUCAAUUACAAUUCAUUGUUUGUGCAAUAUUGCGACAUUAUUCCCUUAAAGAUUAGUCCUUGUACUUAACUCUUCCAUCCAUGAGUUGAAUUUGAGCGCCGAUAGCAUGGCUGCACUUGUACUUGAGUUGAUUUCUUGUAGAAUCGAUGCACACAGUACAGUUUGCAUCUUGAAGCGCACUUCGCACGUUCCGUGCACGCAACACAUCGCGAUAGAAUCAUCAUACUCCUGUAGUAGUUGUACCCAUGACUCGCCAUCUUAGUUAAUCAUCAUAUGGGUGAUGCGUGUACUUUUAAGAUUGCCACUUUAUCUGUGUUCUUAGCACGUAUCUCAGUAUUGAUUUGUGCAAGUGCGUGGCACAUAUUCCGUCCAUGGUCUCCUCUGUUGAAUACUCUUGGCCAAGAGAUUACAAUGUCCUCUUUUGACUAACAUCCUCGUCUGUGCUUUGUCGUAUACGGUUUGUUAGGCAUUUAUACAGGUUCGAUACUUUUUGUGAUCAAGAACAGUACAUUCCAUCCUAUAACAUCAAUGAUCUUGUGGGAUUGUGACGAACAUCACAUCAGGUCCAUUUUCACAUUCUUGUUCUAUCGCCCUUCGCCCGCCACUUGUAUCCGGCAAACUCAAUAAGAUAGCUCCACCACCCGUCAUUUCUCCGGCCUGCCAGAAUUUCUUCCAAUUUCCGUGUCUUGUUGCGCGCGAAUCAGUUGAAGUCGGAAGACGGUUUCGUAAAAAUCUCCCUUCUCAAUCUUCAUCGUCGUCUUCUUCUUCAGCUAGGGCUUUGUUUUCAAAUUCGUCCCAUGUUCGAGGUUGUCUUAUGUUUUAUUUUAUUUUUGUUAUGUUUUUCCACUCGCGCCAGUGACUUCAGAUCAUGGUAGGCUGCCUUAGAGUGUCAAAAGGAAAAGUUCCGAAACUAGCUGAAAAGGACGAGGAUUGAGAGUGUAUAUAUGGGUCUUUCUUUAUCAAACUGGCUGUUUGAAAAUGCGGAUGAGCAGACCACUCCUUGUGGCUUCAUCAAGAAACAUCUUCAUGACAGCAAAGUAGUUGCCACUCUUCAGGCAUUUAGACAGAUCGCGGCCGGAGAAGUUAAGGAGCUAUGUGCACGUGGCAAUAAUAUCACGUCAAGUGUAGAUGUCUGCAUGUUUUGAGCUCGUCGAUGGAGAUGAUAUCGUGUUCAAAGUCUCAAUUUUCGGCCCUGUGGGUGCGUACCCGAAUUUAUUUGGGCAAAUCAACUGAAUCUUGAUAUGCAUGGCCAAGCAAUUUUCAAUCUACGCUACAACUUUUCAUAGUUAGUCAAUUUAAGAAACUUUCACGCCAAUGUCUUCUAAAUUCCUCAUCGUUUAAUUGGGAGAAAAGGUUAAUCAACCGAAGCUUGAUCCCUAUCUCUACCAGUUUUGGAUCUAAGUGCAACUUGGUCUCCUUGUCAUGCAAUCCCCAUCGCUAUUGACCUCCAAGAACCACAUCUGUCACUAGACAUUGGACGAUGCAGGAACGUUAUUGGAGGGGCUUAUGACAUCUCAAAGUCAGAAAAUCGGAUGGGAGAGAGAGAUUUCAAGAUAAAUAUCCUUGUCUGAAUGAUCAUCACAUUAUGCAGUUACUCAAAGUGUUAUUUUUUAGAGUGGAUCAGAUGGUUAAACCAUUAAACGGUAAUACGGACAUCCAACCAAUCAAGUUUUAAAAAAGACUGAAAUUGGAGAAAAGGAAGGUAGUUUUAAUAAAUAAAGAGGCAAAGGUUUCGGAAAAUAGCAAAAAGUGGAUAAAGUAGCUGAAGAAGGUCCUACAAACGCUCUCUGCCCGAUCGAAUGCCAUUGCUCACCCGCUAGCAAGUGGACCAACUCUUCAUAGCUACAAAGGCUACGCGCUUGCACCCUCUCUCUUGGAAAAGUGGGCUCUUGUGAGCACCACAUGCACCUGAGUCCCCAACUAGCCAGGUUGGAAGAGGAAAAUUAAACACAAACGUUUUGAAAAAGCCUUUUUCUUAAAAAUAAUUGAUUAUAUCUCAAAUAAUCAGUCAAAAAAAUGUUUUAUUACAAAUAACAAUUUAAUCAUUUUCAUUUAUUCAAUUUUGCAAGUGAUAAAAGCGAUUGUUUAUAGAGAAAUAUUUUUCAAAACAUAAAUUUUUCACAAAACAAAUGAAUCAGUUUUCAUUAUUUUUAUUUAUUUAUUGCCAUCAAGUUCGUCUCACCAUUGACUAAUAAGUCAUAAUCUUACUUGACUCUAUCCUCUGAAACUUGAAAAAAAUACAAUAUUAAUACCCCAAAACUCCGGCAACUUUUUAAAAGCCCACUAACGAUAAUGUUACGAAAGAAAUUGGUAUAGCCUUUUCAUUUCCAGUAUGUUUCAUCUACAAAAUUGCAACACCGAAAUCUAAUUCCCGAAGUAAAUUGAGAGAUUCAUGCGGUCGCAUUGAUGACAAGCAUGCAGUGUAUCCGAUCCUUUGUAGUUCUUGAACUGCAACAAUUUGGUAUAGUAGAAUGAGGAAUAUUGUCUCUCUAAUAAACAUGAAGAAAAGCAAACCCAAAUAAUAAUUCAUUCAAGCCCUAGAGCACCAGAGCACGUAAUUAACAAAUUGAAUUCAACACAACUGACUAAUUACCCUUGUUGCCAAACGGAAUAACAAUUUAGAGGAUAGUGGUUAAGCUAUACAACAAUAGGUCACCCAUCAAAUUUUAUGAGGGCAAAGAGUGUCAUUGAAUAGCAAAAGCAAUUGCUAAUUUACUAUUUCGUAACGAGACGAGCAUGUCCAUAAUCUGCCAAUGAUUGCUUACCCUUUCAGACAAAAUAAGGUAGGAAAAACGACGAGGGAGGCAUGAAGCUUUCUGAGGCUAAUACAUUAGCCUCAAAAAGCUUCACGCAAAUUAUCCACCCCUUGACGACAACGCAUACAAAUAAUGCAACACACUGCAUGUAAAAAUAAGCUGACUGCAAAUCUGAAAAAAGCAGUGGAUUAGGACGAACUUGGUAGGAGGGACAUAUCGGAUACGUUAGACAGUUCAUGAGAACCUCUCAUUUCGCACGCCAAGGAUGAUUCUCACGUCCGAUAGAUCCUGAGGGUGAUGAGCGAUCUAAUGAGGCAAGAUCCAGUAAAGCUUCCUCUCGGUGGGAUGGCGACGUCUUCACAGGGGUUGGGAGUGUUGGGCACUAAAUCUUGCUACAGCUCUUCUUGAAACUAUAGGGACUGAUAUAUCGCCACAGCCGACACGCAGCAUAGCAAAAUUAAAUGUCGUAAAAUCCAUGACAAGCCUGAGGCCAUAGAAAGCAGCGUUGACUUCAACUCCAGCGAAACCAGCCUCUGUGAUUGCAGAAUCAACAACCCUCUCAGGUCCAUACUUCUAAAAAGAAAAGAAGCUUUAGACACAUUGAAAGACUCUAGGAUAUGCAAACAUUUCCUCAUCAAACGCAGCAUUCAUGGCCUCUCUCACAAUCAUCUCUUUCCCAUAGUAUCAUAACUACGUAACGGCAUUUCUGCAGCACAACUCUUCCGUGGCCUUUCUCUUGACAACAUAGCAUCCGAGCCUCCGGCAUUGGCUUUUCGUAUUAGAAUCGAUAACAUCAUGCGCUCUUGAACUCUCUCUCUCUCUCUCUCUCUCUCUCUCUCUCUCUCUCUCUCUCUCUCUCGGACGGGUAUCCUUGGAAACAAAGUCCAGCUUCGUCAUUCCAUCGAACACCUUCCUUGCAAACUCGAUUCCCUCCUCCACAGCACAACCAACGGCAAUUGAAUUUCAGAAGACAGCGAGAGAAUUGGGAGAAAAAACAAGAUCGAAACAGAAAUCAACAGACAAAUCUGGAACGAAUCGAAAUUCAUUCUAGAGUUCAACGGGAGACGACGAAUUUCGUCAUCGCUUCAAUGUCACGAGGAACCGGCUGUCUCUGAAGAUCUCUCGAAGCAGCGAUCGUAAGAGAUUCCAGUUGACAGGCUCACUCCCUCAUGGUUUCGUAGAGAGAGAAAGAGAGAGAUUCUUCUCUGAAUUUUGGACAACUUGUUCUUUUCUCCUCUCUCUCCUUUCUUUUAUUUGCACUUUUGUUAUUUCUUUUUAUUUUGUUUUGUGUCUUUGAUUUGUAUUUUAUAAUAACAAAAGUACAAAUAAAAUUCAGCUUCUUCAAUGAAGGAACUGAAUUUUAAUAUUUUAUCCCCUCUUUUCUUUUAUUUGUAUUUUUGUUUUUUGUUUUUUAUUUUAUACAUCUUUAAUUUGCCGAUAAAACUAAUGAUACAGUCAAAAAGUUGAAGCUAUACUCCGAUACUGGAUGGGCAUCACUCUUUAAUUUGGCCAUAAGUGAAAUCCAUGCAAGUAGCACGUUCCAUCCAAGUACGCUAAUCCAACGAUGCAUGCUCCCUGGCCAAAGCAUUGGGCAUCACCAUAAGAACCACCGGCAUAGUGGUCUAAUCAUCGGGUCUCAAUGUCAGAUUUUCAAAAUAUCGUUCAGUUGCGCUCAAUUUAGGAAAUUUGGAUUUUAGUUAGAGCUGAGAUGGUCAUUAUUCGCUUCAUUUGUAAUUUAGAAAUAAUGUCUUAUUUUCCUUCUCACCAAGUCUCUUUCAUCUUUCAUUUUCCCCGAUCUCUCGUUCUCUCUUAUCUCAUGAUCAUCGAGUCGUCCAGUCCCCCACCAACCCGCCACCGCGCCACCUUCGAGCCCUGAGCCCUGCUACUCACCGUAUGCUCGAGAAAAUAUUGGGUACGUGAGACGCUCCAGCCUGUCAAACAAGAAGGCGUUCGGAGCGCGACACGUAUCCUCCCGUGGGACCCAUCAUCUUUAAAUAUUGGACGAGCAGGGCCACCAGAAACCUUUCCCUCCCGGUCAAAUUUGAAAAAUUCGGGGCGCUCUCUCUCUCUCUCUCCUCCCAAGAAAAUAUUAGCUGGGCCCCACGACAGAUCCUUCUCUCUUACAAUUAAUUUGAACGGAAGCGUUGGACUCUCUCUCUCUCCAUUUUUUCUUUCGACUCUCGCCCGGUUGCUCUGCCCUCCGCUUCUUCUCCGAUCGGACACGGAGCCGCCGGCCGACGAAUCACGCCACCGCCGCUGCUUCCGCAUCCGCCUCGUCGGCCGCCACUGCAUCUGAGCUAGAGCUAGUAUUUUCUCGUUCGUUCUGCCCCUUCGUCGCGCUGCUCCUCCGGCGAACGACGGAGCCCGCCGUCCGACGAACCACACCGCCGCACUUCCGCAUCCGCCUCUUCCGCCACCUCCGCAUCUGCAUUCUCCUCCGUCUUCAAUGGCGACCGGGCUCUUCCUCUCCCAGUCGCCGUCGAAGAAUCCGUACUCGAAAUCAACGUCCGGGCUGAUGCAGGGGAUGCGAGGGAGACGGAAGCGGGACCUCUUGGAUGCUCCGGGUCGAUGCAUCUUGACGUGGAAGACCAGGGUCUUGUCGAACGAGAGCUCGCGCUCCCCUUAGCGGAUAGGCAUCGAGCUGCGGUAGCCGCAACCGCCACCGAUGCCCUUGACAAAUCCAGCCACGGCGAGACGGAACUUGAUCACGAGGAGCCGCCUGAACGCCCCGCCUCUCCUCGGCCACAGCAGCGCAAGGCGGACCACGUCCCAAGCUCUGCGAGUGACGCCGGAGUCCCCGCUUGCCAUUUCCGAAUGCAGAACGUGUUACAGAGAUGGUGAGGACGGCGAAUCGCAAGCGAGCGGAAGCCCAACGCCGGAGUCCCCGCUUGCCAUUUCCGAAUGCAGAACGUGUUACAGAGACGGUGAGGACAGCGAAUCGCAAGCGAGCGGAAGCCCAACGCCGGAGUCCCCGCUUGCCUUUCCUGCUUUACCCAUCUCUCUCUGUUGGUCGGAGCGAGCUUGAGAUGCAUAACAAUGGAAGCUGCCGACAAGGCCACGGAGAAAGCAUUGGCCGAUUCCCUCUCGCGGGAAGUGAACCCUAUCUUUCUCUUUGUUUUUCUUUCUUUUUUCUUGUUGAACAAACGUGCGAAGCUCUCUGCAAAAGCAGUUGUCAUCACUGAAUUUCAAAUAGGCCUGCUAUGCAUGUAAAUGAAUUGCUUAAAUCCAUUGACCCAUUUGUGAUCAUUCAGUGAAUCAGGCUUUGGCUGGCGUUAGAGAUUAUAACUCCCUCAUUGCUUCCUUGUUUCUGCUCAAUUUUAAGAUCAAGGUUAUGUGGGUGAACGGUUCUUGCUCUGUUCCAGAGAAUACUUGCCUUGAUACCAGAAGUUGCUGCUUAUUAUGAUAUCAAAGAUUCUUGGAUUGUGUUUUGCUAUAAUGAUUUACAAUAUACUUCUAUUUGGCCAGAAAAUAUCGAUUUGAUUAUUGUAUCUUGGUAGACUGAAGCUGCUUUUCUUAGAUUGAUGUGCGAACUCCGAGCAAUAGGAAAAUACCGACUAGCACGGUUCAAACAAAUGAUGGUGUUGCCCACGGCAAUGUUCAUUGCUUGUGCAUAAUGGUGCCUUCAUUCUUUUAGGUCGAUAAUGCCGUGAGAAUAACUGAACAAGCCCCGCAAGCUCAUCACUGGAGACGACAAAAUGGCAAACAAUGCCAUAAUAGAUAAAACAAAAACAAAGCAUAUUGAAAGGGCAACCAUAUAUGCCAAAUUCUAAAAGGUUGGUAAGUUAGACUAACAAUGUUGGUAAAUUAUAAGAGAAGCCGGUAAGUUCAGAGCGAGCAAAUGAACAUCAAGCUAGAAAAGUUUUUAGAAAAGUCAAGUUGGUAAGUUAGACAAACAAUGUUGGCAAAUUAUAAACGGGUUCAACAAGUGACAAAAGUUUUUAAAAAAUAUACCAACACGGAAGAGCAUUCUAUACUUUGUGUACCAUAAAGCUAGAAAUCAGCAAAAAGUAAACGAACAGCAUCAACAAAAUUGCAAUAUUAUUAUUGAUGAUUGUUUCAGAAAACAACACAUUUCUUCGAACUUAGGGACUUAGCUACACGCUUUCUCUUCCAGAUCCAAAGGACUUAACAAUUCCUAGUUUUAUUUUUUCAUCGAGAUCCCCAUGAUCGAGUUCAGACCUCGGUUACAGACGAAUAAAGAAGAAUGCAGAGAGCCAAACAGUGCUCCAUGAAACAGAAGGAAGUCUAGGUCGACGAUUUCCCGUCUCUCGGGGGCUUGUCUGCAUACCUCCACGAGUAACAAGAGAACCCUUCUUGAAUGCUGCCACCGACGACCUCCUCGAUCGGCAUAGCAUCCGCUAUCUCUCUCACAUCAUCCUCUACAAGAUGGAGUUCACUUCCCGCGAGAGGGAAUCGGCCAAUGCUUUCUCCGUGGCCUUGUCGGCAGCUUCCAUUGCUAUGCAUCUCAAGCUCGCUCCGACCAACAGAGAGAGAUGGGUAAAGCAGGAAAGGCAAGCGGGGACUCCGGCGUUGGGCUUCCGCUUGCUUGCGAUUCGCCGUCCUCACCGUCUCUGUAACACGUUCUGCAUUCGGAAAUGGCAAGCGGGGACUCCGGCGUCACCCGCAGAGCUUGGGACGUGGUCCGCCUUGCGCUGCUGUGGCCGAGGAGAGGCGGGGCGUUCAAGCGGCUCCUCGCGGUCAAGUUCCGUCUCGCCGUGGCUGGAUUCGUCAAGAGCAUCGGUGGCGGUUGCGGCUACCGCAGCUCGAUGCCUAUCCGCUAAGGGGAGCGCGAGCUCUCGUUCGACAAGACCCUAGUCUUCCACGUCAAGAUGCAUCGACCCGGAGCAUCCAAGAGGUCCCGCUUCCGUCUCCCUCGCAUCCCCUGCAUCAGCCCGGACGUUGAUUUCGAGUACGGAUUCUUCGACGGCGACUGGGAGAGGAAGAGCCCGGUCGCCAUUGAAGACGGAGGAGAAUGCAGAUGCGGAGGUGGUGGAAGAGGCGGAUGCGGAAGUGCGGCGGCGUGGUUCGUCGGACGGCGGGCUCCGUCGUUCGCCGGAGGAGCAGCGCGACGAAGGGGCAGAACAAACGAGAAAAUACUAGCUCUAGCUCAGAUGCAGUGGCGGCCGACGAGGCGGAUGCGGAAGCAGCGGCGGUGGCGUGAUUCGUCGGCCGGCGGCUCCGUGUCCGAUCGGAGAAGAAGCGGAGGGCAGAGCAACCGGGCGAGAGUCGAAAGAAAAAAUGGAGAGAGAGAGUCCAACGCUUCCGUUCAAAUUAAUUGUAAGAGAGAAGGAUCUGUCGUGGGGCCCAGCUAAUAUUUUCUUGGGAGGAGAGAGAGAGAGAGAGUGCCCCGAAUUUUUCAAAUUUGACCGGGAGGGAAAGGUUUCUGGUGGCCCUGCUCGUCCAAUAUUUAAAGAUGAUGGGUCCCACGGGAGGAUACGUGUCGCGCUCCGAACGCCUUCUUGUUUGACAGGCUGGAGCGUCUCACGUACCCAAUAUUUUCUCGAGCAUACUCUCUCUCUCUCUCUCAGUCUUUCUUCUCGUGUCUCGCCCACAUGUCAGCGAGUUACAAAGCGAGUGAUGGGACGGACUCGCUUUUUUGCUCGUGUCAGGGUCUCCCUCCCGCUCCCCCUCUCUCCAGCAAGUGGCAAAACAGGUUUUUACUAGCCUGUUCUGAUGUCUAGGGGUGAGCGGUUCCCAGUUCCUUACAGGUUUCAGGUUCCAAGCGGAACCUGGAACCUACCCUCGAGUACAGGUUCUUCAUUUUUUGGAACAUGAAACUUACCCGUCAGAACCAAGAACCUGGAACCUACCCUGUCACAGGUUCCGGGAUCGGUUCCAAGUUCCAAUAGGUUUUUUUUUUUUUUUUUCAUUUUUAGUUUAAGAAAAAUGGAAAUGAAUGCAGCAAUAAUAAACAAACUUGUCAUUCAUCUAAGAUAGGACAAUAAAAGGAGGAAAAUAACAGAUGAUGAAAGUGCUUUGAUGGAAGCAAGUUCAUCAGAUUUGAUUGAACAACGCAUAAACAAAUUUCAUGAAUUUAGAUGCCCAUAACCUCAAGCUAUAGACUAACUGACCAAGCAACGGAAGCAGUAUUAGUAGAAUGGACAAGAGAGCUUCAACAGCCUGAUUUCUAUUCAAUGAAAAAAUGUCACUAUCCAACAAAGUACAUACAGAUGCGCCUCUUGCUGAGAAUCAUCAGUUCCCCAUAUAUAUUCCACAAACUGACUUCCCUACUUUUCAAAAAGGAAGAACAAAGCAACAAUAAUUCAGGAAGCCGAUUGGGCGUAUGAACCCUCAUCAAGCACCCUUUACGUUGAUAUUACAAUGGAGAUUGGGUAAACUUGAAUGUUAGCUCUACAAUUGGAAGAAACGGUGUACAGCAGAAUGAAUUCAAAAUAAAAAAGUUAAUUACCUCUGGCAUAUCAUUAGGACAGCCAAACUUAUGACAUCCGUCCACAUACCCUGCAAAGAGGCCGGUAUCAUUCGUCUCUCAGCUUUGAAGUCAGAAACUGGAUAUUCAAGAAACUAUCAACGCUCUUUUCCUGGAUUUGAUGAACCGGCAUGUAUGGAUAUGCCCUCUCCCGGCUUUAGCUCUACUUGACAUAUAGCACACAUGAACAGCCUAAACAUGUUGCAUAGGGGGUAUUUUGUAUCUAGUCUGCAUUUUACAAGCAUUUCUCAGUCAAAGAAACAUUGAUACGUCAUGCAAUCACAGUUAGGCAUACAAGAGUGGUCCACCAAAUUACUGUAAAAAAAGAUCCAUUGUUGUGACUGAAAGUGGAGGUUAAGAUGUAGACCUUUAUGAGAGCAUUGCGGAUCCGUCCUCAUAUAACUCCUCCACUACAUCUGGCUCAAUAUAUUCUUGAUCAAUCUGAGAAGAUGAUUCGGAUGACUUUUUACGAAACAUUGACUUGAAUACUCCUUUUCCUGGCUUCUUUGGUGGUGGCAAAGAAGCCAUUGGUUUAUCUUGCGGUAAUAUAUCAAUAACAAUGCAUGUUGUAUCAUCUCGAAGUCUUUUUUCAUGUAAAGCUUCCUGUAAUAAAAGAGGCCGUGAGUUUACAUCUAAUAUAAAGUACAUCAAGCUACGUCAUGUACCAGAUACAAUUUCACCACACAAUAUUUACCACAAACAAAUUAAAUGUUAUCCUAUUAAGUAGGGUUAGCCAUAUGAAUUCUUCCAAUGCCAUUGCACUUUGUGUCAAGACUUCCAUAAGAUCUAAGUGGUCCACAUCUUUUCUUAUAAUCUCCUUCCUACGUCUUCCCUCUUCCCAUUUAACUAGAGUCUUCAUCUCAUACCCACAUCUCCUCACUGGAGCAUCUGAAGGCUUCCCGUUUCAAACAUAUAAGCCUUGUCUAGGUUGUCUCUUCCUCUCCUCCUGAGCAUGAACAAGAGAAUGCAAACUACUCUUGUAGCAGGCGUGCCACAUAUUCCAUGUCUUUCAGUGAACAUCUCUUUCCACCAAUGUUGGUAGGUACUUAAGGUUAAAGCUGCAUUCACGAGGGAAGAAAUAUUCAAGAAUGUUUUGCUCUCCUUUAAACAGCUUAUGAGAAAUGAACCUAUUAGGGAUAGAACAUUGCAUAAAGGGGACUAUAUCAACCAAAAUCAAACAUUUAAAGCACAAUUCAUUACAGCAAAUAAGUAAUCAUCACUCCCAAACCAGGGUCCAUAAACCCCGAUGGAAUUACUCCUGUAUUGAGCUUACUAAAAGAGCACACCUCAACGGCAUAAGGACUAAAGACUUUCAGAAUUAUAAGAAAACAUCAUAUAUAUUGGCCAUCAGGUUAAAGAAACAAAAGAGACAGCAAAAUGGGGGCUUCUUCUCUGCACUUAUCCAGUAAAGUGCAACCAAGUAAGCACGUCACUGAAAGACAUUUUGUUUUCACAUGUUCUACUCAGAUUUCCAAAACAUCAAGCCCAACUAACUAAAAAACAACAACGAGUGUUAGACGAGCACCACGAAAAACAUAAGACUCUAAGCAAUGUUUCUAUUUCGAAGAUUAAAAGAAAAGACAAGGCAGAGCUGCGGCAUCGUGGGCUUUGGGGGCACGGCUUCGGGCGCGACUUCAAGUCACGGCGAAGGCAGAGCAGCGACGUCGCGGGCUGCAGGCGAGGUGCGGCAAAGGCAGCAGCGGGCCGAGCAGGAGCGACGUCGGGGCACGGCAGAGCAGCGGCGUCGCGGGCUACAGGCGAGGCGCAGCGAAGGCAGCAGCGGGCGGAGCAGGAGCGACGUCGGUGCGGGCUGCAGGCGAGGCGCGGCAGGGAUGCUAUUUGGUGGCGUCGAGCAGAGGGCGAAGAGAGAACAGACUCGUGGGUGAAGCAGCAGCCAGCAAGAGGAAGGAAGAAGAAGAAGAAGAAGAAGAAGAAGAAGAAGAAUGGGGGGUUUCGGCCGAGAGAGGAGGACAGAGGAGAGAGAGAAGAAAAGAAAAAAGUAGGGGUAGGGGGGCAGGAAGUGACGUGUGAGAAGGAAAAAGAAGAGAAAAGAAAGAGAGAGAAAAAAAAAAGAAAGGGGAAGGAGGGAAAAUCGAGGGGGAAAUCACGUGGGGGAAGGGGAGAAGGGGAGGUUUUGGGUUUUUUUUUUUUGAAUUUGACCGGUUCCGGUUCUUGUUCCAGGAACCGGAACCGGAACCGAGAACCGCCGGUUCCCAAGAAAAAGGAACUGGGAACCGGAACCGGCCACUUUAGAACCGGGAACCGAACCGGACCCUCCCGGUGCGGUUCCGGUUCCCGGUUCUACCCGGAACCACGCUCACCCCUACUGAUGUCUUCAAGGUUUUUGAAUUUAGGAUGUGUUAUUUGAAUUUCUCAUAGAGAGUUAAAGCAAAAACUAAAAUAAAAUAAACACAUUUUUUUUUUAAUUUCGGGCCGUGCCAAACCCUUGGAUCUGGGCCAUAUGGUAUGGCUUCAGUCCGGGCUAGGUCCUCAGUCACACGUUUUUGGAUUGACCCCCAAAAUAAAAGAAAGGUUUCGCUCCGGUCCUUUGGCCACAAGGCCUUUAUUGGCUUCCACAGCUAAUAGGCUAUGUAGCACGGACAUUCUCCGGAAGCCUUCGUGUCGUAUUCGACACUCCGACACAUAUCCGACACGCUCCGACACGUCCCGACACGCUCCGACACGCGAGUCCAGAAUUCCGACACGUGAUUCCGACACGCACGGGGUCAAUUUUAAAAAAUUUCUAAUACUUGAGAGAUCAAAAUAUAAAUAUACACUUUUGUAAUAAAAGAAGUAAUAAAAUUACUAUAAAUAUACACACAUGGGGUCAAUUUUUUUUUUCAGUUUUUUUUAGAAUUGUUUUAUUUUUUUUAAAGUCUUUUACUAUGAAAGAAGUAAUAAAAAAAUGCCAUAUAUGAUAAAUAAAUAAAUUUAAAAAAAUAUUAUUUCAGAAUUUUUCUUUAAACAAUGUUUUUUUCCUUUAAGUUUUGUGUAUUAUUGUAACAAAUUAAAAUAAUGAAUGAUAUUAUUUAAUAUUUUUCGUGUAAAUUAAUUCUAGGCUAUUAUUAUUAUUAUUAUUAUUAUUAUUAUUAUUAUUUAUGUAUUUAUAUAUAAAAAUAUAUUUAAUAUAUAACGUGUCGGAACGUGUCGAAAUUCUCUAUUUUUAAGAAAUGACGUGUCGGCGUGUCGUGUCGUGUCGUGUCGCGUGUCGCGUGUCCGUAUCGGUGCUAUAUAGCUAAUAGGUGGUCCAGCGAAUGACUGCGGAGCCGUUGGAGAUGAUAAGGGAUGCUAUUCUUCCAUAUCAGCUAACCUCACAAGUUUUCGGAGAACGGUUUGGUUUCGCCUCUUCUCUGUGUUUUUCCCCUUUCUGGGGUUCCUUUUUUCUCUCCCCUUUCUCUCAGCAUUGUGUAAUAUCAGCUCAUGCGAGCGAGCCAAUUGUGAGAAUUGCUUGUAAUUUUCUUGUUUUUUGUUUCUUUUCUUGGCAAAUGGAGCAACACCUAAAACUCCAAUCGCAUUUCAUUAAAUUGGGUAUCAUUAAUCCGGCCAAACCUACAACUUGAGGUGAGUUGUUUUCUUUCAUGACAAAGGCAGGAACACUAGCAUCUUACUAGUCGAAAGUUAAAAAGACUUUUAUCAAGAUACGAUAGUUGGAGCUAUAUAAUUCGUGAUAAAAUAUCGUGCUCUUCUAUUUCCUAUCGAUCGAGUGACAUGCAAAGACUAACAUAAUUUCUAAAAUAAAGGGUUUAUUGUUAUUAGCCCGUGAGAAGACCCAGGAAAAGGGCGAAACAAGAAUUGAAAACUUGUCAAAGAGGACAAAGGAAGAGCAAAUUCUUAUCUGGAUGUGGGGAAUCAUGACCAAAGGGGUUCUCAUCGUUGUCGUUAAUCGUUGGAGCCCCGCACUUGAUUAACGGCUCGAUCUCGGGUGCACGAAUCCGGAUCCAAGGCGAAAAGAGGGAAAGGGCCCCGUCCUGAGGAUGAUCGGGCGCGGGAGGAGGGAGGGAACACGGUAAAAGCGGUGGGGUGGCGGGGCAGGGGAGUGCACCGGCAGACUACUCCUGUUCAAUUUCGAUUGGGUUUGUGAGGUUAAUAAUAAUUCAGACGCACACUCAUUAAUGCCACAUUCCAAGCCUAAAUGAACUGAAAAGGACGUGCUUCUGGAUGUCCUUAUCCUUUCUCGUUAUGUUGUUCUUCAUUUUGAAUUUGAAAUUAAGGGUCAUGACCUAGUUAAAAUUAUGGGUUUUAUUUUUCCCACGGGGAACACCAAAGAGGUUCAUGAGAAAAUAUAAUGAGAAAUCUUCCAAUGGCCUGUGGAAUUGGAAAAAUGUGAUGAGAUGGUUUGGUUAUCAAACGGUUGGGAUGAAUUCGUAGAGCAUUACUCUAUCUGUGUGGGACAAUUUUUGGUCUUCAAAUCUGAAGUGGACUCCAUUUUCCAUGUAAUCAUAUUUGAUAAAAGCAAGUCCAAGAUAGAAUAUCCACCAAUAAAUGCCAAUGGGAGGAACCGACCCUCAGCAGUUGGGCAUUUGUCUGGUUGAAAGUGGAAGAUGCCGACGAUUUCCGUGAUGUUUCGGUCAAGCUUGAAGUCUAGGGGGAUGAAUUGCAUUCACCCAAGUGUCCUCGGCUUUGUAAGGCAAUGGAAUCUGAUCGGGUUUGUGAAGUUCAUGACGGUUCCUAUGCACACUCAUCAGCACAGAGUUUGCGAAGAGACGGAAGUUCGAACUCCUUAUCAUGAGAUUUUCAAGGUAUGAAUCUUAAUCUACGAGCUGGUUCUCCAUAUGAUUGUGUUCUCGUGUUUGAUUCCAAUUCCGUAUUCCGUAUAGGAACUCUCCAUGUGAUUUGGCUAAGAGAGGGAGCGUUAAAGCUAAUUCAACCUUGUAGGGCCCAUUUGGUUCACCUUUUGAGAAAUGCAUUUGCCAAAAUGCAAAUACCUUUAGGUGAAUAAGGUUUUCCGAAAUGCAAAUAUCGUUUGGUAAAAUUUGCAUUGAGAUACAGCUUUUGCCAAAAUAUCGUUUGGUAAAAUUUGCAUCUAUAAAUGACUUUUAUUAAAUUAAAAAAAACAUUUGUAUUUUUUUUUUGAAGUCCAGUCACCGGACCGCCGGAUCUGGCGGCUGAACCGCUGAAUCUAGUGACUGAAUGGCCGGAUCUGGCAGUGCGACCCUAGGCAACGCUCAGGCGCCUGAGGUCGCGCGACCCAGGCAACGGUCGCCUAAGGUGGCGCGACCUCGCCGGCGGUCGCCUAGGUCACGCGACCUCAGGUGACCGUCACCGAGAUUGAGCGGCCUUGGCGAUCGCCGCCUGAGGUCACGCGACCUCAGGCGGCUGCUUGGGUCGCAUGACCCAGGCGUCACCUGAGGCCCAGCUACAGUCGCCGGGGUCGGGCGACCCUUAGGUGGUACUCGCCAGAGCCUUGUCGACACACGCAACUCGAGUCGCCGACCUCCAGUCAGCUUCUUCCGAUGGUGUGCGGUGGUUUUGGAGAAGAUGAACAGUACCGGACUUGCAUUCCGGAGAUGCAACUUCCGAAAAGUACCUCCAGAGCUGCAUUGGGCUAAAGGCCCUUAAAGCCACUUAGAGAUGCAAUUGCAUCUCGCCAAAGUUAUUCAAAAAAACGAACCAAACACCUUUGCAUUUGGCCAAAGGACUUUCCAAAUGCCCAACCAAAUAGGGCCGUAGUGCUUAUCUAUCUCUAGCUUUCCCAUGUGUGCAUAUGUAUGUUUUAGGGGAUCUCAUAAAUGUCAAGCCAAUGGAAACAGGCCGAAUGAGUCAUAUCGGAUUUGAUUGUGCUGAAAUUGACAUUGGUGUGCAUAUAGGCCUCGAAAGCUAGACCAUUAGAAAGACCUAGAUCCAUCAAAUUGGGGUUGAUGUAUCAGGAGAUAUGAAUUUCACAUAAUAAGAAUAGCAUAUGCCUAAGCUUUCUUCAUGUUCUAAUUUGUGACUGUUGCAGAUAAACUGAAACAACUGGGCUUGCGCAGAGUUGUCAAAUCAUAUAGCAAAAUUAAACCCGACCACAUUGCGGUGAGGUGAAUAUAUCUAAAGAAAAGCAAUGUGGUAUGAUCCUCAUGACAAUGACAACACUUGAAUUUAAAUCACAGAGUCGCUAGACUAUAUUAGCUCUAGAUUGAUUGUGCAUCGGGUCAUUAAUUUCUGUUUUUAUCCUUGACAUGCUUUGAAAAGGAUCCUCGUACUGUCUUGGUGAGAAAUCGUUGGUUGUCUUCUUCUUUCUGAUGACAAAACUGCGGAACGUGCACUUGAGUAAAGAGUUCCCGAUCCAUUCCCAAAGAUGCACUUCAAGAAAAGCCUGUAGACUGUGGCUCUUAUAUAUCAGGACAAAUCGUGGCCGGUGAAGCGCAUUAGCCACGAACAUUAUGGAAAGUCAUCUAUUGGUUGGGCUACUUUCUCGAGAGAAACUUCUCUGAAGGAGUGAGGCUUGUGCAUGUUUGAGUUCUAUUAGAAGGGGCAACGUCGUGUUCAGAGUAUACAUCUUCAAGACCACUAGCCAGAGGUAGCUGAAAAAUCCUAUGCAAUAGGACACGGCAAAGGAAGCAUCACUUUAGCUCAGAAUUGCUUGGCUAAAAUCUGCUUCAAAUUUGACAAAUCAGAAAAAAGCAUGAGUUUUAUUCUAAUGAAUGGAAAGAUACCUUUAAUCGAUCCUAGUGUUACAGUCGCCAUGUGGGGAUGAGUCAUGAGUCAUGAGACGGAGGAAGCUAAUUGCUUCUAGUACAAGUCACACAACCUCAUUUCCUUACUCCUCCCAUAGUAGAUUUCCGUUGUCAUCCAACCACUCUUUAUACUUCAAAACACAAAAGGAAAUUUAUAUUCAUUUAAGCAAACAGAGAGAAUAAAAGGAUGUAAAAGCCAUCCUUCGAGUCUAUAUUAAUCAAAAUAUUUAGUGCUCUCUGGUGGUUUUUUUUUUUUUUUUUGAUCGGUCCUACUCUAACACUCACUCUCAAACUUUUGCCCUUACCUCCUUGCAGGGCGUGGGAGUCAAAACCCACUCCUGAAAUGAAAUCGUCCUCACCCCAAUCCCCCUUGAGAAGGUGGGGAUUUGAACUCCCAACCUCCCCCUUCCAAGUUGGAAUGGUGGCCAUUGGGGCGAACCCCCAAUGGUUCUCUCUGGUGGUUAAUACAUAGAUUUUGAUUAUAAUCGGACAUAUACUGAGCACAACUGAAGAAGAGUUCUAUAAGCCAGCAAUGACCUAAAAAAUAGUUCCACAAGAGGGCUCAACCUCCUCGACUUAUUAAAUGAAUCACAAGGCAAGGAAAAGAGAACUUGGGCAAUUAAUGGCAUUAAACGCAAUUAAUGCGAAUUAUGCAGAAAUUAUUAGAAUUAUAGUGAGCUGGGGCUUAGAUGGUGUUCCUUACUCUUGUCAAUUGACGAUGAUAAAGAAAAGUAAAUAACUUGUGUGAAAGUUACCGAAUCAUUUAAAAAUUUAGUGUCUUUAAAACUUACAAAAUUUAUUAAUCAGAUAAAAAAAAUUUACAAAAAAAUUUUACAAAUUAUCUAUGGUUACAAAUUACUUUCAAUCUGCAAAAUGUUACUUACAAAUUUGAAAAACUCUUUUAUGCAUGUGACACUCCAAAUUUCAUAUGGAUUAGAAGAGGGAUAAUUGACCAAUAGAUAAGUGUGAAUGCAAACCACCACCACUAGAUAUUCACCUCCCGAAAAACUUAUUUAGGGGCUUAGAUCAUAACAAAUCGGAUUGUUAAUAUUAGAAAAUUCCAUGCCUAACUUAUAGCUCGAACUUGCACAUUAAUUAAAGAUAUUUAACUUUUUCUAGCCGAGAGAAUGGACAAAUCUAGGCGAGCAAUUCUCUACUUGGUAUUUGGCUCAAAUAAAAGUUGUACUCUACAAUGCUAACCUAAGAAAAGUAUAUAAUUCUCUCAAAUUAAGAUAGGUAAUUUCGCACAAAAAUUGUUAAGCGUGAUUGUGGUUGGUGGAGGAGAAACACCUAUGUAGAUAAACCAAGAAAGCAAAUCUUCAUAAUACAAAAGUAAUUUAUACUAGCCAUUUAGCUUAAUUCUCCAAAAAAGCAUCAACUUUAACUGGAGUAUCAAUUUAGGCCUGACCCUUUUUUUUGUAAGGGAAAAGACCAUCAAAAAUCCCAAACUUUGCCUAAAGUGACAAAUUUACCCCAAACUUUUUUUUUUACGUGAAAAACCCCAAACUUUUCAAAUUGUGGCACAUUUACCCCAUCAAGGACAUUUUUGUCUUAUUUUUUAGGUUUUUCCUUUUUCUUUUUUUCUUCUUCUUCCCUUCGUUGGCCAUGGCGGAGGGAAGCUGGAGUCCGGCAAGGGCUGCCCUCGCCGGCGUUGGGCGAGGGUUGCCCUUGCCUAGGCUGGCUAGGGCCACCCUCGCCGGCGUCGGGUGAGGGCAGCCCUCAGCUGGGCUGGCCCAAUGCCAGUGAGGGCCUCCCUCGCCUGACGCUGGUGAGGGCACCCCUCACUCGAUGCAAGCGAGGGCCACCCUCGCCCGGCGCCGGUGAGGGCCGCCCUAACCAGCCCAGGAGGGGCGACCCUCACCCGACGUCGACAAGGGCAGCCCUCGUCGCACGCCAGCUUCCUUCCACCAACUCCGCUAUGGCCGACAAAGGGAAGAGAGAAGAAAAAAAAUUAAAAAUAAAAGACCAAAAUACCCUUUAGUUUAGGGUAAAUGUGUCAUGGUUGACAAAGUUCGGGGUUUUUCAUUUCACAAAAAAAAAAAUUUGGGUAAAUCUGUCACAGUUGGCAAAGUUCGGAAUUUUUCACGUCACAAAAAAAAAAGUUUGGGGUAAAUCUGGCACUUUAAACAAAGUUUAGGCUACAUUUAGUCGUUUGGAUAAGAUAAGAUAUGAAAUCCUGGGAUUUUUUUAUAUCCUGUCAAUUGUUUGGUGAAUCGCAGAAUUAAAAUCGGAUAUAUUCACAUUAUAUUAUAUACAUUUUUUAAAUAUAAAUGGCAUAUCAUUAUAAAUGAAACUAAAUAUUCAUAAACGAAGAUGGUGAAAAUCUCACGCAACACUAUUCCUUAAUUUAUUUUUAUUUUAUUUUUCCUCUUGUUUUAUAUUAUUUUCUUUAUUAUUUCUUUUUUCCCCUUUCAUCAUUCUUUAAUAAAAUUUUAUCAAGUAGUAAACUAUACUAACAUACAUAAAAUACAAAAAUACAUAAAAUAUAUAAUAAAUAUAAAUAUUUAAUUUAUAGAUUGAAUGUUUAUUAUAAGAUAGAAUUAAAGUUGAAUAUAUAAAUUAAAAUAAGAUUAAUUAAAAUAAAUUUCUAUUUUUUAUUUUUAAUUUCUUAAAUUAUAAUUCAAAUAUUAUUUAUAUUGAAAUAUAAUUUCAAUUUUGUUAAUUUAAUAAGUUUGAUAUUCGAGAAAAAUAACUUUCGUACUAUAGACAUUAGAAAUCCUAUCCACCUUUAUCCCAUCUCCCCCAUGGGAUAAUUUUCCUACAUAUAUUCCCCUUAUAUCUGACUUUAUCUUGUUUUGAGUGAGCACCAAGCGCAGGAUAUGAUAAAUCAUAUCUUAUCCUGAAUUUUAUCCUGUCUACCAAAUGCAGCCUUAAAGUUUUUCGUGAUUUUUCCCUUUUUGUAAUAAAAAAUCAUCAACUUCCAUGCCCAAAUCUAACCCCGCUUAACUUUCCGUCAACUAAUGGUGUUAAAUGUUUGAUGCGUCAAUUUCAAGUCAUUAUCUUUUCCCAAGUCAGAAUUUAUAUAUAUGAUGUCUUUCUUUUUCUUUUCUUUUUUUCUUUUGUCCUUUUUCUUUCUUCUUCUUCCUCUCACUGGACGACAGCCUGACCACCGUGAGUCAGCCGCACGAUCCAAUCAACGGCCCAGCCCUCCGUCCACCACCACCUCACCGCCGUCCUAGCCCUCUAUCCACCACCACCUCGCCACCUUCCACAACCCCAGCCGUCCAUCCUCGCUUCCGCCCUCGACCUCCGCUAAGAUUUUUGUUUUCCCCAACCUCUCGCCAUAUAUCUCCACCACUAGCGCCUCUACUCUUGGCCAAUGACCCCCUGGCUUCCGAUGUCCAGUAGCCCGGCCGCGGCUCGUCCUCGCCGUCGUCGAGCUCGAGUUCGGCCGGUGCUCUCGAGCCUCAAAUUUUGGGUCCAAGCUCAAGCGAGCCUUAGAUUCCAGAUAUGGGGAUCAGCUUGACCUCAGAUUUGUGUUGAUUAAGGUUGAGUAGGGUCGACGGUAGCCACAACUAGAUUUUUGGAGGUCAAUAUCCGUCCGUCCAUGGCUUUUCAAUCCGAGUCUGUGCAUGUUUCUUGACUCAAAAUGGGUGAAUCGGCAGAAAGUUCAGAUUUCUUUUGUUCAGAAUAAGAUCACGACCAGUUUUAUUUAAAAUAUAAGCAAAUAUAAAAUAAAAUAAAAUGCAAUGACAAAAGAGAAGCAUGGUGUAGUUUGUCACUUUUUUUUUUUUUGGGUAAGAGGUAAGAAUGUGUAGUUAGUCACUUUGGGCGCGUUUGGUAACGUUUCUGUUCAAAAAUUUAUUCCAAGGAACAUAAAUAGAAAAAACUAUUUUUGCUCCGGGAAACAAUUUUUGAAUAGAAGAAGGCGUUUGGUAAACUUGUUGCGGGAAUAAAAAAUGAACAGAAACACGUUCGGUAAAUUUGUGUUCUUUUUUUGUUUCUUUUAAUUUUUUAAUAUUUUUAUUUUAUUUUUUUUCUUUUUUCUUUUUUUCUUCUUUUGGCCGGUCGCCGACCUCAGCCAUGGCCGACGACCGAUCGACGAGGGCUGGCAGCCUCGCCCAGCCACGGCGAGGCUCACCGGCCCCCGGCGAGGGCCUCACCGGGCUCGCCUUGGCUGGGUGAGCUCGGGCUCGCCCAGAUCCGGCGAGCGCAAGCUCGCCCAGCCUUGCCCCGCUCCGACGAGGCUCGUCGUCACCUUGGCGGGGCGAGCUCGGGCUCGCCCAGAUCUAGCAAGCCCGAGCUCGCCCAGCCACCAGUGAGGCUCGGCCUCGCCGGGCCACCGCCAAGCCGGUAAGCCUCACCGGUGCGGGGCAAGGCUGGGCGAGCUCGGGCUCACCGGAUCUGGGCAAGCCCGAACCUCGCUAGGAGCUGGUGAUGCUCGGCCUCGCCGGGGGCUGGUGACGCUCUGGUGAGGUCACCGGCCCUCGACGGUGUCGCCGGCCUUGGCCGAGGCCUGCGAACGGGCAAAGAAAAAAGAAAAAGAAAAGAAGAAAAAGAGAGGAGAGAGAAAAAUUUGUUCUUAAAAAUUAUUCCAAAAACAAGAAAAGCGUUUUUCUUGUUUCUUUUUUUUGUUCCAAAUGUGUUCCUAGGAACAAAAAAGUAGAUUUGGAACAAAAACGCAAACAAAUACGUUUCUGUUCUUUUUUUGUUCCCUGGAACAAAAAAACAGAAAAUUUGUUCAUAAACAAAAAUAAAGAGCAUUAACAAACAAGGCCUUUGUCUUCAAGAAACUGAAAAUUAAAUUGGAAAUGGGCUAUGGAAUACAGAUUUAGCUCAUUCCACUGAAGAGUACAAAGAAAUGUGUGCAGACGGAGUAGAAGGCCGCCGAGAUAGGAGGUCUGGAUGCCGGGGUUCCAUCUGCGGUUGCCGCCGACAAAUGUGGUCGGUGGCAGCGGCGGAGGCCGGAGACACUACGGCGGCCACAAGGAGGAAGUGGAGGAUGACAGGGUGGGAUGAUGGUGGCCAUGGACGGAUAACCUUUAGGUAGCGAAAGGAAGAAGGAAGAUUAAAAAAAGAAUAAAAAAAGGAAAAGCUAUAUAUAAUUCUGAUUUGAGAAAAAAAAAUGAGUGGAAUUGACAAUUGAGACGUUUAAGGAUGCUCUUCGGACGGACAAAAAGUUAACAGAGGUCAGAUUUGGAUAUGAAGUCAAAGUUGGUGACUGUUUAUGAGAUACUAAAGAAAAAAAUAUUUGGGGCCAGAAUUGAGAUUUGAACUAAUUGGUGCUAUUUUGAGGAUUUAAUCCCUUGCUAUUUAGAAUAUUUGUUUUCGACUAUGUUUUAAAAAUGGUAGUGUCUAUAACAUGAUAACAACAUGAACAGUAAUAAGCAAGAGGAUGGAUUAGGGCAUGGCUAUUUCCGUAGCAGAAAAUGCUGCAGGCAGUCUUUCUAUUUGAAGAGAUGAUUCUGCCCCCACGGACGAGGACACUAACACCUACAAAACACGAACGGGGCGAGGGGGUUUCUAUUGGUGGGUUCCAUCAACAUUAAAUUUAUCUAUGUGAUGUAGAUGUUUCCGUAAUGGGUUCUCCAUUCUUUUCUUUUUCUUGAGUUUAAGCUUCCAUCAAUUAUCUGAAAAUGGAGGAGCUGGACUCAGAAAAACUUAUGAACUACUACCAAAUAAAAAAUUAUUGGAUGAUGAUUAAUAAUGUUUCAUUAUUUCAAUUUCAAAGAGUUUUGAUGGCUUAAAUCUUAUUUAUCAUAAAUUCUGUUUCUUUGCAAUCAAGAUUAUCUGUGAAGAACGAUGGAUUCAUGAGUUUGUGAUUAUGAAGGGUAUUUGCCUGCAAAAUUUCUUUCCUUGAAUCAAAAGGAGGGUUUAUCUGAUCCCUUCGUGCAUAGAGAAAGGUAGAUUCGUGCCCUCAAAUCUAGCGAGGCAUAUUUUUGCUUAUCAUUUUUGUAAAUCCAAUGAGAUUUUGUUAUAUAUGUGGGGUUGCAGGGGAGGUGAUUGAUUAUAUGCAUGAUCAAGUGACACAGAUCAUUGUUUACUUAUUUAUCCAUAAAAUCUCACACACACAAAUCGUUUAUCAACCAACAUGCAUGGCGGACUAGAUCAGGCUUUCUGUUGCAAAAUCAUUUCCUAAUUCUCUCCACUUGACUUUAGACCUAGCAGGAGGGCUUGAGAGAAUGUGAGUGAGUAUUCACGCUUAUAAUCAAGUUUACUUAACACGAAUCCAUUGGCUUGAUGGGAUUAUUUGUAUAAGUUUAGUUACUGUAUGGAGAUGCUCGAGUUAUAUAUUAGAGAAGUAUCUGCAUCGUCUACGUGAAAAAAUUUUGAGGCUCAUUCCGUCAUAGCACUAAAUAUCUAAGUCCAUAUGAAAACAGAAAUCUGCUAUAGAAAAAGAUAUCUGCCUCUUUCUACUAGGCUUAAACUCGUGUCCGGUUUCAUACAUCGGUCCAAAGCCCAAGCACCAAAUCGGUCCGUAGGGUCUAGCCCUCAACAUAAGCUAAGGUGAGCUCGUUCCUAAAACAUCCUAUCUUCUAGGCAUUAUUUGACGAUGUUAAGCCCAAAGGAGCAAUUAAUCCAAAAGGAAGACUUUCCCUGCUUGAGGAGCAAAGCUUCCCGCAUCUCGUAUGCUCUGAAUUUGAUUAUGCUUAUCAUUGUUUGUUGGGUGUAAAAUUUUCUUUUCAGAAAUUAUACUUUCCGACACAAAUUAUGCACCAACUUCACAUACAAAAUCAAUUGGAGAAUACAUAUCUACAAAAUUAUACAAUAACUGCUUUUUUCUAAGAUUGAUACACAACACUCUAAUAGCUAAAAAGGACUUCUCCUUGUUUCAAGAAUUAGAUUUGCAACGUUCUCUAGAAAAAAAAACACAUAAAUAAUGUGGCCACUUAGGCUUUACCUGAGCUAAUAUUAUGCACUACUAACUAAAUAGAUUACUCAAAUGAAAAUAUUCUUACAUGUAGUAAUUCCAAAAAAUCUUGACUAGACCUCAGAAUUUAAAUUAGGGGCAUGUAAAUCGCCAAAUAUGAUGAGUGUUAUAGGAUCAACGGCUGUGAUUCAUGUGAUGAGUCCGUGUAAGAAUUUGUCAUUCCAAGCGGGGAGGACAGACACUCCUGCGAUCUUACAUGGGGAUCCUAGAAAAGGAUCCUAGAAAAGGAAAAAGCGACGCGAGUGCAUUUUCAAAAAGAGAGAGAGGCUAAGGAUAACUAAGGAUGAAAGUAAAGCAGUGGGGACCAUAACUAUUUGGCAUUGCCUCAAAAAGGUCAAGAGAUCCAUCAAUUAUAUUGGGUUUGGUGGAUUAUGAGUUGAUUUAGUGCUUUGAAGCAGUGUGAAUUGGAUUCCAAAUAGAGAGCAAAAGAGGUGGAAAAAAAACAUGCUUUGGCUCAAUUGAACACCGACAACUCAUUACGUUACUCAUCACUUCCAGAACUAUGCCUAUGUAUACUAUUUUGCUUUUCCUUAAAGUGUUAGACACGACAUGACCGCUUCAAUGUCCACAUUAGAACUAGUCAUCUUCUUCACAAUUAGGAUAUCCAUUAAAAAUGACCAUGAACCUCCUUUAAAGAUUCACCCACAUAAAGUCCCAAUCCCUUUAUCAACUCAAAUUAAUUUUUUGAAAUUCCUUACCGUGGAGACUACGGGAGUCCGGAGCAAAAGUAAUGACAAUGGACGUCGGCAUCAACUUUUUCUAGUGGAAAAUAAAGCAUGUUUUUUUUUUUUUUUUUGGUAUAGUAUUGCCAAAUGCAUAAGGUAGGUUCAUCAAAUGUAUGGCACUUGGUCAAUUAGCUAUCCCAAGGUGGAUGUCUCCGUCGCUAAGAUUUGCAAAGCCUCAUUGAUAAUGACUCAAACGGGCAUAGCUAAGAUAGUGAACAGUAAAAAAUUAUUUAGUUACCUAUGAACUUUUUAGAUGGUUGUACAAUUCCUUAUUAAAAUUAGAGAGUAAAUGUGACUUCUAUCGGUAAGGUAAGGUUUUAAAGAUUUUGGCAUUUUCACUUAAAUAAGUAUGAAAGCAGAGUACGAAGAUCAUGUUUCAUCUUUCAAUUGAAAAUUAAAACUGUCCAAGCACUGGAAAUCUGACCUUCAACAAGUCAGAGUACCACGGCUGGAAACAAAACUUAAUCCAGAAAUCGCGCAUCAUGGGGACCUCCAAAAGAAGGAAAAAAAGCACGGUAGAAACAAUUGGUGAAAGCGAAUGGUGAACCGACCGAACAACCUCUACAUAUGCAUAUAUUUCCAAAGAAUAACCCCGCAUGAAACAAGGUUCAUUUUCCCAGCUAGAACUAGGGAUGGCAAACAAAUAGAGAAGAUUGUGGAGCAGAUAAGAAAGCUCACAAUGGUUUUUCUUUAUGUGAGGAUUGUAGAAUCGAUAUUUCAUGGGAUUUUAAAUAGACGUGUCUACACGUGCAUACCCCUAAAUUACCAAAAAAAAAAAUGCUUACUUUAGGAAAAUGCUAACUAUAUUUGGUAACUUUUUUUAUAUACACUUAUUCCUCAGAAACUAGUAGCUAUUAUGCAAAAGUUCCAUAUGACCUUAAUUUCAAAGAGAAUGUCCCACAUGACUUUAAUUAGUCAUAACCUUUUUCUUUUGUUAAUUAUUAGUCAUAAUUUUUUCAUAUAGUCAUAAUAAAUAUAAGGAUUUAGGAAUAACAUGACAUUAUAAUUUAACAAUUAUGCUUGGCAAACAAAGUUAAACAACUUCAAUUUUUACUUAUGAAGUAAGCUUUUUCUUUGUUCUCACUUAUAGGGAUGAUUAUGAGGGGCUCUCUUUCAACAAAUCUGUGAAAAAUUGAAGGACGAUACAUGAAAAGUCAAAACUUAUUUUCUACUAAUGCUUAACAUUAGCUGGGUAGAAGGCUCCAAGUUGGCUCGAGUCAUAUAUGUCAAUAAAUAGAAUCUCACCAAAAGUUGCCAUCCAAUAUAUAAAUCAAUAACACGGCCAAUUUAUGUUUUCGAUUUGCAUACCAUUUCAAAAGUAAAACCUCAAUUUUUUCCCAUUCAAUUAGCUUGAUUAUAAUGUUACUUCUCUAUUUUAAUAUGAUUUCAUGCCAACACGAAGAGAGGGCUUAGGAAUAGUACCUAAUCCUUUUUUGCGCUCAAAUCUCUUUGCCUUCUUUGUCCCUAAUCAUUCUUGCUUUGUUUCACUCUUCCGUUAUUCUCUCUGUCUCUUUGUUUUUUUUUUUCCUGGGUUUUCUCAACUAAAAAAGAAAAUCAAAGAAAAAUGUAAAAUCGAUGAUACUGUCGAGAAAAAUGGGAAUCGUCACAUUAAAUUCAUCUCAAGAAGUAAAAUUAUUGAUAUAAAGGUAUAAUUCGUGGUUGAAGAACAAGAGCAAAAAAACAUUAGAAAAAUCUCAUUUAUAUCAUCAAAUGAUAUUUUUUUUGAUAAUGUUCUACUUGGACUAUGAGUGCAUCAACCUCGAACAAUCCACGUCUCUGCUGGCUCCAUCAAUUUGUCUUCUUGACUCCUUUGAAGUCAUGAUGUUGUUUUUUCUUGGAUUGCUACAAAAUUUAACAGUUAAUACUUUUGACAUUUCACACAUAAUCAAUGAUGAUAUGGACAUCCAUCUUCAAUCUUCCAUUGCUGCUUUGUUGCACCGAAAGGUGAAAUUCCCAAGACUAAAAGAGAUAGAUUCCUCUGGUGGGCCUUCCUUUCCACCGAAACCCUUGAAAAAUAGUCAGGAGGAUCUUCUAAAGUCGUUGUGAUGAUUUGGUGUAUACAUGCAUAUUCACACACAUUGGGCGAGGCUAUUCACGCUCCCAAUUUAGCUUAAAAUCACAUCCUUUUAAGUAAACUCAAUUAUUAAUAGACCUGCCUUUUAUUUAAAAAUAAACAAAUCUGCCUUUUCCAAUUCCUCUCUCAUCUAUUGUCUAGUCUAUUUUCUUAUUUACUAUAGACAGUUGAUAAGAGUUUCCGAUAUCAAUCUUGUCAUGUACUCCUUUGAUUUCAAAGUUUUGUUCAUGUAAAAAUUUACCUAAAAAACGUCUUCAACCUAUGAAUCAUGAAAAAAAGAAGAAAAGAGAGGCUGAUUUAUUUAAAAGAUUGGAGCAUAAGCAUGUUCCGAAAUAUCAAAUUACACUCAUGCUUUCAUCGAGCUUUAGCUAUAAUUUUUCCAAUUUAUUAUGACCAAGUCUUCAGUUCUUUGAUCUGUCAUGUUCGAACUUUCAUUAUUUUGUAGAAGAGAAUAUUUCAACAAGUUAAUUUGGUAUAUUUUAUUUACGAGCUUAUAAGUCAAUGAAUAAUUAAUCCUCUUUAUUCAAAUGGUUAUAGACAAGGGUUUUGAGACAUUUAAAGUUAAUUUUCUUAUUGAUAAUUGGUUUUUCUGAAUUUAUCAUGCUAGUAAAUUUGGGAGAUCAUUGAGUGAGAGUUUCAUUUUGAGCAAUCUAAAUUUUUUUCACACUGCAUCUCUAGAGUUAUUUCAAAGUGGUGAAGUGGCCGUUUGAUAUGAAGAGAUUCAUGGAAAGGUCCCAAGCUUAAUUCAUUAGUAGCAUGUUUUCAAAUUGAAAAGCUUGCUCGUAUUUUUAGUUUGUUUUUGAGUUUUCAUUUUGUUUGCUUUAUUCCUUAUACCUAUAGCUAGGACUUGAGAUUAUAUUACGUACCCCAUGAAUAGUUCAAGAGCAUAAAUUUUGACAGGUUUAAGAUUGAUGUCUUUCAGAUUUUGCACCAUAUUAUAUAUAGUUAAGGUUGCUGAUUAUAAUUCUCGAAACUAACAAACUAUCAAGUGUUGUGAAACACACACACACACACACACACACACACACACACACACACACACACACACACACACACACACAUAUAUAUAUAUAUAUAUAUAUAUUGUGUUCUCUCAUUCUGUGUACUUAUAUUAUGGUCUUUCAUAUCCGUACAUUGCUUGCUCAAAUAUGCAUGUAGGCAAACAAUUCUCUUUACAUUCUUCAAGGAAUAUAUUGAGGGAAUAAUCAAAUCACAACUCUUAGACAUUUAGACAAAUUGUGCAUAGUGAAGCCGAGGAUCCAUCACAUCUUGUUGAAAAAUGAUGACUAAAUUACAUUUACCCUGUUCCUUGCCAAGACCGAAUUGCAAUCACAAGAAUUUGGUGGUGUUACUUGUAGUUUGAUAAGCCAUGUUUUUGCUCACAUUGUGUUGUUUUUAAUUGGUAGUUAAAUCACGUCUUUUACAAAUGACAAGUAAUUGAAAUUAUGAGUUCCUACGAAUGAUAAGCAUUAACAUGACGAAUGAUUUGAUGAUAGCAUUCGAGGCUCUUAGUUUAUACUUUUGUUUUCUAUGACAAUUUGAUUAAAAUUAUUAUUUUAAAGAAAGCAGCCAUGGAUUCUUACUGGAAUCCCAAUCCCCAUGAUUGAACCAUGCAGUCAAAAAUGGGGUCCAUAUGUCAUUAGAAGAAAGCUAUGCACGUUGCUCAUGCUUGCCUGUGGUCAUUCACUCGUGAAAGGGUUAAUAGUAAGAGAGUGGCUAAAACAGCCAAGAAUAUGCAAUAAUUUGACUAGACAUAAAAUAAUGGGAUGUCCUAUCUCCCCUUGAGUCUAUCUUAGUAUUAAUAUUACAAAAGCAUUGAUUAUUCAUCAAUGGCUUGUUAUAAGGAGCAUCAAACUCCCAAAACUUUUUUUACAAAUCUCAGUUAAUUUUUUUUUUGUUGAAAUUAUAACAUUCAAAUAAUUGAAAAAAAAGUUAUGACACUCAAGUUUAUGUUUUUUAGAAGCCAUGAUACUCAAAUAAUUGAAAAAAAAAUGUGAACACUUUACAAAAGUCAUGACACUUGCAGUGUUUUUUUGCUAUUCUUUUUAGGAUUUUCAUCCUAUCAUUUUCUCAAUCUUUCUUUCUCAAAAGAAAAACAUCAACGGAUGCUGCCAUCAAGAAAAAUGCGAAAAAUCACAGUAAACUCAUAUCAAGAAGUAAUUGUUGAUAAAAGGGUCUAAGUUAUGGUUAAAAGAGCAAGGACAAAAGACAUUAGAAAAAUUCCAACCGUAUCAUCAUAUGGCAAUUUUUUACAACGUUCUACUUGGACUAUGAGUGCAUCAACCACCGACAAUCUACUUCUCUAGUGGCUCCAUCAAUUAAUCUUUUGACUCCUUUCUAAAGGGGAAGUAAUGAUGGGUUUUUCUUGGAAUGCUACAAAAUUUAAUAGUAAAUACUUUUUGGCCUUUGAUGCAUAAUCAAUGAUAAUAUUGAUAUGCAUCUCCUAUCUCCGGCUGACAAUUGCUUCCUUGCACCGAAAGGUGAAAUUGUCAAGACUAAAACAGCAAGAUUCCUCUGGUUGACAAAUAGUUGUUGGGAUGAUUGGUGUGCACACACACAUUUGGUGGAGGUAAUUAUGCACCCAUUUUACACGUGAUACUUUGUUAGGGUCAAAUUUGUCUCUAUGUAAUAUUUCCUUAAGAGAACCCAAGGACAAAAUGCUAAAAUAGCCAACCUCUUAUAUUUCCCCUUAUUUCACUUUUUUAGCUUGCCAUCACCUUUCUUUUGUCUCCUUAAUGUUUCCGUUUUCACAUGUAGUAUCUCUCUGUUGGAAAGGGCUUUGAAUUUGAUUAUGCUUGUCAUUGUGUAUGUUGGGUGUAAAUUUUCUUUUUUGAGAAAUUAUACUUUGAUACAAAAUUAUUCACUAAUUCACGUACAAAAUCAACAUGAGAGUCAAUAUCUAUAUAAUUAUGCAAUAACAGUCUCUUCUCUAUGCCCUGCCUCUAAGGUUGACACAUAGCAUUCUAAAUAGCCAGAAAAGACUUCUCCUUAUUUUAAGAACUGGAUUCACAACAUUCUCCAUUAAAAAAAUGUGCCCACUUAGACUCCACCUAGGCUAAUAUUUUGCACUACUGGCUAGAUAGAUUAUUCAUAUAUCAUGAUGUACUUAUAGGCACUAAUUCCUUAUUAGCUACGUGAAAUCUACUCAAUCUAAUUACAAGGAGAAUGUCUCUCAUGACUUUAACUUGUUUCUAUUUAGUCAAAAUGUUUUCAAACGGUCAUAAUUCAUAUAUGGGAUUAGGGGUACAUUGACAUUUCCAACACAACAAUUUUUUUUAUGGGCAAGUCUGUCAUGUGAAACUAAUAAAGAGAAUUUCAGCCAGCUUAAUAUUCAAAACAGAUCGGAGACCAAUAUUAUGCCUAUCUAUCAUAUGAUACUAUUAUUUUAACGUUAUACUUACUUAGCAUCUCUAUCUUGCACUUAUUGAAUAUUACUAUAUUAUAAUUUUAUGUUAACCUUGUCAUUUUCUUAAGAAAUGGUUCAGAAUAGAAAAUACAAUACUCUUUACUAUAAAAAUUAUGCUUACAUAGCCCCAGAAUUGGCGCAAUUGGUUGGGUCAUUAGGGAUUUCCAACUUAGGAACUAGAGAUCGCCAGUUCGAAUCCCACAAACUAUAUGCAAACUGCUUUGGGUUAUAGUCACCUACAUAGACCAAAGAUCUAAGUUUAAUUGGUUCAUGGAAUUGGCACGAUAUUUCAUGAGCUUCUAGGUAAAUGGCUCUCCACACUCCUACCCCGAUAUUACACAAGUGCGCGCACGCGCGCACAUACACACACACUCACUUUAGGAGAAUGCUAACUUUACAUGGUAUUACACUUACUUUAGGAGAAUGCUAAUUUUAGAUGGGAUUUUUUUAUAUGCACUUAUUCCUCAUAAACUAGGUAGUCAUUAUGCAUUAGAUCUUUGUCAACUUAAUUGCAAAGAGAACAUUCCCAUGACUUUGAGGAAUAUUACCCAUCGAUCUUAAACAUAUUGUACGAAUACCAAUUUAGUUCUAAACUUUUCGAUUUUGCCAAUUUAGUUAUAAACAUUUGUGCAAAAUUCCAAUAUAGUCCUUUUGGCCAAUUUUCGACGUUGAAAUGGUCAUGUGUUAUUUAGAAUGGUCAGCGAUGACUGGAUUGCCACAUCAAUAAUUUCAGGCAAAAAUUCAUCAAAAGGGUUUUAUUGAAAUUUUCCCUAAAGGUGUAAAACUAAAUUGUCAAAAAAUUGAAAUGAUUAAAACUGAAUUAGCAUCUGUAUAAUAGAUCUUAGGACUAAUUAAAUAAUUUUUCCCAUGACUUUAAUUAGUCAUAAUAUUUUCUUUGUUAUAAAUUAGUCAUAACCUUUUUAAAUAGUCAAUACAAAUAUAAGGUUUAUGAGGUAAUUUGAUAUUCUAAUCUAACAAUUAUGGCUGAGUUUGAGAAAAGGAGCGAGGAAGUUAAGCAGCCACCUGGUGUUCCGGUUGAGCAAGCCAGCGAAGAAGACGCGUGAGUUUACUUUUUGCUUUUGUCUGAGUAUACGAGUAGUUAAAGAAAAUCAAUGUCGGAAUGCACUCAUUCGAGGAGCUAUGCGUAAUGACUCAGCAAGUUGCAUAUGAGGGAAACGCCUUCAUAGUUAGUGGAAUAUCCCCUUUCAACGAGAUUCACGUGGCACUCGGCAUAACAUUUUGUUGUUGUCCCAUAUGAUUGUCAUGAAAUAGGAAUACGCAAGAGUGAUUUUGAAAAAAUUCCAUGAGUUCCAUGGUCACUUUGGUCGACUUCUAGUUCUAUUUGCUUACACUUAUAUAUAAAAAAAAUUCUGCAUUUUGCUCUCCCUCGAGAAAAUUAAAAAUGGAAAAAAAAAAUAGGUUUCAUAAAUUAUGAAAAACCAUGUAAUAGCUCUACUUGUCAAUAAAUGUAUAUUUUUGAAAAUUCUAAAUUUCAAUAUUUGAUAACUACAAUAUUUGAAAAAUAAAUGUGAAAAGGAAAAGCUCUGGACAGAACCAAGCAUUUGGGAAGAAAUAAAAAAAAAAAGAAAAGAGGGUCUUUUUGGGGGGGGGGGGGGAGGGGAGACUUCAAUAUGAAUGAGAGCUCAUGGAGCAAAGUUAGUCCUUGCUGGCAAUGAUUUUGCAUGUUAAUUUUGUUAUGUAAAGAGUAACAGUGGUCACUAUGAUUUUGCCUAUUAAUAUUAUCAUCUAAAGAGUAGUAGUGUUCGAGAUAGUAAAUUAGUUUAAAAUGUUAAGAGGAUAGCAAAAAUUUAAUUUCCUUAGAAGUUCUAACCUAACAAUUACAGCUGCAGUUAAAUAUAACCUAGCAAUCAUAAUUGGCUUUAUAUUCUAACAAUUAGCCUAACUAUCAUGUUAAUUCGAAAUUUUUAACGUGAUUUCACAGACCAGCACAAUGAGCGGGGGUAAGAUUAUAUUACCUAACCAAUGUUUGUCCAUCAGACGUGGAGGAAAAACUAGAUGCCCAAAUUAUGUUUGUCUAAAGCGGUGAAGGAAAGGAUGUAUAUCUAAUCAAUGUAUGUCCAUUAGCAUCGGGGGAAGGGGUGGUGAUUUCGAAAUUGGUGUUGGUGACCUGCUCCAUGUAUUAAUAUAUUAUUUAUUAGACUACCAUCAUUGUCUUGAUUGACGCGACCGACAUCUUUUUUAAAUUUUUUUACUUUUGGCCAGUGGAGGCUCUAAGGACUUGGAGCCCUUUGCUCCCAACUUGUAGAGAGUGCAUGACAACCAAUAAUUUCUAUUUUAUAAAUAAUUUUUUUUAUUCCAAAUCUGUUUUUGGAAUAAAAAUUUGUUUGAUAAAUUUAUUUCGUUUUGAAUUUUUCUACUUCUCUAUUUCUGAAACAGAAAUGAGAAAUAAAAAAUUUUCUCAUCAUUCGUCAACUGGUCCUUCAUCCAAUGUUGCCGACCACUGUCCAUCGAUCGCCCGUCGCCCGCCGGCCCCAGUCGCCACCGGUCGCCAUCGCCCGCCGGCCCCAGUCGCCACCGGUCACCGGCCGCCAGCCGACCGCCAUCCACCGGUCCGCCAUUGUCGGAAAGGAAAAAUUUUUGUGUCGUUAUCAAACGAAUUUUUAUUUUUAGAGUAUAAAUUUUGUAUCGUUAUCAAACGGUUAUUUUUGUUUAGAAACUCUUAUAAAAAUAAGAAUAAAAAAAUCUAUUUCUGUUCUAAAAACUAUUUCUGAAAUAGAAAAAUUGUCAUGCGCGCUCUUAGCUUCCGAAGGAAUUGAGUGAGGUUUAGUUAAAGUCUUAACUGAGAUUAGAUUACCGAGCUCCAUAGUACAUACCCAUCCCAUCUUUCUUCUCGUGAUUUGGGCCUUUGUUAAAGGCGAAGAGACAUGUUAAGGUCCCAUCUAGUAGUACAUUUUAGUUUUUUGGUAAAACGUACAUCUCAAUCGUUGUUGAUCAAAUAUUCCAGCAAAAAGUUACCAUGUCUCUUUCUCCAUUGAUUGCUCUUUGACGCUCCCCUUCCUUCAUCUUUUAUCGCACUCAAGUUUCUUCGCCUUUCCGUCUUUCAUCAUUCUUGCUCUGUUUCACUUUUUCUUCUCCUUGCUACAGCCAUACUUCGUCCUCUUUUUCUUAAGUAUGUACGACCCUUUUUCAUCGUUCUCUCUCUCCCUCUCUAUGUCUCUCUGCUUUUCCUUUUGAGGGGUUUCUAUCCAAACGUUUUCUAGCUCUUUCUUUUUCGAAAUAAAAAUCAAAGAAAAUGUCAGAUCGAUACUGUUGUUGAGAAAAAUAGAAAAUUAUUAAACUCAUAUUAAUUAAUAAUUGUUGAUACAAGUGUUCUGAAUACGUAGCAAAAGUUACCAGCCAAUGUGGUGGCUGCGUUGGCUCAAGCUCCCUCCCUCUCACGAAAGGAAAGGAGUUCGAAUCCCAGCAUGAUCACUAAUGGUCUUAAGUAUGGUAUCGUGGUUGUGGUUUCUGUGCUAGUAUCACUUCGGAUUUACCUCGCUGACUGUUGAUUGUACGUGAGUUCUUGGGUCACCAAAAAAAAAAAAAAAAAACGUAGUAAAAGUUCAAUCCCUUUAACUGGAGAGGUCAUCAAGAGAAAGUUUAAGUUUGAGCCCAUUACAUAUUCAGUUGACCCAUCUCUAUUAAAAAUAAUGAGCUAAAAAGUUAUUAAUCAACUAUAAUAAUAUUAACUGCUUAAUACAAAAUUAAUUAUCUAUUGUGAAACUUUUCUAACCCAACUCACAUAUUCAUCUUAACAUUCACCUCUCGCGUGUUGGCUUAGUAUUAUGUCUGCUUCCCCUUGAUUCAAGUAUCGUUCUCCAUUAACAUGACUCAAUUAGAAUCUUCACUUAGGUGCGUGUGCUAACUAAAAUAACAACAACGCCCAUCUUCAUCCCUAGUCUCUUUCUCCAAAUUGAAUCAUGAAGGUUACCAUUAGAACCACAUUGCUACACAAAAAUGCCCACCUCCAUUCCAAGUUUCUUUUGCUAGAUCGAACUAUGAAGGUUGCCCAAAAACUGCGUUAAUCAUGAGAUUCCUUUCCUGAGAUAUUCUCCAAACAUUAGUAUACAUUGGAAUUGGCCAUUAGCUAUCAAUCAUUGGCUCUGGCAUCAUUUCUUAGGAGUGUCUUGCAGAAAUUUGAUACCUUUAACCAAAGAGAUCGCCAAAGAAAAGCACAUGUUUGAGCUAGCCAAUAUGUUUUAUUGAAGCCAAAUUCACUCAAAAACUAGGAUAUAUUAAUUGCUCUAUACCAUACUAAUUCUCCGGUAUAAGACUUUCUAACAUAACUUACAUAUAUAUCUCAAUAAGAAGGAUCUAAGUAAUGGUUAAAAGAGUGAGAACGGAGAGAUAUUAGAUGAACCUCAACCACAUCAUCAUAUGGCAAUUUUUGAUAAUGUUCCACACGGAGUCUGAAUGUGUCUGCCUUAAAUAAUUCACUUCUGUAGUGGUUCCAUCAAUUUGUCAUUUGACUCCUUUUUUGAGUGGAAGUCAUGAUGGGGUUUUUUGGGAUGUUACAAAAUUUAACAGUAAAUGCUUUUAGCCUCUAGCGCAUGAUCAAUGUCGAUACUGAUAUGCAACUCCAAUUUUCCAACGGGAAUAUUUUCAUCAAGUGACUAGUGUGGGAUGUUAACAAAGAAGAGUUCCGCUAUUGCGUAACCGCACUGUCCCUUCCAAUAGCGACGGCGCAAAUGGGACCACGAAUUCUAUUAUGCUUGUAAUGCGCAACCGGAUUACAACUUUAAAAUGGGAAAUCUUUACGAAAAUCCUUAAAAUAACUUUUAUCCCUUUCUGAAUGAAAUGUCAAUCAAAAUGCCCUCCCUCCAAAUUGAGCACCAAGUAAAGUCAUCACUCAUUUCUUUUCGUUUCUCUUGAAAUCAUAAAACAUUCAAUAUACAUACUAGUGUGCAACUAACUUAUAACCGCACACAAUCUCGUCAUAACUAUGAAUAUACAUACGUAUGUAUGUAUGCAAGCACACAUGAAAUUUUAAUUACCUCUUAUUUAGUUAGAUAUACAUCUUGAUCACAAAAAACUUUUUUUUUCUUUUUUUUAAACUUUAUUAACAAAGAAAAAGCUUCACCACGCAUUGUUGCAACUGUUUCUUCCUACUUCCUUAUUAAUUGAAGAAUUAUUGUGUACAGCGGACUUAAAUAACAAUGGCUCUAUACUUGGUUACCGCGAAAUACUAUACAGCCUAUUAACAUAUCGUAAAAUAAAUAAAAAAAUCACCUUUAACCUCUUUCAGUUAAUUAAUCUAGUAAAAAAAAAUGGGGGAUAUCCAAUCAUUGCAAAAUAACGUAAUAUAAGGUGUUGACUUGCAUAUUGAUUUUUUUUUCUUUUUUGAGAAACCCCUUUUCAGAUAAGUGAAGUUCAUAUUAAAGGUAAAGUGAUUGAUGAAAAUAAUGCCAAUACCAAAACGAGACCAAAAAUAUGAUAAGAGAAGAAGGACUUUUAACACCAAAAGAAAUGGAAGUUGGGUUGUAUCGAAUAAGUAUGUAGCUUUUUUCUUUUUUUCACUAAGCAGAGAGGAGAAUCAAAAUACCUAUCAUGGGCAGGGGUGUGGAGUUUAACUCUUAUGAGGAGGCUUAUGAAUUUUAUAACAAUUAUGAGAAAGAAGUAAGAUUUUGUAGUAGAGUUUCAAAAUUGUAGAAAAGGAAGAGAGUAGAGAGGAAAAGUGAGGCAUAGUUUUUUGGGGCUAGCUCCAAAAAAAUAAAGCACCAACUUUAGUUUGAGGGACAAAUCUAACUGAAUUUUUUUUUUUGUCUUGUAAAAAAGCACAUAUUUUAGGUUAAGGGACAAAUCCAGUCUAAAUUGUUUUUUUGUCUUGUAAAAAAAUGUCAAUUUUAGGUCAAGUGACAAUUCUAGCCCCAAGUUUUUUUUUUCUCAUAAAAAAUUACAAACUUUCACCAUUAUUCAACUUUCUAUUUGAAGUUAACCUUGUUUCAAGAAAAAAGGUUCUAGCCGUGAGCUUGGCGGAUCUUGUUCAUGGGGUCUCUCAAUGGGCGGUGGUUUAUAGCUUCAUUUUAAGACAAAAUGACAAAGUCUAGCCAGACUAAUUCAAUUUAGAGCUUUUUGACUUGCUAGUGAAGUGUAGGAGAUGAUGAACAAUUUACCGUUAUUCUCCAAGCUGUGGCUCAAACAAGAAGAUAAUGAAUAGUGUUUUAAAUCCAGCCAGCGAGUGCACGUGGAUUUAUCGCUAAAAACAAUCAAUGGAUCUAAAUUAAAGGGGGCUAAAUUUAGGAUUUAAGUGAAAAUUGGUGAUUUUUUUUAGACAAAAAAAGUUAGGAUUAUAAUUGUCACUCAUCCCAAAGUUAGUGUUUUUUUAUGUGAUAAAAAGAAGAAGCUUGAGCCAAAUUUGUCACUCGACUUAAAAUUAGUGCUUUUUUACAAGACAAAAAAUAGUUUGGGUUAGAUUUGUCCCUUAACCUAAAGUUUGUGCUUAUUUUUGGAAUUAGCCCCAGUUUUUUGCUGCAUUUGUCAAAGGCUAAAAAAAAAUAAAAAUGGGUCAGUUAAGUCGAUUCAUUUGAAAAGGUUAGAAUUCAAUAUUUUUUUUAAUUACUCAAGCACAAAGAAUGAGAAGCCCCAAAAAUGUACAAAAAUAUCUUUAUUAUUCUAAAAACAACGGUUCUGGUGUUUUUCUUUUCUAUUUUAGAAAUAUAAGUCAUAUUUAUAAUAAAAUUAAUAAUCUCUUUUUAGUGAUAAUUUUCGUACUUGUGAUUCUUAUAUUGUAGCAUUCAAUUUCCUUCAAGUCAUUUUUCCCUUGCUUUCGAAAGGAUGGAAAUUCAAGAAAUUAAUUGGUGUUUAGUUGAGGCCUUAAUCAAGGUUAGGUUAUAGACAAGAAAAUAGAACAUGCACUCUAUUUUUAGCUAAAUUUCCAUAUUGGUUAUGUCCAUAUUUUUAACCCACCAAUCAAAGAAUUAGUAAGGAUGGAAUAAACUCUGACUUAAUAUAAACUCGCAUACAUUAAGGAAGCCAUUGCUCUCAAUUAACAAAGAAAUCCAAUGAGAUGUAAAUACUGAAUCAUUCCAAAGCAUGAGAAGAAAAUGUAACCUUAUCACUGCUGCGUCAAAUAAAUUUGUCCUUGUCUCUUUCCACUUUUCCCUACCUAUAACAAUUGAAACGAGUAAUCUAAUAUCCGCCAACCUUUGUAUCACUUAUAUUAUGUUUGUGUAUAUGGGGCAGCGCACUAUCAUUAAGAUAAAGGAAAUGUGUGAUUGGCUCUAUUUAAAAUCAAUUAAAUGGGAUUCCUAUCCACGUCAAUAGUAUGCGAAUCAAUCACCAAAAGAAGACCGACCAAAAAAAAAAAUCACCAAAAGAAGCAAAUCCAGACCAUGUAACUAGAGACAAUUUUUUUUUUUUUAAGAACCUCUGCGGAAUGCAAAAUACACUUGUACUUUACAAGAAAAAAAAGUAUGCUUACUUAACAUCACCAUCUUGCAAUUAUUAGACACCAAUAAUAUUAUAAUUUUAUGUUAACACAGUCAUUUUCAAAAUGAUAUAGAAUGCAAAAUACACUCAUUCUUUAGAAUAAAAAAAAAACAUGCUCACUAAAUCCCAGGAGUGACAUAGCUGAUUGGGAUGCUAGGGGAUUUCCAACUCAGGAAUAGGAGGUUGCUUGUUAGGAUCCCACAAACUGCUUUAGGUUGGAGCCAACUACACAAGCCAAAGCCCUGAGCUUAACCAAUUCAUAAAGCCUACAGGAUAUUUCAUAGAAUUAUGGGUAGAGAGGUCUCCAUACCUAUGCCCCCAUAUCAUAAGUAAAAUUAUAUGCUUACAUUAAGAGUAUCCCAAAUUUAUAUGGUACUCUUUUUAUAUGCACUUAUUUCUCAUAAACUAGGUAGUUAUUAUGCAAAAGGUCCUGAUCAUAUUAAUUACAAAUAGAACUUCCCUCAUGACUUUAAUUAGUCAUAACAUUUUUUUUUUGUUAAAAAAGUAGUCGUAAUAGUUAUAAAUAUAUGGACUUAGGCCUAAUUUGAAAUUCUAAUCUACCAAUUAUGUUGGUAAAAAAGGAAACAACUUCAAUUUUUUUCUUUAAAACUGAGUUCUUUUUCCCUUAAACGGAUGAUUCAAGGGGCUUUAUGUCAACAAAUACGUGAAAAUUUUGAAUACUACAUAAAGACUCAAGAAUUAUUUUCAUCCAAUGGGCAAUAUCAAUUAGAUAUGAGGGUCUAAAUUAGCCCAAGUCUAUUUUGUCAAUAAGUAGAAAACUUACAAAAAAUUGCAAUUCAACUUAUAAGUGAAUAUCAAUAAUAUAAUAAUUUUACGUUAAAAUUGUCAUUUCUUAAAAAUGAUAGAUAAUACAAAAUAUACUUAAUCUUUACAAUAAAAAUUUAUGCCUGCUUAACCCUGGGAUUGGUUUAGCUAGUUGGGACGUUAUGGGAUUUUCAGCUCGAGAACUGAAGAUCCAUUAGAACCCCACAAAUUGCGAGCAAACUACUCUAAGUUACAGUCUCUUACACAGGUCAAAAGCCUAAGCUUAACCGAUUCAAGGACUAUAGGAUAUUUUCUAGGCUUCUAAAUAGAUAGGUUUCUACGUCUAUGCACUUAGAUUAUUAAAAAGAAAAUGCUUACUUUGGGAGGAUGCUAAUUUUAUAGAAAUUUUUCAUGUGCACUUAUUCCUCAUAAACUAGGUAGUUUUUAUGAGAAAAGGUCGUUAUCAACUUAAUUACAAAGAAUAUGUCCCUCAUCAUUUUAAAUAGUUAUAACCUUUUUUUUGUUAGAAAUUAGUCAUGGUUGGCAAAACAAUUAAACAACUUCAAUUUUUUUCCUAUGAACUGAGGUUUUUUUUAUUUAUUAUAAAUUUAAGACAUGAUUUGAGGGGCUUUCUGUCGGCAAAUAUAUGAAAAUUUGAAAGAUAACACAUGAAAAAUCAUAUGUCACUAAGUAGAACAUUAUCAAAAAUUGAUCUUCAAUAUAUAAAUCAAUAACGCAGCCGGUGAAUCCAUUUUUGUGUUUAGCCGUGGAGGAAAGGAUGGUCCCUAUUGAAUGUCCAUGAGCGGCUGAGGAAAGGAUGGAGACAUAGACAGUGGUGUGGUGGCCGGUCAAUUAAUUAAAAAAAUCAUCCAUUUCUCUUUAUAUAAAUGUUUUUUUUUUAAAUAGUUCAGCAAUUUCUUUAUAUUGCUCGAUUGUUUCAUUCAUAGUUCAUUGCCUGAGUGACAAGAGGACUAUGCAAGAGUCUUGGCAGUUGGGUAUUCCUUCCCAGUGAAAAUUAAUUCAUAAAAUGACAAAUAAAUUCUUAUUAAUUAUUGAUAAGACGAGUGAUGACUCUUGCAGCUUCUCAUAUCUCUUUAAAAAUAAUCUUAUAAAUGAAUCAAAUGUCUGAGGAUUAGUCGACAUCCAAUAUCAUCAAUCAUGUUAGAAACUAUCAUCGAUAAAUUGUAUUAUACAUUUGGCUGAACAAAAUCGUGUUCUAUAAUUAAAAUACUAUUUUUGUACAAUCUUUGUUGGAACAUUUAUGGUACAGCAAAUUAUAUAAAAACUGCCGAUUAGUAAGGAUUUACACAUUGAAUGAUAUAUUUCCCUCUACUUUUUUGUAUGGUUGCCAGUAUAGAAAGUAAAGUUUAUGUAAGUAUCUCAGUUGGCUAAAUUCUCAUCAUGAAAGCACAAGGUCAUCAUAAUGUUUCGUGUGUUACUUGACUUUCACUGUUAUAAUGACUAAAAUGCUUAGUAGCCUGCAACAACUAAUUUCAUAUAUGUAUAUAUGUAGGCUAACCUCUUGCUGUGGAAGGUUAUAAAAGUGAAAAAAAAUUAGGGUUAUAAAUUAUCAAAAGCCACAUAACUUUAUUAGUCAAUAAUUGUAUAUUUUUGAAUAUUUUAGGACCGAUUUGUGAUAAUUGCAAUAUUUGAAAAAUAAAUAUUAAAUGUAAAAUACUCCAAACAGACCCAAGCAUUUGAAAGAAAGGGGGGAAACUUCAAUAGGAACAAGAGAGACGCAAAAUAAUGUUAGCGGUGACUUGGGAUCGUUCCCCAUAUUAAUUUUAUCUCGUAAAGAGUAGCAAUACUCAAGAAAAUAAAUUGGUUUAAAAUGUUAAAAAAGAAGGCAAAAGUUUAAUUUACUUAGAAGUUUUGAUUUACAAUUCCAAUUCAAGUUACGUCUAAGGUAACAAUUACAAUUGACAUUAUAAUUUAACAAUUUGCUUAAUUACAAUGUUACUUAUGUAUUUUAAAUAUGAUUUCAUUGAUUCGCACAAGGAGUGACUUUAGGACUAGUACUUGAUCAAUGUUUGUCCAUUAAUGGUGGAGCUAAAGGAUGCGGAAACUUACCCAUUGGUGAUGAUGAUUGGUCAAAGUUAAGAAACAAGAAACCCAUUUCUAUUACCAUAUUCAACUUUUAAUUAAAAGUAUUGGGGGACACUGAAAGGAGAUAUCACCCAUGAUAGUAGUAAUAAUUUAUUUGCUUAUUUUGCUAGACUCACAAUGGGUUGAAAAUGAGUCUGGUGCAGACCCACGUAGGCUCACGUGGAAUUGGUGAUACUUUUUUCAUAUCAUUUCAACUGGCUUAAAAAUUUCAAGUGUCGCACCAAAAUUUUGAUAAUGGGUUUCAGAUACAUACUGCCACCUCUGGAUGAAACUACAUGUCACGUGGGUUUUGAUCCAUCCUCGUCCUUUUGUUCUCUUUAUUAAUUACAUUUGCUAUAGCGAAGAAUGACAAACUACAUAAAGUACCUAUUAUACAUGAGCGAUGAUUUAAAUCCAAUCAUUUUAAUAAUUGCGUUUUGAUCGAAGGUGUUAUAUACGAUUCGGAUUCUAAUCGUCACUCCAUGUUGAUUCACAAAAGUGCCCACAUACAAAUAUUGAUGAAAAUAUUAAUAUUAUGAACAAGAUUAAGGGAUAAUAUUAGGAAAAAUCUUAAACUGAUACACAUGCGACAAAUUUACUUCACAUUAAUUUUUUUUAUCACAAAAAACCCCCAAACUGAUACAAUUAUGAUAAAUUUAUUCUAAACUAAUUUUUUAACAAUGAAAAAUCUCAAACUAGUACACAUGUGAUAAAUUUACUCAAAACUAAUUUUUUUACCGUCAAAAACCAUAAAUUGAUACAUUUCUGACAAAUAUACCCCCGUUAAAUUAUAUAUAUAUAUUUUUGGUAAAGGGUAAGAACCCCGUUAAAUUAUAUUAAUACCAAAAAAAAAAAAUUACAAAACCGAUACACUAUGACAAAUAGAGAGUAAAAUCUCAAAUUGGUACACUCGUCAAUUACCACAUGUCAUCUAAAUCAGCAAUCUAAUUGAAAAUUUUAACGAAAACUAACAGAUAGUAAAUUUCUCAUAAAUUUAUUAGUUUAGAGUAUUUUAUAGUCAAAAAAUUAGUUUUUUGUAAAUUUAUUAUAAGUGUACCAAUUUAAGAUUUUUUGUAGUAAAAAAAAUUAGUUUGUGAUUAAUUUAUCAUGUAUACCGGAUUAAAGAUGAUAUUUGUCAAGUGCAUGGUUGGUGCGGCCUCUCCUUAUCAAGUGGGCGCCACCUAUUUUGCUAUUUGUUGCUCUUUCUUAAUUACAUUUUGUUAUAUCAAUCUGACAGGGUAUAAAGUAUUCAUAUAAUUUUAGUCAAAUCAUUUUGUUACUUUAGAAGUUGGUAAUCAUUCGUAUUUUAUUUUUUUAAUCCACUUCGAUGAGCGUGCAAUUCAAAUAAUGCAAAGAAAUCAAUUUACUCCACAAUUGUGACGUGACGGACAACUACCGUAAUUAAGUUAUAUAUUGAUGUUUAGUUAUGGCCUCAACUAAGAUUAGAUUUUUCUAAGAUCUAAAGUCUGUUGUCCACGUGACUAGUGGAUCAUGCAUAGUCUUGCGAGUUGGGUUUUCCUUCCCAGUAAAAAACUACUUCACAAAAUGAUAUAUGAACUCAUAUUUAUUAUUGAUAUAACAAGGAAUGACUCUUGCGGCUUCUCAUGUAUUUUUAAAUAUCAAUUUUAUAAAAUGAACCAUGUAUCCCUGGGUCAGUCUACAUCCAAUAUCAUCAAUCAUGUUAGAAUUAUCAUCCACAGAUUGUAUCGUUGUUUAACUCAUAAAUGGAUUCCAACCUGAGUAUUGAACUAUCUUCAACCAAAAGAUAUAUCUUUUAUUUUUAUGAAAGGGGUUCAGUGGCGAUUUUAAACAUGAGUUGCAAUUGGCAUGAUAAUGAAGAUGAACAACGAAUUUAAAGGUAAAAGGUGAUAGUAAAUGUUGGAAAUUAACAUGACAUUAAAACUUAUAAAAGUACAUCAAAAAAUAUUAGUAAUCAUGAUGAUCCUUGCAAUAAUUAUAUGUUGCCAUUUUAUACUCCGCCAAUCAUAAUCGCUUAUUAAGACUUAACCAUACUAGAUGCAGUUGUAACUACAUUCCCGAGAUUUUAGGACUCCUAUCUGCACAUCAUCCUAUCCACAAGCUGUUACAACUCUUUAAGUGUCACUAGGUUAACCGUUGCUUGGUGCCCUUAUCUUUAGUCGACAUUUUCACCAUCUCCUUUCUUCUUAGUUGAUAAUUGUCGACCAAUCAUCGUGGUACAUCGACAAUGGUAUCUCUCAAUCGUCUAUAAUUACUGUCCAUUGUCAUUGAUAUGCGCUUCUAUUGUCCUUAACUUACCAAAAACCAUAUCAAUUGUUACAAACUCUAUACCCACUUAUAUCAACAUUACGUCGUUCACAAAAAACUUUAUCAUUUUUUGGUGUAAACAAUUAUACAUAUGGCUAAAGAAAAUCUAAUUAAGCGACUAUCAUGUGAUUUAAAUACAAUCUUUAUUCUAACAAUUAUGGUACAACAUAUUACAUAAAAUGUACAACCAAUCAUAUGGGAUUUACACAUUGAAUGAUAUGUUCCUGGCUACUUAUUUGUGUGGUUGCCAAUUUAGAAAGUUAACUUUACAUGAGUAUAUCCAUUGGCUAAAUUCUCAAAGUGAAAGCACAAGGUGAUGGACUCAAUUUUGUAUUGCAUGCUACUCAACUUUCACUACUAUAAUGACUAAAAUGCUUAGUAUCCUACAACAACUAAGUUCAUUUACAUAUUUACAUAAGCCAAACUCUCGUCAUGGAAGGUUAUAGACCUGUCAUGCAUCGCAUGUUGUGAUGCAACUUGACUUAUGCACCAUAUUUAUAGUGUCAUUAAUAAUUAUGCAUUUAGUCAUAUUUACUUAUGAUAAAUACAUACCUGCGUAAUAUAACCCUCUAAAAAUUUAUAAUUUUCAUUCUAUAGAAAAUUUGUAACAAGGGAUAGUUUUUUCUCUUAUUGAUUUGCUAUCAGUUGUUUCUUUUAAUUUUUAAUAUUUAUUGCAAAGCAUGUACUGUAAUUUCGUUUUUAUGAUGAUAGAUAAUUUUUUGAAUUCUCUAAUAUCAUAUAUUUGUCAAACAUAGACAAUCAUGGAAUAAAAGAUGUUUCUACAUUAAGCAUCUUAUUUAUCACAUACAUGAUAAAUAUUUAUAUUGUCGAUUUGUUAUAUAUAUUGGCUAUCCCAUCACGUAAUUUUUCUAAAAGUUUGUCAAUGAUAUACCUGAAGAAGGGUGCCCAACGUCGAACGAGCGAUCAAAAAAGAUUCCGAAGCAUCUUCAUAGCACGACCCAGCAAUCAUGUUCUUUGGGGGUCCUCAGGGUAUAAAGCCGAUUUCCUUCCUUUUGGUCCGUCUGUAAAAGGCAACCAUACAUUUAUUUAAUUAUAAAAUUCGAAAGUUAUUGUACACUUAGUUAUAUCUUACUUUUGAAAUAUCUAAAGUCAUGUAGUGAAUCCUAUAUAUAUAAAGUGGGUAUCCAUGCAUUAUUGAACUCCUUUGAGAGCUUGUCAAAAUUUGUAAAUCAAAAUAUUAAUGGGGAUAUGUUAAAGUGGUCUUCAAAACCAAUUUGCUAAAGUGCAAAAUAGAUUGAUAUUCAAAUAAACAACAUAUGUUUAGGAAUUUGGGAUUUGUUAAAGUGACUAUCGAUAUCAAAUUAUUGAAUAAAGCUUACACGUGAUUGUGCUGGCUCAACCCUUAAGAGAGUUUUACCAUAUAUGUAUAUAUAUUGCUUUCCUAGGUAAAUCAAUUUAUUAAAAUGACUCAAUUUGUCUACCAUUUAAAUACAAUGAGGAAAAAAAAUUAAUUUAUCCAGGUCAAUCACAUGUUUUGAACAUUAUGAGUCUCACCUAUGACCGAAAUAAUUUAUAGUGAGAUUUGGUAAGUCCAAGCAAGAACUUGCAUGGUAAAAGAUUUACCAUCCUUUAGGAAAGAGAUAUUAUCAGGUAGAGAGUAUCAUUGUACUGCAUAUUAGUCGGAAAAAAAGUUGUUUUCCGGGGCAUUUUUCCUGACAUUAAAAGCUUACCGAAUUACCAUCGGACAGUCCUCCCAAAAAAAAAAAAACCAUUAGGACUUAUUCUGAGAAAGAAUAUAGAUGCCGUUUUCAUGUAUUUUCUGAAGUACUCUGGAAUUUCCGGGGGACCACUUGUGCUUCUCUGCCUUGGCCAUAUGGUCCACAUUAAAAAUUGAGUUGAUGGCAGACUGUAAAGUCACGUGGGUGUGGCCAGUCCUUGUCCAUUCAUUUUCUUUAUUCAUUACCUUUUAUUAUAUCAGUGCUGACACGCUGUUUAAGUCGACUCAUUUGUUUACUGCUACUUGAACAGCUGAUGAUCAUCUCUUUCUUUCUCGGUUCAUCGCUAUUCGACGCUCCCCUUCCUUCGUCCUUCUUUCGCGCUCGAAUCUCUUCGCCUCGUUCUUCUCUUGCUCUGUUUCACUCUUUCUUCUCCUCAGCACAAUCAUUCUUCCUAUUCCUCCUCUUCUUCAGUAUCUUCUCCUUCUUUUCAUCAUUCUCUCUCUGUGUCUCUCUUUCUUUCUUGGAAAAAAAAAAAUCAAAGAAAAAAUGUCGGUCGAUUCUGUCGUUGCUAUUGCGUAUGAUGUCUUCAAGAGCUAUGUAGUUGAUCCCGUCAAGCGUCGAUUCAGAUACGUGAUCUCCUCCAAGAGCUUCGCCGACGAUCUUCGGGAGGAAGUCCGGAGCCUGGAGAAGGAGGCUCAGAGGGUCCGUAUUUUGGCAGAAGUGGCCCGAAACAACCUUCGGAAUUUCUAUGAUUACUUUGCAGAGUGGCAGCAAAGUGCUGACAAGGCCUUGCAGGAGGCGGGAGACCUGUUGGGCGACAUGGGUGAGGCGAGGAAGACUUGCUGCUACGGGACUCUUCCCGACGCCAAAUGUCGCUAUCAGUUCAGCAGGAAGGCCGAGGGCAAGAUCGAGGUCAUUAAGCGACUCGCUCGAAAAUGCAGAGAAUUCAAGGAAUUGAACGACAUCUCCUUCAGCGAUCCUGCUCCGGGAAAUGUCACUGCUUUGAAUCCAUCCAGGAGAGAAGGCAAAGAUGUCGUCCAGUCGACCACCGCAACGGCCUCCGCUUCUCCUGUCUCAACGUCAAAUGAGCUUAGUAAGGAUUGCGUCUUCGAAUCCAGAACUGCGAUCAUAGGGGACAUAAUGGGCGCUCUUGCCGAUAACAGCAAUAGUGUGGUCGGGGUUUACGGGAUGGGUGGGGUCGGCAAGUCCACCCUUUUGGACGAUGUGGUAAGCAGAAUAAGAGAAGAGAAGCGGUUCGAUCUGGUCGCCAAGGCCGACGUGUCACAAAAUCCUGACAUCAAGAGAAUUCAAGGUGUGAUUGCCCAUGUGUUGGGCCUGGACAUGAAGGAUUAUGAGUAUGAGAGCUUGCGAGCGGAUCGUCUGCGCGAGAGGUUGGGAAAUGAGGAAAAGAAGGUCCUCAUAAUACUGGACAACCUAUGGAAAGGGCUUGACUUGAAAUCUGUUGGAAUUCCUUGCGGGCAUGACAACAAAGUCAUGGGAUGCAAGUUGUUAUUGACGUCGAGAGACCGAAAUGUUUUGCAAAGGGAAAUGGGCUGUGACAAGGACUUCUUUCUUGAUAGGCUGGAGGAGAAAGAGGCAAAAAUAUUGUUUGAGAGGAUGGUGGGAGAUAAAGUUCAUGAUGAUGAGUUCAGAUCCAUGGUGAAUGAAGCACUCCGCAAAUGUGCAGGUUUGCCUUUGUUAAUUGUCACAAUGGCGAAACAUUUGAAAUACGGUCGUUUGCCUGAAUGGAGGAAUGCUUUAAAUCAAAUUGAGCGGUGUUCAAACAAAGGGUUAAGUGCAGUGAUCAAUACGAUGUUGCAAUUAAGUUAUGAUCAUUUAGAAAGCGAGGAAAUGAAAAAUUUGUUACAACUCUGUGUUGCUUGUGGCGUCUCUAAUCCCUCCGUUGAAGACUUGGUGAGGUAUGGCUAUGGUUUAGGGAUAUUUCAAAAAGAUAUCAGCAUAAAAGAAGCUAGAGAUGAAGUGAGUACACUCAUCCACACUCUUCAAGCCUCCUCCCUUCUGUUGGACAAUGGAGAUGACAAUGCUUUCAAGAUACAUGACUUGGUUCGUGACUUUGUUGCUCAGUUCAUUUUAAAAGAUCGCCCUCUUCUCAUGUUGAAAGAUAAAGAUGUGUCGGCAACACAAUUGCAGAAUGAGAGGCUCAAAAGUUGUUCAGCGAUAUGCUUUCCCUAUAUUGAUAUGAAGGAGCUUCCCAAAGAAUUAGAUUGUCCCGAAUUGCGCAUCUUUUUGCUUUUUAACAACAAUAUAUCUCUUGAAGUUCCAGAUUCGUAUUUCAACUCUAUGAAGAAACUUGUGGUUCUAAAUCUAACUGGCGUACGUCUCACUCGUUCAUCGACGCCAUUUCAGUUCUUGGAGAACUUAUGUACUCUGUGUCUUCAAUUUUGUUCACUAGAGGAUGUGACCAUUCUGGGCAAGCUAAAAAGGUUACAAGUUCUUAGUUGUGCAAAUUCCAACUUUCAACAAUUGCCGGAAGAAAUUGGGCAACUAACAGAGUUGAGGAUGUUGGAUUUGAACCAUUGUCCACAUCUUCAGAUAAUUGAACCAGGUGUUCUUGGAAGAUUGAUCAAAUUGGAGGAGUUGUAUAUGGAGAAUAGCUUUAAUAAAUGGAAUUUCGUGGAGCAAACUCAACGAACUAAUGCCAGUCUGAUUGAGUUGAAUCACUUGAAGAAUCUUUGCACUCUACAUGUCUCCAUUCCCGAUCCGAGUGUGCUCCCAGAGGACCUAGAUGUCAAGAAAUUAACCAAGUACAAAAUCCGAAUAGGUAAUGUAACACACUGGAGCAAGGACCAAGGAUUGAGGAUUUUGUACCUCAAGUUGGAUCCAAUAAGUGAUGUUCUUCGAAAAGGAUGUAUACAAAGUCUUCUAAGCAAAACAGACGAUCUGUUUUUGGCCGAGUUGAACGGAAGCAAGCAAAAUAUUUGCGCAUUAUCUCAAGAAGGCUUUCCAAAAUUAAAGCAUCUACAGGUCAAGGAUAGUCUUUCCAUCCAUCACAUCCUCCAAUGGCGUUCCCUUAGUGCUUUUGAGAUGUUGGAGUCAUUACUUCUCAUAAAGCUUAUCAACUUGACGAAGAUAUGGCCCAACCAUAUCUCCUCCGCCAAGUCCUUCAGUAAAUUAAAAGUAAUUCGAGUCCAAAGUUGUGACAAGAUGGAAGUUUUGUUUCCUCUUUCAUUACUGAGAGGACUUACAAAUCUGGAAGAGAUUGAAGUUGUCUCUUGCAAGUUAUUGCGUGGGAUUGUAGAUGCUGAUGAUUGUGGCAAAGUGGAAUUGCAAAAUUUGCAUGUAAUAAAAUUGCACCACUUACCAAAUAUCAAGAAUUUUUUCACUGCCGGGACAGUUCCUUCAAAUAGCACAUCAGAGGACCAAGUUGGCACUCAAAUUGCAUUCUUCAAUGGGCAACAGGUAACUCUCUGUCAAAAGAGUAUAAUAUUUAUUCUUUUUCCUACCUUUGCUAAUUAGAUGCAACACAUAUUAUGUUGCUUAAUAAUUUUGUUAUUUUUAGUUCAUAUUUUUUCCUAAUAAUCUUAUCCAUUCAUGCCUUCUCUGCAAUUCUCUUUAUUGCAUAGAAAUCCAACUAAUUGUAUGAAAUCCAUGUACAUUUAAUUUGUGAUAGGCUUUGAGUUAUUUUCAAUUUAAAUGCUGCAAGUAUAUCUAUAUUAAUACGGUUUCAUAAAGCAAAAUUGAAGGGAAUUUCGUCACUAAAGUAAUACCACAAGUAAUUUUAAAUAUUUUGAAAUAGAUUCUAUUGAAUUUACUUAUCAUAAGAUAGCUGACUCUCCAAAAAAGCGAUACGAAAAAUGCGAAGGAGGACCGGGUUUUUUAAAUAAAAGCAACUAUAAUAAUCUAAUUGAUGCAUUAUAAGAGUAUGGAGUUUUGUGCAUGUCCAUGCAUGCAUAUUGUAUACAUAGAUAUCUUUGUACGUAUUUUUGAUAUCACAAAAGCAAAUCCACAAUUUGUGUUUAAUAUCCUAUUAAAUUGGUUAUUUAUAGUGAUUUGUUAAAGGUAAAGAGAAGUUAGCAAAAUAAGGAUGAUCAAUUGCCCAAUUAAGAAAAGCACAUGGCUAUUUUACAUGGGGAAGAAUUGCUGCGAAUAGUACCUUUUAGUUGACUAGAUAAGAUUGCCCUUUUAUAGUGGCGCAAUAUUGCUGAAGUUGAUCAUGAGGCCUUAGACACACAAUAGAUUAGCUUUCCCGUUCAUAAAGUCUUGGAAAUUUAAGUUGUAGGUCCCACGUGUUGGUGUGUGACUUAUCUUCUUCCCCUGCUUUGAGCUAUCAUGGAGAGAGCGCUCUCAAAGAUAAUGGAACUACAUUGGAGAAAUUUUACAAAGAGCCUUUAUGGCUUUGCUUUUUUCUUUUUACAUCGUAAUCUUGUAUAAUAGAUCCUUUUGGUAUCAUCUCUACACCAAAUUUAAAGAAGAUGAUAAAUUAUUCAAGUUCAACAAGGGGGAGCAAUUGUAGAAUUGAUAAAGUAGCUCAUCACAACAACAACAAUUAAUGGCAUUCAAUUGAAAUUGAGGGCGAAUAUUUGUAGUAUAUUAAAUUCUAGACUAGCAAGUGGAAACGUAGUUAAUAGUUUAACUAGCUUUAUUGACAACAUUUUAUAGGAGAUCUUUUUGCUAUAAUAUCUACAUGAAGUUCAUAGAAAAUGACAAAUCAUGCAAGUUCAAAAAGGGCAGUAAUUACAGAUGAAAAAUUCCUUUGUUAUUUUUUUUUUAUCAAUGGAAAUGAUGUUACUAUGCUGUAGAUAUAUUUUAUGGUCCUAUCUCGACUUCUACGGAUAGAAUUUACUAUGAUGAAAGAGAAACAAUAAACUAAGGAUAAAUAAUUGCCCAAUUAAAGAGAGCUAACGGCUAUAUUUUAUUUGGGGAAAACUACUGUAAAUAAAAAGUUUUAUUUGACUAGACAAUAUUACUCUUUCACAGUGGUGCGGGCCCAAGGCUCAUGCCAUACGUUAGUUUCCCUGUUUAUACUUAAUAGAGAGCGAUGGAGACCUAAUUGGUGGGUCCCACAAGGUUAUGAUGUCAGAGUGUGACUUCUUUCAACCCAUGCUUUGAGCUCCCACGGCGAGAGCUUGCUUUAAAAAAUAAUGGAGCUAUUACCCUUUGCCUUUUUUUUUUUUUUUUUUUUUUUUGCUGUAGUUUUUGGGGCUUUUAUCUUUCUAGGAUUCUAAUUCUCAUAAAAGAGUUACUCUUGCCUUAGUACUUCUUUUUAUUUUUAUUUUUUGUGUAAAACCGACAUAUGCAAAGAUCUAUGGGGUUAUAAUGAAAUUGCUUCUUAAACCUAUAAUAAAUCUCCUCCGAUAUUAUAAAGCACUGGCAGCCUCCACAAGUAGUAAUCUAGGGUUAGCUUGUCGGGGAUGAGAAUAGUCUAAUGAACGAAAUACAAAAAAGUUAAAAAGCUGUUGUAUGGGUUGGAGCCAGGCUGACGGCGAGAUAAAUGGGAGACUGUGAGCAACUUGGCAGAAGAUGGAUUCUCUAGAGUCAUAUAGCAAUGAACUUUUGGGGGAAAAAGAACAAAAAGAAAAUAAAGCUUUCCAUCAUCAUUAGGGACAGCUGGAUCCCUCACCUCUAAUGUUAUGGUUUCUGACAUGUUGACUGUGGAUUUAGACUCACCGCAAGGAAAUUAUGACAACAAGUAUGAUUAAUUAAGAUAGGCUACAUAUGCCUCUGAAUUUAAAGGGACACUCGAGAUGAUUUAUGAAGGAUAGGGAAAAAGAAGUCCAGUACUCAGUUAUUGUAAUAUCACAACUGCUGAAAUGUCCAAUUUCAGGUUAUUUUGUGGGGAAAUUAGUCCCAUUUUGCCUGAUAAAUUCGGAGAAAUUGAAGACAUCUAAGAAGGAAAAGAAAAAGAAAUGCCCGUCUUGUAGGAUUAUAAAUGAAUGGCAGAAAAAAAGAGUUCUCCUGACCUAAAUGAAUGAGGAAUGAUGUCAUGUUCGGCUAUCAACUCUCUAUGCCCAUAAGUCUUUUUCAUAUGCCACCGUUUGCCCAAUGUUUAUUUUUUGAGUUAGGCUCCUAACAAGAUGAUAUAUAGAUAUAGAAGGCUCAAUCUCGCCGGGACUCAUGGGACAUGAGUUGUAUACAUCUCCAUCUAAUCGAUAUAAUUUGACAAUUAGAUAAAUACUUCUUGUAUCAACAGAUUUGCAUUAGUAAUCAGAACGAGUGCUAAUUUUUUAUCAUUGCGAUUCCUGAUUUUGCUAGUAAAAUGCAAACAAAAUCUAAUCGUGACAGGAUCCUUGUUAUAUCGUAAAUAAAAGGUAAAGUUGAUUAGUUGUCUUUUGAGGUUGUAAAUUAGCUUUUGUUUAUCAUAGAUUUCCGUACAUGCAAAACUAUCCUAAAGGUUGUACAUUAUCUUUUUUGUAAAUUUCUUUCGCCAAUUGAAUUAAUAUACUAUAAAUAAUUGCCCUCAAUUUCAAUUGAAUGCCAUUAAUUGUAUUGUGAUGAGUUAAUGGCAUUCAAUUGAAAUUGAGGGCAAUUAUUUAUAGUAUAUUAAAUUCUAGACCAAUAGGCAGAAAUGUAGUUAAUUGUUUAACUAGCUUUAGCAAUAACAUUUAAUAGGAGAUCCUUUUGGUAUAAUCUUUACAAUAACCUUAAAGAAGAUAAAAAAUCAUUCAAGUUAAAAAAGGGGAGCAAUUACAUGUGAAAAAUGCUUUAUUAUUUGUUAUUAUCAAUGAAAGUGAUGUUAUGCCGUCAUAGAUAAAUUAUAUGGCCUUUAUCUGCACUUCUACGAGACUAAUCCCAUAUGCAACAUCAGUCAUUGAAUUUAAAACAAAAAACUUUCCACUUGUUAAAUUGAUCAUUGAUAGUAAGUUACUAACAUGAAAGAGAAUUAGUAAACUAAGGAUAAACAAUGCUCCUAAUUAGGGAAAGCUCACGGCUGUAUUUUAUAUGGGGGAAAACUGCUGCAAGUAGAGGGUUUUAUUUGGCUAGACAAGAUUGCUCUUUUACAGUGGCGCGAGCCCAAGGCUCAUGUUAUACGUUAGUUUCUCCGUUAAUAAAGAGCGGUAAUAAAGAGCGGUGGAGAUAUGAGUAGUGGGUCGCACGAGUUUGUGAUAUCAGAGUGUGACUUUUCUUCAACCCAUGUCCUGAGCUCCUGUGGAGAGAACUGGCUUUCAAAUAAUAAUGGAACUAGAUGGGGAAGCCUUUGUGGCUUUGCUUUUUCUUUUUCUUUUUUUCUUGUUUUUGGUAGUCUUUGGGGCUUUUAACUUUCUAGGAUUCUAAAUCUUUAUGAAAGAGUUACUCCUGCUUUAGUACUUCUUAAUAUUUUUAUUUUUUCUAUAAAACCUACAUAUGCUAAGAUCUAUGGGUUUAUAAAAUGCUUCUUAAACCUAUAAUAAAUCUCCUCCGACAUUAUAAAGCAGUGGCAGCCUAUAAAAGUAGUAGUCUAAGGUUGGUUUGUCAGAGAUGACAAUAGUCUAAUGAACGAAACACAAAAAAGUUCAAAAAAACUUGUUGUAUGGGUGGGAGCGAGGGCGAUGGCAAUAUAAAUUGGAGAUUGCGAGCAACUUGGCAGAUGAAGGAUUUUCUAGAGUUAUAUAGCAAUUGGACAUUUGGGGGAAAAAAAGAAGAAGAAAAAAAAAAUAAAGCUUUCCAUUGUCAUCAGGGACAGCCGGAUCCCUUCACCUCAAAUGUUAUGGUUUCAGACAUUUUGACUGUGGAUUUGGACUCACCUUAAGGAAAUUAUGGCAACAAGGAUAAUUAAUUAGGAUAGGUUACAUAUGCCUCUGAAUUUAAAGGGACAAUUGAGAUCAUUUAUGAAAAAUAAGGAAAAAGAAGUCCAGUACUCAGUUAUUGCAAUAUCACAACUGCUGACAUGUCCAAUUUCAGGUUAUUUUGCGGGGAAAUUAAUCGCGUUUUGCCUAAUAAAUUUGAAGAAAUUGAAGACAUCUAAGAAGGAAAAGACAAAGAAAUGCCCGUCUUGUAGGAUUAUAUCAAGAAGCAGACAAUUUUAGUGUGCGAUAAGUCCUCUAGACCUUAUGACCCAAAAAAAAAAAAGUCCUCCUGACCUAGAUGGAUGAGGAAUUAUGUCAUGUUCGGCUAUCAACUCUCUCUGGCCAUAAGUCUUUUUCAUAUACCAUCAUUUGCCCAAGGUUUAUUUUUAAGUUGGGCUCGUAACAAGAUGAUAUAUAGAUAUAGAAGGCCCAAUCUCGCCUUGACUAAUGCAACAUGAGCUGUAUAUAUCUCCAUCUAAUCGAUAUAAUUUGCCAAUUAGAUAGAUAUUUCAUGCAUUAAUUGAUUGUCAUUUUUAAACGGAACAAGUGCUAAUUCUUGAUGGUUGCAAUUCCUGAUAUUGCUAGUAAAAUGCAAACAAAAUCUAAUCGUAGUAGCAUCCCUUGUUAUAUUGUAAAUAAAAGAUAAAGUUCAUUUGUUCUCUUUUGGGGUCGUAAAAUUCUUUUUUGGAUUGGAAAUUAGCCUUCGUUUGUUAUAGAUUUCCGUACAUGCAAAAAUUAUACUAAAGGUUGUACAUAUCUUGCUUGUGAAUUUCCUUUGACAACCAUUUAUAAUACUUGUUAUACUGUGUAAAUUUCCGACUGUCCUUUAUAUGUGUAAAUGCUAAUGUUGAUGGGUUUGUUCGUUAGAUUUCAAUCCCAUCCUUGGAGUCCUUGACAAUGGGAGGACUUCCCAAUAUAAAAGAAAUAUGGAGUGAUCAAUCUCUAUUGGGGCUAAGCAAUCUUCGAUCUCUUAAGGUGGUGCAGUGCAAAUCUAUGUCAAAGGUUAUUAGCUUUGAGUCGCUGGUAAAACUACACGAAUUAAACAAUUUAAGCAUAUCAAAUUGCCAUUCGGUGCAAGAAAUUUUCGAUCUUGACAGACCAAGCACAAGUGGAGAUGUUGAGACUCUGUCUGAGUUGACCACCUUUGAUUUAAGGGGACUAGGGAGCUUGAGACGCAUAUGGAACAAGAAUCCUUGUGGAAUAGUGAGUUUCCAUAAUUUAAAGAAGUUGGAGGUGCAUGACUGUCCCAACCUUAGGUUUAUGUUUUUCCCAACCAUGGUUAAAUCUCUCGAACUCUUGAGAGAUCUAACAGUAAAACGUUGCAAGAAAAUGGAGGCAAUCAUUAUGGAGGAAGAAGGGUCGGGAUUGGAAACAUCAAAAACUCUGGCAUUCCCGAUGUUGACCAACUUAAACUUACAACGUUUGGAAAGUUUGAUGUGCUUCUCUUGUGGAAAGUGUAAGAUUGAUUUAUUUUGUUCUCCUCACUAAAGAUCUUCUUGUACAUAGAUUCAUCCUUGCAAUGCAAAUGGUGACAUUCUUUUCAUCCAAUGAAAAACCGACGACAGAUUCACGAGAAGCUCGAAGUCAGGACUGCAUCAAAUCAAGCUCCAAUGCACUCUUCGGUCGACAGGUACAUGAUUAACGUUAUGUCAAAAUAUCAAAUAUUACAGAAGUAUCAAAUAUGCAUGAGACAAAGCAUAGCGAAAAUAUUUUAAAAGAAAAUGAGUAGCAUGCAAGCAUUAAGUGUUCAGAGUUGCCAACAUGUAUGAGUUGCAAUGUCUUACCUUUAAUUUCUCUGGAAAUAGUUUUCAUAAAGAUGGUUGAACAUCUCUUAUGUUACCUGCACAAAGCAUGAAUGGUAGUACAAUUGCCAAGCAGGAUCCUUAAAAGCUUUCUAAUAUUCACAAGAAACUUAGAACACUCAUGAGCCUCACAUGUACAGCCUAGACAUUGCACGCACGUACAUUGAAAAAGAUUGAAAAAACAAUUGAGAGGAAAGUGAGCAGUGAGGUUCAAGAGGCUGGAGACGAAGGGCCUUUGAGACGCUCACUUUACUUCAUAUGCACUCACAAGAUCUCUCUCUGUCUUCUUUUUCUUAGUCGAAUGAAGCUUUAUUCUCUCUUCAUUGUACCAGCAAAAGGAACUUGAGCUCUCCGCCGCCAAACUGAGCAAGGCCUCUGGGGUCCAGGGCUUCAGAAAUCACCCCUUUUUAGUUUUUACAUGAAUUGCAAGACCAUUCUUGUUAAAGAAAUAAAUUACAUUCCGCAAAUCAGCCAUUUCAGCUUAGCUAUUUGACUUGUCGAGUGAAUAUUGGAAGAACAUUUGAGUGGAAAAUGAAAUAGAGUAAUUUAUGGGCGGAUCCGCUUUGACUAAACUAAAAGUAAUAUAGGACGUUUACCCAAAAUGUUGUUUAUGCCGCCGAAGAGGCUUCGAAAAUGGGCCCUCCCCCAAGAUUAACAUGUCGACUUUCUUAAAUAAUUUUAAUUUUCUAUAGACAGGAAAAUCUUCAAUUAUUUGACUCGAGUUUUUGUAUAAUCUGUCGUUGGUAUCUAACUAUUGGAUCCUCUAGCAUGGAUAAAAGAUCACUGAAUUUUAAAAGGAAAAUUAAAUCGAUUAAGUAUAAUGAGUUCUUUCAAGUGGGGAAUGGUGUAAGUAAGAUUUGUUCAUUUGACCCAAACAAUUCCUUUUUCAAUUCCUUUUUCAAUUCCUUUUUCUUAGCCUCACUUUAUAAUUGCUUUAGAGUAAUAUAAUAUUGAUUUGAGGCAUUCAGUAUUAGAUAAAAUCACACCUCCUACUGUAUUCCACCUUUCGAUGGAUGAUUGGUUGGCUCUUUAAAAUCAAUCUCUCCAUCAUUUUCUUUCUAAUUGCUAAUAUUCUUCCUCAAGCGAUCCUUAGCUGCAUUUUUCUUUUACCACAUCAAUUUAGUGACUUACAAGUUCUAACGUUAAUGACCCUUUUAACGUGAUUCUUGUUUCUUUAAAUAGAAUUUUCCUCCUCUCUAAGUGAUUUAACUAUUGCUACGUAUACUAGCUAAUUCAUUAUAUUAGGGAAGUAAUUAAAUUGAAGAGAGGAAGAGAUUUUAUCUAACUUUGGGAUCUGCGGGAGACGUGAUUGUAUGAUUAUUAUAUGAGCAUAUCCAAAUUACUAUUUUGUCCAUUGUCAAUAGAAUUUGGCUAGACCAGAAUUCUUAAUUUUUUUUUUUAAUUUUUCUCCGGUAAUUCCAAUGGCCUUCUCAUCCUAGAGUCAUCAAUAUUAGUACGGAGAUUUUUUUACUAACUUUUUUUUUAUCCUUUUUGUCCUUUUGUGCAACUUAAGAUAGAAUCAUCGAUUCUGUGAAUUCAUAAUUUAUAACUUGCUACUCAUCCAUAUUUACAUCUUGAAAAUUUAUGAAUUUGUAAUUUAAUUGAAUCACCAAUUUCAUGAGCAAAUACCUGCAGGUUGCUUUUCCUAGCUUGGAGACCUUACAUAUCAAUGACAUGGAUAACAUUGAGAUGAUAUGGGACAAUCAAGCUAUUGCAGAUUCUUUCCCCAAGCUAAAAUCACUUUUUGUGGAUAAAUGCAAUAAGUUUGUGACUGUUGUUCCUUCUUACAUUCUAGGACGACUCUUAUGCCUGGAAAGUUUAAUGGUAAAAGCAUGUGCUUCACUUGAAGUUGUUUUCCAACUUCAACCACCGAAUCCUCUAGAUGGACAUCAUGUUGCUCUUUUGUUAAAAAAGUUAAAGCUAUCAAAUUUACCAAUGCUAAAGUGUAUAUGGGAUAAGGAAAUACACCGUCAAGUUAAAUUUCAAUGUCUACGUUCUAUCAACGUUUCUGAAUGCAAGAGCCUCACCUCCCUAUUUCCAGCCUUAGUGGCUAGAGAUCUAAUCCAACUUGAGGAGUUGGAGAUCUAUGAGUGUGGCAUUGUGGAACUCAUUGAGAAGGAAGAAGGACCAGGUCCUAGGUUUGAUUUCCCCAAGCUAACCUCCCUUAAGCUUGAGCUUCUUAUAGAGUUGAAGUGCAUCUACACCAAAAGACAUGCUUUACAUUGGCCGGCAUUGAAGACCUUGGAGGUCCUUGGCUGUAACAAAGUGGAGAUACUUGUUUCACAACCUAACAAUGAGAUGCCACUUCAUAAGAACCCUCUCUUCUUCAUAGAAAAGGUACGAUGCUAGAUUAUUUGUUUUGCUUCAAUGGUGAAUAUUUGAACUAAUGAUUAAGCCAAGCAUCUCAUACAAGUAGCUUUUACAUACGAAAAUAUAAACUAUACAACUCUCCGUGAAUCCAUAGAAAUAUUACAACAUUGAAACAUCAUGUGUUCUUCAAGUAUUGAGUGAACAUUCUUGUCAAUGUCUGGCAUAACAAAUGCAUACUCGUUGAUCUCCUUAAAAAAAAAGAGAGGCUAAUUCCAAUUUUUUAGCUCUCUCUUAAGUGCCACAAAGAUCGGAAACACGUGGUAUGUGGUGUGAUCUUACCAUGGCACAAGUGUGUUGUCUAAUUUGAACCCUAUAAAAAGUGCUGAUCUUAUGCUAACAAUUAAAAAAGGGGACACUAUUGUUGACGUUCAAAACUGAAAUUAAUGCAAUUGUGACUGUAAUUGAUGCAAAAGUUAUUUUCACAGGGGAUAUAUCUUUAGAAAUGUGAAUUUAAGGAGUUAAUCAAGUUCAAAUAUGGAUACAAGUCAAAUAUAAAAUAUUAGCGAUAAUGUUUGUUUCCUGAAGGCACGUAUCUUUCCAUUGAAUCACAUGAGACUCAACAAUUUAAAAUGUAGUUAUUGUGCUCAAUAUGCAAGAUUUAUAUCAUAAUACAUGAAUACUCUUUUAGCUAAGCUGGCUUUAGGUUCUGAUUUGACUAUUUUCUCAGGGUGCAUUCCCUAGCCUCCAAGAGUUAAAAUUGGAUUUAUCCAAACGGAUGGAGAUAUGGCAUAGGCAUUUUCAUGAUGGAGAAUUCUUCAACAAGCUUAGAUUUCUUGAGCUCCGUCAUCUCUCCCAGGAGUCUUCAAUAUCCACAUCGUGUUUUGUUGAGAGUUUACCCAACUUGAAAGAGCUAGUUGUAUGUGAAUCUUAUCUAGAAGACCCAAGUAGCAUUAAAGAAGCCAUAGAAGGCAGAAGUCAUGAGCUAAAAGUGAUAUUACCAUUUUCAAGAUAUAUUCGACAUCUGAAAACUCUAGAUGUGUCACUUUGUGAUGGGUUAUCAAAUAUGUUCACAUGGACAAUAGCUGAAAAUUUGGUGGCACUCACCAAAUUGAAGAUAAGUAAUUGUAGAAUAUUGACAGAAGUCAUUAGUGAUGACGAAGGUGGGGAGGGGCAUGUAGUGGCUUUCAAUCAAUUGAAGUAUAUGGAGCUUGACAGGUUGGCUAGGUUGAGAUGUUUCAGCUCAGGUGGAUACACUUUGAUGUUCCCUCUCUUGGAAGAUAUCAUUGUGAAUAGAUGUCCCAAGAUGAAGUUCUUCUUCGAGGGACCAAUGGAGGCGCCAAAGCUGGAUAGAGUAGGAACAAUUUUGAAUGAAAGGUAUAGAGCAACAAAGUACCAAUAUUUUUGGAAGGGAAACCUCAACACGACCAUCCAAAAUAUGUUCCAAGAAAUGGUAUGCUUUAGUUACUAAAUUCUGUGCAAUUUGAUUUUUUUUUCAAUCACCAAUGAAGUACUUGUUUUUUUUCUUUUUUUUUGCUAACUAGAAUUUUACGUUUAAUGAUGCAUUUUCUAAUAGGCUACAUUUGCUGGGACUAAGUUUAUGAGGUUGUCUGAGUUCCCGGAGCUGAUUGGAAAAUGGCAGAGUGAACUCAAUCCCAUCACGUCAUCUUGGCAAUUAGAAUCAUUAGUGGUGGAUAAAUGUUCAUCAUUUAUUAACGCUAUUCCAUCCAGUUUGAUGCUUGUUUUAGAGAGAACGACAAGCUUGCAAGUGCGUGAUUGCGAGCCUUUGCAAGAAAUAUUCGAUCUUGAAGGGCUUGAGGCUGUGGAUUACACUCAGGUGUUGCCUCAAUUGGAGGAUCUGCACUUGGUCAAUCUACCAAAGUUAAGGCAACUGUGGAAUAGAGAUCUCCAAGGAACGACAUGCUUCAAUUGUCUACAGUAUCUUAGCCUUUAUAAAUGCAACAACUUGAGACAUGCUUUUGUUCCAUCAAUGGCUCGGUGCCUUCCCAAUCUAUGGGAGAUGGAAAUAAAGGAGUGUGAUCAAAUGGAAGGAGUGAUCGUAGACGAAGAUGGGCAGGGAAGCACGUUGGAGGAGAUUACAUUCCCAUAUCUUAUGUCGAUAUAUUUGGAAUACUUGCCUAAUUUGAGUAGUUUCCUCUCAUGGAAGAAUCAUAUGCUAGAAUGCCCUACUUUAUCAACGCUGAGCAUUGCCCAUUGCCCGAAGAUGAGAAGUCUAACUUGGCAAUCUUCGGUGGAGAUUAGCAAUGGCACCCCUUCGCUUUUCACUUCACAAGUCAGUCUCUCAAACAAAUGCAUUUAUGGCAUUUCAUUUGAAUAUAUUCAUUCGCGUAUAAUUGGACAAUGCAUGGUAUGCAAACAAAAGUGCUAGAUAUAAUUGUUUGUAAUAUCAAUCAUCAAUGCUUUGCUCAAAUUUGACUGGGACUCUGUUUCAUACCUAAACAAAGAUAACCAAAAUAUUUGCCUUCCCACAAUAAUCCAUGAUCACAUCCAUAAAGUAUUAAUGCAAAACAAUUCAGACAUUGAUAAUCAUGUGCAGUUUUAAAAUCAUUUAAUUAUACAUAUAUAUGUACAUAAUCUAUUAAUAUUUACUUAAAAGAUUAAAAUUUUUCUAAUCCUCAGCAAGUAUAACUAUUAAUUGUCCAUCUCCAUAUAUUUUUAGAAGUGUUAUUCUUGUGAGCUCAUAAAAUCAUAUUGUGUGCAGUACCUCAAAAUAUAUUACAUAGGAUUUUAAAAAUGUUAUGACAAUAGCCAUAUGAAAUCAUUUACUUUUUGUAAUUUCAACUAUAAAGAAUAUAACAGUAAACAUAGAAUAGCAUUUAAAAAUGGCAAAAAAAAAAAAAGAAGUAUUGCCCACUUCAUAUUUCUUGCAUGGAAGCAAACUGGCAUCAUUCUAUUAAACAUGAAGAAAAGAGGAAAAGAAAAUUUCAUAAUUAUAAAAGCUUAAUUCACAAAUUGCUUAGCUAUUACAACUCAUUGUACCAUAAUCAUCUUUCCAAUCAAUGAAAUUGGAGGAAUUAGAGAGAAUUUCUCCUUUAAUUGGAGUGCUUUAAACUUCGAUAAUGAUCAGUGCUGUCAACUUUUUAUAUCUUAAUAAUCACUAAUGCUUGAGCUGGGUCUUGAUAAUAAAAUAAAUAAAAAUAAAAAGGCCAAUAUGUCUGAAGUUUUUUUUUUUUUUUGUAAAUCAUAAUUGAAUCACUGUACUCCAACAACCUAUCAAAUUAUGUACCUAUAUUAUACAAUAAAUAUUAACUCUAGAUUAUCAUGUUGAGUGAUAAUUAGUGUGAUACUGCGUACAAUCUAUGUUUGGCUAGAGGAAAAUAUAGAUUGCUUUUUCCAAAAAAAGAAAUGGCAAUAAAAAGGAAAAAAAAAUAAAAGAGAGAAAAGGACAGCGGUUGCCGACAUUGCAAGUUUUAUUUCGUCACUAGAUGACAAAAUUUAGUCAAUGUCCUAGCUAAAAUAAAAAUUUAAAAAAUUAGAAUAAAUUAUCCAAUCAACAACACUACUGAAGAGAAAAUAUCAGGUGCAUUAAAUACACCAUGUAGGAUCCAUAUUAAAUCAUCUGCAAAUCGACAUGUGGUAAAGUCGGGCCCACCUAUCAGUUGAAUGAUCAAAAUAUUUGCUCCCCCUCCCUUCAAUAACGCCCUGUUAUUGGAAACCUCUCUUUCCUCUUUUCUGGUGUGGCUUUGCUCCCUCCUCUCUCUCUCUCUUUCCUUCCUCGGUGGCCUUGGCCUCCGUCUGUUGCAGUGCUGUUGCGAUGCGCUCACUAGACAAAGGAAGAAAUUAGACAAAGUCUAUUUGAUGAUUUCGCUUCUCCCCCUCUAAGAAAUGUUCGCUCUCAGUCAUUUCGUUUCACCUUUGAUCCUCCUCUUCGCGACGAGGGGAAAAAAGAAAGUGAACCAAAUCUACAGAGUCAAGUAAUAAUAACUCUUCUUCCUCCCCCUCCCCCUCAUCCUCUUACCUUCUGUUUUUUUGGGGCGAUUGAUUGGGCGGUCUGUCCAAUGGUUGAAUCGGAAGCUUCAGAAUCGCUUCUCUGAAGCUCGCCUCCUCUCUGUGUGCGUGCUUCCAUGGGUUCCGAGUGAUUGCGCGAACCGGAGCUUGUUGGUUAUGGUGGGUCGAAGUGGAUCUCCGAUACGGAAGCGAUUUCGGCAUCGAUUCGGUCGGGGCGUUGAUUCCCGGCGAAGAAAAAUUAAAAAAUCUUCUCUUCAGCCCUCUCUUCCUUCUCCUUCGUCCACAGCCGCCCGACCUCCGCCCCUCUUCCGCUGUCGCCAAUGGCGGAGUCACCGACGCCUUGAUUAGGCUGACCCCCGCUAUGUCCAAGCCGAGCAUGGUCGGCUUACCUCUGUUUUGUCCGUCUCAUAGUUCUACAGAUCUCGAAAUCUGGCUGUCCAUAGCGACGGAGUUGCAGAUCUGGAAGUCGACCACCGCCGCUCGCAGCCAUGGACGAGCCGCUGUCGCUAGAGACAUGGUUGCAGAUCUGGAAGUCUCGUCGCGAGCAACGACGGCUUAUGGACUGCCAUUAUCCCCUCCGUCGUCGCUCGCGAUUGGCUCGCGGUCGUUGCCCGUCCAAAUCUGGGCUGGAGUCGUGCCUUCAGAUCUAGUAUCGUCCAUGGACGCAAGCCUAGCUCGUCCAUGGCUCGCCAGGAGGCUCCUCCACAGAUCUGGCGACCGUAGCUUGUCCAUGGCCAUGAGUCUUGACGGCGAGUUUGAGAUCCCUUCGUCCAUGGACUGCGAGGUCAAACGGCGAAAGAGAAAACAGAGAAAUAGAUGUCAGGGAAGAGCGGCCAUGGACGAGAGGCGUCAUGAAUGGGUAGACCACAGAGACGAUGGAGAGGGUUGGACGAGAGGCAAUGGUCACCUUGGACGCGACGCCGGCAACUCCACCGGUGGUGAUGGCUGGGGGAUGCGGGAAGGUUGGGCUCAAUGUGGCUGGAGAUGGAGGAGAAAGCGUAGAUGGAGAAGGAAAGUGAGGUGGAUUGAGAUUUUUUAUGUUUAGUCAUCCGACCAAGAAGAAGCCAAAGUUUAGUCAAUGUCAUAGCGUCCAGUCAACACUUCCAUUUCGUCUCAUGAAGUUCUCCUCAUGUGAAGACUAAACGCAGUAAAUGACGACCUCCUCCAGCACUUUUUUUUUUUGGGUUGAAACUGAGGCACUUGAAAAUGCGCGAUAUCAUUUUUUUAUUACAGAUUCUAUACAAGUUUUGUUUUUUUUUUCCACGACAAACGAAAUCCUUUUUUUUUUUCCUUAUUCUAAUACUUUUGCGCAAUUCUUUCUAUGGUUUUAUACUAGUAGAAUAGAAUGUUUAAUUAUAACAAGUAUCUACACAUCUGGUUACUUUUUAAUUGUAAGAAUUAUCACUAAUUAUUUAUUGAUAAUGUCAUUUGCAUGGAUAAGUUGUUAUAUAAUACCUAGCCCCACAUUCUAAGAAUAUUUCAAAAAGUCAGUAUAACACUCAAUCAACGAUACUAAUAAAUUUGGGGAAGUAUGAAAAUAGUCACCUGAUCUUUUGGUAGUGACAAGUUGUGAUAGAAUUGUUUUCAUUUUAGUGUCAAAUAUGAGCUGUCAUAUAAUAAUUGAUUUCUCCCACAUUAUUAGAUAAUUUCAAAAACUCAUCAAAAUCCUCAAUUAAGAAUAUUGAUAGAUUUAAGGAAGUGUGGAAAGUCUUUUUCUUUUUUUUGUGACAAGUCGUAAUUGCAUUAAUUAUAUUUUAACCAAAUGAAAAAUAUCAAUACUUACUUUCCAAUGGACAAUUCAUCAAGGUCAUGAUGUAGCGAAAAAAAAAAAAAAAAAAAGCACUCUUGAGUUUCUCCAUACAAACAAAAUGUGAUCAGCGGGUGCACACCCACUUUUUGCCAAAGGGUGGACCACUCGUACACCACAAGAUUCUAUUUUUAUUAUUUCACCUCAAAUCUGAAUAAAUAUUAUUUCAAGGAUGUUAUUAAUGCUCCAAUGUAAAACUAGUAAAUUGUCCCAACGUGCUUUUGCUGAGAUCAUAACAUUAUGUUAUUUAUUCAAGUGUUAUGUUGCCCGUGCCUAUUAAGAAAUUAUUUUCUUUCAAUACAAAAAUUUUCCAUGCAUAAAAAAAAAAGAAAAGGUUGUGAACAAUUGAAGUUACUAUCUAUCCAUAUAUAUGCAGUUCGCCAUAUAAAUUUCAAGACUCUUCUCUUUGGUGAACUGUAUUAAUUAGAAGAUUCAUAAAUACCAUUCGCAAUUUAGUAUGAAUAAGUAGCAGUGCUCAUGGUAAAUAGAGGAAAUAAUGUUGAGCCAAGCAUCGGUUUCAUCCAUUCCUUCUUCAAUACAUACACUAUUUAAGUUCUCUGCACCCGCUAUUCAUAUCCUUAGUUGACUGGCUCAUCAUCACCAUGCCUGUGCUUUUUCUCUAAUUGUUAUGCAUGUUCACCUUGAAGCAAACAUAUCUAAAACAUAACUGAUCUUUGCCGACGAAACUAACGUAACGGAAAUUUUCAGUCUGUAUUAAUGAAUCUAAAUGUUGCUCUUUUCAAUAUUUCUAUCGAACUGCCUAGCAAGCUCCCUAAACUUUUUGCCAAUCUUCGUGCUUAUUCAUUACAAAAAAAAUACAACUUGUCACUCCUCCAUGGCAUCAACAUUGUUUUGUGAGAUUCAUAUUAUGUUCUUCUUCGUCUUUGUCCUCAUUUAAUUGCGUAGAGAAACAGUUGAGUGAGCUAUCAUUGAUGUUUAGUCAAUGGCUCCAUUCAUGCAUCAGCAUAUAGGAGGGCUCUCUUCUCUCUCUCUCUCUCUCUCUCUACGCGAGCUACUAUAAAAAAAAAUGAGGACUUAGGAGGGGAGGAUUAGGAUGAAGUUGAAAGGUAGAAAACUGGAAUUCGGGAGACCUACUUAGCAACCAUUUGAACGAGCCCAAGUUCCACGUGCAUCGGGCCCAUCCGCCUAAUUCCUGAACUUUUAAGUUAUCGCUAUGAUUGUGUUUUUUUUGGUAAGGGUUAUCGCUAUGAUUGUUGAGUAAUCAAGAAAAGUCAACAUUGGCUCAUCACUCUAAAAUCUACGUACCCUUAAUCAUCAAUUAAGCCACUCAAAAAGUCGAUGCUCAACAUACUAUUGAUUUAUAAAAGCAUUAUAAUUCCAUGCUUGUUGCAAUGCAAUACCCUUGGCCUUAGUCAUCAGUCAACUUGUAUAAAAGCAUCAAUCAACCCCUCCCUGUUUAUAUCACUAACAAGAUCUUGACUUCUCAUGAUUUGUGAGAACGAGGGAAGUUUGGCAAUUCGUUCUUUAAGGUCAUAAUUCAAUGCAAUAACAUUCAUUGUGUCAUUCUUUUCUCAAUAUGGCAGGUACAAUUUCCUCAACUUAGGUGGAUGCAUCUCUCCCACAUGGACGAUUUAAGCAAAAUAUGGACUGACGGUCCUCAAGAAACUCUGACUUUUGAUUGUUUAAGGGAAGUGAAGGUUCGGAAUUGUAAGAGCCUUGAAGCUUUGUUUCCGUAUUGGGUGGCUACAAGUUUAACCCACCUUAAAAAACUUCAAGUGGAGUCUUGUGAGAUCGAGGAAAUUGUUGCUAAUGGGGGUGACACUCCACACUCCAAUACUACUGAAGAUCUUUUCCCAGAACUAACCUCUUUGGUGUUACAUGACAUGCCACGACUCAAGAGUUUCUAUCCUAACUUGCCCACUUUGCAUUGGCCAUUAUUGGAGGAAUUACGAGUGAUUCACUGUAACAAACUGAACAUGUUAUCCUUUACGGCAUCCAUGAACAGUUGGGCUCAAAAAUAUGAUCAACAAGACCUUUCAAAUCAAGAAGCACACUCUUCAUUCGAGAGGGUAUGAUUAUAGCUACUCCCCAUUAGUUUCUACUUUGUUCUUUAAAGCAGUCACUAAUAUCAUAUCCAUUGCAUAUCAUGUCGCGUUAUAAUGUUAUAGAAAACAUGAUCUCCCUUACUUAUUAGUUUGUUGACAACAUUAAGAUAUUUCUAAUAUCUUAAGUAUACUUUCAUUUGUGGACAUGCAUAAGAUAUUCCAUUACCUAGAGUUACAAAAAUAUUUAUAGUAUUCUAUUGACAACGGAAUAUAUUCCUAAUCUAACUGAAUGGUGCUCCUUGGUGACAUCAAUAAGAAUUUGACAAGAGGUCCUCUCAAUUAUUGACAUGGGUCGCACAUUUGAACUUUUCUUCUCUAUUUCAUCUUCUACAAACUCUAAAAAAACACCAAUUCAAACUUUUAAAAAAAAAUAAUAAUAACAUCAGUAUCUUAGUGCACCAUUUCCUAAUGUAUUUUUUUAAUACACUGCACAGUCGUCGUGUUGUAACAUUAGUAAUAUUAGUACCUUAGUGCAUUGCAUAGUCGUCUUGUUGUCCUGUUAUAAUACUAUAGAAAACUAGAACUCCUUUCCUAUAAGUUUGCGAACAACAUAAGGUAUUUCUUAUAUCUUAAGCACACUUCUAAAUUUGUGGACCCCAUAUGUUUUAGUAACAUCAUGAGCGCAUCUCAUUACAUAAGAUUCCAAAGAAAAUAUAUUUUUGUUGACAAGAUAUUCCUAACUAAAGAUGAAUUUAAUGAUUGUAGGGGUCUUUGAUUUUAGAUUCACACUAUCCACUUGACCAGACCAACCUUCCAUGCAAAUUAUCUAAGUAGGUUUACUUUUUACAACACGUGAUUUAUUACCAAAACUUUGCUGAAUUUACUUCUAUUGUUGUAUUGGCUAUUUGACAGGACUUUCCCAACUUUGAGAGACUUUUAUUAGUCAAUAACAAUAUUCAGAUGAUACAAGAUGAAAAUUUUCCCGAUGACAUCUUUAGCAAACCAAUAGCACUAACACUGGCAUGCUUUCAUGAUGAAAAGGCCGUCUUUCCUUCUAUAUUCCUCUUAGAGAGAUUUCAGAAUCUACAAAGCCUUGAGGUAUUCUGUAGCUCCUUUGAAGAUAUAUUCCCGGACGAAGGGCUUGUUGAAGAGGGGAAACAUCCGGUGCUUGAAAAUUUAAGAAAAAUUAAGUUAAACGAGCUACACAACCUGAAGCGUGUGUGGAGAGAAGACUCUUUAGUGUCGAAAAUUCUUCAAAGCAUCGAAACAUUUGAGAUUUGGGAUUGUCCCUGUUUGACGACAAUAUUUACAACUGUGGCAUCCUUCCAGAAUCUGAUGAAGUUAGUGGUGAAGAAUUCCUCUGGAUUAGUACAUCUAGUAACAGUUUCAACGGUCACAAAUUUGAUGCAUCUCGAUAACAUGACUAUAAUAGGAUGUGAAAGAAUGAAAGAAGUAGUAGCCAAUGAUGGAAACGGAGAAGGAAAAGUGAUUUCUUUUGGAAAUCUACGCUUUUUGACACUCCAAGAUCUGCCAAGCCUAGAAUGUUUCUCCUCCAUCUCGAGUUGCACCUUCAGGUUCCCAUUCUUAAGGAAUAUUAAAGUGGAAGAGUGUCCGAAAAUAAAGACAUUUUCUAAGGGUACGCUAAGCACACCACUACUAUGUGCAGUGAGCCUGUUCAGAUACAAGUGGAAAGGGAAUUGGGGGGAGGGUGAUGAUCUGAAUACAACCAUACAAAAGUUAUCAGCAUGAACAAAUGCACAUAGAAUUGGUAAAGAUUCAACUGAUGUCAUUUUCUCAUCCAUUCGUUUUUCUUUUUCCUUAUUUUUUUCGGUAGCACGGUAAGUUUUUAAAUUUUUCUUUUUGUAUCUUUUCUAUUAUUGAUACCAUCGGAUCAAAGCAUCACAAACCCUUAUCUAUCGAUCGAUCGAUCUCGCCUCCUUCACUGAACAGCAGGAAACGAAGCAAGGCUCUCCUUCUUGAUUCCAGAGGCUCUCUCUGCUGCAUUCACGGAGGACGGAGCGAAAAGGAAGCGACGGGAAUUGCUAGGACUUGAGAGAAGAUGGCACUGCCGAGUCUGGACAGUCGGUCCUCCACUCACUUCAUCAAAGAAGAAGAUCAUACUCUCUCCGCAUCUGUAUCCGACGAAUCGUAAGUUCACGCUUCUGCACACAUCAUUUCUCCUGUCUGCCAGAAUUUCUUCCUGACUUUCGUGUCUUGUUGCUCGUAAUUUUCAUCUGGUUUUCGUAGAGACCUUUCCUUAAUCGUUGUCAUCUUCUUCAGCUAGGGCUCUGCUUUUUAAAUUCGUUUUGUGUAAAUUUCUCAGUCCACUACUUCAGAUCAUGGACCAACAGAGGUCCUCCACUGACAUCAUCGAAGAAGAAGAUCUCGCUCUUUCUCGCACUUGAACCCAGCAAACUCGUAAGUUCACGUUUCUUCCGAUUUUGGUGUCUUAUUGCGCGUGAAUUAGGUUGAAGUCGGAAGCUGGUUUCGUAGAGACCUUCCUCAAUCCUCGCCUUCUUCUUCAGCAAAGGGCUUUGUUCUUCAAAAUUCAUUCCACAUUAGAGUCUAAAAGCAUAAGUUCCUCAAACUAGCAAUUUUAUCUUAACAAUGGAGUAAUUGAAAUAGGGAAAAGAAUGAAAGGACUAUUAUUGGGACAUAAGCUAGUGGUUGGAGGUUCGAAAAGAUAACAAUCAUCUCCUUAUUCAGUGGAUACAUGGGUUGGAAAAGCAAUUCCUAAGGCGUCUUAGAAUUAGAAUCCAAGUCCUCUUAUAUGGAGAAAUUUGACAAUGUGAUUCAAUGUCGGAGAAGUAGAAUAUAUAUGUUAAUCGCACAAAGAGACUAUGUUCAUAUAGACAAGCAAAUUGCAAAGAAUGUUGCUGCCUCCUUAACUAAAGAGAAAGACCUAAUCGAUAAGGGGCUAGCUUGUUGUGAUUAAGAAAUUUCAUUGUAGAUCUAAUGACUGAUAAUUUUGUUUUCAAAUAGGAGAUGCUGUUGUAUUUUGUUAUGUUAAUCAGAUUUGGGGAAGAAAGAGAUUUUACUUUGUCAACUUGAACCAAUAGUUUGAUAAAACCUUAUUUGAGCUGCGCUUGAAAGAAUCAAACUGAUUAAGUUUAAAUUUUCAAUUCCAUUGAUGUUCCAGUCAUCAAUGUAUUUGCUUUUUCCUUUGUGAUUAUGAUUUGUGUGGCUGAAAUUGAUAUGUUUUAAAUAUAUAUAUAUAUAUAGGACCUGGAAGGCUUCUUCUGAACGUGUACCCUAUUGCAUUCUGGGAGCACGGAUUUGACCUUGACUUUGGAUGAAUGACUUUUGUCAUUUGGUUUACUGUCUAUUAAACUCCUGAAACUAGCAAGUAAUGCCUUAAACUCACUCUGUGUACGAUUUAAUUCUCUCAUUAGGGUAUUGCUUAUGUCUUGGUCUUUUCUUCACCAUAUGUUGGUUUUCCAACCGUGUACAUGCGCAUUUGGCUCCUGUUCAAUUCAACAUGCAACAUAUUCAGGAAAUUUAGCAAAUUGUGACUCUCAGGUAUUCGGACAGGUCAUGGAUGGUGAAGUUAAGGAGUUGUGGAUGAGAUUUUUUUUUUUUUUUUGGGUGCGGUGGGGAGGGGUGUAUGUUCUUUUCUGCUGGUCGGCCCACAUUUGCAAGAGAAGGUCAUCUGCAUGUAGAAACUCAUUGAUAGGGAUGAUUUUCUAUUCAGAGUCCACAUAUUCACUAGUGCUGGUUAGGACUUGAUUUACAUUGAUCUAGAUGAACUCUGGAAGUGUCACUUUCGCUGGUCCAAGAUGAAUUAAGUAUUCCAAAUAACAAACUCCUUUAUAUAGUCUUGAGGAAUCAAGGAAGUGUACUUGUAUGCCAAUUGGGUUUUAUGAGGUUGAUCACAAUCCAGAUGCACACUCAUUAAUGCUUCAUUCCAACUCUGAAUGAAUCGAAAAGUAUGUGCUUCAAGACGUACUUUUUGGUUUAUGCAUUCUUCAUUUUGAAUUUAAAACAAGUCUCAUAGGCUUAUUAAGAUUAUGGGUUUUAUUUUUCCUACAGGAAUAUUAAAAAGGUUCAAGAGGAUGCUUUUGAGAGAACAGUGCAAUUGUUUGGCCUGUAGAACUGGAAAAAUGUGAUGAGAUGGUUUGGUUAGCAUAGGGUUUGAAUGAAUAUGCAGAGCAUUACUCUGUCUGUAAGGUUCAAUUUUUGGUCUUCUAAUAUGAAGGGGACUCCAUUUCCCGUGUCACCAUAAUUGAUGAAAGGAUGUCCGAGAUAGAAUAUCCACCAAUCAAUGUUGAUAUGAGGAACCAAGCCUCAGCAAUUAUGGAAUUGUCUUGCUGAAAGUGGAAGAUGCCUUCAAUUGCCGUGAUGUUUCAGUCAGGCUUGAAGUCUGGGGGGGUGAAUUGCAUUUAGCCAAGUGUCCUCGGUUUUGUAUGGAAAUCGAAUCUGAUCAGGUUUGCAAAGUUCAUGGUGAUUCCUAUGCACAUUCAUCAGCAGAGUUUGGGAGGGACAGAAGUUUGAACUGCUCAUCUUAAGAUUUUCCAGGUGUGAAUCUUAAUAUUUGCUAAUUCUGCCCUUGAUUGUAUUGUUCUUGUGUUUGAUUCAAAUACCGUACAUGAAUUGUCCAUUUUGUUAGGCUAAGAGAAACUGUGUUAGAGCUAACUCAUUCUCUUAGUGUUUCUCUGUCUCUAGAUCUCCCGUGUAUGCAUAUAUAUGUGUUGAGACUAAAUGUGCCGGCAAUUGCUGUGAUGUUUCUGUUGAGCUUGGAGUCUUGUAAAUGAAUUGCAUUCAGUCAUGUGUCCUCAGCUUUGUAUGGCAAUGGAAGUUGAUUAGGUUUGCAAAGUUCAUUGCAGUUCCCAUGCACAUUCAUUAGCAAAAAAUUUGGGGAGGAACAAAGUUCAAACUGCUCAUCAUGAGAUUUUCCGAGUGUGAAUCUUAAUAUAUUAGCAAAUUCUCCCCUUGAAUGUGUUGUUCUUGUAUUUGAUUCGAAUAUCAUGCAGGAACUCUCCACGUUGUUAGGCUAAGAGAAACUGUGUUAGGGCUAAUUCAUUCUUGUAAUGUUUCUUUGUCUAUAGCUUUCCCGUGUGUACAUAUGUAUGUGUUGGGGGUUCACAUAAAUAAUGGAAACAAACCAAGCCAGUCAUAUCAGAUUUCAUUGUGAUGAGAAUGGAUUGGUGUGCGUAUAGGCCUCAAGAAGCUAGACCAUUAGAAAGACUCAGAUUUAUUGAUUUAGGGUUGCUAUGUCGGUAGAUAUGGGUUUUACAUAACAAGAAUAGAUUACGCCUAAAACGCUAAAGCUUUUUUCAUGUUUUGUUUGUGGCUGCUGUAGGUAAGCUGAGAGAGUUAGGCUUGUGAAGAGCUCUUGAAUUGGCCAGAAAAUUUGUACUCAAUUAUCCUUUCCUCCAAAUUGCGGUGAGGUGAAUAUAUCUGAAGAAAAGCAAUAUGGUAAGAUCCUCUUGACAAUGACAACUCUUGGAUUUAAAUCACAUAGAGUUGCUAGACUAUGUUAGAUCUAGAUAUUAAUCACGUGGCUAUAUAUAUAUAUAUAUUUGGUCCUUUACAUGCUUUGAAAAGGAUAUUCAUACUGUCUUCCUUAGAAAUCAUUGGUUGUUUUCUUCUUUCUGAUGACAAAAUUGCGAAAUGUCUCCUUGAGCAGAGAGUUCCUGGUUCAUUCCUAAAGUUGCAUGUUAAGAAAAGCCUGCAGACCACGGCUCUCAUAUUUCAAGACAAAGCAUGGCGUUGAAGCUCACCAGCCCUGAACAUUAUGGAAAGCUAUUUGCCCGCAGGGCUGCAUUCAUGAGAGAAACUUCUCUAAAGGCAGAAGAUGUGUGUGUGUUUGAGCUCUACUGAAAAGGACUAUAUCAUUUUCGGACUAUCCAACUGCAGAACACUGAUAAGACUUGGCUGAAUGAUAAUACUAUGCAAUACAAUAUGGCAGACGAAGUUUUGGCUUAGCUCACUUUUGGCGAGAAUGUGACUUUCAGAAUGGCUAGGCUGAAUUCUACUUCCAAUUCAGCAAAAUGGAUAAAAGCAUGAGUUUUGUUCCAAUGAAUGAAAUGGUCCUGAAUGUGCACAAUGCCUUUCCUUGAUCCUAGACUAAAUAAUCACCAUGAGGGCACGAGUUGUGAGCCGGAGGAAGCUGAUUACUACUUUUGAUUCUAUGACUUCCAUUUCAGGAGACAAUCUCUUAAAUUUGGGGCUUCUUCAAGGUUUCCAGUGGCUUAACCUGAUCUUAAUUGUCUCGUUGAUUUUUUCUUUCUAGCAAUUUUUGCAAGUUUGUAGAUUGAGUUCAUGAUAUAGAUAUCCUUGUUGAUUAAAGGGUGAUAUAGAUAUCCUUGCUGAUUAAAGGGUUGUACAGGUGUCUGUAUUUCAUUUUACGAAGUUUGCUUUUUUGUUUAGGCCAAUCAUCACUCUACGAGUUGCCCUUGCAACUCCUGAGUAUCUGGCUUAUGAAUGUGACAUGUAUGGUGAUUUUUUUUUUUUUUUUGAAAUGUCAAAAUCUCAAAAUUAUGUACAUGACAUAAAUUUUUCUUGUGAUACCAAGAACUCCAAAUUUAUAUCUGUGUGACACAUUUGUCCUCCAUCAAAAUUCUAUCAAGUUUUCCUGUCCAAAAUUACAUCGUUUUUAUUUCACUUAAGUUACGUGGGGUGCCGAGUCAACAUUGUUUGUCUUUCCAUCAACUAUUAGGUAGAUUUUAAUUAGAAAUACAGUCCAUCUGCUUGCCGUCUAUAGCCACCAUUGAGUCACCACCACGGUCCCUCCGCUCUAUCCCUGCUAGAUGUCCUUGGCGUGGAGCUCGUUUUGAGGUAGUAUAGCUCGGUUUGAGGUAGUAUUCCUGGUAGUAUAGCUCGGUUUGAGGUAGUAUUCCUAGUCCUCAUAGUAGUAGUAUUACUUCUAUCGAUACACAUGAUUGGAUGAGAUAAUCGCAUUGCUGUGCCUUCUAACAUCACGAUUAGCCAUUUUUCAUGCUAUUAUUUCACAUUGAGGCUUCGCUUGUUGAGCAUCCUUCUCGAAUCCGACUUGAGCUUGAAUCAUUCGUCUCUUAUUGUUUUCAUUGCUCAUAUUGAUUAACGUCGAUUAUGUUUGUUGUUCCUGUCCCUGUUACUAUUAGGAAGGCACUUUCAUCUUGCUCAUAUCUUGAAUUCAUGUCUUAAAAUCUGCUCAAUCAAAUCAUGUGUGUUAGCUAUCCGCGGUCUAUUCUCGCUUGAAUGAACAAUGUUUGAUGUGAUUUGUGAAAGGAUUUAUUUUAUUUCUCACAACUUCAAUUUCAUGGAAGCAUUUAAUUUUUCCUAGGCCUUUCAAUUUGAGAUUUGUAUUUGAAUUUCCUUUAACUGGAAAAUUUGACCUGCUGUCAUUCUCGGUUAUCGAGGUGUCAUUGACAUAAAUUAACAUCAUGAUCAAUGAAAUUCCUCUCCUUAAGGUCAACAAGAAUCAAUCCACAAUUGAUUGCUUGAAUCCUAAUUUAGAAAAUGUCUCGGAUGAACUUGCUUUAUACCUUUCAAUACUUCCAUCACUCUUUUAACUUUUGUAACAAGGGAUAUCCAGACUAUUCGCCUUAACUAGUCCUACGGUUUCUAUCAUAUGUUUGCUGACAUAUGACGUGAGUACUCACCGCUCGUGUGGCCCUUCUAUGCUUUGUUCACAGGAAGCGCCUCGUCGUUCUGAAAAUAAAUAUUGCUUGUACCUAAUUCCAUAAUCUUGGAGUUCCAUUCGGGCCCCAGUGCUGUGUCCGCUUUCGUUUUUAUUGGACACCACAUGUUGCUCAUGCAUGCAGUACAAUCCAGAUCGUUCAAUGCCUUGUCGCACGCUCUGCGGCUGUAACAAGACUCCUCACCAUCUUCGGAUUUAUCGCAGUAACUGUAUCCAGUUAUUCGCCGUUUUAGUACUCGGGUCAUUCACGACGUUACGUCGGGCAGUUUUGAAACCAUAACAUGCUUACCGUUGUGUAGCACAGCCAGCAAUGUAAAUUCUAUAGAGUUUGAGCUUCAUGGAUUUAUUCGCCAAUCUCACGUACGAUGACGUUUGCUUUAAGAUUUAUUUUUCGUUUUGAUUCUAUAUUAUUCGUUUAUUAUUUUAUUUUCACUCAAGGACUCCAAGAGAGAGAAAAAAAAAAUCUCCCCUUGAGGAAACCUUGGAAUAUGAGUUUCACAUUUCAUCAAAUAACUUCAAUAGUUUGUCUCGAUAUUUUCCGUGCUAAGCUAGCUUCACAUUCUAUAUGAAAUCAAUAAUCCCUCCUGCUGUAUGUAGUAAUAUCUUAGAGUUGCAUUGGACAUGACUAUUGAGGUGGUCGAUGAUAUGAAAAGUGCUAGAUAUAAGCAAUUGGUCUGCCCAAUUGGUGUGCAAAUGAGAUUUUUUCCCAUCAUGUAAUCAUUUUGUAUGAUCAAGUCACUAAACUUUGAUUUCAAUCGCCCGAUGCACUAAUGAUAUUUUCUUUUCCAUUUUACACUCAAUGCAUUAUGAAGACUUUUCGAACAAUUUUUUCUAGGUAAUAUUGACAUGGUGCUCUUACAUGUCUGAUUAAAGAUGCUAUAAUGACGACAUGACAACACGUGAAUCUCAACUAAGAAGAAAUGAAAAAAAAAAAGUUUAAUAAAAGAGAGGGUUACGUGGUCCUUGUGUUACAAGGGGAGGUUCCCAAGGUGUAACCUGAUCGGGAGGAAGCUAAAGUGAUAAUGAGUAUCUAAAUCUUGUUUUAUCCCCAUUGGAUUUUCUAAAAAUUUAUAUAACUGAGUCCAUAAUGGCUAUUUUCAUUUCAGUUUGCCCCCGCAAAUUGAUAAAGCUCAAUAAGCAAUUUUAGAAUCAUGAAAAUCUAGUUGUCAUAAACAAACCAAACUGACACAACGGUUAUUUCAUCACAUAUUUUUAAGCUCAAGAGCAUCAGUUUUUUUUUUCUAAGAUAAUCAUUAAUUACCAAAGUCUGCCCCCACAAAGAAAAUUAGUAGAUACAUCCAUGAAUUGGCCAUAAUUUGGUCGGUUUUUGAUUAAUUGCAAUUUCGGGGGCUCAUUCGACGAUUGAAAUCAAAAUUCAAUUAACCGAUUGCAAAAAUACGCCAAAUAAUUUGUUCAUCACAAUUGAUUUACCCUGAAUAAGUAGGCCUUAUAUUUUGAAAGUCAGUCUUAGUGUGUCUUAUAUAAUUCCUCAAGUAAUAAAAGUAACAUUUAUGUUCCUUCGGAUAUACAUCGAUAGGAUAUAAAUCCGUCUAUGUUCUACAAUGUUCUCAUCUGUUGCUCUCUUUAACAAAUUUGAACGUCUAGCAUCACCCGAUCAAACUUUUACAAAAUUCCCAUCAAUCCCUCUCCUGUCCCCCCUUCAACCGAGCGACAGUCGCAAUCACUGACUUCUCCCCAUCUUCAGUCGAAUGAAGACCUGCUGAAUGACCGCUAUGUGGUCUUUCAAGGCCAUUUUGGCUCCAUCCUUGAAGGUUGAGCCGAAAACUUCUGGGAAUAAAUAUCUAAAAUCAUUUGAUAUAGGACUGCACGGUCUACUUCUGCUCUGGAGUAGGAAGUAACUGAUAGUUUUUGAAUUUGUUUGUGAAAGAUGAGCCACUCAUGCAUCCAUCUUUAACUAUCGUAGUAUCUGCCACAGGCAAAGAGAAGAAAUCAAAUUUUUUUCUUUUUCUACGUGAAAUAAAGAGUUGAUUAGGUGCAAGUGUUCUGCCUGAGUUUGUCACGUGAAAUCUAGGCAAGGCAGACAACCUCAAUGUAAGCUGUAAUUUCUCCUUUUAUUUGGGACGCUCUUGGUAUAGGAGAACAUAGAAGAAAUGACAGUGUAAAAUAAUUCUUUUUUCUUUUGGGCGUUUCGAGAAAUUACUUGGACAAGCUCUAGCUGCUGAAAAAUCUGUUGUUUUAACCUAUGUGCAAUCCUAGAUUUUUUUUUAUAAGUACCAAGAUACAGGAUGCAAUGGCUUCUCAAAGAAGGUGUUGAAGUACUUUUUGGUGUUCUCAUUUUGACAUCUAUCAAGCUAAAGUAGAAUGAAAUGAACAAAGAUUCGCUAGCAUACCUGCAGUUUUCUUUUUCUUUCUUUCUAUAUCAUUUUAAACUCCUCCAUUUUUUAUUGUUUUCUGUGAUUAUGUUUGUCUCCCUAUUUCUGAUGAAUGUCUCUUUUAAUGUUCCAUGGACUGCCGUGGACGGACUCUUUCUGCUUUCUCUUCCUAUUUGGCUGGAUCAAAACGCUGUCUUCUACUGUGUUGAUCCAACCGCAAUGUCGUAUGCUUCAAUAUUUCUCAUUUCUGGACUUGCUGAACGGUCAUUCUUCAAUUUUUAGUGUGGCUUCACUUCUUGCAUUUGAUCAAAUUAGGUGCUUUGGUGGUGGGAAUCUACUAUUCAUACCUAUCAUUUUAGUAAAUGUUAAUUUUGUUGCAACAUGCGGACUAUAUAUGCUAGUACUUCAGUCUCUCUUUCUUUGGUUCUUGCAUGUGUGGAUGGCUUCUAGUAUUGGUGCCUUUAUUUUUGCAUAAACAGAAGGGAUACAUGCUUACUUCGAUUAGAUCCCACCUAAAGUAUCCUUCUCCCUCCGCACUCCCACCCCCUUAUUUGCUUGAGUUUUCUUCCAUUUAUAUCAGUUUCUCAAUUGAGAGUAUUGGAAACUAAGCAAGAACAGACCUGAGAGCACGAAGAAAUGAUAGCCCUUGGGGUGGUCACUCUUGCUGGUGAUAUUUCCCCAAUCCACUUCAUACCUACAUUGUUAGUACACUUAGUAGUUCCUCAUGAAGCAAUCAAAAAACUGCAUAUAAAAGAGACAUGCUUAAAAUAUAGAACAAAGCAAAAGGAAGAGAACUAUAAAAGGUAUAUCUAGGAAAUGUUGCAAUAUUCAGUAAGGUAAAACCAACAUAGCUAAGAAACUCACCUAGAUUGCACGCCUAGAACAUCUGACAAGCCAUGAACGAUUCGUAACUGAGCCUCCAUAAUAUGAAGCUUUCAGUAGGAAAGCAAUGUCUAGAAAUGAAAGACUUUGCUCCAAGGAUUGGAAGCACAUAGAAAACUGCUUUUUCAAACACGCCUCGAAUGGCCAGCAAAGCUGAAUGAUCAGCUUUGCUCAGUUCAGCUUUGCUUAGCAGAACAUGCUUCUACAAUUUGAUUCUGAUCAAAGUGAUCAAAACACAUUUAUAACUUCCACAAUGCAAUGUUAGAAGGGUAGAGAACUCGUGUGUGUACAGGAGUUAGAUCUCUAGUGCAUGCACUUAAAAGUUUAGCGGACCGGUGAACCUCCUUGUUUGUCAUAAAUCUGAUCUGACUACAUCAACAGUCGAACACACAUCAACAUAUUAGUGACCAGUAUUAUAUGACACAACCUCUUGGUUGAAGUGAUUCAUGGAGAACCAAAACAUACCCUCCAAGUUCUCGGUUUGUUCCUGUUUGUAAUGCCUAGCAUGGCAAUCAUGAAUAUGGUGACUACAUUCCCACCAAACGCCAAAACUGAGGACACCGUUAAGAAGAAGCCAAUCCAAGAAAAGUGAAACUGUCAUACUAUUCCAUUUGAACCAGAAGACAAGGUACUAAAUUUUGAAGGAUAUAUGAAGAACUUGGACAAUCUAUUUCCAUCCUACAGUUGAAAAGCUACAAACAGAGAUGUUCAAUCAAAAUCCACCAAACCAAUAGAUGCUCCAUUAACUAGAUGACAAACGAAUGAAACUACUUAAACAUUAAUCAUCAAAUUAUUAACUUCCACAAAAAUGGACCAAAACUGGGGCAUAGGGACGAGAGAGAAGUGUGUAGGAAAGGUUGUUUAAGUGGGUCCUUUGGUCAUUAUUUUCCUCUACAGUUUUAGUGAAACUUAGCACUUUUGGAGAUAUAUUAAGACCGGUCAGUGCGGAAGCUAGCUCAGUGAUUGCCAAGUCAAACUAGAAAGGGCUUAGCCAUAAAUUUGAAAGGCAAAAGCAUCACAUGAUUGGUCCUAAAGCUAGCUCCAAAAGUGAUUGCAUCGCUUAACAUUUCUAAAUAUACAGAGUUUACAUAUUGAGAAAUGAUGAUGAAAAUAUGUAGCUAGAAGCCCAGAUGAAGACAACGAGACACAAGCUGGUUAAAAGCUUAAAAGUGAAAAAUCCUAUGCGAUUUCAUUUCCACUAUGGAUACGAUACGUUCCUCGGUGGGUAGCAGAAUAAUUCAAGAGUUACAGAUUCCGCAUCGAAUUUGAUAAUAUAAUCUAGCCCUAUACGUAAGAUCAGGAACCACCAUGGUUCGCAUGUGAAGACACUGGAAUGAGUCCUAUUCACCUGAUCUGAUUUGAUACUUUGGUUCCGCAGCAACCCAGAUGUCAAAUCCCGCAGCAACAUCAUCACCAUUUAAAAGAAGAGAAGGAAAAAAAAAAUGAUAAAUACAUAGAAUCUAACAUCGAACGAAAGUGAAUUGACAAAUGUCAAAUUCCAAGACCUCAAUUUCGCAUUAGAAGCAGCUUAAGAAAAAUUACAGUACUUCAUCCUCUCUUUCCAUGGUUCUUGCAUGCAUGGGUGGCUGCUACUAUUGGUGCUUUUUCCUUUGCAUGAACAAAAGUGAUGCACACUCACUUAUUUUGAUUAUCUCCCACCCAAUGUAUGCUUCUCCCCCUGCUCUCCCACCCCGUUCUUUGCUUUCCUUCCUAUUUGUAUCAGUUUCUCAAUUAAGAGUGUUUGAAACUGAGCAAGAAUAGACCUGUGAGCACGAAGAAAAUGAUAGCCCUUGUGGUGGUCACUCUUACUGGUGAUAUUUGUAUAAUCCACGUCAUACCUACAUUGUUAGUACACUCAGUACUUCCUCAAGAGGCAAUCAAAAAACUACAUAUGAAAGAGACAUCCUUAAAAUAUACAAGGAACCACAAGGGCACUUCAAGACCAGUGUUGUUAUGCCUGUAAAGCAGAAGGAAGAGAACUAUAGAAGACAUAUCUAGGAAAUGCAGCAAUAUUGAAUGAGGUAAAACCAACAUAGCUAAGGAGCUCACUUAGACUGCAAACCGAGAAAAUCUGAAAAGCCAUGAAGGAUACAUAAUCAAGCCUCCAUAAUAUGUAGCGUUUAGCACGAAAGCUAUGUCUAGAAAUGAAAGACUUUGCUCUGAGGAUUGGAAGCACAUAGAAAACUGCUUUCCCAAACAUGCCUCGGAUGGACAGCAAAGCUGAAUGAUUAGCUUAGUUGAGCAGAACAUGCCUCGCCUCUGUGAUUUGGUUCCUAUCAAACUGGUCAAAACACAUUAAUAACUUCCACAAUGCCACAUUAGGAGGGUAAAGAACCCAUGCAUGCACAUAAGCUAUAUGCCUAAUGCAUACAGUUAAAACAUUUGGUGGACCGGUGAAUCUCCCAGUUUGUCAUGAUUCUGAUCUGACUACAUCAGCAAUCAAACCCCACAACGGCAUAUACAUAAACAACAUUAUAUAAUACAACCUCCUGGUUGAAGAGAUUCAUGGAGAACAAAAAUAUACCCCACAAGUUCUCAUUUUUUUCCUGUUUGUAAUGCCUAGCACGACAAUCGUGAAAAGGGUAACUACAUUCCCACCUAAUACCACAACUGUGGACACCGUUGAGGGGAAGCCAAUCCAAGAAAAUUGAAACUGCCAUACUAUUCCAUUUGAACCAGAAAAGACAAGGUAUCAAAUUUAAAGGAUAUACAUUACUAAAGCAGUCAAACAGUCUAUUUCCAUCCUACACUUGAAAAGCCACAAAAAGAGAUGUUCAAUCAAAAUCUGCUAAAACAACAGAUGCUCCAUUAACUAGUGAAGGAACGAAUGGAACUAUGUAAACAUUAAUCAUCAACUUACUUACUACCACAGAGAAUGGGCCAAAAAUGGGGCAUAAGGUCAAGAGACAAGUGAGCAGUGAAAGCUUGUUUAAGUGGAGUCCUUUGAUCAUUAUUUUUCUCUACAGUUGUUGUGGAACUUAGCACUUGAGGAUAUACAUAUAUUAAAACCAGUCAGUGUGGAAAACAACUCAACGAUUGCCAAGUCAAACUGGAAAGGGCUUAACCAGGAAUUUGAAAGGCUAAAGUAUCACAUGAUUCGUUCUAAAGCUAACUCCAAAAGUAAUUGCAUCACUUAACAUUUCUAAAUAUACAUAAUUUACAUAUCGAGAAAUGAUGAUGAAAAAGUGUAGCUAGAAGCCCAGAUCAAGACAAUGAGACACCAGCUGGUUAAAGCUAAAAAGUGAAAAUCCUAUGAGAUUUCAUUUCCACCAUGGAUACGUUCCUUAAAGGGUGGCAGAAUAAUUCAAGAGUUACAGAUUCCACAUCAAAUUGGAUAAAAUAAUCCAGCCCUAGACAUAAAAUCAGGAAUCACUAUGGUUUGCGUGUGAAGCCACUAGAAUGAGCUACAAAACAAUUCUCAUACAACUCAUCUGAUUUGAUACUUGGGUUUCACAGCAACCCUGAUGGCGAAUCCUGCAGCGACAACAUCACCAUUUAAAAGAAGAGAAGGAAAAAAAUGAUAAAUGCAUUGAAUCUAGCAUCGAUUGAAAGUGAAUCAACAAAUGUCAAAUUCCAAGACCUCAAUUUCACAUCAAAAGCAGCUUAAAAAUCCACAAAGAUACUUCCUUGGAUCUCCAUUAUCUGUAUUUCCAAAGCCUUUAAGUUAAUCUGACGUCACUAGAAACAUGUAUACAAGAGAAACAAAUGCCCCAAACAGCCUAUUAUCAAUGACAAUGUUGCCUAGGAGGGAGCUUAAGGAGUUCACCAAUUUCCUACACCGCAUUAUUACAGAAUAAAGCAACACAUAAUAUUGAUAUUAAUAACCAUGAAGCAAAGCAGACCCAAAUAAGAAUUCAUUCAACCCCUAGAAUACCAGAGCAUGUAAUAAACAAAUCGAAUUUGGCAUGACUGAAUCAUGGACUGAUUUAAAGAAUAGCGGUUCAACGAUAGGUCACCGAUCAAAGUUCAUGAGGGCAAAGAGUGUCAUUCAAUAGCAAAAGCAAUUACUACUUCGGAACAAGACAAGCAUGUCCAGAAUUUGCGAAUGAUUGCUUACCCUUUCGAACAAAAGAAGGCAGGAAAAGGACGAAGGAGACGUGAAGCUUUCUGAGGCUAAUACCAAACAUCACAAGCUGAGUUAAUCAGUGUAAUCACAAUGCGCCUACAUUAUUAUAUUGAGCAUAUGGGUCAUUUCGGUACCCUCAAAUUAUCAACUGAAAAGGAGACUUGAGUAAAUGCCAAUUAGAUUUGCAACCACGCAGCCUAUCCACUCUUUGACGACAAGGCCUUCAAAUAAUGCAACUAAAACACUGCAUUAAGAAAUUGGUGACUGCAAAUCUGGAAAAGGCAGAGGAUGAGGAAGAACUCCGGUUGGAGGGACAUACUGGAGAUGUUACGCCGUUCAUGAGCAACUCUCAUUUCGCAUGCCACAGACAAUUCCUGCCUUUUAUAGACCCUGAGGGUGACAAGUGAUCUAAGGAGGCCGGAUCCGGUAAAGCUUCCUUCAGGUGGGAUGGCGACGUCUUCACAGGGCAUGGGAGUGUAAGGCACCGACUCCUGCUACAGCUCCUCUUGAAACUGUAGGGACUGUUAUAUUACCAGUCAACAUGCAGUUCAUCUUUGCAGCAGAAUUUAUAACGUGUUCAAUCACCUGCAUAGCAAAAUUGAAUGUCAUAAACUCCACGACAGGCUUGAGACCAUAGAAAGCAGCACCGACUUCAACUCCAGUGAAACCAGCCUCUGUGAUAGCAGUAUGAACAACGCUCUCAGGUCCAUACUUCUGCCAAAGAAAAGAACCUUUAGACACAUUGAAAGACUCUAGGAUCUGCAGACAUUUCCUCAUCAAACGCAGCAUUCAUAGCCUCUCUCACAGUCAUCUAUUUGCUCACAGUCGCAUUACUACGUAACAACAUUUCUGCAGCCUCUCUCGACAAGACAGCAUCCAAGCCUCUGGCAGUGGCUUUUCGUAUUAGAAUUGACAACAUCAUGCCCUCUCAAACUCGAACUUGCUCUCACCGCCAGAUAAAGCUCGCUAAUUCUCUCUCUCUCUCUCUCGAACGGGUAUCCUUGGAAACGGAGUCCAAAUUAGUCAUUCCAUCAAACACCUUCCCUGCAAACUCGACGGAUUUUUCUCCGACCAAUUUUUCUUUUUUUUUCGCAUCUCUCUUUGGCUCUGGAUUCCCCUGAUUCAUCUCCAGCAAUUUAGAUCAUCCCCACAGUAAACCACACCAUUAGAUUCCACAUUCGAGUUGCGGCCACUCUGAUUCAAGUCCUCGCCUUCCUGUCCUUGCCCAUGUCUGGACUAGAUUUAUCUGUCGCGGGACCACCUCGGGCUUACGCUACCAUCGCCGCUGAACCAUCAACAGGACCAUUCCAUGUCUGAUUGAACUUCCGAGUCAAAUUCCAAUUCACUCCAGAAUACGUCCCGUCGACUCUUGCUUCGUUAUGCUCGCUCCCACUUCAUUGCCGCCUUUUCGGAAUUCCAUUAUUCCGCCCAUCUAUGCCGCGCGCAAAGGGGGACGCGGGGUGGUGUUCACUGUUUACAAGAGCCUUAUCCGAUUGCCAAGGCCGAGGUUGGAUGGAUGGAUCAUCAUCAUCAUCUGGAUACGAUCCGCCGAUUCGAAGGAUGAGAUUCUUUGGGUUUCGCUCUCGGCACCUCCACCGGUCCGGCGUUGCUCUUUCAACGGCAGCAGCCGAGGCCAAUCUGAGUCUGUCAUCAUCCGAGACGAUAUGCCGAGCGUGAAGAUUGGCAGCGGCAAGCACGAAGAGAAAAACGAUGGAGAAUAAAAAAACAAGGCGGGAAGCGAAGCGAGGGGGUGGAUGGAGAUGAUUUGGAUUUUGUGUGGGAAAACGGGGCAAACAGGUGAAGCCAGUGCCCAUUCCCAGUGGUUGUUCUUUGGAUUAAAAAGGAAUUGAAUUUGAAAAUAAAAGAGAAUAAAAAGGAAAAAUGAACCCACCGUCGUUUCCCGAAAAAGCCGGCAAAAAACUCCAAAUUAUAUUUAUUUUUAUCGCAUUUAUUUUUCUUUUUGUUACGCAAAAACUCAAAAUUAUGUAUAUGGCAUAUUUACUCUAGUUCUUAUGACGUCAAAAUCCUAAAUUUGUAUAAAUAUGAUAUAUUUACCUUCUAUCUAUAUAUAUGUUGACACCUAAUUUUUCAACUAGAUUAAUUAAUUUAAAAUAGUAUCAAAUGUUGGGAAUUAGUCACAAGAGAAAAUUUUAAAAAAUAUAUAUGUAUAUUAUUUAAUUAAGUUGUUUAAAAAAAAAAAAAACGAAAAUGGUCGGGUCGGGCCGGAUUCGACCAUGGCUCGACCAGCCCCUCUAUUUUAUUCUCCUCGCAUUGGGCCUGGCCCAAUCUCCUUUCUCUUUCAGUUGGCCCAGCCCCUUUUUCUUUUCUUCUGUUGGUCUUCGCUUGAAGACUUGCAGAAGACAGGGCAGCAGCACAGCAGCGAGAGCGGCAGCAGAGGAUCGGUGUGGCAGGUGCGCGGCAUGAUCCGCGGUCAGGAGCAGCCGACCGGCAGCUGGCUCGACCGUACCUUCCGAAAUGUGCUGUUAAGGUAGACUUUCAAAAGGCGUAUGAUACUGUAGAUUGGGAUUUUUUGGAACUCACUCUGCAAGCUUUCAGAUUCCCGGAAUGGAUCAUCCAUUUGAUAAUGGUGUGUGUGAGAACACCCAAGUUUUCAGUUUCUAUUAAUGGCGAACUUCAUGGCUUCUUUUCCGGAGGUCGAGGCCUUCGCCAAGGGGACCCUUUGUCGCCGUACCUCUUUACCCUUGUUAUGGAUGUGUUCUCAGGGAUUUUAAAUGCCCGUACUUCGGUGAAAGGCUUCAAAUACUUUUGGAGGUGCAAGAAGGUAAAGUUGACCCAUCUUUUCUUUGCCGACGAUGUAUUUCUCUUUUGUCAAGCUGAUUGGAUCUCCGCCACGAUCCUCAAGAGAAGUCUUGAUAUAUUCUCAUCUUGGAGUGGACUGAGUCCGAACAAAAACAAGAGCGAGGUGUUUCUCUCAGGAGGUCCUGUUUCCAUCAGAGAGAAUAUUCGACUUGCAUUUGGCUUUCAGGAAGGUCGACUCCCAGUCCGGUACUUAGGGGUGCCCAUCAUUACUUCAAGACUUGGGAAAGCUGAUUGUGCUUCAUUGAUUGAUCGUAUUACCGCAAGAAUUCAAUCGUGGGCUCACCGCUUUUUAUCCUUUGCUGGAAGGCUCCAACUUAUAAGGUCGGUGCUGCAUUCUAUCCAAGCCUUUUGGGCUAGUGUGUUUUCUCUGCCUAUCUCUGUUCUUGAUAGAAUUGAACAACUGCUAAGACAGUUUCUGUGGAAGGGCACCUCGCUUGGCCGAGGCGGUGCCAAAGUAUCUUGGGAUGACAUUUGCCUCCCAAAAAAUGAAGGUGGUUUGGGUAUUCGGAAAUUGAGAGACUGCAAUACUGCUUCCUUGCUUAAGUACAUCUGGUUUCUCUUCACCGAUAGAGAAUCUCUCUGGUGUCGUUGGAUCCAUUCAUAUUUUUUAAAGAAGGACAACUUUUGGAACUCCUCCACACCCACUACGUGUUCAUGGGCGUGGAAAAAAAUCCUUCAACUUCGAAGACACUUUAGGCUCUCUUUCUUUUGGAAGAUUGGCCACGGUUCCUCUGUUUCCUUAUGGCACGACAAUUGGCUGGAGUGUGGCCCGCUUAUCUUACUUAUCCCACCGGACCUUGUGGAGAGCUGUCGCCUUCCAAGCUAUUCUGUAGUGGCGGACCUUUAUUCUCCCAUGGGUGCUUCUUUGAGAGAAUCCCUUGCAAAUAUGGGAAUUACUAUACCCAUUCUUUCUACUAAUUCUGACCGCUUUACCUGGCAAGAAGAUCCAUCAGGUUCGUUUUCUGUUGCCUCUGCCUGGAAAUACAUCAGGGUUAAAAAGAAUCGAGUGUCUUGGGCUCCUCUUAUUUGGGACAAUGACCUUGCACCCAGAUUCCAAUUUCAUUUGUGGUUGCUCGCAAAAAAUAGGCUGCCAACUCAGACUCUCCUUCUCUCUUAUGGGAGGAUUGAGUUCUCUGUUUAUGCUUUUUGCUGCUUCGUUCCCGACUCCGUGGACCACUUGUUCUUUCAGUGUACAACGUCUGCGACUCUUGCGUUCUUUUGGGCUUCUAGAUGUAAUUUACCUUGGAAGAACAGAGUUUGGAAGGACAACCUCUCUUGGGCUCUCAAAUUCCUAUCCGGCAAAGAUUUCUUUCACAGUAUUGCCCGUUUCUCUUUUGGGGCUUUAUGCCAUUUCAUAUGGAAAAAAAGGAAUUCUAUCAUCUUUCAAGGUGAUUCUUUGGCAAUUCCGGCCAUGAAGAAUCACUUGAUCAAGGUUGUGAAGGAUAAGGCUCUUUUGUUCUCUAAUGUCCCGCCUACUCCAAGAAACAAGCGACUCCAGAGAAGUUGGGGGUUCGAUCCGUCCAUCUUCAACUCGGCGUCCUCUUCCUAGCUCUCCUCCAUCUCUUCAAUCUUUGGAGGGGUGCCUGAAGGUCAUUAGUCUGUUUUUUAAUUGUAGUUCAGCCGAGUAGUUGCUGCUUUGUUUCCUGCUCUCUGUAUCUUUUUGUUUCGGCACCCUCACACUCUCCCUGCCCCACAGCUAAAGUGUGAGUUACGGUGCCGAAUUCUUGUUCAGUUCUCCAAAGUUUAAUAUAUAUUCUUACCUUUUACCAAAAAAAAAAAAAAAAAAAAAGAAGAAGAAAAGGAGAGAUAGAGAGAGAGAGAGAACAAAAAGGAAAGCAACGGGAAGAUGAAGAGGAGGCGAGGCGGAGGAUCGGCAUGGCAGGGCUUUCGGCGCGAUCCGCGGGUCGAGGAAGCAGAACGAUCAACCAGCUGGCACGGCAGGGGGUCUUCGCUCAGGAUACCUGCAGGAAGUAUAAGAACACAGAGAAAGGGAGGAGGAAAAAAAGGAAAAAGGCAGAAAAACGAAAAAAGAAAACACCAAGGACGAAACAUAGAGAGAAACAGAGGAGAGAAACCAGAAGGAGGAGGAGAGCUCGAGGAAACAGCUGGCUGUUGCCGGAGGCCUGUCCGCCCGCCGUUGUCCACCGCAACUCUUCCCCGAACGAGCUCAGCAGAAGAACUCCACAGAGGACAGCACACCACACACCAGAGCACAGGGAGAGAGUGAGCGAGAGAGAACGAGCUCGAGAUAGUGGUUGGUCGUCGCCGGAGGUCCAUUCUUCAACCGCCGUCCAUUGCAACCUUCCCCUCAAACCAGGUAGGCUUGUUCCGACCGUGCGUCCCUUGUUUCCGGAAGACGACGUGCCGGAGCUUGCGUCGACUAGUUCGCGCAAGUUUCGGUCCAAGCCGGUCCUCCCUGAAAGCUGAUAGUUGUUCUAGAUGCAUCGUUAGGGAUUUAGAUUUGUGCCCGUGCCCGCAUCAAGUCGAAAAUCCCCUGUGUUAAUAGCGUACACCAAGUGCUUGUGAAAAUGUCCCGCAAAAGACCGGAAGCCAGCUCACGUUUUAAAUGGGGAUCGAUCCGUGUUUGCGUUAAUGGCCGUUGAAUCAUGUUUUCUCUUUGUAUGCUUAUUGCGUUUUGGCGUGGCUUUCGCAAAAUAAUUGUGUAUCGUCGAGAGAGCAAGAGUUUUCGUCGUUUUGAUGUUUGGAUUAAUGGUCGCCGGAGUUCGUGGCCAAUGGUGGUUUGUACCGGUUGGAAUGGGCGACCGGUAGAUGGUGGUGGUGCGGUGGUGGAACGCCGGUUGCGUCGGUCUGUGUCGCCGUUUGGACGAGCUUCAGCGAGGAACAAGAUCUCGAUGAAAGAAGGGUCUUUGAGCGUGCAGAGAACCCACGAAGAAGAAGGAGCCCAGAAAAAGAAAAGAAAAGAAUAAAAAAGAAAAAAGAGUAAAACAAACAAAAAAAUAGAAAACUAUAAAAAGGUUAAAAAAGAGAGUAAAAGGGGCUUCGGGAAAGAGGAGUCGCAGAAGCAGAGGGUGCAGGGAAAAGGGGUGCAGUGAGAAAAGACAAACAAAAAAAUUAAUCAAUUAGUUAAUUUUUAUUUUCAAAAAAAUGAAAACUUUAAAAAAAAAAUAAAAAUCCAAAAGUGUUGGAUCCGGGUUUGGGUUAGGUCCACGGGCCGGAUUGGGUUUACCCGGUCCGAACCCAUUUUAUUGAAAUAUAAUAAUAUUAAAUAUUAAAUAUAUAUUAAAAAUAAAAAAAAUUUAAAAAAAGAAAAUUAAAAAAAAGAAAGUUAAAAUUUUCCGAAAUUUCAAAAAACUCAGAAAACAUUAAAAAAAUUCGAAUUUUUUAAAAAGAAAAUUUUAAAAAAAAUUUAAAAAAUUAAAAAAUUAAAAAUUAAAAAAUUAAAAAAUUAAAUUAAAAAAAUUUCGAAAAAUCCAAAAAUGAUAGGGUUUGGUUAGGAAUUGCCAUGUAUUGCCGCUUUAGUGUAAUUAAGCCUUUAUUUUCUUGUAUGUUGUUUUUAUUGUAUGUUUAAUUUGCGUGUUUUGUGUUUAAUUUGCACGUGUUUAAUUUUAGGGCAAAUAGGAGCUUGGUAGGUAUAAUUAUUACUUUAUUGAUUGUGCACUUGCAUGCUCACCUCCUAUGUUAGUGGAUAGGUAUGAAAUCAAUCUAAACUGCCUGAUGAAAAUCAUUUUGUUAAAAUGAACAAGAAGGGCACUAAUUAGUCAAUUAGUGUAAUCAAGUCCCCGAUCCUAGACUUUCUGGUUGCGUAGGAAGUGAGGCACGCUCCCAUGUCUCACUUGGUUUCUAGCCGACCCCAAUAGGCUAGUGGCGACUCCUUUUGUACAAAUUUAUUAAGAAUAUCCCAACGUCACGCGGGGUAUGGGCUUGGGAGAGCUCGCGCCUAAUCAUGGGCCUUAGGCCCGUCCUUUAGGCAAUACCCUUAAACCUGUUCCCUCCCCCCGAGGGUAGGUCGCGACAAUAUAUAUAUAUAUAUUUUGGUGGAAGUUGUUCUUAUUUCAUUGACGUCAACACCGUUUACAUUUCGUCGUUCAUAUAGGCAAUCUUUUUUUAAACGAUACUCAUUGAUAGAGAAUAAAUAUUUCAAGUAAAUAUAGUUUUGAGUCUUUGGUGGCAUUAAAAAAAAGAAGAAGCUUAAGAUGGAUGUGUCGUAGUGGGCAUAUUUUAGUAUUUUUAGUGAUUUUCCUCCUCUCUUUUUUCUCAACUUCAUCAAUAAUCAAUCACAACUCAAAACCAAAAAUGCAUCGAUCUCUCUCUGCUUGUUGCCUAUCAGCCAUUGCCGAGCUUCCAUCACCCCGUCCCUCCUAGAUGUCCUUCUUGUCCCCUUUGUUGUUAGGAAGACAUUUUCGAUUGCUCGUAUAAUGAAUUUGCGGCUUCAAAUUUGCUUUCAUAAAUUGUAAGAAUAUGCUGUCCGUGACUUGUUCUAACUUGAAUGAACAAUGCUUUGAUAUCACUUGUGAAAGGAAAAUUCCACUUUUCUUUCUCGCAACUUCAAUUCCAAAGAAAUAUAUUUAAUUUCUACUGGUCUACCGGCUUGAGAUUUCUAUUUAAAAUUUCCUAUUAUUAGAAAAUUGACCCAAUGUCAUUUCCAGUUAAUGGCCUACAACGAUUAAUGACGUCGGAAAUGAUGGGAUUCUGAUUUUAAGCGAUCUUUGGCUGGGAAUGGGUUGUGGCCUUAUUAGCAAAUAGGGUGGGCCAGGGGGACGAUGGCCGACUAGGCUUGAUGCACUUACGACAAAAUUUCAUCUAGGGAGAGCUAAGUGAGUUGGUUAUUUUUUAGUUUAUUAUUUAUUUGUUUGUUUAUCCAUUCUUUUUCCACUGCUUUUUGUUGGUUUUUUUUUUUUUUUUUUAGUUUAUCAUUGCAUUUGUUAAGUGUAAAUUUUCUUUUUGAUAAAUUAUACUCGUUGAAUCAAAAUUAUGCACUCUUCAUUUUUUUGUCGGCAUAUUCUAUUUUUACUAACUCUCACUCUUAAACUUUUGAUUUACUUCCUUAUAAAACAUAGAAGUCAAAAUCCAUACAUAAAGAUGAAUUCAUCCCUAUCCUAAAUCCCAUGAGAAUGUUAGAAUUCGAACUUCCCACUCUCCCUUCCCACAUGGAAAGGGUAGCCACCGAGGCAAAUCUCAGUAAUUAAAUUAUAUAUUGCCUUCACACGAAUAUUAAUGUGAUGAUCUAUAUCUACAAAAUUACAUGAGAACAUUCGUUUCCUUAAGAGCAGCCUCCGAGGUUGAUAAUAGCACUCUAGAUAACUAGAAAGGGUUUUUCCUUCUUCCAUAAAUUGGACUCGCUACAUUCUCCGUAAAAAAAAUGUAGCCACCAAGGCUCCACCUAAGCUAACGUUAUGCAAUACCGACUUAAAAGUCCACUGCCCGGAUCACAAUUUGUUUACUAUUUGGAAGUGCUGGCGAACUUUGUAUGCUGGUCAUGUGGUCAUCAUAUCUCUCUAUUCAUUUUAAACAAAAUUGUGUGGAUGAAUUUCUGUAGAACUAGUAAGAUGGCUCUUCAUUGCACGGGUUUAAGACUAUUUUUAUGGGUUAAAGACUAUUUUUUAUAUUAUUUUAAAUGCUAUUUUUAAUCUAUUUUGCCUUUGUUCCAUUUCAAGUUAGUUAUUUUUCAUAAUUUUUAAAUUAAUUUUGUUGCAUUGUGAUUAUUUUGUAAAUUCCUUUUUAACUUACGUUAAUAUAUUUAAUGAACUACACGGACAUUCGUGUCAAAAUAUUUGACAGCCCGUACUUUAACUUUCCUACGAGGAAUUUUGGUAUUUAAGAGAGAGAGAGAGAGAGAGAGAGAAUGAGAUAUUGUAUAUAAGUUAAAAUAGAAUUUGGAUAAUAAUAUAACUUAAAGACUAAUGUAGAUAAUACUUUGAACUUGAUGUUGCCAUAAAAAUGUGCUCUGGAAUAUUAAACUACACUAUUAAUUAAGAAAAUGGAUGACCACUCAACAUCACAUUCUUACAAGGAUUUGACUGGCGCUUAUAAACUAAGGUGAGAUUACCGUGCUGGAUGGUUCAUACCUAUCUCCUUUUUCUUUCUCGCAAUUUGGGUCUUUGUAAAGGUUUUUAAUCGUUCACUCUCUAGAACCGAUUGUUGAUUUCACAUCCAACAGCAAAAAGUUGCUGUGCUUCUAUCACCAAAUUAUCAAUCUGUCAAAAACCGAAGACUUAAUGGAAAAAAGAAAUAGUAAAUGCUCAGGUGUAGUCACAUAUCUAUCUCCAUCACCUUCAAUUAAAAAAUAGCAAACAUUAUUGUUUGCCCCUUUAUUCCAAUAAAUCUGGAGUUAGACCCCUACUUUUUCCCUUAGAAGAGGCUUGGUAUUCAGGAAUAUAUAUAUAUAUAUAUAUAUAUAUAUAUAUCUUACCAUUAAUGUUCGCUGCAGAGGAAGUGUGUGUAAAGGACUUCAAGUCCGCAAAACUUUACCUCUAUAAAUAAUACAACCGGCAUUUGACGCCAAGCGCCAGGUCAUACUUUGUAUAAGUGUGUCCAUCUUCACUAGCCAUUGCCAAGCUUUAUCUCCAUAAAUAUAUGAUUCAAGAAAAAGUGCGUGUAUAUAUAUAUUGAAAAAAGGCUAGCUAUCGCGAUCAAAAUUUUGAGUGCAUCACCUAAAAUUAGACUAAUUGACUACUAAGUUUAAUUUAACUCGGGCUCUCUAGUUCAUAUCAAUUCGCGAUCUAGGUUCAAAUAUCUAACAUGCAAAAGGGAGUCACAACUAAUCAGUUUACUGUAAGUCGAUUAGACACCUAAGUAAAAUAAUGAGAGAAUUAUUUUACUUCUACGAACCAGAGAUUUUGGGUACGGGGAUUUGAUUAUACUAGACUUUUCUAAUGCCUUUUAGUAUCUUUUUUUUCUUUCUAUUUUAUUUUGGAAAAAUAUUUUGCAAGCAGCUUGAAUUAAUUUUAAUUCACUUCCCUAACAUGUGAGGUGAUUAUACGGGUGUACAAACCACCAAUUUAAUACUCAAGAAAACAAAUAAUAAAAAUGCAGAACUUAUCUCGUAGCAACGAAAGCAUUUACGAUGAUUUCUAAUUAAUAAGCAAGCGCUCAAUUUUUGUUUUCACUUAUUUAAUGAGAAUCUAAUCAAUAUGCAAUGCAAUGUUAUUAAUCUAACAUGAAAUGAUAUGACAUAGCAGUAUAGCCUAAACUAUAUGAUAUGAAUAAAGUAAUUUUUUUUGUUUUUAUUAAUGAAAUUCGAAAUUAAAGAAAUCCAAUAAUUAAAUGUGCAAUCUAAAUAAACCAAAUGACCUAAUUCUAAUGACGGGCAAUUUCUAAUUAAAUGAACCUAGCAACAAUCACUAAAUGACGUGCAUUUCAUGAGCCUAAUUCUAUAUGACAUGCGCAUAAUUUUUUUGCAUUUUUUUUAUAAAAAUUCGUAAUUAAAAUUAUUAAAAAAUAAAAAUCUAACUAAAAUUAGACAUUAUCUAUUUUAAGUUAGGAAUAAACUAAUCUGAAUUCUAUCUUAACUUGGAAAAUUAUCUCAUCAUGCAAUUUAAUUCAAAAAUAUUAUCUAACCUAGAUACCAUCUAAACAUGCAUUUAAAAAAAAAAUCUAACUUACCUAUCAUGCAAUCAAUUCUAAUCUACACAGAAUGCAAAUGCAAAUUUUUUUUGUAUUUUUGAGAUAAAUAAAGCGAUUAAAAAAUAAACACCAAUUCAUCCAUGGUCAUCAAAGAACUAUGCAAAUUUAGAAACGAUAAUUAAUCAAAUCUGAUUAUUUUGCUAAUAAAAUCAAUAAAUUGAUCUUAAGACUUAAAUAACAAUAUAUCACUUUUAUUCUCACAUGAUUAAUUAUUCCAUUUAAAAUCUUAUUGGUAGAGUAAAAAAUUUGCGUGCGGUUGCGAAUUAAGUGGUGCAUCGAGAAUUUCAAUCAAGAAAUAUUUCACAUAAAGAACGCAAUAAAAUAAGAUAAAAUAAAUUUACCUAAUAAAAUAAAUUUCUACCUAAAUUGGAAUUUUUUCCAAAAUCCGCACCGCUCAAGUGAACCACAGUGGAGGCUCGGCCGCUCGGCGCGGGCCGCGGCUAAGGAUGGUAGCUGUGAUGGUAGUUCACCGGGGGUGAUGGGUCGCCGUUCGAAGUGGGGGGUUGUCCGUCGGAGCUCUGGCGAGGAGGCUCGGGCAGUAGAUGAUGGCACAGCGAGGGGGAGCAGCAGGCGAAACAGGGGAGUCGCUCGGGGGCCGCGAGCAGCAAGCGAUAAAGGCCGGCGUCGCAGGGCUGCAGCGGCGUCGGGGACGUUUGCAGGGAGGUGCGACGUCCGGUUAGGAACCUGCUGGCGUCGCUUGGUUUCUGGGUCGAAGGGCGGCAGCUGCAGAGAAGUCGGGAGCAGGGGAGCCCAGCGUCUGGCGGAACGGCGUGCUGGUCUCGGAGCAACGGCGUCAGGCGUCGCGGCUGGGGCGCGGCGGGAGCUAGCGGCUGGGGCGCGGCGGGAGCUAGCGACUGGACGCGGGCGGCGCAGGGGUGCCGGAACAGCGGCAACCGGCGACUCAGGCGAGAGGUGAACGGGAGACGCACCGAGGAAGAAAAACAGUGCCCUUUCCCCCUUUCCUUUUUUCUUUGUUUUUUUCCUUCUUUUUUUUUCUGUCUCACCAGUCCCCUCACACGUCUCUCUCUCUGCCCUCUUUCUGCACAGCUUUGACUUUCCCCUUCCAGCCUUUUCCUUGCCUACGAAGGAGGAAAAAUAAACCCCAAGCAAAGAGCUUUUUAUUCCUUUCCCCUCUUUGUGCGUUGCCUUUUUUCGACCUAAGACUCCAUAAGAACCCCAAAAUCCUAUGCGUGGCCACGGCUUAGGAUUUUAAUUUUUCUAAAUCCAUAUCUACAAGAUUCAUUUUUUCGAAUGCAAUAUUUAUUUUUUAAAUACAAUAUUUACUUUUUUGAACGCAAUAUUUUUUUUUUAAUACAAUUCAGGAUUACAAGAGGAUUCUUCUCAAGUUUGAAAUCUCGCACAGAUAAAUUCGUAAAAUUUUCUCGAGGAUACGGGCCUUGGACAAUUUUCUCUUCGUGGGCUUAGCCCAACUCAUCAAAUUAAAGUUCUAAACCAUCAAUUUGAACCCAUCUGUCAUCGCCCAAUGUAAAUGGAAAAUAAUAAUAAAUGCACCUAAAACUAUAUGCCAUGCAACUUAAUUGAAUAAUUUAAAUUUUUGUAUGAAAUAAAUAAAUGACUAAACGGGUUGCUAAAAUUUUAGGUAUUGACACUAACUGUUAAGGAAAAUUAUAGUAUGCAAGUUCCGAAGAAGAGACCUUGUGCACGUUGUAUUGGAAUAUAAAUAUAAAAGUUGUGUAGAGCUUGAAAGAAUAAAUAGAUAUUGCUAACUUAAACCAUAGUAAUAAUAGAGACAGAUGUUACUGUAGCAUUCAAAAUAUUUACCAUGAAAUCGGUUUAUACAAUUAGAGAUACAAAACAAGUAGCAUUUGUUCAGAGUAAAGUGAAUUGGUUAAAAAAUGAAUGGCACAGAUUACUUGGAAUAUUUUUCAAUGGUAAGAAAUCUUACCUAAUUGUUGGGUCACUUGAAGAUAGAAGCCCCUCUUAUAAUAUUAAGCAAAAUUCUUGAGGAUGUAUUGACCUUCAAAUUUAUCCCUAAAUAAUAUUUCCUGAUGCCGAAAUAGCCAUUCUCUUAUAGUUAUCUUCCUACAUUAUACAUUUUUAGAUUGCCAUUACCUUUCUUUUGCCUUCUUUAUUUUUCCAUGAUCACCUACAAUAUCUCUUUGUGUGGAAAGGGCCAUAAAUGUAACUAUGCUUAGUAUUGUCUAUGUUGGGUGUAAAUUUUCUUUUUUGACUGAUUUUACUUUUGGAAAUAAAAUUAUGCGCUCACUUCACACACAAUAUUAGUAGAAAUAUGCGGAAGUGAUCUUGAAACUGAUAUGUUAACGUGCAGGACACAAUUGAUAUUCACAUAAACAACAUAUGCUUAAGAGUUAAGACUAAAGUAGAGUUAGGGAUUUGCUAAAGUGCAAAAUAGAACAAAAAAUAGACAAACAGCAUACACUUAAGAAUUAGAGAUUGUUAACGUGAUCACUGUUGAGUAAAGCUUGCAUGCAGACGUGCCAUAUAACUCAACUUCACAAGAGUUUUAUCUGAUAUAUAUAUAUAUAUAUGUGUGUGUGUGUGUGUUUUUAAAUUAAAUUAUCUAAAUGACUUAGCUGGUCUACCACUUAAAUAUUAAGAUGAUGCUCAAUAGCAAAUAACCUUCAAUUUUUUUUUCGCCAACCAUACAUUUUGAACAAUAUGGAUCUCAUGAGAGAUCAAAAUAAUCAAAUUGUGAGAUUCUCUUAAUCUAAGUGACUAACUUGCCUAGCAAAAUAUCUUAUCAUACUUUUAAAAAGAGAUUUUUAUUUUUUUUGUCAGGUGGAGAAUAUUACUGUAUUGCAUUUCAGUCGAAAAGAGUUGAUAAUCCAUCCAUUUUCUCUGUCACUAAAAACACAACCGACAUAAUCAUGGAGGAUGUUCCUGAAAGAUCCCUAUAGGGACUAACAUUUUUUUGGUAGUGUGCAUGCUCUAGAGAAGCAACUGUUGGGCUCGGAGAAUUUGCACAUCAACAACACCAAAUAAAUAUCUGUGAAACAACCAUAUUAAUCAUAGCUUCCAUCUUAUUGAAGUGUUCUCACAUAUGACAUUUAGUAGCACAAGAAGUCGAAUUUACCACCGGUUGUAUGGAUAUAUUUGAAACUAUCUGGACCUAGUUUGCUCAAAGUUAUGGUACCAUUCGUUGGUACCAAGCAGAAUUUCUAUUGCUGAAUGCUUUAUUGUAUAAUCAACCAGCUAUUGCAAUCAGUCUUUGUAGGUGCUAUAUACAUUUCAAUUUCAAAUUCAUGUGCGAGCACAUGCAUCAAUCGAUGAAAACGUUAACAUUAUGAGAAAGAAUAAAGAUGCCUUUUUCAUGUAUUUUGUUAAGUCCUCUAGAAGUUCCAAGGGUCCCCUUGUGCUUUCUGCGUUGGUAUAUAUGGUCCACAUUAAAAUUUGAGUUGAUGGCAGAGUGGUGCAAAGUCACAUGUCACAUUUUCUCUUUGUCGAGCCGCACCAUGCGAACGAUCUGUCGAUUGUCUCCACCUUUGGAAAUUAAAAUCCUAAAAAAAUCACGGUAAGUGACAAUGUGGUAAGAGUUAGAACUCCAUGUCACGUGGGUGUGGCCAGUCCUGUCCAUUCAUUAUCUUUUUAUUAUAUUGGUGCUGACACGCCGACCGUGUAGAGCUACAUUCCGAAAGCAAUCGUUUAACGAUCAAAACGGCUCAUCUAUUUCUUUCUCCAUUCCGAGGGCGAUCGUUUAACCAUCUAGUCGAAUCACCUGUUUACUUUGAACGGCGGAUGAUUAUUUAACCAUCAAGUCGAAUCAUCCAUUUACCUUUUUUUUUUGUCGAAAAGAUAAUUAUUAUUUAAGUAGUUGCAACAUUACAGAUAGGUGUAACAUUACAUCUAGAAGCUAUUCCAUCGGCAGAUACCAAAGCUUGCAAAAUAAAAGGAGGAAAGAUAUUCCAGUCGCGGGCCAGGUCAGAUCUGCCGUCGGCUUUAGCAACCCAAUCUGCUACUCCACUUGCCUCCCUUCUACAAUGCCGCAGCUGCAAAUUAGGGUAAAGGGAUAGCAAAGCUUCAAUUUCAGGGAACAUCGCACGUUCUUCCCACGGUGGCUUCUGUCUCGCAUGAACUGUGUCGAUCAAGAGCAAGCAAUCAGACUCAAUCACCAGAUUUUCCUUAUUGAGGCCUUGGUGCAGCAGGUGAUGAAGAGUAAAGGUAAGCGCCUGCACUUCCAUUUGAAAAGCCGAAGCUGCUGUGAAUCUUCUGGUGUAGACAUCUGUAAGAAUACCCUGAUGAUUUCGACUUAUACACGCCAUUGUGCCCUCUUGACUGCUAGGAUGAUAAGAUCCAUCUAUAUUGCAUUUCAGGAAUCCGCGAUCCGGGGGUUUCCACAAGGUUGCUGUUUUGGGAGCAGAGUCCCCUGUUCGCGAGUCCCCUGUUUGCUGUUGGCUCUUAGUAGAAAUGUGCUGAAUCCGUGUUUGUGCCAAGGCGUCUGCAACCCUCGGUUUGGAUCGGGGCGCUGUCGGCGAAAUAUGCUGUUGUUGCGCAGACACCGGAUCUGCCAUAAGACUUGUGCAAUUGUCUCCAGUCCAGGUAAAAGUCUGUGAUUUGUUGCUCUUUCUGUGAUCCACGCAUCCAGACGAUGCACAGUAUGAGGCGAUACAGAAAUGUUGAGCUGAGGAUGACUCCAUACUCCUUUAGUCCACGAACAGAAGAAGAAUAGGUGUUCUAUGGUUUCUGGAGAAGAAUAGCUCACCAAGAUUAGCUUCAGGAUAGAGAAGUCACAAAUCCGUUUACUUUGAACGGCGGAUAGUCAUCUCUUUCUUUCUCCAUUCGUUACUAUUCGAUGCUCCCCUUCCUUCGUCCUUUUCUUUGCACUCAAAUCACUUUGCCUUGUUCAUCUCUCGCUCUGUUUCGCUCUUUCUUCUCCUCCUCUUCAGUAUCUGCUGCUCUUUUUUUCAUUUCUCUCUCUCUCUCUCUCUCGGCAUAAGAAAACAACGAAAAAUGUCGGCCGAUUCUGUCGCUUCUAUUGUAUGGGAUGUCAUGAAGAGCUGUGUGGUUGUUCCCAUCAAGCGUGGAUUUACAUACGUGAUCUCCAGCAAGAGCUUCGCCGAUGGCCUUCGGGAGGAAGUCCGGAAUCUAGAUAAUGAGGCUCAGAGAGUCCGCAUUUUGGCAGAAGUGGCCAGGAGCAAUCUUCGGAAUUUCUAUGAUUGCUUCACGGAGUGGCAGCAAAGUGCUGACAAGGCCUUGGAGGAGGCGCGAGACCUGUUGGGUGACAUCGACAAGGCGAACAAAAUGUGCUGGCACGGGACUCUUCCUGACCCCAAAUUUCGCUAUCACUUUAGUAGAAAGGCCGAGCACAAGAUCGAUAUCAUCAAGCAACUUGCACAAAAAUGCAGCGGAUUCAAGGAAUUGAACGACAUCUGCUUCAGUGCUCCCGCUUUGGGGAAUGUCACUGCUCCGACUCCGGCGAGGAUAGAGGGCAAAGAUGUCGUCCAGUCGAACACCACAACAGCUUCCGCUUCUCCUGCCUUGUCAUCGAUUAAGUUUAGGGACAAUGACAUCUUCGAAUCCAGAGCUUUAAUCAUGCGGGACAUCAUGGACGCUCUUGCUGAUAACAAUAAUAGCGUGGUCGGGAUUUAUGGGAUGGGCGGGGUCGGCAAGUCCACACUUUUGAUGGAUGUUGAAAGAAGAAUAAGGGAAGAAAAGUUGUUUGAUUGGGUUGCUAAGGCCGACGUUUCAGAAAAUCCUGACAUCAAGAAAAUUCAAGGAGACAUUGCGGAUGCAUUGGGCCUUAGUGACAUAAAGAACAAAGAGUAUGUCAGUGGGCGAGCAGAACUUCUGCACAGGAGGUUGGAAGAUGAGGAGAGGCAGCAAAAGAAGGUCCUCAUAAUACUGGACAACCUAUGGGAGGACCUCAACUUGAAAUCAGUUGGCAUUCCUUGUGGACUUGACAACAAAGUCAGAGGAUGCAAGUUGUUGUUGACGUCCAGAGAUCGUCAUGUUUUGCGAAGGGAAAUGCGCUGCAAUAAGGCCUUCCUCCUUGAUGUGUUGAAGGAGGAAGAGGCAAAAAGAUUGUUUGAGACGAUGGUGGGAGGCAAAGUUCACGUAGAGUUCGAACCGCUGGCGGAUGAAGCACUCCGCAUAAGUGCAGGUUUGCCUUUCCUAAUUUGCGCAAUGGCGAAACUUUUUAUAGAUGCUAGUUUAUCUGAAUUGAGUGAUGCUUUAAAUCAAAUUGAGCUGUCUACAGACGAAGGAAUAAGUGCAGUGAUAAAUAAGGUGUUGCAAUUGAGUUAUGAUCAUUUGAAAAGCGAGGAGGCAAAAAGUCUGUUACAACUCUGUGCUGCUUAUGGCAUCUCUGAACCCUCCGUUGAAAACUUGGUGAGGUACAGCUUUGGCUGGGGGAUAUUUCAAAAAGAUAGCAGCAUGAAAAAUGCUAGAGAUAGGUUGUUCACACUCAUCCGCACUCUUCAAGCCUCCUCCCUUUUGCUAGACAAUGGAGGCGGAGAUGGUUUCAAGAUACAUGACUUGGUUCGUGACUUUGUUGCCCGGUUCAUUUUAAGAGAUCACCCUCUUCUCUUGUUGAAAGAUAAAGAUAUGUUGGCACGAUUGCAGAAGGAAAAGCUCAAAAGUUGUACGGCAAUAUGCUUUCCCUAUAUUAACAUGAAGGAGCUUCCUGAAGAAUUAGAUUGUCCUGAAUUGCACAUCUUUUUGCUUUUCAGCAAUAAUGAAUCUCUAGAAGUUCCAAAUUCAUAUUUCAAUUCCAUGAGGAAACUUGCGGUCUUAAAUCUUACUGGUAUACGUCUCACUAGUUCGCCGAUGCCAUUUCAGUUCUCCGAGAACUUACAUACUCUGUGUCUUCAGCGUUGUCUCCUAGAGGAUGUGGCCAUUCUUGGCAAGCUAAAAGGGUUACAAAUUCUCAGCUUUGUGGACUCUGAAAUUCAGCGACUGCCAAAAGAAAUUGGGCAACUGGUAGAGCUGAGGUUGUUGGACUUGAGACGUUGUUCACAACUUGAGAUAAUUGAACCGGGUGUACUUCAAAGCUUGAUCAAAUUGGAGGAGUUGUACAUGGAGAAUAGCUUUGAUCAAUGGAAUGCUAUGGAGCAAACUCCACCAACUAAUGCGAGUCUAAUUGAGUUGGAUCACAUGAAGAAUCUCUAUACUCUGUAUGUGUCCAUUCCCGACCUGAGUGUACUCCCAGGGGACCUAAAUGUCGAGAAACUAACCAAGUACAGAAUUCAAAUAGGUAAUGCGUGGCGUUGGCUAAGUGAGUGCAAAGGAUCAAGGACACUGGAGCUCAAGUUGGAUCGAUUAAGCGAGGUUCACCGAAAAGGAUGCAUACAAAAUGUCUUAGGGAAAAUUGACGAUCUGCUUUUAAAUGGAUUGGAUGGAAGUGAGCAAAGUGUUUGUGCAUUAUCAGAAAAAGGUUUUAUAGAAUUAAAGCAUCUACAGGUCGAGAAUAGUCCCUCUAUCCAUUACAUCCUCCAACGGCCUUCCCUUAUUGCUUUUGAGAUGUUGGAGUCAUUACUUCUCAAGAAGCUUAUCAACUUGAAGAAGAUAUGCUACAACCAUAUCUCCUCCUCCAAGUCCUUCAGUACCCUAAAAGUAAUUCGAGUUGAAAGUUGUAACAAGAUAGAAGUUCUAUUUCCACUUUCUUUAUUGAGAGGACUUCCACAACUAGAAGAGAUUGAAGUUGUAGGUUGCAAGUUAAUGCAAGGCAUUGUAGAAGCUGAUGAUUGUGGCAAAGUGGAGUUGCGUAAUUUGCAUACAUUGAAAUUGCGUGACUUGCCAAAUAUCAAGAAUUUUUUCAGCACUAGAAUAGCUCAUUUAAGUAGCACAUCAAACGACCAAGUUAACACUCAAGUUGCAUUCUUUAAUGGGCAACAGGUAACUUUCUAUAAAUAAAAAAAAAAUUACAUUUAUUAAUUUUUCUUUCCUUUGCUAAGUAGAUGCAAUACUAUGAUGCUAAUUCAUUUUGUCAUUUUCAGUUCAUUUUUUCUCUAAUUACCUUAUUUAUUCAGGCCUUCUCUACAAUAAGAUAAAGCAAUAUUCUAUUCCUCUUCAUUGUGUAGAAAUCCAACUAAUCGUGUGACAUCCAUGUAAAUUUAGUCUGUGAUAGGUACAAAGUUAUUUUCAACUUACAUGCUUGAAGUAUAUCUAUAUUAAUAGGAUUUCAUUGUGCAUUAAAGGGAAUUUUGGCAUUAAAGUAAUGUGACUAUUCUAGAAAAUUAAGUAAAUUGAAGAGAGGGAGAGAUUUUAUCUAAGUAUGGGAUUAUAUGAUCGUUAUGUGAGAAUAUCCAAAUUACUGUUUGCCCAUUGUUGACAAAAUCUACUUAGAAUUCGUACUUUUUGUUUUGUCUCCAGUAAUUCCAAUAGCCUUCUCAUUCUACGCUCAUCAACGUUAGUAUGGAGAUUUUUUAUUAACUUCUUUUUAUUUUGUUCUUUUUUACUAUUGUGCAAUGAAUUCAUAAUUUACAUCUUGGCACCCAUCUAUAUUCAUAUCUUGAAAGUUCAUGAAUAACUCAAUCACCAAUUUUGUGAGCGAAUAUUGCAGGUUGCAUUUCAUAGCUUGGAGACAUUAUAUAUCACCGGUUUGGAUAACAUCAAGAUGAUAUGGGACAAUCAAGUUUCUGCAGAUUCUUUUUCUAAACUAAAAUUACUUGUUGUGGAAAAAUGCAAUAAACUUGUGAAUGUGGUUCAUUCUUUCAUUCUAGAACGGCUUGUGAGCCUAGAAAGAUUGGAAGCAAGUUAUUGUGGUUCGGUUGAAGUUGUUUUUGAACUUCAGCCACUAAAUUGUUUAGAUCGACAUCCUAUUAAUCUUCCAUUAAAAGAGCUGAUAAUAUCAGGAUUACCAAAGCUAAAGUGUGUAUGGGAUAAGGAACUCCACCAUCACGUUAAAUUCCAAGGUUUACAUUCUAUUUGGGUUUUCAGAUGCGAGAGCCUCAUCUCUUUGAUUCCAGCCUCAGUAGCCAGAGAUCUAAUGCAACUUGAGGAGUUGAAGAUCGACGAAUGUGGCAUUGUGGAACUCAUCGAGAAGGAAGAAGGAUUAGUUCCCAAGUUUGUAUUCCCAAAUUUAACCUUCCUCGAGCUAAAGCAUCUGUCCGAGUUGAAGUGCCUUUACACCGGAACACAUACUUCCCACUGGCCAGCAUUGAAGACCUUGAAGGUGGAUGGUUGUAACAAAGUGGAGAUACUUGCAUCCCAAACUGAGAAUGAGAUGCCACGUCAUAAACAGCCUCUCUUCUUGAUGAAAAAGGUACGACCCGAGAUUAUUUGUUUUGCUUCAAUGGUGAAUAUUUGAAGUCGGCCACAGCCAAGCAUCUCAUACAAGUAGCUCUACAUAUGAAGAUGUAAACUGCUGAUUCACCUUGAAUCCAUAUGAAUAUUUCAACAUUGAAACAACAUAUGCUCUUCAAGUAUUGAUUGAACAUUCUUGUCUUUGCUUGAUGUAUUAAAUGCAUUUUCGUUGAUCCCCUUUAAAGAAAAAGGUUUGGGCUAAUUCCGAUGGUUUAGCUCUCUCCUAAGUGCCGCAAAUAUUGAAAACAUGAGGCAUGUGAUGUGAUCUUACCACGGUGCAAGUGUGUUGCCUAACUUGAAUCCUAUGAAGAUUAUUGAUGUUAUGCUAAAAACAGAAAGACUGGACAUAAUUGUUGACAUUAAUCACUUAAAUUUGUGCGAUUGUGUUUGUAAUUGGUGCAGUAGUUAUUUUCACAAGGGAUACAUCUUUAGACACGUGAAUGUAAGGAGUUAUAUAAGUUCAAUAUUGAUACAAGUCAAACAUAAAAUAUUAACGAUAAUGUUGAUUUGAUGUGGGAACAUUUCCUUAUGUUGAAUCACAUGAAACUCAGCAUUUUAAAAUGCAGUUAUUAUGAACAAAAUGCAUGACUAAAAUAAUAAUGCAUGAAUACUCUUUCAAUUAAGCUGGUUUCAAAUUCUGGUUUGAUUGUUUUCUCAGGGCGCAUUCCCUAAUCUCCAAGAGUUAAAAUUGGAUUUAUCAAAACGGAUGGAGAUAUGGCAUGGGCAUUAUCAUGAUGGAGAAUUAUUGUGCAAGCUUAGAGUUCUUGAGCUUCAUCAUCUGUCCAAGGAAUCUCACAAAUCCACAUGUCGUUUUGUUGAGAGUUUAACCAACUUGGAAGAGCUAGUUGUAUGUGAAUCUUAUCUAGAACAGCCAGACAGCAAGGAGGAAGCCAUAGAAGGCACAAGUCAUGAGCUAAAAGUAGUAUUACCCUUUCCAGGAUAUAUUCAACAUUUGCAGACUCUUGAUGUGUCGCAUUUUGAUGGUUUAUCAAAUAUGUUCACACCGACAAUAGCUGAAAAUUUGGUGGCACUCACAAAAUUGAAGAUAAGCAAUUGUAGAAUAUUGACAGAAGUCAUUAGUGAUGAGGAAGUUAAGGAGGGGCAUGUAGUAGCUUUCAAUCAAUUGAAGUAUAUGGAGCUUAAUGGGUUGAUAGAGUUGAGAUGUUUCAGCUCAGGUGGAUGCACUUUGAUGUUCCCUAUCUUGGAAGAUGUCAUUGUGACCGAAUGUCCCAACAUGAAGUUCUUCUCUAAGGGAACAAUGGAGGCACCAAAACUAAAGAGAGUACGUGUAUCUACAGAUGCAGCAGCAGCGUUAUUUUGGAAGGAAAACCUCAAUAUCACCAUCAGAAAUAUGUCUGAAGAAAUGGUAUUUGCUUUUUAUCACCAAUAGAGUAAUUGCUUAUUGCUAACUAGAAUUGUAUGUUUAAUGAUUCAUUUUUCUGAUAGGCCACAGUUGCUGGAGUAAAGGAAAUGUGGUUGUCUGAGUUCUCUGAGCUAAUUGGAAAAUGGCACAGCCAACUUAAUCCCAUCAAGUCAUCUUGGCAAUUAAAAACACUGGUGGUGGAUAAAUGUCCAUCAUUUAUUAACGCUAUUCCAUCAAAAUUGAUGGUUGUUUUAGAGAAAAUGACAAGCUUGCAGGUGCGUAAUUGCGAGUCUUUGGAAGAAAUAUUCGGUCUUGAAGGGCUUGAGACUGUGGAAAGUACUCAGGUGCUGCCCCGGCUACAACAUCUGAACUUGGUCAAUCUACCGAAGUUGAGGCAACUAUGGAACAAAGAUCUUCAAGGAAUGAUGCGCUUCAAUUCUCUUUAUGUUUUGACCCUUUAUAAAUGUAGUAACUUGAGACAUGCUUUCAAUCCAUCGAUGGCUCAGUGCCUUGCCAAUCUUGCACAGAUUGAAAUAAAGCAGUGUGGUAAGAUGGAAGGAGUCAUCAUACAGGAAGAUGAGCAAGGAAGUGCAGUGGAGAGAAUUACAUUCUCGAAUCUUUAUUGGAUUAAGCUAGAAUGCUUGCCCAAUUUGACCAGUUUCCUCUUGGGGAGGAAUCAUAUGCUGGAAUGUCCUAGAUUAAAGCAGCUGACCAUUGUCCAGUGCCCCAAGAUGAGAAGUUUGACUUGGCAAUCUAGGAUGGAGAUUGAUCACAACACCCCCUCACUAUUCACCCCACAGGUCAGUCUUGUUUUUCUUUAUCUAAUGCUUUUGAUUUUGAGAUCAAUCAUCUUUUCAGAUCAAAGUACCAAUGAAUGGGGUGUCAGUAAUUGGAAGUUGGAAAUAAAAUGGUGCUUCGCAUGCGUCACAUAAAACAAUUUCAGUUCCACUUUUUUCUUCUUCUUUUUCGGCCAAAGAAACCUUAAAAAACACGGCAUCAAUCAUGGAUAAGAAUUUAGUUUUCCCUUACUCACCCAAUUUUUGCCAGCGGUCGGAUCACUGCGCCCCCCCCCCCCCCCCCCCAGAAACUUAUGGAGCUGCCGACUGCCAAGAGACUACUUUUAUAAUAAAAAAGAAUUAGGAAAAAUUCUUUACUUUUUGAACCAACCCAUUGCCCCCCCUAAAAUGGAAAGGGAAAAAAAAAAGGGGGUUUCCCCGGGCCCCAAAAAAAAAAUUUUUUUCCCCUUUUUUUUUUUUUUUUUUUGGCCAAAAAAACCCUAAAAAACCCCCCCCCCACCCAGGGAAAAAAAUUUUUUUUUCCCUUCCCCCCCAAUUUUUUCCCGGGGGGGGGGAAGGGGGCCCCCCCCCCCCCCCCCCCCCCCCCCCCCCCCCAAAAAAAAGAAAAAGAAAAGAGAGAAUGAAUAUAGUUCCAAGCAAGUUAUUAAUAUCCCAUUGGAUCUUGAUUUGGAUCCGAAUCUUUUCAAUGUAAGACUAGUAAAUUGACUCCAUUUGCUUUUUCUUAGAUCAUUUAAGUCUUUAUGUUGCCUCUACUUGGUUGCUAAUUUAUUUUCUUUCAGUACAAAAAUUUUGUGCACACAAUAAAGAAAAAAACUUGUAAACAAUUGAAGCUAUUUUUUCUUCUUAUCUGCCAACAAUUUUUCAUGACACUUCUCAUUAGUGAACUUACUAAUUACAAGAUUCAUAAGUAAUGUUCCCAAUUAAGAUUAGCAUUGAAUUAGUAGUGGUGCUCAUAGUAAACAGAGGAAAUGACCUCUGUCUCGAGAAGACACAUGGAAUAUUGUCGUACUUGAGUUGCAAAUUAAUGUUAAGUGAGAUGCUCAACUCUCAUUUGUGCUCCCCUUCCGUAGCUUAUUAAGCUCAGCCAUUGAUCUAUAUAAAAAAGAGUAGUUCUGGAAUUUAUUGCUCAAUACAUCAAUGAUUGAGGAUGAUCAAGGUACCCUAUGGCAAAGAAACAGGAUGGGUCUCCAUCAUUUCCAUCUAUACAUGGACAUGGUUACGUGAUCAUCUUCCAAGUCCAUGCUAUAACAACCAAAUAAAUAUCAUAGUAUAAAUAAAUUUUACCUUUGUAACCAUAUGAUACUAAGAUAGUGUUACCGAUUCGCUUUUGCUAAUAAUUUUUGGAUAUUUCUAAAUCUACUAGAAAUGAAAAUGGGAAGUUAAUUUCUUUCAAUUGAUAAGAAAGAUAUGUAGAACCAUCUUAUACCUAUCGCUGGAACAUCGUAAUCUUGCACCCACCAGCACAACAUUGGAGCCGACAUUAGGAAGAGAGAAGAAGAAUAUAUAUAUUUUCCCUAUUGGAUUGAAUCACAUACGUCGAAGCUGCGUUGAACCGUGCUUUAGCUUCGUUCAUUCCUUGAAGUAAAGAAAUCUAAGAAAAUCUCACCUUAUCUAAUGUUGCAUUAUCAAAAGAUCAGCGCAACCUUCUAAUAAUGAUCGGUGCAAACAAAUCUAACGAAUUGCAGGAAAAUUGGAGAAUCCGAUAAUUCAUCAUUGCAACUUUCCACAAAUUAAAGGGAAAGGCGUUGCUAGUGUUUACUGUCAAUUAAGUCAAUUAAAAGCAGUGUUCAAUAAUUAUUGUAUCAUUCGACGGAAAUUAGGGGACGUCGUCAUCAGAGUAGAAUAUUAAGGAAUGUGUGGAAAUACACGUCAUCAUCUAAUUUUUUAAGAAUUAAAAUCAAAAUUUAAAUUAAUUUCGAUGGAUUCAGUAAAUACAAGCUAAUACCUUUACAGAAUUUAUUUAUAUUUGCAUCACUUCUUCAAAAGGCAAUUAACACAUAUCAAACUGAUCAUGUCAGUCUUUUCCCUCCGGUUUUUGACCCGUUUUGUUACAGGUACCGUACAAGUUUCAAUUAUUUUCUUUUCUGGCAGAGGAAAUGCUUGUGUGUAUUUUUUUCAUUCUAAUGCUUUUGCCCAAUUUUAUUAUUAUUAUCGUUAUUUGUGAGUAGAAUGUUUCAUUGUAUCGUGGAUUCACACGUGUUUACUCUUUAAUCAUAAGUCGUCAAGAAUUAGGAGCUGUGAUGUAAUAAUAUAUAUCCUCCACAUAAUUAUAAAUUUGCAAAAGGUCAUCAUAAUAGGCACCUUAGAGUACUAAUAGUUGUUGGGAAGUACGAAAAUAAUCAUAUAAUUUGCUCCUUGUGACAAAGUGUAAUAUUGUUAAUUUCUUGUUAAAUGCGAGCCGUCAUGCAAUCAUGGUUGUCCCCACAUUGUUAACUCAUCAAAAUCCUCAAUCUACAAUAUUAAUGGAUUUAGGAAUGUGUGGAAAUAAUUCUGUUUAUUGUUGUGAUAAGUCGUAAUUGCAUCAAUUUAUUGUAACAAAAUAAAAAAGUCAAUGCUCGCUUCUCAAUGGACAAGUCACAAGAAGUUAUAACACAGUUGAUUCUCUCCAAACAAACAUAAUUUGACUGCAGCAGAUAUCUUGGUGGACCGUUUGAUACUUGUCACAAACUUUUCUAGUUUCAUGGUCCAUGGACCUAGGGAAGUACGGAAAUAUGCAUAUGGAAACAAAGGUUGUACAUAACGUAAUUUCAUUAAUUUCAUCAUACCCAAUGAAAAUUCUGCAUGAGCUGUUACAUGAACAAUUCAUUGCAACUCAUACUAUGGUUUCGUUUUUUCGUACCAUGUUUUAUUUUGUCAUAACAUAUUUCAUGUGUUCAUGAACACUAAUUGUGUUAGUCUAUGGAUCCUUGUUUGUGUGAAAAAUUUGCCUUAAAAUUCAUGUCACACGAGAUAUAGGAAAUCCCAAAGUAUUCAUUUGGUAUUUGAGUUCGUGAUUGCGUUCUUUGUGCCGUAACUCGAUGUAAAAUGGUCUGCUAUCUUUUGUGUACACGAGUAUUAAAGUGUGGCAAGCACCGUAAGGUAAUUCAAUUUGUCACACCGCAUUACAUGAUUAUUGGAAUGCAAUAAACUCGGCCUUAAACAUCGGUCAGCUGAAAUAGAAGCAUCAAUCAAUCUCUCCCUAUUUAUCUCAGUAACAACCUCGAGGAUUUUGAGAGCUUGAAAAAUUUGUAAAAUUCUUUUUUAUGGCCAUAACUCAAUGUAACCACAUUCAUUUUUCAAUUUUGUCAAUAUGGCAGGUGCAAUUUCCUUGCCUUGAAUUGAUGAUUCUCUCCCACAUGGACAAUUUGAGCAAAAUAUGGACUGACGUUCCUCGAGAAACUCUCGUAUGUAAACAUUUACAAAAACUGGAGGCUCAAAACUGUAAGAGCCUUGAAAAUCUGUUUCCAUAUUGGGUGGCUACAAGUCUAAACCAACUUGACAAACUUCGAGUAGAGUCUUGUGUGAUUGAAGAAAUAGUCGCGAGUGGGGAUGACACUUCAUACUCCAAUAUUGCUCAAGUUCUUUUCCCAAAACUGACCUCUCUGGUGUUACAUGAUAUGUCACAACUCAAGAGCUUCUGUCCUAACUUGCCCACUUUGAACUGGUCACUCUUGGAGGAAUUGCGAGUGACUCAUUGUGAUAAAGUGAACAUAUUGUCUUUUGCAACAUCCAUGAGCAAGUGGACUCAGAGAAACAAUCAGCAGAACCUUUCAGACCAAGAGGCACAUUUUUCUUUUGAGAGGGUAUGAUUACCAUUGCUCUUCCUCAAUUUCUACUUUGUUCUUCAACGCACCCACUAAUCUUAUGUCCCCCUGCAUAAUCAUGUCACGUCAUAAUACUAUGAAAAACAUUAUCUUCCUUACCAAUCGGUUUGUUGACUGCAUAAGAUAGUUCUGAUAUCUCAAGUAUACUUUUCAUUUGUGGACACACAUAAGAUAUUUCAUUGCAUAGAAUUACAAAAAUAAUUACAGAUUUUUGUUGACAACACAAUUUGAUCAUAAUCUAAUCUAAUCUAAUGGUGCUUCUUGGGGAAGUCAAUGACAUUUGGCACGAGAUCCUCUUGACACACAUUGCACAUUUAAACUUUUCUUCUCUAUUUAUUUUCUACAAACUAUAAAAGAAUAAACUAGAACAUUUUUCUUUUUUUAAAAAAUAUCAUUCUUCAAUUCAUUAUAUUCUACUUUAUCCUUCAAUUCACUCCUCACAUUUCAUGUCCACUAAGCAUGUCACAUUAUAGCACUAAAAUCCCGAAACCCCCAUAUAUAAAUUUGCAGACGAAGGAAGAUGUCUCUUUAUCUUAAGUACACUUUUAAGUUUGUGGACACUAUACGUUUUAGAAACAUUAUGGGUGCAUCCCAUUACAUAAACUCCAAAGAUGACAAACUUUUGUCGACAAGAUAAGAUAUUUCUAAUAAAAGAUGAAUUUGGUGAGCUGGAGGGCUCUUGAAUUUAGAUUCACUCUACCAACAUAACCAUACCAACCUCCACUUGAGACUUUUAAAAGCUUGAGACUUGUUUGCAAGGAUCCUUACAUUUGAUUAAAUGCCCUUCCAUGUGAAUUAUAUGAACUAGCUUUACCUUUUACAACACAUGAAUUAUUGUCAAACCUUUGUUGAAUUUACUUCUCUCUUCAUGUUGGUAAUUUGACAGGACUUCCCCAAGUUAGAGAGACUUUCAUUAGACGAUAAAAAUAUUCAGAUUAUACAGGAUGGAAAAUUUACUGAUGACAUCUUUGGCAAGCCAAAAUUAUUAACAUUGGCAUGCUUUCAUGAUGAAAAGGCUAUCUUUCCUCCCAUAUUCUUCCUAAAGAGAUUUCAGAAUCUAAAAAGCCUUGAGGUCUUCUGUAGUUCCUUUGAAGAUAUAUUCCCUAAUGAAGGGUUUGUCCACGAGGGAAGAAAUUCUGUGCUUGAAAAUUUAAGAGAACUUAAGUUAAGCAAGCUACAUAGCCUAAAGCGUGUGUGGAGAGAAGACUAUUUAGUGAUGAAAAUUCUUCAGAGUAUUGAAACAUUUGAAGUUUGGGAUUGUCCUCAUUUAACAACAUUAUUUCUAGCAAAGACAUCCUUUCUCAAUUUAACGAAGUUAGUGGUGAAGAAUUCUUCUGGAUUGGUACAUCUAGUAAUAGCUUCAGAGAUCACAAAUUUGGUGCAUCUCAUUGAGAUGACUAUAAUAGGAUGUGAAAGAAUGAAAGAAGUAGUGGCAAAUGAUGGAAAUGAAGAAGGAAAAGUGAUUUCUCUUGGGAAGCUAAGAAUAUUGAGACUCCAACAUCUACCUAGCCUAUUAUGCUUCUCCUCCAUCACAAGUUGUAGUUUCAGGUUUCCUUCCUUGUUUAAGAUUGAAGUGGAAGAGUGCCCAAAAAUGAAGAUCUUUUCUAAAGGUACGCUAAGCACAUCAGAAUUAAAAUAUGUGAAAUUGUUCAGGUACACGUGGUCAUGGAAUUGGGAGGGUGAUCUCAAUAAAACCAUACAAAAGUUAUUAGCAUAAACAAGAUACAUGUGGCCAUGGAACCGGCAGCCACGUGUGUGCUAAUUCCUCCACUUUGGCCCUGUCGAGAAAUUUCUGUACUCUUUCGUUUCUUCCUUCAGUCAGGCAACAGUGAUACGUCUGAAACGUUUAUCCAAAAAGAAAGGAUUUUUCUUGCGAGAAGGUGCUUUUUGGAGACGAGCUGAACAGUGUGCACUUAUCCUGAGUUGGUUUUCUAUGGUCCCACCACCCAGGUCCUCUCAUUGCUCUUAAAUCGGCCAACAACUUUCAAACGGGGCAUCUCUUUUUGAAGGCAGUGAUGAGGCCGGCUUAUAUUGAUGAUGGCAUGGUAAGACCCCAGCUUUUCAACUCAAACUAGCAUGUCUGAAAAUUAAAUAUAUGAAGGCUGUUUACAAUGUCUAAAACCAAGGAGUAAUUAGUUAGACAUGCUGGAUCUAAAAACUGUGUGAAGCACAUGUCUAACCAAUGCUUCCCUUUGGGGCUUUCAAUGAUAGUCCAGUAACCUGGCACCUAGCUUGGAUGCAUUUCUUAUUUUAACGUGCUAGUACCCGCAUGCCUUGUCUCCCCAAUUGGAGAGAGGGUUUUUCUUCCCUCUUCUUGAGAAUACCUGAAUUUUAUGUCCUAGAAUUCAAACGAAGUAGUUUUAGGACAUACUCAGGUCCACAUAUCUUUGCUUAUACUCUAGUGUUUUUUCCAAGUUGACUUCAUUUGUGUAGGAAACCACAUGACAUGUUAUUUUCCUCGAAAUGUUGAUGGACAUAUGUUUUAAACCAGGAUUAUAUCUUAACAAUGUAGUAAUUGAAGCAGGGAAGAGAAUGAAGGGACAGUUAUUGGGACAUAAGUUGGAGGUCGAAGGUUCGAGAAGAAAAUAAUCAUUUCUUUUUUGGUGGAUAGAUGUCUCAAAUUGUUGGAAAGGCCAAUGCUGAGGCAAGUCUUAAGAUUAGAAUCCAGUUCUUUUUAUAUGGAGAACUUUGACAACGUAUUCAAUGGCGUAAAGGUAGAAUAUAUGUAGGUAAAUCACACAAGGAGACUAUAUUGAUAAGCACAAGCAAAUUGCAAAGAAUGUUGCUGCCUCCAUAACUAAAUGGAAAGACCUAAAAGAUAGGGGGUGGCAUAACUAAAUGGAAAGACCUAAAAGAUAGGGGGUGGCUAGUUACGAUUAUGAAAUUUCAUUGUAAAUCAAAUGAGGAGACUAUAUUGAUAAGCACAAGUAAAUUGCAAAGAAUGUUGCUGCCUCCAUAACUAAAUGGAAAGACCUAAAAGAUAGGGGGUGGCUAGUUAUGAUUAUGAAAUUUCAUCGUAAAUCAAAUGAGUAAUAUUUUAAUGUCAAAUAGGAGAUACUGUUGCAAUUCGUUACCUUAAUCAGAUAUUUGGAAAAGAGAGAGAGAGAGAGAGAGAGAGAGAGAGAGAGAGAGAGAGAGAGAGAGAGAGAUUGUCAAAUGAACCAACAGUUAGUUUGAACAGCUUAAGUUAAAGUUUUUGAUUGUAUCCAAGUUCUGGUCAUCGAUGUCUUUGCUUUUUCCCUUCGCAUGUGGUCCGUGUGCUGGAAAUUCUCGUGUGUGUGUUACCCUAUAGCACUCUUGGAGCAAAGAUAUUAACAUUUGACUUUGAAUUGCAGGUUAAGAUUGAUGACUUCCAUUGUAUGGUUUCCUGUCUAUUAAAACUCAUGAAACUAUUUCACCCAAAAAAAAACUCAUGAAACUAACAACUACCGCCUGAAACUCGUUGCGUAUAAUUUGAUUCUUUCAUGAAUGUAUGCUUAUGUUUGGUGUUUUUUCACCAUAAGUUGGUCUUUUGACUAUGUACAUUGGCAGACUGCUCCUGUUCAAUUCUUCAGGCGGCAUAUUCGGGAAAACAAGCAAUGCGUGACUGUCAGGUAUUCAGACAGUUCAUGGACGGUGAAGCUGAGGAGCUAUGGACACAAUCGAGGGCAGUCUUUUCUUGCUGGUUGGCACGCAUUUGCUAGAGAAACUCUUCUGCAUGUGGAGAAUGUUUGUGUGUUUACGCUUAUUGAUAGCGAUGAUGUUGUGUGCAGAGUCUACAAAUUCACUAGUGCUCGUAAGGACUUGUUUUACAUUGAUUGAGAUGAACUUUGGAAGUGAUGCUUUGGCUGGUCCAAAAUAAAUUCAGUAUUCCAACUAGUAUCUCCUUUCUAGUCUUGAUGAAUCAGUGAAGCGUACUUCUAUUCCUAUGGGUUUGUGAGGUUCAUAAUAAUCCAGAUGCACACACUCAUUAUUGCCACAUUCUGAAUCUAAAUGAACAGAUAAGGAUUUGCUUCAAGAUGUCCUUUUCGGUUAAUGCAUUCCUAUUUGGUUGUUGUUCAUUUUGAAUUUGAAAUCAAGUCUCUUAGGCUUAUUAAGAUUAUGGGUUUUAUUCUUCCAACAGGGAAUGCCAAGGAGGUUCAUGAGAAAAUAGGGUGAAAAUCUCUCAAAAAAGGAUGCUUGUCAAAGUGUGAAAUGGUGCAAUUAUUUGGCCUAUGGAAUUGGAAAAAUGUGAUGAGAUGGUCGAAUGAAUAUGCAGAGCAUUUACCCUAUCUGCGAGGGCCAAUUUUUGGUCUUUAAAUCUGAAGUGGACUCCAUUUUCCAUGUAAUCAUAUUUGAUAAAGGCGUCUCCGAUAUAGAAUGUCCGCCAAUGAGUGGUGAUGCGAGGAACUGACCCUCAGCAAUUGUGGAUUUGCCUUGCGAUGAUGGAAGAUGCCGGUGAUUGCCGUGAUGUUUCGGUCAAGCUAUAAGUCUUGGGAGAUGAAGUGCAUUGACCCAAGAGUCCUCGGCUUUGUAAGGCAACAAAAUCUGAUCAAGUUUGUGAAGUUCAUGGCGGUUCCUAUGCACAUUCAUCAUCGUGGAGUUUGGGGAGAGACCAAAGUUUAAACUGCUCAUCAUGAGAUUUUCGAGGUGUGAAUCUUAAUCACUAGUUAAUUCUCCUCCACACUCUGUUGUUCUUGUGUUUGAUUCAAAUUCUGUAUAGGAACUCUCCAUGACGCUAGUUAAGAGACUGUGUUAGAGCUAAUUCAUCCCCGUAGUUCUUCUCUGCAUCUAGCUCUCUCGUGUGUGCAUAUGUGUGUGCAUACGUAUGUGUUGGGUGGUCUCAUAUAUGUCAACCAAUGUGCUGAAAAUGACAUUGCUGUGCAUAUAGGCCUCAGAAGUUAGACCAUUAGAAAAGCUCGCAUCAAUUGAUUUAGCAUUGUUAUGUCGAUGGACAUGAGUUUCACAUGACCAAAAAUAGUGUAUGCCUAGAAAUGGAAAGCUUUUUAUGUUCUGUUUGCGACUGCUGCAGGUAAGCUGAAAGAGCUGAGCUCGUGCAGAGCUCUUGAACUGGCCAGCAAAUUUAAGCCCGAGUAUCCUUUCUUCCGAAGUUACAGCAAGGUAAAUAUAUCUGAAGAAAAGCAACGCGAUAAGAUCCUCAUGACAAGGAAAACUGUUGGAUUUAAAUCACAAAGAGUUGCUAAACUAUGUUAGCUCUAGGUUAAGCGUGCAUCGUGUCAAUAAUUUCUGUUUUUAUCCUUCAGAUGCUUUGAAAAGGAUCCUCCUACUGUCUGCCUCAGAGCUCAUUGGUUGUUGCAAAAUGUCUACUUGAGCAGAGAGUUACCGGCUCACUCCAAAAAUGCGCAUCAAGAAAAGUCCGCAGACCGUGGCUCUCAUAUUUUAAGACAAAUCAUGGCCGGCGAUGCUCAUCAGCCACGGUUAUCAUGGAAAGUUCUCUGCCGGUUGGACCGCAUUCACAAGAUAAACUUCUCUGAAGGCAGGUGGCAAUGUGUGCUCGAGCUUUAUUAGAAGGGAUGAUGUCAUUUUUGGAGGGUCCUUUAUCAGAACCACUGAGAAGACUUGGGUGAACAAUACUAUGCAAUGGACACAGCAGAGGAAGCAUUGCUUUUAGCUCAAUUUUGGUGAGAACAGAACUGCAGAAUUGCUAGGCUGAAAUCUGCUUCUGAUUUGGCAAAUUGGAUAAAAGCACAAGUUUUGUUCUAAUGGAUGGAAUGCUCCUGAAUGUACAUGAUACCUUCCUUGAUCCUAGUGUUGGCAGUCACCAUGUGGCCAUGGGUCAUGAGACGGAGGAAGCUGAUUGCUAAUGUCGAUUUGAUAACUUCCAUUUCUGGAAACAAUCUCUCGAAUAAGUUGCUUCUUUAAGGUUUCCGGUGGCUCAACCCAACCUUUGGAACUAUUUAAGUUGUAGUAGCAUCGAAUACGCUUCCCUUAAGUCAUGUACCAACUCUGAAUUUCAAGGCACAACCCAUGGUUUUACAAGCUCGAUGUGGACAUACGUUAGAUUCUAUUCAUCGUCGCUUUUCGAAUUCAUAAAGAUUCUAUGACGAGCCUUUUUUGGCAUGUGGGCGGCACAAAUUGAAGUUUUCUUAGUUUCUUCUCAUGUGAAGAGCAUUCGGAACUCAUUUUGUCAAAUGAACUGAAUCUGAUAUGCCUGGCCAAGCGAUAAUCCAAUCCAUGCUGCUUCUUUUCAUGGUUAGCCAAUUAAAGGAACUUUCACACCAAUGUCUACUGAAUUCCCUCAUUGUUUUAAACGGGGAAAAGGGUAUUUUCAUGCCUCUCUUGCAGCCAUCUCUUUUGCUGCAGUAGCAUAACUCUGUAAAGGCGUCACUGCCACACAACUCUUCCGCAACCCCUCUCAACAAAACAGCAAUCAAGCUGGAUAAACAUCGCCGAUUCUCCGUCUCUCUUGAACGGGGCGUUCUUCGAAACAGAGUCCGACUUCGUCAUUCCAUCAAACACCUUCCUUGCAAACUCGAUUCCCUCCUCCACGGGGCAACUGACGGCAAUGGAAUUACGCCGGGGGGGAGGGGGGUGAAGAGAGUGAGAGAGAGAGAACAAAGGCGAAAUAGAAAAUCAAACAGACAAAUUGGGAAUGAAAACGACCUGGGAAUGGUGAAUAUCGAAUGAUGGAUUCCGUCAUCGCCUGAACGUAGCAAGGAACAGCUGUCUGCAGAGAUUUCUCGAAGCAACGUUCAUCGGAGAGAGUUCGUGGGCAAAGGGAAUGUCUGGAUACUGUCUGCCAAUUCAGAGGAUGGGAUUUUUUUGGGUUUCACUCUAUCGGCCGUCCCGCCGGUGCAGCGUCCCUUCAUCGACCGAUGCAAUCUGAGGCCGAUCGAGUCGUCAUUGUCCGAGACUGAUAGGCCGAGAGCGUGAAGAUCGGUGGCGAGGCUGAAGAGAAAACGACGAGAGCUAAGCCGGUGGAGAUGAUCGCGUUGCCGCGUUCUGUUCCCGGUUUGAAUGAACAGUGCUUUAAUGUCAUUUGUGAAAGCAAAAUUCCACUUUUUUUCAAACAACUUCUAAUUCCGUAGAAAUAUUUUAAUUUUUCUUAAGUCUUUCAAUUUGAGAUUUCUAUUAAAAUACAUCCUUUAAUUGAAAAAAUUAACCUAUUUCAUUUCCGGUUAUCGAGAUAUCAUCGACCUAAAUUAACAUCGUGAUAAAAUGAAUUUCAUCUCGUUAAAGUAAAGCAGGAGUAAAUCCUAAUUUAAACAAUGUCUUGCGUAAAUGUGCUUAAUACCUUUCAAUAGUUUAUCUGCACUAUUUGCCUUAAUUAGUCCUACGGAUUUUUGUUGACAUUGGUCGCACGGUCCUUACCACCAUAAAAAGGAAGGAAAAAGCAGCUUCUGUCCAGGGGUCCUACCAUCCUUCGCGGGAAACACUUCAUCAAUAUGAAAAUGAGUAUUUCUGGUACCUAAUUCUACAACCUCGGAGUUGGAUCUGGCCCCAGUGCUGCGUAAAUAAUAAAGUUUAUUCUAGUUGAUUUCUUCGACUCACAUAUCACGACGUCGGCUUGAAGAUUUAGUUUUCGUUUUGAUUCUUGUUUUUGUUUUUGUUUUUUUUCCACUAAGGACUCCAAGAGUUAAAAAUCUCAACUCCAAUAAACCUCGAAACAUAAGUUUUCCGUGCUAAGCUAGUUUCACGUUCAAUAUGGAAUCCAUCUAGAAUGUAAUAAUCCCUAGCUUUUAAUGUGAGAAUAUCUUAGAGUUGCAUUGUACUUGAUGGUUGAUGUAGUUGAUGGUGCGGAAAGUGCUGGGUAUAAACAAUUGAUAUACCAAAUUGGUGUGCAAAUGAGAUUUUUCGGUAAUUGGGGUAAAUGUCAAACGUAGUCACUUUGUACAAUCAAGUCACUAAACUUUAAUUUUAAUCGCCCGAUACAUUAACAUCAUUUUUUUCCCAUAUGUAAUCAAUGAAUUAUGAAGAUUUUUCCGAAAAUUUUCUAUGCAAUAUUUACAUAGCAGUCUUACAUAUCUGAUUAAAAAUGUUAUAACAGCAUGACAUCAUAUUAGUCUCCAUUAAGAAAAAACCGAAAAAAAUAUAGAAGUUUAAAAAAAGAGAGGAUAGGGAUUCAUUCACUCCAACUCACGUCGAAACCCUCUGUCUCAUUUGGGUUACAUGGCCCUGUGUUACAAGGGAGGUUCUCAAGGCGUAACCCGAUCGGGAGCUAGCUAAAUUUAUCAUGAGUAUUUAAAUUCUCUUUUAUCCCCAUCAGAUUUUCUAAAGAUUUAUAUAAUUGAGUCCAUAAUGACUAUUUUCAUUUCAAUUUGCCCCCGCAAAUUAAUGAACCUCAAUAAGCAAUUGCAGAAUCAUGAAAAUCUAGUUGCCAUAAACAAACCAAACCGACGCAACUGUUAUUUUCAUCUCAUAUUAUUGAGUUCAAGAGCAUCGGUUUGUUUACUAAAAUAAUCAUUAUUUACCGAAGUUCGCCCCCACUAGGAAAAAUUUCUAGAUACAUCCAUGAAUUGGCCAUGGUUUGCUUGGGUUUUGAUUUGGUACAAAUUCUGAAGUUCAUUUGACGAUUGAAAUCAAAAUUCAAUGACCCGAUUGUAAAAAUGCGCUAUAUAAUCCAGUCGUCAAUAAUUGAUUCCUCAUCUGUUGUUCUCUUUAACAAAUUUGAACGCCUAGCCUCAUCCGAUCAAACUUCCACAAAAUUCCCAUCAAUCCCUCUCCUUUUCCCCUUCAACUUGGCUGCUACUCGUAGCUGCAAUCACCGCCUUCUCCCCGUCUUCAGUUGAAUGAAAGCCUAUUAAAUGAGCGUUAUGCAAUCUUUCGAGGCCAUUUUGGCUCAGUCUUUGAAGGUUGAGUUGAAAAAUUUCGAGAAUAAAUAUCUGAAAUCAUUUGAUGCAGGACUACGCAGUCUGCUUUUGCUUUAAAAUCAUAGAUAACUGUUAAUUUUUUAAUUUUUUUGUCAGAGAGAUGAGUUUCUCAUGUAUCCAUUUCUAACUAUUGUAGUUCCAUCUUUAACUAUUGUAGUUUCUGCUGCAGGCAAAGGGAGGAGAUCAGAUUUUUUUUGGUGAAAUCGAGAGUUGAUUCUUUUUUCUUGGUCGAAGAAAUCAAGAGUCGAUUAUUGUAGUGUGAAAUCUAGGCAAGCCAAACAACCACAGUGUAAGCUGUAAUCUCUCCUAUUAUUUGGGAUGCUCUUGGUACAGGAGAAUAGAAGAAAUGACAGCGUAAAAUGGUCCUUUUUUCUAUUGGUUGUUUUGAGAAAUUACUCGGAAAAGCUAUCUUUUAAUUGGUGGUUGAAAAGUCUGUAAUUUUAACUUGUGUGCAAUCCCAGAUUUUUCGCUAGUACUAAGAUAGAAGAUGCAGUUGCUUCUCAAAGGUGGUGUUGUAGCACUUCUUGGUGUUCUCAUUUUGACAUCUAUCAAGCUAAAGUAGAAUGCACGGACAUUCGUUAGCGUACCUACAAUUUUCGUUUCUUUCCAUAUCACUUUAAAUUUCUUCAUUAUGAUUGUUCUAUCAUUUUAGUUGUAUCCCCGUUUCUGAUUAAUGUCUCUUCUUAUGUUACAUGAACUGUGUGGACAUACUCUUUUUUUUGUUUUCUCUUCCUAUUUUGGCUGGAUCGAAAUGCUGUCUUCUACUGCGUCGAUACAACUGCAAUGUUGCAUGCUUCAAUAUUUUUGGAAUCGCUGAAGCUCUUGAAUUUUUUGUGGCACAUUACUUCUUGCAAUUUAUCAAAUUUUGGUUUUUCUUCCUUGUUUAUUCCUGUAUGAUUCCACCAUUCUCUAGAUGUUACGUCCUGCCUUCCAACAAGUUGGUCCUCAUGGUGGGUAUUUACUGUAUAUGCUAGUACUUCAUUCUCUCUUUCUUUGGUUCUUGCAUGUGUGGGUGGCUGCUACUAUUGGUGCCUUUUCCUUUGCAUAAACAAAAGUGAUACCCCCGUUCUUUGCUUGAGUUUUCUUCCUAUUUAUAUCAGUCUCUCAAUUAAGAGUUUUUGAAACUGAGCAUGAAGAAAAUGACACCCUUGGGGUAGUCACUCUUGCUGGUGAUAUUUUGUCCAGUCCACGUCAUACCUACAAUGUUUAUACACUUAGUACUUCCGAACGAAUCAAUCAAAAACCGCAUAUAACUUCCACAAUAUAGUCCUAGGAGCGUAAAGCAGAAGGAAGAGAACUAUAGAAGACAUCUUGGAAAUGCUGCAAUAUUCAAUGAGGUAACCAACAUAGCUAAGAGGUUUACUCAGACUGCAAAUCUAGGACAUCUAAAAAGCCAUCAAUGAUACAUAACCAAGCCUCCAUAAUAUGUAGCAUUCAGCAAGAAAGCCAUUUCCACAAAUGAGAGACUUUGCUCCAAGGAUUGGAAGCACGUAGAAAACUGCUUUUAUGAACAUGCCUCGGAUGGACAACAAAGCUGAAUGAUUAGCUUAGCUUAGCAAAACAGGCCUCGCCUAUGUGAUUUGAUUAUGACCAAUUGGUCAAAACACAUUAGUAACUUCCACAAUGCCAUGUUAGGAGAGUAAAAAACUCAUGCAUGCACAGGAGUUAGAUGCUCAACACAUAAACAUUUAGUGGACCAAGGAACCACCCUGUUUGUCAUGAUUCUAAUUUGACUACAUCAGCAAUCGAACACACAUCAACAUAUAUGUAAACAGCAUUAUAUGACACAACCUCUUGGUUGAAGUGAUUCAUGUAGAAUCACAACAUAUCCUCCAAGUUAUCAGUCUGUUCCUGUUUGUAAUGCCUAGCAUGGCAAUCAUGAACAUGGUGGCUACAUUCCCACCAAACGCCCCAACUGUGGACACCAUUAAGGAGAAGCGAAUCCAAGAAAAGUGAAACUGCCAUUCUAUUACAUUUGAGUCAGAAAAGACAAGGUAUCAAAUUUAAAGGAUAUAUAUUACUAAAGCGCUCGAAAAAUCUAUUUCCAUCCUACGCUUGAAAAGCCACAAAUAGAGAUGCUUUAUCAAAAUCCUUUAAAACAACAUAUGCUAGUUAAUAAACGUACGAAACUACGUAAACAUUAAUCAUCUUAUUAUUUACUUCCACAAAGAUUGGACCUAAAAUGGGGCAUAGGGACGAGAGAGAAGUGUGCAAUAAAAGCUUGUUUAAGUGUAGCCCUAUGAUCAUUAUUUUUCUCUAUAGUUCUAGUGAAACAUAGCACUUGUGGAGAUAUAAUAAAACCAGUCGGUGUGAAAGACAACAACUGAAUGAUCGUCAGGUUGAAGUAGAAAGGGCUUAACCAGAAACUUGAAAGGCAAAACGAUCACAUGAUUCGUUCUAAAGCUAGCUCCAAAAAAGCGAUUGCAUCACUGACAUUUGUAAAUAUACAGAAUUUACAUAUCGAGAACUGACGAUGAAUAUAUGUAGCUAGGAGCCCAGAUCAAGACAAUGAGACACAAGCUGGUUAAAGGCUAGAAAGUGAAAAUCCUACGAGAUUUCAUUUCCACUAUGGACACGAUUCGUUCCUUGGUGGGUAGCAGAAAAAUCCAAGAGUUACAGAUUCCGCGUCAAAUAGAAUUAAAUAAUCCAGCCCUAGACAUAAGAUCAGGAACCACUAUGGUUCGCGUGUGAAGCCACUAGAACAAGCUACAGAAUGAUUCUCAUCCAAUUGAUCUGAUCUGAUACUUCGGUUUCGCAGCAAUCCUGAUGUUGAAUCCUGCGGCAAACAUCAUCAACAUUGAAUCUAGCAUCGAUGAAAGUGAAUCAACAAGUGUCAAAUUCCAAGACCUCAACCUCGCAUCGGAAGCGGCUUAAGAAAACUUACGGGAAGAGGAGGAGGGGGAGGGGGGGGGGGAGAAUCCGUGUGGUGAAAAGAGGAGGAACGGUCUGCUGUUGGGACUGCGGUGGCGUUGCCGAGGUGGCUCCCGAUCCUCGGGUACAUCGGAGAUCGGACUUCCUGAGGGCGGCAACGGUGGUGUUGAGGGCGGCGACGAUGGCUUGGCGCGAGAGGAAGGAGAUGAAGCAAUGGAGGUGUUUCCAAGAAUUGCAACGGAAGGGACUAGAAAACCGUGAAAUUGAAAAGGGAAAUCUGAUCCCGAUUCGUUGGGGAAUUUUCUUUAUUUUUGGCCAAUCACAAAUUUCGGAAAAAAUUACCUCAAUUUAAAUCGCUGAAAAAUGUGGUGUAACUAUUUGGCUGGCGAGUGACAUCAAAUUUUUAUUUAAUACUGAUUAGGCAAUUUCAUUUUCUUAUUCGAAAUGAAAACGUGACUGGGGGAGGAGAAAAAAAAAAUGGAAGAGUUUCUAAGUUGUGCGACAAGAGUGGUCUGAAAUUGUGAAAUUGAAAAAGAAAACCUAAUCCCAAUUCAUUUUGGAAAUAAAUUCUUAUUUUUUAUUAAAUUACAAAUUUCGCUGGCUUAGAUCUUUAUUUGAGCCUAAUUUGGCCAUUUUAUAUCCUUAUCUAUAACAAAGUCCAUAAUUUUUUUUUCUCCAAGGAGGAACCUUGCUAUAUGAAAAUGGAGGCGCUGGACUCGGAACGAUUUGCAAAAAGACUCAUGGACUUUGACUUAGAAAAACUUUCGGACUAUUAUCACAGGAAAAUUUUUGGAUGAUGAUUAUUGAUCUUUCAUCAUUUCAAUUUUGAAGAGCUUCGAUACUUUAGGAUCUUAUUUCUCUUGAAUUAUUUCUUCUUUACAACCUUAAUUGUCUGCAAAGAGCAUUCAUGAUAUGCACGGCAAAGCAAUAAUCAAUCUAUGCAUCUCUUCAUAAGGAGUCAAUUGAACAAAUUUUUAUACCAAUUUCUAUUAAGGUUCUAUUUGUUUCACGAAAAGUAUCGCGCUUCUGAAAAAUGACAAUAUUUUCUAUUUUUUUUAUAACCGAGGACUCUACCAUGGCCCCCGUGCCCUUUUUUUUUUUUUUUCCUUUUUUCCUCCUUCUUCCUCAUUGGCUAGUCGCCUGGCGACUGGCCAAUGAGGAAGAAGAAGAAGAAAAAUAAAGAAAAAUAAUUUAAUUUUUUUUAAAUAAAAAGUUUAUAGAAAGGGGUGUAUGUAGAGAAAAAAAACAAACAGAAAAGUAAAAAUCGAAAAAUCGAACCAAACCGAACCGAGAUUUCGAUUCAGUUCAGAUCAUAUUUCGGUUCGGUACAAUAAAUUUCCUUAUCGAUUCGGUUCGAUUCGGCUUUUCAAAAAAGCCGAACCAAACCAUUUACACCCCUAACUGUAGCUCCUCUUGAAACUAUAGGGACUGACUUAUCACCACCCAACAUGUAGUUCAUCUUUGUAGGAGAAUUUAUAAAGUAGUCAAUUGGUUGCAAAGCAAAAUCGAAUGUCAUAAACUCCAUGAUAGGCCUGAGACCAUAUAAAGCCACACCGACUUCAACUCCACGACAGACCUAAGACGAUAGGGUCAAAGACUUAGUUACACUAAUUACUCAAUUAAUGCAUUUUCGGUAUCUAAUUUUGCUUUUACAAAAAGAUAUUUGUCAUGUAGUUUGAACUGGUUUUAGACCUAUCCAUUAAUAUGUGAAAUGAUCAUUCGUGUGCAUGAUCAUUAUAAUAACAAUUAGUAACCGAGGACAUCGAAUAAAUUGUAUGGCAAAGCGAGUAUUUAAUGCUAAUAGAUAAGAAAAAUACCAUUCCUAACUAGACUGAAAGUAAAUGACAAUCAAUAUAUUGAAAAGUGCAUAAUCAAAUGAUAAUUCGUCUUAAAAAAGAAAACAUUGAAACCCUAUCGCACAGCCGUAAGAGUUUAUUCAAAUAUUAAGCAUGACUUUUUAUCAAUAAUUUUCCACAAUUUUAAGAGAAAGACUUGCAAGAAGACUAUUUUAAAGCUUUCCAAGGAAUUCUAUAUUUCAGAAGCUUUUUUGAAAAUUUCGGAAUUUUUGAAUUUUUAAUUCUUCUAAUUCUUUAUAUCAUUUUUUUUAUAUUUUCGAUCUUUAAUAAAAAUAAUUUUUUAUUCCGAAAAUAGGGACUUGGCUGGGCACCAGGGCUCGGUCAAAAAACAGGGCUGCCUACUGACACCUCGUGGGUUUGGCGAACCAGGCUUUCAACAAGCUGCAUUUACAAAAUGAACUAAGCCCAUCUUUUGAAAUAAUUAUACUGAGCCCAAGCUCAACUAAAUACCAAAACUAGCCCACAUUUGCCAAGCUUCAACUUGAGUCCAAAGCCUACUAAUCCCAUCGCCUAAGAGGUCAGCCCAAAAUCUCUGAUUUCCCUUCCUCAUUCAUUCUGCCCUCCACGCCCCUCUCCAAUGUUCAGCCUGUCUUACGUUGUUCAGGUCCUCAUCGUCCGGCUCGGAGACGGCGAACGAGCGGGCGAGCUCGUGUCAAAUCGGGCUAAAUGGUAUGCUGCCUUGGUAUCUUCGAGCCGGGAUCCUCGGGCAGGGGAGGUUCGAACCGAAAAAGAGACUCACCAGCGACGCAGAGAUUUGGGGGGCGAAAGAUCGUGUGCUCGAGGGCGUCGGCCAGAGGUCGUCGGAGAGGGUUCGGGCGUGGCAGAGCUACUGGAGAACUCCUUCUCGCUCUCGAGUUUCACUCUCCUCCUCAGCUCUCGCUCGGAUCUCCCUCUGUUCUUCGAACCUUCCUCGUUCGAUUCUCGCGGCCGCGCGAGAGAGGAGCGCACUUGACCAGCCUCCCCUCCGGUCCUUCACCGCCGCGACGUCACCUCCUCCGCCGCCGGAAAGCUGCCACCGCCGAAGAUCUCGAGCACAGUCGCUUCUCUCUCGCUCUCUCUGGCUCCCACGAGCAGAUCUCCACCGUCUCCUUCUCGAGCAGCGCUUGCCCUCUCUGGUUUCCGGCCGAACCCCUCGAGAAGCAGCCCUCACCCUUUCUCUCCUUCUGUUUUCAGCCGAAGAAGAGGCCCUCUCGAUCUCGCUCCUUCUUUCUCUCCCGGUUUAACUGACCGGAUCUCUCUUUCUUCCCUCUUCUCUCCCCCCCGUUCUCUUCCUAGCUCUCCCCCUUUUGAGCUCGUCUCCCUCCAAGGACGGUGCCGGCUGCCGCCAGCCUGCUCAGACCGCGCGACAUUCGCUGUCCUCGCUCGCACGCUGUCCUUUUCCUCCUCAGCUCCCUGGCGACACCCCCGUUUUGUCCCCGACGCAUCGUCCAAAACAAGCGACGAGGGAGAGAGGAGGAAGAAGAAAUGGGGGCCGGGCUUGGGGAAGAGAGAAAGUGGGCCGGCCCGCUCGGGGGAAAAGAAAGGAGGGAAUAAAUAAAGGAGGGCCGGGCAGGCCCAGCCCUGGCCCGCCCAUAUUUGAUUUUUUUUUUACAAUAAUAAUAUUUUUUUGGAAUUUUUUUUCAAAAUGAUAAAAAAUUUAAAUUUCAUUAAGUUUUUCAAAUAUUUUUAAUAAUCACAAUAAUAAUACAAAUGUUUCCAAUGUCUGCGUGCGAUGCAUUUUAAGAACAAUUAUUUACCUUAUCUUUCGUUUUUUUGUGCCUAGAGAUUUUUUAUGCAAUUAAGUCCUAAAAAAAUAAGCAAAAUUUAAGUGUCAACAACCUUUACACAAAAUCCCAACAUAGUUCUUCUAGCCAAUUGACCUUAAUGUAACGUCCAAUUGACGACCUUUCGACACAGCAUGCUAACGUGCACAAUUGUCUUGUCAGUGAUAUAUGGCAGCAAUUAAUUAGAAGAAUUACAUUAGAAUUCCACAUAAAGAUUUAUGAAUAUAUUAGUAAGAUUGGAAAUUUUAUUACUAAAUUAACAUCCAUACAAUAGGUUUAAAAUUGAAUUGGUAAAUUUUUCCCACUCAAUUUGGGUUGGAUUCAUUUAAUGAGUCAAAACUUGAAACAUAUCCUAACAAUAUCUUGUUGCUUCAAGAUCUACUAUUGCGAAUUUUGAGUGUGGUCAAGCUCAAACAUUGUCAGAUCAAAUUGAACCAUUCUUGUAGACAAUUAAUCAAUUCAAACAAAUAUAAAGAUCAAUGGCAUCACGGCAUCUCUCAUUCCAUGUUCAUAUCACACUAUGAUGAGAUCUUAUUAAUUAUUAAUUUUCUUAGAGCUGAUGCAUCAUGAGACAAUAAAAACUCUGGUUAAUUUCUGAAUGCGUAUUGAUCAUACCUAAGCCUACAAUCGCAAAGCUGAAGUCGCGCCCCAAUGUUGUAUGGGCACACUCUCUUGAUUUCCGUGUGGGCAAAAUUCAUGCAGUCGGCAGGUGUCAGCGCACCGUUGCACUUGCCGUGGCCGAAGCACUCGGCAUGGAAGAAAGAAGCGUGGGUGUUGUAGUCGAACCCCUUUUCCACGGUGUUGAACCUCAGAUGGAUCAGGACGGUAUCCAUUGCCUCAGCAUAAUGUUCCCAUUCUGCGUACUCCUCUUGCAUGCCCUGUCCAUAAAAGUCACAUCCAGUUCACUACUAAUGAUACAAAGAAGACAACGUGAAAGUACGAUGAGCAGGACCCGAUAUUCUGCGAUGUGGACAUGAUGAUAGCGAUCGCUGUCUUCCCCUCUAAUUCUCUCGCGUUUAUUAGAGGGAAACACACAAACUGAGUUGGGUAUAAAAAGGGCUCACUUCUCAUAGGUCCUCAGUCAUUGAUUCAUUUGGUUUUAAGAGUCUUUCUUAGUCGUUAUGAUCAAUAUUAGACAUGAUAUGGGGGGCAACAAUUUGUGCCAAAUUUUUCAGAAAUCUUGGUGGAGUCUUCAUUGGAUCAAAAGGGUAUUGCUCCUCAAUCUAACUGGUUAAUUUGUCACAUAUAAUAUGAGUUUGUUGACGUCUUGGCAAACCAUACUCUCGUAUCCUUAUAUAUAUUAUAAAGUGGGAAUUUAUGUAUAAUAGCCAGCUUGUGCUUGCACAAUAUAUGAUCCCUUGUCAUGCCAGUCGAAUGAGAAAAUUCCUUUUCCCUACACCAAACAUAUACUCGAGUAUCAUUUCAAAUUGAAAUUGGACAAUUAAAAAAAAAUUAAUGUUAUAAAAUUAGGCAUAGACAACCCUAGCCAUAAGCGUGCAUCCACACACGUAGAUAUUUAUAUGAAAUUAAUACGUAAUCGAUCGCAAAUCGAGUUUUGAACAUUGAGUAUUGGGGUUGAGUGGAUCUUGACUUGGGCACUAUUGCGGCUCGUUUAGACAACUAGGGCCCAGCCAUGUUGACACUAAAUUUGUCUAAUUGGAGCUGAAGUCUCCAUUGAAGCGGUUGAGAAUUCUCACGUGCAAAACUUGAGUUUGAGGUUUUCAUUACUCACGAUUUCGUUGGGAUCUUCAUCAUGCAAGUAUUAAGUCCCCAUAUUAAGCAACUAGCAAGAUACAUGGGCCUAAGAUUAUAUUUGUUAUAUUACUCUAAAUAUUUGUGUUGACAUCAAUUUUUGCGAGAAAACAAUAUAUUGAAAAUGAUGGCAAUAUAUAUCUUCAUAUCAAUCAAAUCUUCGCUAGAGUUUAUGUGUAGUUUUAUUUAAUAAAGUGGACUCGAACCGCAUCAUGUAGUUUCGAGAUGUGGAAUUGCAAUAUACAUCAAACAUAAUAUACGUGCACGUUGUCAAUCAAUAAGUCGUUUAGGACCACAUUCAACCGCAUUCAUUGUAUUUCCAUACAGACCAUAAAGGUUAUACUGCUGUCCGUUGCAGAUUCUGUUCAGCAUGGUUGAGUCUAGGGUACCCCCACCGUGGUGCACAGAGAAAGGAGCCCCAUAAUUAUGCCUACGACCCCUUGAAACGUCAGCAUGAUGUUAAUAUACGUGAUUUGCCUAUGUCUCAAGUAAAUAUUUCUCUGUAAGUUUAAAAAUCAGCCAGUUUUGACUACAUAUAAGGGGGUCGACUCCAUAGGUUGGGCCGCUACUCUAAUGUCGAUGAAAGAGGUGAAAGCGUCCUUGAUUAUUCAAUUGUCUUCUCUCUUGAAUGUUCUUGGCCAAAAAGAGAUUCACAACUUCCUCGAUUCACUCGUCCUUGUCUAUGCUUUUGUAGUAUAUGGUUAGAUAAGCAUGAAAUAGGUUGGAUACUCUUUAUGAUCAAGAAUAAUAUGCUUCACCCUACAAUAUCAGUUGCUUCUAAAUUUGUCCUGAUUUUACUGUUAGUGAAAAUCGUCCUUGUCUAUGCUUUUGUAGUAUCCGGUUCGAUAGGCAUGAAAUAGGUUGGAUACUCUUUAUAAUCAAGAAUAAUAUGCUCCACCCUACAAUAUCAGUUGCUUUAAAUUUGUCUUGAUUUUACUGUUAGUGAAAUUAACGCAAAAAUUUGACAGGAUCUUGGAAUCAAAUCAAUGCGAAGCCAGAGCAGCAAAUGAGGAACAAUCAAGGACAUAAAAAAUUUAAAUGAUUUAAUCUAAGUAUUGAUAUUUACUCCAUAAGGAGAGUCGAUAGCAAAUAAUCUAUUAAUAAUCGAAAAAUUAAAUUUACAAUAUCCUAUACACUCGAGUGUUUUCCAUGCUUAGAUUAAGUCCAAACCCACAUUAUUUACAAAUAAAUAAUUUAAUUGGAUGUACAGCUCACAGCACGAAUCUCUCGAUGUUUUGUGGCCUAAGAAAGAGCUUCACUGCCGCUUGAAAAGAUCAGAGAAAACCCAUGCACCAUUUCUCUUCCCAGUGUGGGCCGGCCCAUCUCUAUUUCUUCCGGCCCGGCCCGCUCAUCCCUUUUCUUCUCCUUCCUUUGGACAAUGGCCUGAGAACAAAAGAAAGAAAAAACCAAGAGAGGGAGCGUAGAGAAGGACGGGGAAGAGGACAGAAAGGACGGGGCGCUAGCUCGCAUUUGCACAACCGUGAGGUCCCCCCUCCCGCACCGACGCCCCACCAGCAUAUGCACUGAUCUCCGGCGACACUCUCAGCGACAGCGAGCUUCAGGAUUUCUGACGCUGCGAGCCUCAGGUUUUUCGACGCUGGUCAGGACCGUGACACGCCUCAGAUCUCCACCAUCAAGGCGUCCCCACAGUAGAGUUCACCAAGCUCGACCGCUUAGCACCAUAGCCACCGCUCCAGCAAAAUGGACGAGUUGCCACCUUCCCCCGACGCCACCUGAACGCCAUAGCCGCUGCAGUAACAAGCUCCCGCCAAGCUUAUCCUGGCAACCUCGCUGUGACUCGCCCCUGCUCCAACUCGUUUUUCGUCAGCCACACAGCAUGGACGCCGGCUUUGCAAGCUUGUUAUGUAAUCCUUUUGAGCAAUGUGGCCCUAAAUCUAUAUGCUAGUUUCAGCUAUAUAUAAAGGGGUCGAUUCCAUAGGUUGGGCCACUACUCUUAUAUCAUUACAUCAGUGCAAAUGUUGAUGAAAUAGGUGACAACGUCCUCGAUUUUUCCAUCGUCUUCUCUCUUGAAUAUUAUUAGCCAAUAAAUUCACAACUUCCUCAAUCUACUCGUCCUUCUCUAUGCUUUUGUAGUAUAUGGUUUAAUAGGCAUGAAAUAGGUUGGAUACUCUUUAUGAUCAAGAAUCAUAUGGUCCAUCUUACAAUAUCAGUUGCUUCCAAAUCUGUCCAAAUUUUACUGUUAGUGAAAUUAACGUAGAAAUUAACAAGAUCUUGAAAUUAAAUCAAUACGAAAAUUGCCAAAACAAUAAAACAAGAAACAAUCAAGGACACAAGAAAUUUAUAUGAUUCGAUCCUAGCAUCGGUACUCAGGGAGAGCCAACAACAACUAAUCUAUUAAUAAUUGAAUAAUCUAAACAAUAUCCCAUACACUUGAGUGUUUCUCAUACUUAGAUUAAGUCCAAACCCACAUUAUUUACAAAUAAAUAAUUUAAUUGGAUGUACAGCUCGCAGCACGAAUCUCUCGAUGUUUUGUGGCCAAAAGAAAGAGCUUCACCGUCGCUUGAAAAAAUCAGAAAAAAACCCAUCCACUAUUUCUCUUCCCCCGUGCGGGCCGGCCCAUCUCUUCUUCUUCCGGCCCGGCCCGCUCAUCCCUUUUCUUCUCCUUCCUUUGGGCAUUGGCUCGAGGACGAAAGAAAGGAAAGAGCAAAGAGGGAGGGGACGUAGAGAAGGUCGGGGUAGAGGACAGAAAGGACGCGCCUCAGAUCUCCACCAUCAAGGCGUCCCCGCAGCAGAGUUCACCUAGCCCGACUGCUUAGCACCAUAACCGCCGCUCCAGCAAACCGGACGAGUUGCCGCCUUCCCCUGCCGCAGCAACAAGCUGCCGCCAAGCUUAUCCUAGCAACCUCACUGUGACUGCCCCUGCUCCAACUCGUUUUUCAUCGACCACCCAGUGUGGACGCUGGAUUUGCAAGCGAGCAUCCCGUCGUCUCCGGUGACCACCUCAACUAGGUUGACGUCGGUCCCUGUCCGAGAUCCUGACGCUGACGCCUCGCUGCUGCGCCAUUAGAGCCAGCCACGUGUAUUCCACCGCCACCGUGGUCGCGUUGCAUCGACGGUUACCCCAGCGUCACACGUUGUCAAGCGUCACCUCGAGCAAGCACCACCACCACCGUGGCCGAAAGUCAAGCAGUAACACGAUCCACACACUGAGACGUGCCACCGCGAGGUGACGCUGCUGCACCAGCACCUCGAGCUUGCCCUUUUUUCUUUGUGUUUUGCAGAUCUUCCAGCGAAUAUCCAGUGAUCCCGGUGGAUAUCUAACGUGCCGGAAGCCUCCACAUCACGCCGUGAUCCCCGACGUGUGAGAUCGUCCUUGCCUAGCCGCCACAACUGGAUCUUUCUUGUUGCAGGUUUUCUUCAGUCGAGUUGUUGUCCAACCCCGAGACUUCCGACGAGAAAGACACCAGAAAAAAAGAAGGGAAGGGCAACGAGCAUACUUGAGCCAAAUCAAUUCUUGUGUUUUGCAGGUUCACGGUGGUGUUGCUCCUACACGCUGCCAGUUGGACCUCCGGAAGACUUGUUGUUGCCUCUGGUUGGUGAUGGCUCCUGCUAUGCCGCGAAUUUUCAUGCUGUCCGUUGGUGUUCCUUGCUGUUCUGAGACAUGUCUUGCUCCGGCAAGCCCCGAUCCAGUCCGAUUCCGGUUAAAGUUACAAGCGUCCAAAUUAGGUGACGAUUUUGUCCAAUUUGAUUUGAAACUUUAAUCGCUAAUUUUGGAUUGAUUUCAUUAUCUUAUUACAAUAUUUGAGAAUUUAUGUGUCAUCCAGUUAAGGCAGGCAUUAUUGAUAAUAGUCAAUUUAAUUUUUAAUUUGAUCCGUUAAGAUUUCUGAUCAUUUUUUUAAUUACUUCGACUUAAUAUUAGAUAACUGUUGUGCCUAAAAAUCGUGAUAAUUUUAAUUUAACCCAUGAGACAAUGGGUUAUUUUUUCAGAUUAUCACAAUCUCUUAAUUUGAAUUUUUCAUGAAUUGCGCGUGUGGAUUAAGUGAGAUCCGAUCCUUAACUUGGAGGACUGCCGUGUUCUGAAAAUACCACAAAAAAUCAUCCUAGAAUGGAUUAGAUUCCUUUUCUUAGUACAAAUUACAUGUUUGAAUUAGGGAAUUUUUUUAAUUACGAAUUUUAAUCAAAAAGACCAAAAAUAUCAUGUGCUUGUUAUCUAGUUUUAAUUUCAUGUCUAUCUGCUAUGUCAUGUCUUGUGCAUGUCAUAUAGUUUUUAGUUGCAUCAUCAUUAUGCCACGUCAUCGUGCAUACCAUCAUGCCACAUCAUGUGCCCUAUCCAUGUCACCACAUAUGUCAUGUCAUCAUUCGCAUGCCAUUUAGUGAUUGUAUGUUAGGGUUGUUAAUUUAGAACGCAUGUUGUGCUAGGAAAAAAUGCAUAUUGAUUACUUCUUGUCCUUAGAAUUAGGACAUGUAGUCGAAUAUCAUCACUUCUUUACAUCAUUGCAUUUAGAGUAAGCUCACAUUGCAUAAAACAUAAUUUUCAGUAAACAAGAAAAAACCCAAAAAUAAUUGGUUGAAACAGUGUGUUAAUUAGAAACCAUAUAUAGAUUGAAUGUGUUUUUUUUUUCUAAUUAACCUUGUAGAUGCUUACGUUGCUUUAAGAUAAGUAUCAUUUCGUUAAUGAUUACGUACAUGCAUGAUCACGUCAUAUAUUAGUAGAUAAAUUUAAAAUCAAUCUAGACUGACAAAAAUCUUUUUGAAAUGAACAAUAUUAGAUAUUAAAAUGGCACUAAUUGAUUAAUUAGUGUAAUCAAAUCUCUGAUCCUAGAUUCUUUGAUUCAUAGAAAUUGAGAUAUAGUUCCAUACCUCACUUGAUUUCCAACCGAUUCCAGUAGGCUAGUGACAACUCCUCAUUAAAAAAAAAAUUAUAGCUUCAAUUUGGCUUAAUAUUGAAUACCUCAAUGUCACGUGAGGUGUGGCCAUGGGAGAGUCCACACCUAAUUGAGGGUCGUAGGCCCAACUUUUAAGAAAUAUGUCUAAAUCUAUUUUCCUUCCUAUUGAGGGGUAGGUCGCAGUAGUGUUUCCUUUUUUUUUUUUUUUUUUUAAUGAAGACGUCCACUCUGCGACAUUUAAACAAACCACAUCUUGAUCGGUCAAACUAGUCGAGAAGUGAACGUUUAUCUUCUCCAACACAAUUAAGAAAAAAAAAAUCCUUUGUGCCAAAGAGAUAAAACAAAAUCUGCAACUUCCUUAUUUCAAGACCACUUCUCACCGUCAAUUUGAAUUGACUCAGAUUUGCCUCGAACGCCUAGUUCUCGCUACAAUAUAUGGAGUAUAUAUCUUCUAUUCAUAUCGGAUUUCAUAAUACUCAAACUCGAGAUAUAAUUUAAUACUUACAAAGUGGAGGAGUUAUUGCAUGGAUCGAUGAGACACGGUGAGUAAAAAUAUAAAUAACAUGAGUGUUUGCAUAUAACCAUGACAAAUUCGAUAAAAGAUUAAGCAUUAUUGAGAUGCAACUAUAAGUUGUGUUAGAAAAUGCAUGGAGUAGUUAAGAUAUCAUGAUUCGUCCAUACCACAAAGGCUUGAUUUUUUAAGUGAAAGUUGGUCUAAUUGGAUAUAUUAAUAAGCUUAAAUUUAGGCUCCUUUUUUGCAAUCCGCCUAGAAGAAGCUGCGCAUUUCCAAUAAAUGAUAUCAUAUACUAGUAUUUUCCAAUAUGUUGACUGCUUGUGUUAAACAAAUGAGUUGACUGCGGAAGGUUUUACUCAUGGGACUCUCUGCUUUCUUUAUCUCACUUGCCAUCAGUUCGUCUAGUGCCUUUCGAUUGGGGUCCACUUUGGGUAGCCUCCUGCUUGAUCAAUUUCUCGGAGUUGGAAGCUGGCAGUACCUCGACUUAUAGAGUCAGUAGUUGGACAUAUUUUGGGGAGUUGCCAAGAGGUCUGAAUUUACACGAGAAAUCACAGGUAUGUAGUUCAAUAAUUUUAUUUUCUCGUUCCUCACCGAUUAUUAACUAGUAGCCCACUCCUAGUGUAUAUCUAUAUUCGGUGAAUAUCUCAAAAAAGGAAUUUCAUGACCAAUGCAACUUUCUAGCAGCCUUGAUGGUUCACUCUAGUGGAAGAGACUUGGGGUAAAAGUGAACGUUCCAUUGUAACAAUGCGAUCAUGAUGAUAGCUCAUAAUUCGGUGGAGAAAGAGAGCAAAAAUGAAGGUGAGUGUUGAAGAUUUAAGCUUAAGACAUGUUGAUGUAGAAGGGUACCUAGAUUAAAGGAGAGAAGACCUAUACUAACCUCACACAUGAGAUUUAGUUUAAAUUUUCCAAUUUGCAUAUUGACGAAAUCCCCCUUCAACUACUGAACAGAAGUUAAAUUGGGGUUUGAAAAAGAAGGAUCAUUUUCUGAAGAAAACUGAUAACGUGGUCAAAUUUAACUUCAAUAAUAAAAAGUUUCUAGAUGAGGUGUGACUAAUAGGGAUUUUUGCAAGUCAUAACGACUUGAUUGAUGAGGUGUGGUCAAAUUUAGUCAGGCUCCAACUUGAGCUACUCGAGUAUCUUGUCAAAUUGAAGUUCAAACUUGCCAAUACUUUGCUUAGCAAGCUUGUUAGCCUAAUCUUGACUAAUUUGUCCAUUGCCUUAUAUCAUAAUCCUAUAGUACAUUUUAACAAUAGACAUUAGAAUUUCAUGAAAUUUUUAAACAAAAGUCUGGAAUUCAUGUCUAUCGACUUCGAAUGUUGAUUACUUUCUAUUUAAUUGAGAAAACUUUGUACUUGUCAAGAUCUAGCACUGCUAAUUUUGAUUGGGGUCAAGCUCAAACAUUGUUAGAUCAAAUUGAUCCAUAAUGGUAGACUUAAUCAAUUUUAACAUAUGCAAAGAUCAAUGGCACUAACGAAGCCACUCAUGUUCCACAUUUAUAGUACUCUUGUGAUGAAACCUUAUUGAACUAUAGAUUUUCAUAAACGUGCCACCAUUAUGAUAUUGGACAUUUUUCCAAUACAAGCUUGGGUUAUUUCCUAAGCUUGAAUUGCUCGUACCUAAGUCCACAAUCGCAAAGCUGAAAUUGUACGCCAAUAUUAUAUGGGCACACUCUCUUGACUUGUAGGUGAAAUCCACGCAACUAAUAUAUUCUGUGUGCAUCAGUGCACCUUUGCAUGCACUGUGGCUGAAGCACGCGGCAUGGUGGAAAGAAGCAUGGGUGUGGUAGUCAAAACCCUUUUGCAUGUUGGCAAACCUCAGAUCGACCAGGACGCUAUCCCGUGCCAAGGAAUAACUGUCCCAUUCGUAGUAUUGCCCUCCAUCGCACACCUUGUAGGCAGGAGUCACGUCCGGGUCACUUCUAAUGAUGCAAAUACAUCACGAAAGUACUAAGAGAAGGACUGUGAUUGUCGAUGUUGUGGACACGACAACGGGGUUCACUGUCUUUCCCUUCAAUUCUCUUCUGUUUAGAAUACAAAAAUCCCGGAAUUGAGUCGGGUAUAAUAAGGGCUCAUUUCUCAUUGGGUCCGCCGGUCAUUGAUUGAUUAGGUUUUUCAUAGCAUCUUGGUGAAAUCUUCAUUGGAUCAGAAGGCUUUUGCUUCUCUGCUCAAUCGGUGACUUUGGCAUAUAUAUUAUAUAACACAAGUUCAUCGAAGUCCUUGCAAUCCAAAUUUUCUCAUGUCCUUGCGUAUUAAAAUGAAAAUUCGUGUAUAAUAGCCAACUUGUACUCGCAAGAUAUAUUUCGUUGUCACACUAGUCAUGUUGGUAAAAUUACUAUGUACCCAAUAUAUACCCUUUCCCUCUAUCAACGAGCAUAUGCGAAAACCUAGUUGGAGUGAAAUUAAGUCAAGCUCUCAUGAGUGGUCUGGUCUUGGGUUGAUGAUUACUUGAGAAGGGCUCGACUGAUUUCCAGUCAAGCUCUAGCAGGAAAAACUCGAGUAUCUUGUCAAAUUGAACUCAGGGUUGCUAAUACUCAGCUCAACAAGCUUGUGAGUCCAAUUCAAAAAAAUUAAUUGCUAUAAAGUUAGACAUGGACAUCCGUAAGUAACCACACACACACAUAUAUAUAUAUGCAUGAAACACAACAAUACCUCAACUUUUUAUUUGAAUCAAGCUCCAGCGGGAAAAUUAUAAUUGAUUGAGCUGAAAUCGAGUUCCAAACAGAGUACGGGAGUUUUAGUCUAUCUUGACUUGGGCGACCUGUUUAGACACUUAAUGCCCAGCCUUGUUGACACUAGAUUCGGGUAACUGGAGCCAACAUGUUCAUCGAAGCAAUUGCAGAUCUCAUAUGCAGAACUUGAGCGCAAGGUUCUUGUUGAGAAAUCUUAUUAUAAUGAUAUGGAUGCGAUCUUCAUUGUGCAACUUUUAAGUGCCUUGAAUCUUUUAAUCCUCUAUAUCAAGCAACUAGCUAGAUAUAAAAUUGGAAUACUUAUUGAAUUAUAAUAUAUGCACAUGCUUUGAAUCAAGAAGAAACACGAAAGCACUAAGAAUGUCCAUUCCUUUCUCUUAAUAGCUUUUCUGCAUUUGUUGGAAUAUCCAUGCUAUCCAAAUGUGGAAAAGGCGGGCAAGUUAUUUAUGCAUAAUCUUCUUGAGAGCAAAAUUAAUAGUUUCUUCUAUCCUCCAUUUGCUACUUUCAAAAAUUAGGAUCUUUGGAGUUUCAUUAUAGUCGAAAAGAAUGGUAGAUUCUAACUUUAUCUCGGUGCCAGCUUUUAAUAAUGGAAUUUUGAUGCUUUUCUAAUGAAAUAUCGACUUUUAUUACCAUCUUGUUUCGUUGAUUAACCCUCAACAUCACAUUCUCAAAGUGCACACAAGCAAAGUGUAACCAAACCCUCUCCUAGAUCUAGCGAAUGGCAAGGCUGGACCACAGCCGCCGCUCGCCCUUGUGUAGUGGUAGUGCACUGGGGACGAGAGUAAGACAUGUGGGGUUUGGCUGGUCCUAGGUCCUUGUGUUUAUUGGUGCACCGCUACCACGAGAAAGCAAUAGCAAGUAAUCCUCAUCGUUCAGACCAAAAAAAGAAAAGUAAUCAAUCCUCUUCGUAGCCCAUAAAUGCGUGCUUGUGCUCGACGCCGCAGUAAGGGUGGCGAUGGCACCACCAAAUUUAUUUUUUUCAAUAGCUAUUUUGGGCACCACAUUAGCAUUUGCUCGGUGCCUUAUCGAUCUCAACUGACGUAAUUUUUUUUUUUUUGAAAAUGCCACGUUAUAUUUUGUUCACUAAAAAUGGAGGAGAUAAUGGGAAGUAAUUGACAAUUUUUUUAAAACAAAUUUUAGGAAUUGCUAGCACCGCUUGUAAGUUUGAAUUAGUUUGUACUUACACAUUGCUUAAUUGCACAUUUUUUUUUUAUUUAUAAAUUUUACAUCUGUGAUAUAACUAUAUCUGUAGCACAUUUGUCUGUUUUAUUUUUAUGGUUUAACUGAUAAAUGAAAAUAUCAAUAGAUGAAAUACAAGACUAGUGUUGUACUUAUUUCAUUUGAUAACCAAAUUAGUUGUUAGCUCUCCCAAAUGAAAACCAGCCUAAAGUUCUCCCUUGAAGCAACUUCCACAUGUCACUUCAUCGCAACAUGUGCUAUUGUGCCAGAGUUGACAUAUUCGGGCAAAGUAGUCACUGGUCAGUCUAUCAAUUCGAAGCAUCCAUCAUGCAACCCUAUUGGUCGCCCCAAAUGAAAACCAGCCUAAAGUUCUCCCUUGAAGCAACUUCCACAUGUCACUUCAUCGAAACAUGUGCUGUUGUGCCAGAGCUGGCAUAUUCGGGCAAAGUAGUCACUGGUCAGUCUAUCAAUUCGAAGCAUCCAUCAUGCAACCCUAUUGGUCGCUCCAAGUUACGUGCACAAUCUCAGCCAUCGAAUAAAAAGAAAAUUGAUCUCAACCGUUGGACGAUAAGGCUUCUUGACCAUGUGAUAAAGACAAAUUUAUGUCAAUAGUUGGAUUCAUCAUGAGCCGGGCUAUAUCACCAUUGCCUUAAUCAGUGUGUAAAGUGUGGUUUGGAUUCUCUAGCUUUACAAUCUUGAAAUGAAGCAAUCAUCACUAAUUAAAUUUGUAAUAGAUAAUUAAUGUGGAAAGGAUCUCUCGUGCUUCUCCAAGUUCUGGCCGAUUUAACUUGUACUAUAGAACUAGAAAUGCAGAACAAUGACAUGGUUUUGCUAUGGAAAGGGUGGUGGAAAAUUUGUAAGCAUUACUCCAUUGGUCAUGUGCACCUCAUAGUUUUCAAAUAUGAAGGGAACUCCUCUUUUUACCUAUUAUUAUUCAGUGAGAGUGCUUCGAAGAUUUUAUAGUAACAUACAAUUGUACAAAAAUGCAAUCAAUAAUUUAAACUAAGCACGCAAUGCAGUUAAAUUGUGAAACAUUUGAAAGGCUAGUUAACAAGUGCAUGAAUUCAAUCAAACAUAGGCAUGGUUUUAGCAUUUAAUUAAACAAGAUUAGCUUAGAUUGACAUGUGGUUCCAAAGUUAUGGCACCCUAUCACUCAAUUUCAUUCCUCGGUAAGGGAAUCUUACUAUAUCAAAACAUAGUAAUAUAGACAAGCCGUUGUCACAACCUACCCUCUGUAUGGAGAGAAAUAUAGGUUUAAGGGUAUUACCUAAAAGACGAGCCUAUGGCCCUAGUUUUAAACACAGGCUCUCCUAAACUCACACGUCGCACGAUGUUGGAUAUUCAAAUUGAUGCUAUGAGAAUUUUCUAAUAAGGAGUCGCUACUAACUUAUUAGGAUUGGCUAAAAACCAAGUUGGGUAUGAGAGUGUACUUACUUUUUAUGCAACUAGAGAAUUUAUGGUCAAUAACUUGAUUACACUAAUUAAUCAAUUAUUGCAAUUUCAUCUAAUAUUGUUCAUUUUAGAAAGAUUUUUGUAAGGUAAUCUAGAUUGAUUUUAAACAUAUCCACUAACAUAUGAGAUAAUCAUGCGGUUGCCCAACCAUUUAAAUAACAGUAAGCAACCAAAGGAGCAUUACAUAAAUUAUAGAAAAAACAAGUGCUAGUGCUAAGGAAUAAGUACCGGUCCUAACAAAGCAAAGGGAAACCAUAAUCAUUUUGAAAGUACGCAAUCAAGGGCAUACGUUUCUAAGGACUAUCGAAAUCCUAGGGUAGAGCCCUAAGGACUUGGCCAACUUUGAGCGCGAUUUUUUAUCAAAAGGCUUCCACUUUCUAAAAGAAUAUUACUCGAAAACUAUUUUAAAGCUUUUCGAGGAGUUCUAAUUUUUUUGGAAUUUUCUAAAAUUUCUAUGAAUUUUCAAAUUAUUAUUGAAAUUUUUAUAUUUUUAUGCAUUUCCUGAAUUUUCUAAUUUUUUUAAAUACUUUUAAUUAUUAUUUUUAAUGAAUUUUAUUAUUAUAAAAAAUGAAUUCGGACCGGAUCAAGAGACCCGGCCCGACUAAGCCGACCUGAACCCUAUCGGUCCAGGUUGGAUUUUGUCAAGAGAAAAAAAAAAAGGGCCUCUCCAAGGCCCACCCCCAAAUUAACCCAAAAAAAGGCCCAUGAAAGCUUCUUUUGUUCAACCUACUCACAAUUCCCCCCCAAAAAACAAAAGGAUAAAUAAAUAAAGAAACCCAACCCAAAGCCCAUUAUAAACUUAAGCCUGAUAAACCCAAAUUUCAGAAAAAGCCCCAAAGCCCAAUAAACCUAGAUGAGCCCAACAGGCCAAAAAUUCACCCCACGGCCCACUUUAAUGCCAACCUAUUUUCUCCCGAGCGUCUGCCCCAUUUUUCCCUAACUUUGGACUCUUCACAGAGCCAUUCCCAAUCAUUAAGCUCUCUUCUUCCUCUUUUUUUUCUGUUUCAACGUCGAGGCUCGAAGGAAAACACUAAAAGAGAACUUCAUUCGUAGACAAGGAUCUCAAGACAUUAAACGAACGUUCACAGUUAUUUUCUACCGCCUUAAGCACGGCAACAACCAAGAAACACGUAUCCAAAGAAAGUUUGGAUUUGGCCACGGCAACAACGAAAUCUGAAUAAAAUCAUCCUCCAUGAUCCAUAAAGGAUUUCUUUCAUCAGAACAGGAGCAUACUCAUUCUGAAUGAUCUGAAAAUCACGGUUAAACCACAUUGACUUAGUUCAAGCGUUUCAUCAAACAUGUGGUGAGCACUGACUUGGGGGGAGAGGACAUCAACCCAUUUUCAGGACCCGCUCUGAUCCAGACCUAGGGAAAUCACCAAGAAAUGCUCAACAUCAAACAAAUCGACUCGGUUGGACGCAGAAAACUCAAGGAUCGGAGAAAACUCGCCCGGCUAUUCUAUCACUAAAACAGGGCAGUGCUAAAAGGGCUCGUGGGGAUGAGUUUCGGUCACAAAAACCCCUACUCGGCUCGAAGACGGCGGCGCGAGGGCCAAUUCGAGAAGAAUCGAACUUCGGUCGGCCGCCUCGCAAUGUCUCCGAGCCGAGAUCUUCGGGAACGACUGGGUUGAACAAAGGAAACUCACCAGAAAUGCAGAGGUUUGGUAAACGAGAAGUCGAGUGCUCGAGGGCGUCGGCAAUUGGCGUCGAGGAUGGGCCAGUGACGCUCGACCUAGGCAGCUUCUGGCUCUCUCGCUCUCCGUCUCGCUCUCACUCUCUGUCCCUCUCUCUCUCUUUCUCUGUCGCUCUGUGUCAGCCGAAGGACCAGCCCCCUCUCUCGGUUGCUCUCCCUUUGGCCGAACAAGCAAAAAACAAGCCCCUCCUUUUAUGCUCCGGCGCGCAUGGGAUGUGGCGUGCCAGCUGCCUCUGGCCAGCCUGCCCCCGGCCGAGCGUCUCGCGCGAUCGCUCGCCCUGUUCUCCCCGUCCUUCGUCGCGCGCGUCGUCCUUUCUGUCCUUUUGGUCGUUCCUCAGCUAGCGUCCAAGGGAGGGGAAAGGAGGAGGGGAGAGGCUGGGCCGGGAAAGAAAUGAAAAGGAAUGGGCUGAGCCGGCCCAGGUUGGGAGAGAGGCUGCGGUUUUUUAAAUUUAAAAAAUUAAUUUUUAUUUUUUUUUAAAUUUUGAACACUAGUAAUGCAAAUGCUCUUAAAGUAUGCAAUUUAAUGAAAACACGAUGCAUUUUAAUGAAAAUUAUUUACUUUACUUUUCACUCUUUUUUUAGAGACUAAUCCCUAAUUUUUUUAUGAGAUUAAAUUCUAAAAAAAAAGAAAAAUUUAGGUCUCAACAGUCUUAUAGUGACUUGAAAAAAAUUAAUCGAGAGAUGAAGAAGAGAAAAGUGUUGUAACAAUUAAUAUAGAGGAAUGGCAAGAAAAAAAAUACUUCUAGACCUCAAUCAAGUUAGGCCCACUAGCAAACCAGGCCACAUGCCGACAACGAACCGGGCAUGUCUUGAUCAAGGGCAAGGCCCAAUCCUAGUCACAAAUCAAGGUCUGUGUAGUUUUUGCUCUAUUUAAUGAUGAUCAUUAUUUAAAGAAAGUUCUCGCUCUCUACGUGUGAAAAACUUAUUUAUAAGAGAGAAGUGUUCGAUCUACUGAGAAUGCAAAUGACACUAAUUAGACUAUAAAUUAAUGAUUUAAAGGGAGUUCUCAAUUUUCUUCCUUUUUUCACCUCUGAAUUCUUCUCAAUACAUCAGAAUCUGUGUCUUUUCUUCUUCAAAAUGGAGGAGUCGCCAUGAAUAUCCCUUGGACACAAAGCUGAACGGUGCUUCUUACAAUUGGCAAAGAAAACGUCCCUAGUAUCAUGAAAAAUUGAUGGAAAAUCUGGACCAGUGGAGUCUCCACCUUCGACAAAUGCCCUGAUUCUUACUUUGCUUAAGGUUGUCCAUUGUGGCAAGGAAUCAUGUUCAAGCAUGGUAUGAUUCUAGAGAGAGAGAGAGAGAGAGAGGGAGGGAGAGAGGGGGGGGGGGGGGGCUUCAACAGGCCUUUCUGACGUAACCUUCAAAACCGAAAUGGGCCAAGGCUUUGCAUGCAUGCUAGGGCCUUAAUAAAAGAUCACAUUAAUCCAUACCACGAUGGCUUAACAACUAAAUUAGAUGUUGCUUUGAAAUUUAAAGUGAAUAAAGAUAGAAUUUUUCAAUUGAUUAUGGCAUUAGAUGAAGAAUAUAAAAAAAUAGCUAAUUUAUGACAUGAACGAAGUCUCUAAAUGGCAAUUGCCGGCAAAGCAGUGAAUCAAAAGGAAAGGGUAUGCAAAAAAACAGAAAAGUUACUACUAAGAUUUAGAUUUGAUAGUACUCGUUCCUCAUGCAACUCAAAGCAGGCAGAAAAAAGGAGAAGGUAAAGUGCCUUAACAUUCAAAGAUCUUAGCCUAUACUUUCGCUGUCCAUAAUAUCAACAUUAAAGUUAUUAUUUAAAAAAAAACAGUCAUGUAUUAUCAUUGGAAAUCCCAUCAUUAAAGAUGCAAUAAUUUGAAUUGACAUUAGAUAGUGAGGUGUCCCAUCUCCCUCUCAAGUCUACCUUUAAUAAAGAUGCUUUAUAAAAGAGCUAAAAAGAUGAAAACGUUGAUUAUCUUCAUCCCAUGUCUCUCUCGAGUUUGCCUUUAAUAAAGAUGCUUUAUAAAAGAGCUAAAAAGAUGAAACCGUUGAUUAUCUUCAUCCCAUCUCUCUUGAGUGCAACUUUGAUAAAGAUGCUUUAUUUAAAAAGCUGAAUAAACAAAAGGCAUUGAUUAAAGCAAGAAAAGGUAAAGCACCUUAAUAUUUAGAGAUGCUAGUUUAUACUUUCGUUUUCUAUGAUAUCCUUAUUAAAAUAUCUAUUUCUAGGAAAGUAGUCAUGCAUCAUCCUUAGAAUCCUAUAAUUAAAGAUGCAAUAAUUUUAAUAGACAUUAGGUAGGUAGUGGGAUGUCUCAUCUCUCUCGAGUCCACCUUUAUAAAGUUGCUUUAUAAAAAAGCUGAAAGACCAAGUGUUGAUUAUUUGUAAAUGACUUAGCAUAAGCAAAAGAUGUUUGCUACAAUAUGGAAAUAAAGCAAUAGAUUAAUGAUAAGCCAACUUGGUUGGGAAAUAUGGGUGUCCGUUGGCAAUUAUUUUUAGAAUAAGGAACAUCGUUCACUCAUUCGUGAAGGUUAGUAUGACAUUUUCUCUUUUUCUUAUUUUCACAAUUUUUUAAGUCGAAAUAGCUCAUCUUUUCUAUAUUUUCUAAUUUUUCUCAUUCAAUGUGCUUAUAUUAUGGUCUUUUGUAUUCAUACACUGCUUGUUCAAAUAUACAUGCGGCAUAAAAUUCUCUUUGCAUUCUUUAAGGGAUCUAUUAAGGAAAACAAUCGAAUUGCAACUCUAAAGCAUUCAGACAAAUCGUGCACGGUGAAGCCAAAGAUGCAUCACAUCUUCUGAAAAAGGUGAGGACUAAAUUGCAUUUACCUUGUUCUUUGCCAAGUCUAAAGAGCAAUCACGAGUUUGGUAGGGUCACUUGGAUUUCAUAAGCCAUGUAUUUUUUUCGCAUUGCCAUCUUUUAGCUAGUGUUUAAUUAAAUUGCAUCUUUUGCAAAUGGAACUACUUAAAGCUAUAAGUCUCUAUUAACGGUAAGCAUUGCAUGAGAAUGAUUUGAUGAUAGCAUUGAGUAAUCUUAGGGCGCGUUUGGUAACGAUUCUGUUCCCGGGAGUUGAUUCUGAUCAGAACUGAUUCUUUUUUAUUCUAUUCCCGGGAACUGAUUCUGAGUGAAAAAGCGCGUUUGGUAACUGUUCAAAAUUUUUUAUUCUAGAAUAGAAUUGCGUUUGGUACCGUAUUAAUUGAUUCUGUUCCAAAUUAAUUUCUUUUGAUUUUUAAAUAAUUUAUUUUUAUUUUUAAAUAAAUUUUAAAUAAUUUCUUUAUUUUUUACUUUUUUCUUUUCUUUUUUCCUUUUUUUCUUUUUUUCCCCUUUUUUUCUAUUCUUCUUCUUCUUCAUUUGGCCGGUCGCCGAACCGGCGAUCGGCCAGACGAGGGUCGGCGACGCUCACCGGAGCGCCGCCGGCCCUCAGCGAGGUCGGCCUUCGUCGGCUGAGCCUCGCUCGCAGCUGGGCGAGGCUCGCCCAGCCCCGCCGAGCCUCGGCCUAGCCAGAUCUGGCGAGGCCGAGCCUCGCCGGUGGCUAGGCUGGCCUCGCCCAGCCUCGGCGAGGCUCGGCCUCGCCAGAUCUAGCGAGGCCCAGCCUCGCCUGGCCACCGGCGAGGCUGGGCCUCGCUAGAUCUGGCGAGGCCGAGCCUCGUCGGUGGCUAGGCUUGCCUCCGGCGAGCUCGCCGGACCUCGCCCUGGCCUGGCGAGCCUCCGGCGACCUCGCUGGACCGGCGACUGGCGGCGGACCGGGGGCGACGGCGGGCGAUGGCGAAUGGCAACCGAGAUGUUGAAAGAGAAGAACAAGGUUUUACCGUGUUGAUUCUUUUUCUGAUUCUCGGACGUAGAAUCAAUUUUUUUUAGAUUCUCAAAUCUUGUCCAAAAUUGUUCCCAGGACAAAUUUGUUCCCGGAAAUAAAAAAUUUACCAAACGCGAUUCUCGUCCCAAACUGAUUUUGAGAACAAAAAAUCAGAAUCUGACACUAUUGGGCAAGUUGCCAAACAUGCCCUUAUUCUACACUUUCGUUUUCUAUGGCAUCAUGUUCUACGAAGGCAGCACCGCAUUAUUACCCCACUCCCAUGAUUGAACCGUGGAUGCAAAAGUGGGGUCUAUAUGUGUCCUUUUGUCUGAUAGAGUUCUGUCAUUGGAAAAAUAGCUUUGCACGUUACUCAGGUCUAAAGAGAAGCAAUAAUUUAACUAGACAUUAAAUGGUGGGAUGUCCCAUCUGUCUCUCAAGUCCAAGAUGCUUUUUGAAAAAAACUAAAUAGACAAAAGCGGAGCAUCAAACACGAGAUUUUGGCUACAACGUGGAAAUAAAUCAAUAGAUUAAUGAUAAGCCAAAGUGAUUAUAAUGAGAUCCUUGGCAGCAAAAUAUGCAGAGGUACCAUGAAAUUUUGAUUGUUGGGUCCAAGCGCGUCUCAUGCAGCAUGCAACUACUCAGACGUUAUCGACUUUUUUCUACAAAAAGUUGCUAUGUUUUGAUGCUGCCCUUCAUUCUUUUUUUCCCUGAAACCUUUUCACCUUCUUCAUCUAUCUUCGUUCUUGCUCCGUUUCACUCCUUCUCCUAUCGUCCCAACAGUGCGGUAAAUAAAUAAUGUGCACGCAUUUCAUAGUAGACAAUCUACACCCCAUGUAUAUAGUCCACACACGUGAUCAUCAUUGCUGAUGACCACUAGUCUGUAUUAUUGAGUCCACAUGCAUUGUUGGUGUGAGACUCAGUCUUUCUUUCUCAUAAGAAAAGUAAAAAAAAAAAAAUGUCGAUUGGUCAAUGUCUCCUUUUGAGAAUAAUAGAAAAAAAUACAUUAAAUUCAUAAGAAUAAGUAACUUUUAAAAGAGUGAGAGUAGAGAGACAUUAACAAAAUUUCAAACAUAUCAUCAUAUGGCAAUUUUAUGAUGAUUAUUUCACAUUCUAAUCUAAUAAUUAUAGUUGGCAUAAAAAUUAAACAACUUUAAUUCUAUUUGUGAACUAAGUUUUUGGUUUUUCACUUAAAGGGACACACCUAGAGGAGCUUUCUAUCAACAAAUUUGCGAAAGAUAGUACAUGACAAGUCAAGAUUUAUUUUCGUCAAGAAUUAUUUUCAACAAAUGGUUAAUAUUAAUUAGAUAUGAGGGUUUAUACCCAAAUCGAACGUAUUAAUAAAAAGAACAUUAUCAAAAAUUGCUAUUUAAUAUAUAAUCUCUACAUUGACAUAUCAUCGAGAUCACCAAUCUCUUUAACUUUUAAUGGGAUAUUACAAAGUCUAUUUCCUCCUAUCAUCCUACUGGCACGUUAGACAUACGAUGCGGGCGAAUUUCGCAGUAGAUGAUCUACAUCUCAUGAUUAUAGUUUACAUCAUCAUCAACUCCAUUUGCAUGUUUACAUAAAGGAUUUGAAAGAAUAAAAAUAUAUAUAUACAAUGUAGGGACAUGAUUGGCAAAAAAAGAGUUUAAAGACCUACUGAAAAUUUUUGCAAAAAAUCCAAUUGCUACGCUGCCUAAAUCCCUUUAUUAAUUAUCAAAUUACACUCCAAAACUUGUUCAAGCUAUCACUUAUUUUAUUUUAUUUUCGCAAAUUGCAAUGAAGGAAAACCAUUUCUUUUAUCGGUCUUUGGUAAAAUAUGCAUCGCAACUCACAAGAUAUUACUAAAUAUCAUUUGAGGUGUACACACUUUGGGGAUGAAGUGUCUAGAACAGCUUCAUUUCACAUGUUGCCCUAUUGAUUCGUGCAUGAAGUGCAUAGUCCGCAAACUACUUCUACUUUGUGGGCCAAUGCAAACACAUGUCCCUUUGAGCUUUGUUGAUGUGCCAUCAAGUUCCCAUCAGUCUUCACCAAAGAAGAUGCGUUUGUCUGAGAAUCCUCAAAAGGUGCGCGCCCAUCUGCCUGCAUUAAGUACAUUCAAAAGAUCAAUAAUACGAUUCUAGCAUAUUCAUCGGGACAAACUUUUGAAGAGUGGGAAAUGGAACAGCUCAUCAGGGAAUUUGAAAGAGAAAAGGACGAAAGUUUUAACAGUCAAUGAGUACUUCGAGUGAACACAAACACCACACUGUGUAUGUGUAAUGCAUCUUGCACGAUGCCUCAAAAGCCUGUAUUAUUGAGUCCACUAUGCAUUGUUGGUGUGAGAUUCGCUCUCUCUUUCUCGGAAGAAAAAUCAAAGAAAAUUGUCUAUCAAUGUUGCCGUUUGAGAAUAAUAGGAAAAAUUACAUUAAACUCAUGUCAAUAAGUAAUUUUUGGAAGAGCGAGAACAAAAAGACAUUAACAAAAUUCCAACCAUAUCAUCAUAUGGCAAUUUUAUGAUAAUUAUUUCACAUUCUAAUCUAAUAAUGAUGGUCCACACAAAAAAUUAAAAAUUAAACAAUUUCAAUUUUAUUUUGUGAACUAAGCUAUUUUCUUUUCCACUUAAAGAGAUGCCUAGAAGGGCUUUCUAUCAACAAAUCUGUGAAAAAUAAUACGUGAAAAGUCAAGACUUAUUUCCAACUAAUGGUUAAUAUUAGUUUGACAUAAGGAUUUUAAGUUAGUCCAAAUCUAAUAUGUCAAUAGGAAGAACAUUAUCAAAAACUGUUAUUCGAGAUAUAAUCUCUAAAGUGGCAAAUCAUUGAGAUCACUCAUCCCUUAAACUAUUAAUGAAAUGCAUCUUCUUUCCUUUUUAAUGAUCUCCCUUCUAGAGUUAAAAACUUAGUGUUAGUGGAGUCUUCUUUAAUUUAUCAUCUUGAUGUAAGUUCCAGUUUCAUCUUGUAAUAUUUGAACUAUAUUGAUGUGAUGGAAAGUUUGUUUUGGCCCAAAAAAAGAUUAAUUGAAGUGAAGGGAAAGCUUACUCAUCUGGGUCUCAUCGAGACGAUUGUCAGUUUUAGCUUAAUAAUUGGCAACUCUUUUGCUUAAUUGAUCAAUGCCUCAGGAGGGGGUGAAGUGAGAAAGCAAUGUUUCUCAACAGUAAAAGGAAAGAGGCCAAACAAGUGAGUGCACCUGGUCGAUUCAUGCAUUUACAAACACCUAGAUAUUUUUGUCCAGUAGUAGUGGACGAAAAGGACGCCGAGGUAGACAAUGGCGAUGGUGACUGAUCGAGUAAAGGAACAGUCAAAUGCAAAAAACCAUCUCAACUCCUGCGACUACUCUCUCUUUUUCUCCCUCUCCUUCGAAUAUUUAGAUGGUUGUCCAUGAGCAAAGGGAGAAAGGACGUGAAGACUUCCAUUAGUGAUGGUGACUCACAAAGGAACGGUAAAAUGCCAAAUAAAAAUAAAAACAAAAAUCUUUCAUAUAUAUAUCUAUCUUAUGAGUCAUCUAUUUCUAUCAUGAAUCAUUUAUUGGCCUAUUACUGCUCUUGUCUCGAUGGAGCUACCGACAUACAUCGGCCUUUUCUGUAGUUUUAUUUUUGGCCAGUGACAACGUGGGGGCAGUCUGCUUACCAUUCAGCUCCCCAAGUAGAGCUCCAUCCACACCCCAUGUCCUCUUUCUUCCUUGGGUUUUCGAAUCAUUCUUAAAUUGCCAGAUAGUAUAAAAACUCAGCCGUUUAUUAUAAGCUUUUCCAGCAAAAUGUUGCUAUUUUCGAUGCUCCCCGUCCUUCAAAAAAAUUAAAAUUGCAAGGAAAAUAAGGGUUAUAAAUGAUCAAAAGCCACAUAGCUUUACUUGUCAAUAAUUGUAUAUUUUUGUAAAACUGAUUUCUGAUAACUGCGAUUUUUGAAAAAUAAAUAUUAAAAGCAAAAUACUCUAAACAAACCCAAGCAUUUGAAAGAAAAUGGGGUAACUCCAAUCAUAAUGUGAGACCACAGAAAAUAUGUUAGUGAUGACUCGGAAAUAUUUCUCAUUUCUCAUAUUAAUUUUGUCCUGUAAAGAGUAGCAGUACUCAAGAAAGUAAACUAUUUUUGUUUUUUGGUCCAAAAGUAAACUGAUUUAAACUAUUAAUAAAGAUUGGCAAAAGUUUAAUUCAUUUAGAAGUUUUGACCUAAAAAUUCCAAUUGAAGUUAUGUCUAAUGUAAAUUGACAUUAUAAUCUAACAAUCUACUUAAUUAUAAUGUUACUUAUAUUCAUUGAUUUGCGUAAGGAGCGGGUUUAGGAUCAGUACCUAAUCAAUGUUUGUCUAUUAACGGUGGAGGUAAGGAUGCAGAAACUUACACAUUGGUGAUGAUAACGGGUCAAAUAAAGAAAAAAUAAAACCAUUUCUAUUACCAUAUUCAAAUUUUAAUUGAAAAGUAUCGGGGGAUGCUAAAAGGACAUCUCGCCCAUGAUAGUAGUAAUAAUUCAUUUGCUCAUUUAGCUGGACUCACGAUGGGUUGAAAAUGAGUAUGGUGCAAACCCACGUAGACUCACAUGGAAUUGGUUAUGCUUUUUUAAUAUCAUUUCAAUUAGCUUAAAAAUUUUAGAGAAAUGAUUGGGUGACAAUUUUUAAUCUACUAUUAGAAUAACAGUCUGUUUUGGAUUACAAAAAAUUAAAUAAUAAAUAAUUAUAAGUUGUCAUGGGGUCCACUUAUUUAAAAAUUUACAGCUGAUAAAAAUUUAUUAUUUUUACAGUAGUUCAAAAAUUAUUAUGCUAGUAAGUGUCUUAUAUACACCUAGUCACGCUGAAAUUGAGUUGAAAAAGAGUUUUUGCCAUCUCUGGAUGGAACUACAUGUCACGUUGGUUUUGAUCUAUCCUCAUACUUUUGUUCUCUUUAUUAAUUACAUUUACCAUAUCGAUGAAUGAAAAACUACAUAAGAUACCUAUUAUACAUGAGGGAUGAUUUAAGUCCAAUCAUUUUAAUAAUUGCGUUUUGAUUGAAGGUGUUAUAUACGCUUCACAUUCUAAUCAUCACUCCAUGUUGAUUCAUAAAAGUGCCACAUACAAAUAUUGAUGCAAAUAUUAAUAUUGUGAAAAUAAUUAAAGAUGCUACUUAUCACGUGUAUGGGUGGUCUUGGCCUGUCCUUAUCACGUGGACGCCGCCUAUCUUUCUUUUUGUUGCUCUUUCUUAAUUACAUUUUGUUAUACCAAAGUGGCAGUGUAUAAAAUUUUCAUAAAAUUCAAGUCAAAUCAAUUUGUUAUGUAAACAGUUGGUAAUCAUUUGUAUUUAAUUUUUUUAAGCCUCUUUGAUGAGCGUGCAAUUUAAAUAAGGCAAAGAAACCAAUUUACUCCUCAGUUUAAAUAAUAAUGAUCCUUUGCAAUAAUUACAUAUCUCCCUAGCCGCUCAUUAAGACUAUAGCUAUUCUAAGAGUAGUUGUAACUGCAUUCUCAAGAUUUUAGGCCUCCUAUCUGCAUAUCGAUCCUAUCCACAAGCAAUUACAAAUCUUAAAGUGCCACUGGAUUAACCAUUUCUCGGUGCACUUGUCUUCAAUCGACAUCUUCACUAUCUCCUUUCUUAUUUUCCCUUUGUCCAACAUUUAGACAAUCGUCAACCAAUCGAGUCGUACAUCCAUGGCUAUAUCUCUCGGUUAUAUGUAAUCAUCGCUCAUGGUCAUCGGUAAGUGCCUCUAUUAUCAUUAACUUACCAAAGGCAAUAUCAAUCGCUACAAACUCUAUACCCACUUAAAUUGACAUAAUAUCCUUUACAAAGACUUAGUCAUUUUUUCGAUGUAAACCAUUAAACAUUUGGCUAAACAAACUCACAUUUUAUAAUUAAGCAACUAUCAUGUGAUUUAAAUACAAUCUUCAUUCUAACAAUUAUGGUACAACUCAUUACAUAAAACGUGCAACCAAUCAUAUGGGAUUUACACAUUGAUUGAUAUAUUCUCAUCUACUUAUUUGUAUGGUUGCCAAUUUAGAAAAUUAAGUUUACUUGAGUAAAUCCAUUGGCUAAAUUCUCAAAUGAAAGCACAAGGUCAUGUACACAUCAUGUAUUGUGUGCUACUUGACUUUCACUGUUAUAAUGAAUAAAAUGCUCAAUAUCCUACAACACCUAAAGUCAUUUACGUAUCUAUGUAGGCUAAACUCUUGUCAUGGAAGGUUGUAAGCUUGUCAUGCAUUGCAUGCCAUGAUGCUACUUCACUGCCACACCAUAAGUAUUGUGUCAUCAACAAUUAUGCAUUUAGUUAUGUUUGUUUAUGAUGGGAAAAGUAUCAAAAAGUCCUAAAGUUAUUACAUUUGUAACAAUUUAGUCUUAAGCAUGGGACCAAUUUUGUCAUAAACUUUUUCACAUUGAUACUAGUUAAGUCCAUCCGCCCAAUUUAUGUUAGAAAUUUUUGACAUGGAUGCCGAUCGUCCUACGUGGCACAAUUAGUGCUAACGUGGACAUUUGUCGAUAAUAUUUAUUUUUUUAAAUUUUUUUAAAUUUAUUCCUUUUUUCUUUUUUUCCCCUUCUCUUUUCCUUAUUUUCUUAUUUUCUUAUUUUCAUUUCUUUUAUUUUUUUUUGUUCAUGCUUAUUUUCCUCUGCUAGCCUCUAUGAUGGUUGACGGAGGUAGCUAGCUAUCAGUGAGGGUCAACCUCACUUGGAUAGGGCCCCUCGCCAAUGCCAAAGGCCAAUGAGGCCAUUGCUCACUAGAUUUGGUGAGGGGACUCUAUGGCAAGGGUGUCCUCACCGGGAUAGUGAGGAGCCUCAUCUAGGUGAGCUGGCCUCUAGCGUUGGUGAGAGACCGUCGUCCAUGCGAGGCUAGCCCUUGCUAGAGGCCGACAAGGGCUGAUCUCACUUGAGAGCGGAGAGAGCAUCCCAACCCUUACCUUCACUGGCAGCCAGUGACCUCCUUCAACCAUCAUAGAGGCUAGCAGAGGAAAAUUAGCAAGAAAGGAAAAAAAAAAAAAAAAGGAAAGAAGGAAAGAAGGAAAAGAGAAGGAAAAAUGGAAAAUGGAAAAAAAAAGAAAAAAAAAAGAAAAAAUAUUAUAUUAAAAAAAAUUCACAUUAGCACUAAUCAUACCAUGUAAAAUGAUUGUUGUCCGUGUUUGCAGUUUCCAACAUAAAUUGGCUGAAUUGAUUUAAUUGGUAUAAAUAUGAAAAUGUUUAGGAUUAAAUUAGUUCAAUUGAAAGGUUUAAGACUGAACUGGUACCAAUGUAAUAGAUUUAUGACUUUUUUAUUUUAUUUUGUACUUUUCCCUGUUUAUGAUACAUGCGUAAUCAUCAAAUAUAACCCUCUACAAAUAUAUUAUUUUUUUUCUAUGGAUUUUUUGUGGGAAAAUUAUUUAAAAAGUCCUAAAUUUAUUCUAUUUUUGCCGAUUUUGCCAAUUGAGUACUAAAUCUUUUCACAUUUUGCCAAUUGAGUCAAUUCUACCAAAAUUGACUGGAAAUUACUAAUGUGGACGAUUAGCAAGGGACUGUCGAGCCCUGGCAUGACCAAAUCUAGGGAGGGCGUGGAGGCCCUCGUCAAUUGUGCGAGAGGGCUCACGCGCUCUUGCUUUGGUUGACAAGAGUGUUCUAACCCUUGCCUAGAGCUGGCAAGAAACGUGACACUCUCGCUUAGAGCUGGCAAGGGUCAGUUGCGCAAAAUUGAAUGGUUUAGAAAUGAAAAGGAAAAUGUGCAAUAAGUUUAAGACUUUUUGAAGAAUUUCCCGACUUUUUGUAAUAAUGGAUAAUUGUUUUCCUGUUAAUUUUCUAUCAGUUGUUUCUUUUACUCUUUAAUAUUUAUUUAUUUGCAAAGCAUGUGCCAUAAUUUUGUUUUUAUGAUGAAAGAUACUUCUUUUGACUCUCUAUCAUCAUUUAUUGUCAAAUAUAGAUUAUUAUGUCGUAAAAGAUAUUUUGACAACAAGCAUCUUAUUUGUCAGAGAUUUGAUUAUCAUAGAUUUGUUAAAUAUGGCCUAUCACGUCAUGUAUUUUCUCAAUCGGAUGUUAAUGAUUUACUUGUAAAAUAUGAAAAAAAAAAUUGUCAUAAUGAGUAACCACAAAAUUAUUUAAUCAUAACAUUUAUAAGUUAUUACAAAUUUAUUUUUUUUUCUUUUGAAAUAUCUGGGGUCAUUAAGUUUACACCAUCUCUCUCUCCCUCUCCCCUGUCUCCCCCAUAUUACCUUUUUUUAAUGACAUUUAUCUAUUGGGACUAAUUAUCUACCAUCUUAAACUUAUUGUGCAAUUACCAAUUCAGUCACAAAUCUUUAAUUUUCACCAAUUUAUCUAAAAGCUUUGCGCUAAGUUCCAAGGUAGUCCCUCAUUGAUCUCUUAUGAAAGUUGGUUAGAAGGACUGCAUUGAAAUGUUGAGAAUUAUUUAAAAUUAAAUUGACAAAAUUGGAAAGCUUGGGACUAGAUUUGCAUCUGAUUAAUAAGUUUGGGACCGAUUAGACAAUUUCCCCCCAUGCAUUGUUAAGCUAUUUUAAGAACUAUAUAUAUAGAUAUGUUAAAGUGAUCUUCAAAACUGAUUUGCUAAAGUGCAAAAUACAAUUGGUAUAUAAACAAACAAUAUAUAUGCUUAAGAAUAAGAAAUAUGCUAAAGUGCAAAAUAAAAUUCAUAAAGAAUACACGUUUAAGAAUUAGGGAUUUGUUAAAGUGACUAUCAGAAUGAAAUUGCUUUUAGAUUGUGUUUUCUUUUGGAUAAAACAGAGGGAAAAUUUCAAAUAAGGACCUACAGUGCCAUCAUUUUCUCAAAAGAGGACCUGAAAUGAAGUUUGUUUUAAAUAAGGACCCAAAGUGCCUUCAUUUUCUCAAAAGAGGACCUGGAGUGGAGUUUAUCUCAAAUAAGGACCAAAAGUAAUCAUUUAGUCUCAAAGAAGGACCUCAUUUGUCGGCUGGUGAAUAAAUGCAUCUCUAAUGCAUAUUCUGGUAGCCUAAUCAGGGAUAUUUUUGUCCAAUUUUUUUUUUUUUAAUUUUCGGUUCUCUUGUUCUUUAUUAUUAUUUUUUUUUGGGUCAAUGGUGGCACUGUUCAUCAUCUUCUUCGUCUCAUGUUCGUCUUCUUCUCAAGAACAUCGAACUUGGGAAGAGCCAGCGAGUGCUGGUCGUUGGUGAGGGUUGGCGAGGGUUGGACGCCCAUUGCCGGCAAUAGGCGAGGGCCACCAAGCCCUCGCCAGUUGGGGGCGAGGGCUUGCAGGCCGACCCUCACCAGAUCUAGCAAGGGUGGCCUCGGUUGCGGCUAGCGAGGGUUGUCAAACCCUCGCUAGCUACGGGUGAGGGCUUGCAGGCCCUCGCCGGCCCUUAUCAAUGGGCGAUGAGAUGGGCGAGCCCUCGCCCAAGGCCAGCAAGGGGUGACCUCGCUAAUGGCGGUGAGGGGUGACCUCCCCCACCUCCGCCCGCUGCUCCACCGACAACCUAGUCUUCUGCUAGGACUACGAUUGGGAUGCCCAUGUUGCUUUCUUCAUCCCUUCCUCCCACCAUUGCUCCCAGAUCGAUGACUUCUUCGGCUACCCCUUUUGCUCUCGAGGACCUUAUCGUAGGGCCUCGAUCUGGACGACCCCCAUCCCCCAUGGCUAGCAAGGGCUUGAUGGCCCUCUCCUGCUGUUAGUGAUGGGUGUCGAGCCCUCGCUUGCUGCCGCUGAUGGGCGUCGAGCCCUCGCUGACCCUUACCAACGGCUAGUGCUCGCUAGCCUUUCCCCAAGUCUGGUGUUCUUGAUUUGGGCAAGAAGAAGUGAACUGGGGACGAAGAAGACGAUGAACAGGGCAACCAAAAAUGAAAAAAAAAAUAAAAGGACGAAAAUACUGUAAGUAGGCCACCGGAAUAUAAAUCGAAGAUGAAUCUAUUCAUCAGCUAGCGAGUGAGGUCAUUCUUUAAAACUAAAUGACUACUUUGAGUCAUUCUUUGAGACAAAUUUUACUUUAGGUCAUUUUUUGAGAAAAUGAUAGCACUUUGAAUCCUUAUUUGAGACAAACUUCACUUUAGGUCAUCUUUUGAGAAAAUGAUGGCACUUUGGGUCAUUAUUUGAAAUUUUCCCUAAAACAGAUAAUUGGAUGAAAAAUAAGAAAGAAAAAAUAAAUAAAUCUCAUUUGCGUUUAUAUUAGGAUUGCUGUUAGGGAUUAUUUUAUUGGAUGUCUUCGUCUAUAAUAUCGUUAAUAUUUUAUUAGUAGGGAACUCUCUUUAACUAAAAUUAGACUUUGGCUUUUGAUUUUUAUUUCACAGAGAUUCAUGUCCCUAGGCUUAAUAACGAGAUAGUAUAUAUUCUUUACCCAUUUCAUAUCAGGUUACUUUACCGCAUUUUAUAGUGUUGUUAUUUCAUCAUGUUUGAGUGACCAUGAUCUUUUAAUUUUAGUCCACGGGAUCUUGUCAUAGGACGCCUUGUAAUAUUCUUUGUUCAACUCAUAUGGGCUUUACUUUCCUAUACUCUUACUUGUCUUUCAUUAUCUUUUCGAUUUGUUGUUUUGAAUUCCUUACAUGAUUUUUACAUUUCGAUUUCUUUAGCUUCUUUUGACGAUUAUCACCCACUUUAGGAACAAAUUAAAUUGAAUAACUACAAGUGAACACCUAGUGGAAAGAAUCUUAUGAUUCUAUAAUUUGACAAGAUCACAUGAACCCUAAAUUUAAAGUCUUUAAUUUGCACAAAAUAGAACAUUCUCUCACGUUCUACUUAGCUCUUAGCCAAUCCUAAUGCGUUAAUGGCCACUCUUGUUUAUGAUAGAAUCCCAUCUCUAGAUCAAUUGAAUUUGAAUUUCCCAACGUUAUGUGUGAUGAGAGUUUGGGAGAGCUUGCACAGAGUGAUAUCAAGUAAACCUUGAGUAGAAGUAAUGAUAGUUCUUGCUCAACAAUCCAUUAAACCCACUCCACCUCGAGAAGAACCCGCUCAGGAGGAUCGCGACAAACCUCAAGAGAGUUUAACCAUAUGUAUAGAUGUUUUCCUAGCUAAAUUAAUUUAUUUAAAUGACUCAACUUGUCUACCAUCUAAAUACAAUGAGAAACAAAAUUUAAUAUAUCUAGAUCAAGCACAAAUUUUAAACAUGGAGUGAAUCUUAUGUGAGAUCAAAAUAAUUAAAUUUUGAGAUUCGCUCAGUCAAAACAAGAAACUUGCGUAGUAUAAGAUUUUACAAUACUUUAGAAAAGAGAUUUUUUUUGGUAGAAGGUAUUAGUAUAAUGCUUUUUAGUUGGAAAGAAUUGUAAUCUGUCCAUCUUUUUUAUCACCAAAAACACAACCGGCAUAAUCAUGGAGUAUGUUCCUAAAAGGUCCCUACAAGGACUCACGUUUUUGGUAGUGUGCGCGCUCUUAAGGGGCAACUAUUGGGCACAGAGAAUUUGCACAUCAACAAUUUCCAGAGAAACAUAUGUAGAACCAUCCAUAUUGAUCAUAGCUUUCAUCUUAUUCAAGUGUAUUGAUAUACGACAUUUAGUGGCAUGAGAAGUCCCAAUUUACCAUGGAUGGUACAGAUAUAUUUUAAACUAUGAGGACCUUACUUUGACCAAAGUUAUUAUACCAUCAUUGGCACCGAGCGGAACUUCUAUUGCAGAAUGCUUUCUUGUCUAAUCAACCGGGUAUUGCAAACAGUCAUUGUAGGAUUUAUGUACAUUUCAGAAUCAAUAUCACGCAAGCGAGCACAUGCAAAUAUCGAUGAAAAUGUUUAAUAUUAUGGGAAAGAGUAAAGGUGCCUUUUCACGUGUUUUCCUAAGGUCCACUCGUGCUUCUGCCUUGGUGUAUGGUCCGCAUUAAAAAUUUAGUUGAUGGCAGACUCUGUAAAGUUACAUGUCGCGUCUCUUUGUCAAACAACUUUGUGCGAGCGAUCUGCUAAUUGUCACCGCUUUCAAAAAUUUAAAUCCUAAAGAAAUCACGGUAAGUGACAAUGCCAUGUGGGUGUGGCCAGUCCUUGUCCAUUCCCUAUCUUCAUUCAUCUUUAUCUUUUAUUAUACGUGAUACAUGACACGACACGAUACAAUGAUAUGAUAUGAAAAGUCCCGAAGGAGAGUGUGGGUGCUUCUCCGAUGUAAGGUACAUAUAUUCCAGGGCAAUGGUUAGAGUUGAAUCGUUCGUUUCCUUCAACAGUUGAGAAUCGUCUCUUUCUUCCUCCAUUCAUUGCUAUUCGACGCUCCCCUUCCUGUCUUUUUUUCGCUCAAAAUCUCUUGGCCUUCUUUGCCUUUCGCUCUGUUUCGCUCUUUCUUCACCUAAGCUCAACCAUUCUUCUUCCUUCUCCUCUUCUUCUUCUUCGGUAUCUGCUCCUCUUCAUAAUUCUCUUUCUCUCGAUCUCUCUUUUUUCUUGCUCUUUCUUUAUCCGGAAAAAAAAAAAAAAUCAAAGAAAGAUGUCGGCCGAUUCUAUCGUUUCUAUUGCAUGGGAUGUCUUAAAGAGCUAUGUAGUUGUUCCCAUCAAGCGUCGAUUCGAAUAUGUGAUCUCCUCCAAGAGUUUCGCCGAGCGACUUCGGAAGGAAGUCAAUAAUCUGAAGAAGGAAGCUGAUAGGGUCCAGAUUCUUGAAGAAGCGGCCACAAACAAUGUUCGGAACUUUCACAAUACCUUCACGGACUGGAAGGCAAGUUGUGAGAAGGACUCGAAGGAGGCGCAAGAACUGUUGGACGCCUUCGAUGAGGCUAGCAAGACCUGCUGCUACGGGACCCUUCCCGACCCCAAAUGUCGCUAUCAGUUCAGCAUGAAGGCCGAGGCCGAGAUCAAGGUCAUUAGUGAACUCGCUGAAAAAUGCAACGGAUUCAAGGAAUUGAAAGACAUCUGCUUCAUCAAUCCUUCUCCGGGGGAUGUCACUGCAAUGACCUCUGCGUCUUCUGUCUCGACAUCGAUUAAGCUUGCAGACUAUGACAUCUUCGAAUCUAGAGUUCAAAUCAUACGGGACAUCAAGGACGCUCUUGCCGAUGACAGCAACAGCGUGGUCGGGGUUUAUGGGAUGGGCGGGCUUGGCAAGUCCACGCUUUUGGAGGAAGUCAAAAGGAUGAUUAGCGAAGAGAAGUCAUUUGAUUGGGUCGCUAAGGCCAACGUGUCGGAAAAUCCAAACAUCCGGACAAUUCAAGGAGAGAUUGCGGAUGCCUUGGGCCUUACUGACAUAAAGACCAAAGAGACUCCCACCGGGCGAGCGGAACUUCUACAACAGAGGUUGAAAGAGGAGAGUAAGAACAAGAAGGUCCUCAUAAUACUGGAUAACUUGUGGAAGGGGCUAGACUUGAAAUCAGUCGGCAUUCCUUGUGGACAUGACAAUAAAGUCAUAGGAUGCAAGUUAUUGUUGACGUCAAGAGAUCGAGAUAUUUUAAAAAGUGAAAUGGGCUGCGACAAGGACUUCCUCCUUGGUGGGCUAGAGGAGGAAGAGGCAAAAAGGUUGUUUGAGAAGUUUGCGGGAGACAAAGUUAAUGAUAAUGAGUUCAAACCCUUGGUGAAUGAAGCGCUCCACAAAUGUGCAGGUUUGCCUUUCCUUAUUGUCAGUAUGGCAAAAUAUUUUAAAGGCGUAGGUUUGCCUGAAUGGAAGAUUGCUUUGAAACAAAUCAAGUUGUCUAAAAACAAACACCUUCGUGGGGUGAUAAAUGACAUGUUGCAAUUGAGUUAUGAUCGUUUAAAAGGCGAAGAGAAGUCUUUGCUAGCGCUAUGUGUUGUUUAUGGCACCUCUAAUCCCUCUUUUGAAAACUUGGUGAGGUAUGGCAUUGGUUGGGGGCUAUUUCGAGAAGAUGACAACAUAGAAGAUGCUAGAGAUAGGUUGAGAUUGGAGAUUCGUACUCUUCAAGCCUCCUCCCUUUUGUUAGAGAAUGGAGAUGCUUAUGGUUUCAAAAUACAUGACUUGGUUCGAGAAUUUGUUGCCUCUGUUGCUUUUAGAGAUCACCCUCUUCUCGUGUUGAAAGAUAAAGAUAAGUCAAUAAUGGAGUUGUCGAACGACAAGCUCAAAAGUUGUAGGGCAAUAUGCUUUCCAUAUGUUGACAUAAAUGAGCUUCCCCAAGAACUAGAUUGCCCUGAAUUACAGAUAUUUUUGUUGUUCAAAUACGACAAAUCUCUUAAAAUCUCAGAUUCAUUAUUUUACUCUAUGAAGAAGCUCAUGGUCUUAAAUCUUACUGGGAUACAUCUCACUUGCUUCCCUUCGUCAUUUCAAUUUUUGGAGAGCUUACACACUUUGUGUCUUGACUGUUGUUCGUUAGAUGAUGUAGCCAUUCUUGGCAAACUAAAAGGGUUACAAAUUCUUAGCUUUGCGAAUUCCGAUAUUCAUCGAUUGCCAAGAGAAAUUGGGCAACUGGCAGAGCUGAGGUUGUUAGACUUGAACAGGUGUUAUAAACUUAAGAUAAUUGAAUCGGGUGUACUUCGAAACUUAUUCAAAUUGGAGGAGUUGUUCAUGAAGAAUACCUUUGACCAAUGGAAUGUUGUGGAGCAAACUCUACCAACUAAUGCCAGUCUGAUUGAGUUGAAUCACAUGAAGAAGCUCCACACUCUACAUUUGUCCAUUCCUAGUCUAAGUAUGCUCCCAAAGGAUCUAAAUGUCGAGAAAUUAACCAAGUAUGAAAUUCGAAUAGGUUAUGGCAGGACCUGGUGGCAUGAGUGCAAAGGAAUGAGGACAUUAGAGCUCAAGUUGGAUCCAUUAAGUGAUGUUCUCGCAAAAGGAUUCAUACAAAGCAUCUCUGGCACAACUAACUAUCUGCGUUUAGACGAGUUCAAUGGAUGUGAGCAAAGUAUUUGUUCAUUAUCCCGAAAAGGUUUUCCGGAAUUAAAGCAUCUAGAGGUCACGAAUAGUUCCUCCAUCCAAUACAUUCUCCGAUCGCCAUCCCAUACAUAUUAUGAGACAUUGGAGUUGUUACUUCUCGAGAAUCUCAUCACCUUAGAGAAGAUAUGCACCAACAAUAUCUCCUCCAAGUCCUUCAAUACAUUAAAAGUAGUACGAGUCAAAAGUUGUGACAAGAUGGAAGUAUUAUUUCCUCUUUCAGUGUUGAAAGGACUUCCACGGCUAGAAGAGAUUGAAGUUGUCGAUUGCAAGUUAAUGCGCGGGAUUGUAGAAGUUGAUGUUUGUAGCAAAGUGAAGUUGCAUAACUUGCAUGUCUUGAAAUUGCUUAACUUGCCAAAUAUCAAGAACUUUUUAGAUACUAAGUCAGCUCCUUCGAGUAGUACAUCAAAUGACCAAGUUAGCACUCAAAUUGCUUUCUUCAAUGGGCAACAGGUAACUAUUUAUUAACUUUUCCCUCCUUUGCUAAUUAGAUGUAACACAAAUUAUGAUGCUUAUUCAAUUUGUUAUUUUCAAUUUAUUUUUUUCCUAAUUAGCUUAUCCGUCCAUGCUUCUCUGCAAUUAGAUAAACAAUCUUAUAUUUCUCUCAUAGUGUAGAAACCUAACUAAUUGUGUGAAAUCAAUGUAAAUUUAGUUUGCGAUAGGGUCUAAAUUAUUUUCAACUUACAUGCUGCAAGUAUAUCCAUAUCAAUAGGGUCUCAUAAAGCAAAAUUGAAGGGAAUUUUGGCACUAAAGUAAUUCCAUGAGCAAAGUAAUUUUUAAUCUUUUGAAAUGGAUUCCGUUGAAUUGAGUUAUCAAACUUUGCUAUUAUCCACAAAAUGUAUAAUAUAAGUGACUCUUAAAAACUAAUAUGAAGGAUGGGAAGGAAGAUUCGGUUUUUUAAUAAAAGCAACUUUACUAAUCUAAUUGAUGCACGUAUUUUUUGUAUCGUGUUUACACAAGCACUUAGUCAUUGCAUAUGCUCUAUAAUUAUAAGAGUAUAGAAUUUUGUGCUUGUUCAUACAUGCAUAUAGUAUGGAUAGAUGUAUUUGGAUGCACUUUGGCAUCACAAACACAAAUUCGUGCUUGAUAUCAAAUUGGUUAUUAAUAGGCUAUGUUUAGUCGUCUAGGUUUCUAAUUAUGAUAAGAUUGGAUUUUAUAAGAUAUGAAAAUUCAAGGAUUUUACUAUAUCCUAUUUACUGUCUGUUGAUUGUAGUAAUAAAAUUGGAUAUAUUUACAUUAUAUCAUAUACAUUAUUUGAUAUACAAUAGCAUAUUCAUAUAAAUGAACCAAAAAUUUUACAAAUAGAGAUAAUAAAAAUCUCUCGCAAUACUCUUUCAUACUUUAUUUUUAUUUACUUUUUUAUUUUAUUUUCCUCUCCUUUUUUUUAACUAAUUUCUUUUUUAUUUAUUUCUUCCCCUCCCAUCAUUCUCUAAUAAAAUUUAUUAAAUAGUAAACUAUACUAAUAUACCUAAAAUAUGUAAUACAUAUAAAUAUAUAUUUAUAUUUAUAUAUUGAAUUUAUAAUAUAAAAUAGAAUUAAAUUCGAGUAUAAAUAAAAUAAGAUUAAAUUAAAAUAACCAAAUUGAUAUUUUUGUUAUUUUGAAUUUCUUAUAUUAGAAUUCAAAUAUUAUUUAUAUUGAAAUAUAAUUUUAAUUUUAUUAAUUUAAAAAUUUUGUUAUUCGUUAAAAAUAACUUUUCUAUUAUGAAUAUUAGAAAUCUCAUCUUCCUUUAUCCCGCCUCUUCGGAGAUAAUUUCAUCCUAUUUAUAUCUCCCUUGUAUCUAGUUUUAUCUUUUCUAAAGUAAACACUAAAUACAUAAUAUAAUAAAUUUUAUCUCAAUUGCAAAAUGUAGCCAUAGUGUUAUUAAAGAGAAGCUAGUAAACUAAGGACAAACAAUUGCCGUGUCAAGGAAAGCGCACGGCUGCGACUAUUUCGUUGAGUAGACAAAUUUGUGUAUGGAUAGAUGUAUUUGGAUGCACCUUUGGCAUCACAAACACAAAUUUGUGUUGGAUAUAAAAUUGGUUGUUAAUAGUGAUUUAUUAACAUUAAAGAGAAGUAAGUAAACUAAGGACAAAUUAUUGCUUAGUUAAGGAAAGUGCGCGGCUAUUUUGUCCAGCAAAAAUUGCAGCGGCUAUUUCAUUGAGUAGACAAGCUCGCCCUUUUACGAUGGUGCGAUUAUCAUCAGAAGUUAAUGGUGGGCCAAGACUCUGGCAAUACGUUAGUUUCACGGUCAAUAAAGAGUCAUAGAAAUUUAAGUCGUGGGUCCCGCAUGCCAGUGAGUCUGAGUACGACUUAUCUUCUGCCCAUGCUUUGAGCUUCCGUGGUGAAUUCAGAGACAAUGGAACUAGACCGGGGAGGGGAAAGUUUGCAAAGAGCCUUUGCGGCUUUUUUUUCCCUGUCGUAGUCAAGCCGGGGGUGACAAAAGUCCAAUAAAUGAAGCACAAAAAAGUUAAAACUUGUUGUAUGGAUGGGCGUGAUGGGUGAGGGUGAAGUAGAUGGGACUUGCACGUAACUUUGCGGAUGAAGAAUUUUCUAGAGUUAUAGCAAUGAACAUAAGAAAAAGGCUUGUUGGGUCAUUUGUUUGCGUUUCUGUUUAAAAAUUAUUCUAGAGAACAGAAAUAGAAAAAAGUGUUUCUAUUUUAUUUCUGUUCCGGGGAACAAUUUUUGAACCAAAAAACGCGUUUGGUAAACUUGUUCCGGGAACAAAAAAUAAAUAGAAACACGUUUGGUAAAUUUGUAUAAUUUUUUAUUUCUUUUAUUUUUUCUAUUUUUUUCUUAUUUUUCCUUUUUUUUCUUUUUUCUUCUUUUGGCUGGUCGCCGGCCUCGGCCGUGGACUGAGACCGAACGGCGAGCAUCGGGCGGAUCGGCGGCCACAUCCCUAGCAUCACCCCAUUACGUCAAACGUGAACGGACAAAAACUCUGGGAUAAUAGGGCCAUUAGGUGAACCCACGUGCUACAUCACCUAUACUCGGACUAGGACAUACUCCAAACCAGGUAUACUAAUACAGGAAUGCUCGGUGCACUCCACCUACACGUUAGUAGGUAGGCCAUAGAAGGUACCACGCAUAACUUGAGAAAAAGGCGUAUUUUUAAUCUGAAAUGUUAAUUCACAAAAGGAAUGAGUACCACCCUCAGCAGUAAAGAUCNNNNNNNNNNNNNNNNNNNNNNNNNNNNNNNNNNNNNNNNNNNNNNNNNNNNNNNNNNNNNNNNNNNNNNNNNNNNNNNNNNNNNNNNNNNNNNNNNNNNGUCGGCCGGUCGUCGGCCAUGGCCGAGACCGGCGACCGGCCAAAAGAAAAAAGAAGAAGAAAAUAAGAGAAAAAAGAAAAAAGAAAAAAAUGUUUCUCAAAUGUGUUUCAGAAAUAAGAAACACAAAUUUUUGUGUUUCUUAUUUCUGUUUCUUUUUUGUUCCUGGGAACAAAAGAACAAAAAAACAGAAAAAGUGUUUAAAAACAAAAAAAAGAAACACAAACAAACGCUGCCUAAAACUCUUUUCAAAAAAAAAAAAAAACAGAAAAAGGGAUAAUGGGGCUUUUUCACAUAAAAUAUUAUGGUUUCGGACAUGUAGGCUGCAGAUUGAGACUCAUCCUUAAGGAAAUUAAGACAAUGGAGAUGAUUAAUUGGGAUAGGUUAUAUGAGCUUAUCUUGUAGGAAGUAAUUUAGCUUGGAAGUAAUUUCAAAAAGAGGAGCAAUGAAAAUGGUGUUAGGCCGCUGUCAAUAUAUUUUAUGGUCCUAUCCACACUUCUACGGAUGGUAAUUUACUAACAUGAAAGAGAAUCGGUAAACUAAAGGAUAAACAAUGCCCCCAAUUAAGGAAAGCUCAUGGCUAUAUUUUAUAUGUGGGGAAAACUACUGCAAGUAGAGGGUUUUAUUUGACUAGACAAGAUUGCUCUUUUAUAGUGGCGUGGCCCAAGGCUCAUGCCAUACUUUAAUUUCCCCGUUAAUAAAGAGCGGUGGAGAUAUAAGUGGUGGAUUCCACAAGGUUGUGAACUCAAAGUGUGAAUUUUCUUCAGCCCGUGCUCUGAGCUCCCAUGGAGAUUUGGCAACAAGCGUUUGUGGCUUUGCCUUUUUUUUUGGUCGUAGUCUUUGGAACUUUUAACUUUCUAGAUUCUAAAUCUUCAUGAAAGAGUUACUUUUGCCUUAGUACUUCUUUUUAUUUUUAUUUUUUUGUGUAAAACCUAGAUAUGCGAAGAUCCAUGGGUUUAUAAUGAAAUGCUUCUUAAAAAUGCAAUAAAUCUCCUCCGACAUUGUAAAGUGGUGGUAGCUUACAAAAGUAGAAGUCUAAGGUUGGCUUGUCGGGGAUGACAAUAGACUAAUGAAUGAAGCACAAAAAAGUUAAACUUGUUGUAUUGGUAGGAGCGAGGGGUGGUGGCGAGAUAGAUGGGAGAUUAAGAGCAACUUGGCCGAUGAAAGCUUUCCUAGAGUUGUAGCAAUGAACUUUGGGAAAGACUAGUUAUUCUUUACAACAAAAAGUAAAUAAAGCUUUUCAUUGUCAUGGGGACCGUGGAUCUCUUCACCUUUCAAACAUGUUGAUUGAGGAAAUUACAACAACAAGCUUGAAUAAUUAGGAUAGGCUACUAACGCGUCUGAAUUGAAAGGAAUAUCUGAGGUAAUUUACAAAGGAUAGAAAAAAGGAAGUCCAAAUAAUCUCAAGUUAUUUACUAUUUUUCAAGUAAAGUUGGGAUUUCAACCGGUGGCAAUGACUAGUGACCACUCAAUUAUUGCGAUAUCCCAACUGUUGAGGUGUCUAAUCUCACGUUAUUUUGCUGGGAAAAUGGUCCCUUUUUGCCUAAAAAAUUCGGAGAAAUUGGAGACAUUUGAGAAGGAAAUGACAAUAAAAUGCCUGUUUUUUUGGAUUUUAUCAAGGAAGCAGGCAAUAGCAGUGUGUGAAAAGUUCUCUUGACCUAAAUGGAUGAGGAAUCACGUUCAGCUAUCAACUCCGUCCAUAAGUCAUAUUCAUAUACCAUUGUUUGCCCAAGGUUUAAUUUUUGAGUUGGGCUCGUAACUAGAUGAUAUAUAAAAGGCCCGACCUCACUGAGAAUAAUAUAAUUGACAAUUAAAAAAAUAUUUCAUGCAUAAAUUAAUUUUCAUAAGUAACUAGAAUGAUUACGAAUUCUUGAUGAUCGCAAUUCCUGAUAUUGCUUGUAAAAUGCAAACAAAUUCCAAUCUUAAUAGCAUCCCUUUUUAUAUCAUAAAUAAAAGGUAAAGUUCAUUAGUUGUCUUUUGAGGUCAUAAAUUAGCUUUUGUUUAUCAUAGAUAUUCAUACGUGCAAAAAAUAUCCUAAAGGUUGUACAUUAUCUUGCUUAUAAAUUUCUUCGGCAACCAUUGAGAAUACCCACUAUAUCACGUAAAUUCCUCACUGUCCUUUGUAAUUGUAAAUGCUAUGUUGAUGGAUUUGUCCGUUACGUUUCAAUCCCAUCCUUGUAGUCCUUGACAAUGGAAGGACUUCCCAAUCCAAAAGAAAUAUAUUAUCAGACUAAUUGUAUGAAAUCCUUGCAAAUUUAGUUUGUGAUGGCUUUUGAGUUAUCUCAGUUUACGUGUUGCAAGUAUAUUUAUAUUGAUAGGGUUUCAUCAAAACAAAAUGAAGGGAAUUUUGGCAUUAAAGUAAUUCCAUAAGUAAAGUAAUUUAUAAUCUUUUGAAAUUUGUUCCAUUGAAUUUAGUUAUUAAAAUUUGUUAUUAUCCACCAAAUGUAUAAUAUAGGUGACUCUUUUGAAAAGCAAUACGAAGAAUGGGAAGGAGGAUUGAAUUUUCAAAUAAAAGCAACUAUGCUAAUCUUAUUGAUACAUGCCUUUUGUGUAUCAUGUUUAAAUAAGCACUUAAUAAUUGCAUAGACCCCAUAAUUGUAAGAAUACAGAGUUUUGUGCAUAGUUUAUAUAUAUAUAUAUAUAGUAAAAGUAGGCCUUGGCAAUUGUAUGAUUUUUAUAUGUCACAACAAACUCGUCAUUGCAAAUUCGGAAUUCUUGUUCUUGGAGUUCCAAAGUGAUGUUCACCAUUUCUUUUUUCGACACAGCAGAAUUUGAGAUCCCCUAUGGUAAAAGAAAUUACUUUUGUGUAGCUCCAUAUCCCACGUCGAGUAGAGAAUGUCUCGCUAAAUAAUAUAUGAGUAAGAUUCACCUUAAAGAUCAUCUUAUUUGGUGAUCACCCUUAGAUACUCCUUUGGGGAGAUUGGGUCACGUGUAUAAGGCCACAUCUGUAACAAUAUCAAAUAAUGGAACUUGAUGCCUUAAUGAUAAAAUUCAAUAUCUUAAAGUCCAAAAAUUUUUAUAGAGACUUACUUCAUAAGUUUCAACGGGUCUUGUAUUUCAAUUCAGCUACUUAGUAUGUGUUAGUUUAAUUUCUGAAACUUCAAGUGCUCCACAUUACAAUCUUCAAGAAAUUUGUGCCGAAAUUUGAGUUUUCUUGUUGUUGAGUCCAUCCAAUUUAUAUUGUAACUUUUAUGUAUCUUCAUGCCCAGUCUCACAGGAACAUAUGUGCUCAUUGUGGCUUCUCUCCACGGCGAUCUAUAAACUAAAUACCAAGUCAUUUCAACUAAAUGUCUUUGCAUUUGACCUUUAUAGUAUGUAUAGAUAUAAUUGAAUGCACUUUUGGCAUCACGAACACAAAUCCGCAUAUUUAUGUUUGAUAUCCUAUUAAAUUGGUUAUUGAUACUGACAUUAAACUAAGGACAAACAAUUGCCUGGUUAAGAAAAGUGCACGGCUAUUUUGUCCAGCAAAAGUUGAGGCGGCUAUUUCUUUGACCAGAAAAGAUUGCACUUUGAUGGUGGCGAUUAGCACCAAAGUUGAUGGCGGGGCACAAGAUUCCUGCAAUGCAUUAACUUCUCUGUCAGUCAGUAGAGGGUCUGGACAUAUUUGUUGUAGGUUCCAUAAGGCAAUGUGUGUGAGUCGUUACGUCUUUGCGUUUUCUUAAUCAUCGUAGUCUUUGGAGCUUUUGACUUUCGCCAUAGUUCUCCCUAGACACUGGCUAUGGAUAUUGGUUGAACUUUUUUUGGGCCAAAAUUUAAGGUUGAAAGUGUUGUUGGGUUUGCUUUUUUACAUAGAGAGAGAUAACUAAUACUCCACUCGCUAAUACAUUUCUGACGGAGAAAUUCUUCAGAUAGAAUAAAACUAGCUCAUUCAUCAAAUUAAGCUCAUCAUUGCAAGUUUUUUAGCGAAGGAAAGACUAUUAGAAACGAUGCUAGUAUGGAGACUUUUUCAGUCCAUUUUUUUGUUUUAUUCUUUUUUAUUCCUUUUGUGCAACUUAAUUAAUCCCCCUCUCUCCUUGGCACUCGUGUAUAUUUACAAAUUUGAGAUUUAAAUUAAUCACUAAUUUCAUAAGCAAAUUUCGCAGGUUGCCUUUCAGAGAUUGGAGACAUUAGAAAUCAGUGGCUUGGAUAGCCUCGAGUUUAUGUUUUUCCCAUCCAUGGCUAGAUCUCUCACACAACUGAAAGAACUGACUAUAUCGAAUUGUCAAAAGAUGGAGACGAUCAUUAUGGAGGAAGAAGGGUUGGGAAUGGAAAUAUCAGAAAUUUUGGCAUUCCCGAUGUUAACCGAUUUACACUUAGAACAAUUGAAAAGUUUGACGUGCUUCUCUCAUGGAAAGUGUAAGAUUGAUUUUUUGUUUUUAUCAUUGAAGAUUGUCUUGUAGAUAUAUUGAUCUCUACAAUACAAAUGGUAAUAUUCUUUUCAUUUUAUGAAAUACCAAUUACAGGUGUACGAGAAAGUCAAAGUCAAGAUCGUGUCACAUCACGUGCCAUUGUACUCUUCAAUCAAGAGGUACGUGAUUAACAUUACGUUAAAAUAUUAAAUACACUAGAGACAAGCAUGGCCAAGAUAAAAACUAAGUUACUUAUAAUGUAUAUUUUGAUUAAAAUAUUUUUAUAGAAAAUGAGUGUUGUACAAACAUAAAUGUUCAAAGUUGCUGACAUGUAUGAGUUGCAAUUUCUUACUUUCAAUUUCUCUACAAAUAGUUUCCAUAAAUAUGGUUGAACAUCUCUUAUCAUACCUACACAAAGCAUGAAUGGGUAAUACGACUGCCAAAUAGGAUCUCUAAAAGCUUUUUGAUGUUCCAAAAAAACUUAAAACUCUCAUCAACCUCACAUGUAUGGCAUAGACAUUGCACGCAUGUACAUUGAAAGAAAUUGAAAAAACAACCGAGAGGAAAGUGAGCAGCAAAGUUCAAGCGGCUGGAGAUGAAGGGCCUUCAAUACACUCACUUGACAUCAUUUGCACUUGCAAGAUCUCUUUUAUUUUCCUGAUCGAAGGAAGCUUUGCUCUCUCUCUUAAUUGCACUAGUGAAAGGAAUCUAAGCACUCUUCGUCCCCUAACUGAGCAAGAUAUCUAGGGUCUAGGGCUUCAGAAAUCACCCUGUUUAGUUUUCACAUGAACUGCAAGGCCACUCUUAUGAAACUCUUGCUAAAGAAAUAAAAUACAAUUCGCAGAUAAGAUAUUUUAGUUGAGUCAUAUGUCUUGUCGAGUGGAUAGCGAAAGAAUGUUUCAAAGGAAAAUGAAGUAGAGUGAUUCACAGGCAAGUCCACUUUGACUAAACUAGAAGCAAUAUAGGCUUUUUACCUAAAUCGUUGUUUAUGCACCCAAAGAAGCUGUGGAAAUGGGCCCUCCCACAAAAUACAUACAUCGACUUUCUUAAAUAAUUUUAAUUCCUAUAAUGGGAUAUUCAGGAAAACCUUUGAUUAUUUGACUUAUGUAUAAGUAUAAUCUAUCCUUGAUAUCUAACUAUUGGAUCCUCCAGCAUGGAUAAAAAUCAUUGAAUUUUAAAAGGAAAAUUCAAUCGAUUAAGUAUAUUUAGUUCUUUCAAGUGGGGAAUGAAGUAAGUGAGAUUUGUUCGUUUGGCCCAUUCAAUUCCAUUUUUAAUGGCUUUCUCUUAGCCUCACUCUUUAAUUGCUUUAGAGUGAUAUAAUAUUGAUUUGAGGCAUUUGGUAUUGGAAAAAAUUACACGCCCUACUGUAUUGCACCUUUUGAUGGAUGAUUGGUUGGCUUUUUAAUAUCAAUCUCUCCAUCAUUUUCUUUCUAAUUGCUUAUAUUCUUCCUCGAGCGAUCCGCUGCAAUUUUCUUUUACUACAUCAAUUCCGUAACUUGUAACGUUGAUCACCCUUUUGAUAUGGUUCUUGUUUCUUUAAAUCAAUUCUUCCUUGUCUAUAAGAGAUUUAAAGGUACGAUCCAAUAUUAUUUGUCUUUCUUUGAUGGUGAAUAUUUAAAGUGAUGGUUAAACCAAGCAUCUCAUACAAGUUGCUUUUACAAGCGAAGAUAUAAAUUGUACAACUCUCCUUGAAUGCAUAGACAUAUUGCAACAUUGAAACAUCAUAUGUUCUUUGAGUAUUGAUUGAACAUUCUUGUCAAUGUUUGAUGUAACAAAUGCAUACUCAUUGAUCCUCUUAAAAAAGAGGCUAAUUCCAUCAUUUAGCUCUCUUUUAAGUACCACAAAGAUUAAAAAAAAAAAAAAACACGUGGUAUGUGGUGUGAUCUUACCAUGGCACAAGUGUGUUGUCUAAUUUGAACCCUAUAAGAGUGCUGAUCUUAUGCUAACAAAGAAAAGACGGGACAUUAUCGUUGACAUUACAAUUGAAAUUAAUGCAAUUGUGACUGUAAUUGAUGCAAAAGUUAUUUUCACAAGGGAUAUAUCUUUAGAAAUGUGAAAUUAAGGAGUUAAUCAAGUUCAAAUAUGGAUACAAGUCAAAUAUAAAAGAUCAACGAUAAUGUUUGUUUCAUGAGGACACAUUUCUUUCCAUUGAAUCACUUGAGACUUGCCAUUUUAAAAUGUAGUUAUUGUGCUCGAUAUGCAGGAUUCAAGAUAUAUUCAACAUCUGCAAACUCUAGAUGUGUCACAUUGUGAUGGGUUAUCAAAAAUGUUCACAUCGACAAUUGCUGCAAAUUUGGUGGCACUCACAAAAUUGAGGAUAAGUAAUUGUAGAAUAUUGACAGAAGUUAUUAAUGAUGAGAAAGGUGGGGAUGAACGUGUGGUGGCUUUCAAUCAACUAAAGUAUAUGGAGCUUGAUGGGUUGAUAGAGUUGAGAAGUUUCAGCUCAGGUGGAUACACUUUGAUGUUCCCGCUCUUGGAAGAUAUCAUUGUAACUAGAUGUCCCAACAUGAAGUUUUUCUCUCAAGGACCAAUAGAUGCGUCAAAGUUGGAGAGAGUUCAAGUAUCGAAAGCAUCGUGGUUUUGGAUGGGAAGCCUCAACAUCACCAUUCAUAAUAUGUUUGAAGAAAUGGUAUGCACCAGUUACCAAAUUUUGUGCAAUUGGAUGGUUUUGACCACUAACCGAAUAAUCGCUCUUUGCUAGCUAGAAGUUUAUGUUUAAUGAUGCAAUUUUUUUUUUUGAUAGGGUACGUUUGCUGGAGCAAAGAACAUGUUGCUAUCUGAGUUCCCCAAGCUGAUUGGAAAAUGGCAUAACGAACUUAAUCCCAUCAAGUCGUAUUGGCAAUUAGAAUCAUUGGUGGUAGAUAAAUGUCCAUCAUUUGUUAACGCUAUUCCACCUAGAUUAAUGCUUGUUUUAAAAAAUUUACGCUUUUUGCAAGUGCGCGAUUGCGAGGUGCUUCAAGAAAUAUUUGAUUUGGAAUGGCUAGAAGCUAUGGAAAGCACUCGAGUGCUACCUCAGCUACAGGAAUUGAACUUGGUCAAUCUACCACAAUUGAGGCGAUUGUGGAACAAGGAUCUUCAAGAAUCGCUAUGCUUCAAUUCUCUAGUAAAUCUCAUCCUUUAUAAUUGCAACAACUUGAGACAUGCUUUCUCUCCAUCGAUGGCUUGGUGCCUUGCCAAUCUUGAACUAAUGGAAAUAAAGGAGUGUGGUCAGAUGGAAGGAGUGAUCAUAGAGGAAGAAGGAGAGGGAAGCACAAGGGAGAAGAUUACAUUCCCAAAGCUCGAGCAUAUGACUAUGCAGUACUUGCCCAAUUUGACUUGUUUCCUCAUGGGAAAAAAUCAUAUGAUGGAAUGCCCCACAUUACAAGGGCUGAACAUUGCCCAUUGCCCUAGGAUGAGAAGUUUGAUUAGGCAAUCUUGGAUGGAGAAUGACCAUGGCACCCCCUCACUUUUCACUCCCCAAGUAAGUCUUUCAAACAAAUGCAUUUUUGGCAUUUCAUUUUGAACAUAUUCUCAUAGUAUUGGACGAUGCACGGUAUGAUACAAAUGUUGUGCUUUGUGCUGGUUUAUAUACAUAAUCUUCUAAUAUUUAAUACAUAGAUUAAAAUAUUCUUAUCCUUAAGAAAUAUAAAUAUGAAUUGUACAUCUCUGUAUCCUUUUGGAAGUGUUAAGUUAGUGGUGAUUCAUGGAAUCGUAUCAUGCGUGGUACUUUAGAAUUAAUUAGCAAGCUUCUUAAGAAAGUUAUCACAAUUACCAUGAAAAAAAACAUUCAAUUUUUGCAAUUUCAACUAUAAAUAGCUAACAGUAAACAUAGAGUAGCAUCUAAUAAUGGCAACAAAAAAAAAAAAUGUUGUAUCGCCACUUCAUAUUUUCUUGCGCAGAAGCAAACUAGCAUCGUUCUAUUAAACAUGAAGAAAAAGGGAAAAGAAAACUUUAUAAUGUAAAAGUCCAAUUCACAAAUUGCUUAGCAAUUACAGCUCAUUGUACCAUAGUAAUCUUCCCAAUCAACGAAAUUGGAGGAAUUAGGGAGAGCAACUCUUUUAACUGGAGUGCUCUAAACUUCGAUCAUGAUCAAUGCAGUCAACCUUUUUAUUUCCUAAUAAUCACCAAUGCUUAAGUUGGGUUUGGAUAAUAAAAUAAAUAAAAAUAAAAAGGUCCAUAUGCAUGACGCAAUUCAUCUUAUUUGUUCGUAAAACAUACUUGAAUCGCUAUACUCCAAUAACCUAUUAAAUUACGUGCUUGUAUUAUACACAAUCUGUGUUUGGCAAGAGAAAAUGCUUUCAAAAAAAGAAAUGGCAAAAAAAAAAGGAAAAAUGAAAGAGAGAAAAGGACAAUUGGGUAAUAAAUAGUAGCAGUUCCGUGGGCGGUUGCCGACAUUGCAAGUCUAAUUUCAUAACUAGAUCACAAUAUUUAAUCAAUGUCCUAGCUAAAAUAAAAAUUUUAAAAAUCGGAAUAAAUUAUCCAACCAACAACACUACCCAGUCAACACUUCCAUUCCGUCUCAUGAAGUUCUCCUCAUGUGAAGACUAAAUGCAAUAAAUGAUGACCUCCCCGGCACUUUUUUUUUUUGGGUCGAAUCUUCAGGCACUUGAAAAUGCACAAUAUCGACCCAAAUUUGAUUUUUUUUUGACCUUUUGUAUUACAGAUUCCACACUAGUUUUGGUUUUUUUUUUCCUGAAGGAGGAAAUGCUUUUUUUUUUUAUUCUAAUACUUUUGCACAAUUCCUUCUAUUGUUUUAUGCAAGUAGAAUGUUUAAUUAUAACAAGUAUCUACACAUUUGUUUACUUUUUAAUUGUAAGAGUUAUCGCUAAUUAUUUAUUUAUAAUGUCAUUUGCAAUUGUUAUAUAAUACCUAGCCCUGCAUUCUAAGAAUAUUUCAAAAAGUCAUUAUAACACUCAAUCAACAAUACUUAUAAAUUUGGGGAAGUAUGAAAAUAGUCAUCUAAUCUUUUGGUAGUGACAAGUUGUGAUAGUGUUAAUUUUAUUUUAGUGUCAAGUACGAGUUGUCAUAUAAUAAUUGAUUUCUCCCACAUUAUUAAAUAAUUUCAAAAACUCAUCAAAAUCCUCAAUUAAUAAUAUUGAUAGAUUUAAGGAAGUAUGGAAGUCAUUUUUUUUUUUUGGGUGACAAGUUGUAAUUGCAUUAAUUAUAUUGUAACCAAAUGAAAAAUAUCAUUACUUACUUUUUAAUGGACAAUUCAUCGGAGGUCAUGAUGUAGCGCAAAAAAAAAAAAAAACACUCUUGAUUUUCUCCAUACAAACAAAAUGUGAUCAGCAGGUGCACACCCACUUUUUGCAAAGGGGUGGAUCACUCAGUACACCGCAAGAUUCUAUUUCUAUUUUUCCACCUCAAAUCUAUAUAAAUAUUAUUUCAAGGAUUUUAUAAGUGACCCAACUUGCUUAUGUUGAGAUCAUAAUAUUAUGUUAUUUAUUCAAGUCGUUAUAUUGCCCAUGCCUAUUAAGAAAUUAUUUUCUUUCAAUACAAAAAUUUUCCAUGCAUAAAAAAGAAAAAGGUCGUGAACAAUUGAAGUUACGAUAUAUAUAUAUGUAUGUAUGUAUAUAUAUCCGGUUCGCCAUAUAAAUUUCAAGACUCUUCUCUUUGGUGAACUGUAUUAAUUAGAAGAUUCAUAAAUACCAUUCGCAAUUUAGUAUGAAUAAGUAGUAGUGCUCAUGGUAAAUAGAGGAAAUAAUGUUGAGCCAAGCAUCGGUUUCAUCCAUUCCUUCUUCAAUACGUACACUACUUAAGUUCUUUGCACCCGCUAUUCAUAUCCUUAGUCGACUGGCUCAUCAUCACCAUGCCUGUGCUUUUUCUCUAAUUAUUAUGCAUGUUCACCUUGAAGCAAACAUAUCUAAAACAUAACUGAUCUUUGCCGACGAAACUAACGUAACGGAAAUUUUCAGUAUGUAUUAAUGAAUCUAAAUGUUGCUCUUUUCAAUAUUUCUAUUGAACUGCCUAGCAAGCUCCCUAAACUUUUUGCCAGUCUUCGUGCUUAUUCAUUACAAAAAUACAACUUGUCACUCCUCCAUGGCAUCAACAUUGUUUUGUGAGAUUCAUAUUAUGUUCUUCUUCGUCUUUGUCCUCAUUUAAUUGCGUAGAGAAACAGUUGAGUGAACUAUAAUUGAUGUUUAGUCAAUGGCUCCAUUCAUGCAUCAGCAUAUAGGAGGGCUCUCAUUUCUCUCUCUCUCUCUCUCUCUCUCUCUCUCUCUCUAUUUUGCAUUGUAGGUUUUCUUAUGCUUUAGAUGCUCUUGCAUCCAAUUGGAAAUAGCCCCCCCCCCGCCCCUCUCUCUCUCUCUCUCUCUCUCUCUCUCUCUCUCUCUCUCUCGACACGAGCUACUAUAAAAAAAAAAAUGAGGACUUAGGAGGGGAGGAUUAGGAUGAAGUUGAAAGGUACAAAACCGGAAUUUGGGAGACCUGCUUAGCAACCAUUUGAACGAGCCCAAGUUCCACGUGCAUAGGGCCCAUCCGCCUAAUUCCUGAACUUUUAAGUUAUCGCUAUGAUUUGUUGAGUAAUCAAGAAAAGUCAACAUUGUCUCGUCACUCUAAAAUCUACGUACCCUUAAUCAUCAAUUAAGCCAAUCAAAAAGUUGAUGCUAAACAUACUAUUGAUUUAUAAAAGCAUUUAUAAUUUCAUGCUUGUUGCAAUGCAAUACCCUUGGCCUUAGUCAUCAAUCAACUUGUAUAAAAGCAUCAAUCAACCCCUCCCUAUUUAUAUCACUAGCAAGAUCUUGACUUCUCAUGAUUUGUGAGAAUGAGGGAAGUUUGGCGAUUCCUUCUUUAAGGUCAUAAUUCAAUGCAAUCACAUUCAUUGUGUCAUUCUUUUCUCAAUAUGGCAGGUACAAUUUCCUCAACUUAGGUGGAUGGAACUCUCCCACAUGGACGAUUUAAGCAAAAUAUGGACUGACAAUCCUCUAGAAACUCCGACUUUUGAUUGUUUAAGGGAAGUGGGGGUUUGGAACUGUAAGAGCCUUGAAACUUUGUUUCCGUAUUGGGUGGCUACAAGUUUAACCAAACUUCAAAUAAUUCAAGUGGAGUCUUGUGAGAUCGACGAAAUAGUCGCUAGUGGGGAUGACACUCCAUGCUCCAAUACAACUCAAGAUCAUUUCCCAAAACUAACCUCUUUGGCGUUACAUGAUAUGCCACGACUCAAGAGCUUUUAUCCUAACUUACCCUCUUUGAAUUGGCCAUUAUUGAAGGAAUUACAAGUGACUCACUGUAACAAACUGAACAUGUUAUCCUUUGCGGCAUCCAUGAACAGUUGGGCUCAAAGAGAUGAUCAACAAGACCUUUUAGAUCAAGAAGCACACUCUUCAUUUGAGAGGGUAUGAUUAUAGUUGCUCUCCCUUAGUUUCUACUUUGUUCUUUAAAGCAGUCACUAAUAUCAUAUCCAUUGCAUAUCAUGUCGCGUUAUGAUGUUGUAGAAAACAUGAUCUCCCCUACCUAUUAGUUUGUCAACAACAUUAAGAUAUUUCUAAUAUUUUACGUACACUUCCAUUUGUGGACAUGCAUAAGAUAUUCCAUUACCUAGAGUUACAAAAAAAUUUACAGUAUUCUAUUGAUAACAUAAUAUAUUCCUAAUCUAACCUAAUGGUGCUCUUGGGCGACAUCAAUAAGGAUUUGACAAGAGGUCCUCUCCAUUAUUGACACAUGUUGCACACUUGAACUUUUCUUCUCUAUUUCAUCUUCUACAAACUCUAAAAAAAUUGAUUCAAACUAAUUUUUUUUAUAACAAAAAUAACAUUAGUACCUUAGUGCACUAUUUUCUACUGUAUUUUUUAAUACACUAGUCGUCGUGUUAUCCUGCUAUAAUAUUAUAGAAAACUAGAAUCCCUUUCCUAUAAGUUUGUAGACAACAUAAGAUAUUCCUUAUAUCUUAAGCAUACUUCUAAAUUUGUGGACCCCGUAUGUUUUAGUGACAUCUUGAGUGCAUCCCAUUACAUAAGAUUCCAAAGAAGAUAAAUUUUUGUCAACAAGAUAAGAUAUUCCUUACAAAAGAUGAAUUUAGUGAGUGCAGGGAUCUUGAAUUUAGAUUCACUCUAUCCACUUGACCAGACCAACCUCUACAUGAGACUUUUAAAAGCUUGAGUCUUGAACACAAGGUUCUUGAGAUAUAAUGAACUUUAAAAAGAGGACCACCUUCCAUGCGAAUCAUCUUAAUAGGUUUACCUUUUAUAGCACGUGAUUUAUUGUUGAAACUUUGUUGAAUUUACUUCUCUUGUUGUAUUGGCAAUUCGACAGGACUUUCCCAACUUGGAGAGACUUUUAUUAGACAAUAACAAUAUUCAGAUGAUACAAGAUGGAAAUUUUUCGUAUGACACGUUCAGUAAGCUAAAAGCACUAACACUAGCAUGCUUUCAUGAUAAAAAGGCUGCCUUUCCUUCCCUAUUCCUCCUAGAGAGAUUUCAGAAUUUACAAAGCCUUGAAGUCUUCUGUAACUCAUUUGAAGAUUUAUUCCCGAACGAAGGGCUUGUUGAAGAAAGGAAACAUCCGGUGCUUGAAAAUUUAACAGAACUUAAGUUGAACAAGCUACACAACUUAAAGUGUGUGUGGAGAAAAGACCCUUUAGUGUCGAAAAUUCUUCAGAGCAUCAAAACAUUUAAGGUUUGGGAUUGUCCCUGUUUGACAACAAUAUUUCUAACCGAGACAUCCUUCCAGAAUCUAACAGAUUUAGUGGUGAAGAAUUCCUCUGGAUUGGUACAUCUAGUAACAAUUUCGGCAGUCACAAAUUUGGUACAUCUCACUUUUAUGACUAUAAUAGGAUGUGAAAAAAUGAAAGAAGUAGUGGCCGACGAUGGAAACAGAGAAGGAAAAGUGAUUUCUUUUGAAAAGCUAAGAUUGUUGACACUUGAAUAUCUGCCAAACUUAGAAUGCUUCUCUUCCAUUCCAAGUUGCAUCUUUAGGUUCCCAUCCUU